rnacentral:lncRNA from 1 species
ACUAGGCCACCAUCGUGUAGUUUUCCGAUAGCAUUACCAAUCUGUGUUGCAAUAUCAGCCAUCCGUUCUUUGUCAACACCAACUAGUCCAAAGCCAAGCAAUAUAUCUUUCACAGAAGGACCUUCAAUAUAUUCAAAGGUGAGAGAAUGCAUAACAGGGUCAACAGCAUAAAGCACUGGAGUAAGAACACCAAGCCGUCUAGCUUUUGUCAUGCACCUGGCCUCCUGCGCCACGAUUCAAUUUAUUUAAGCAACACAAGCUUUAAGAAGGAUUUAAAAAAAGAGUAGGUAUCAUUUUACACCGACCGCAUUCAACCGUUUAAGGGUGAGCUUUGAGUCCAAAGUCGGAUGCCUGUAUUUCUUUGAAAACCGUUCCUUGAUGAUACACCUCCUGCUACCCACAAAUGUCGACUCAAAUACCCUCUGAUGUUAUCAACAGCGAAACAAGAUAAAAUGUUACAGAAACUCUAGUGUCAAGUGUCGACAAUUACUUGCCAUCAAAUGAACGUUGGUAGAAACAGUAGUACAUAUUAUUACCGACUUUUAAACUAAACAAAAGACACCCACCCACCCACAAAAUCUUUUCAAAAGAAAAUUAGAGAAAAAAAAUGAGAAAUAUUAAAGGAAAGUUUUAUAGAAACACAAUAGAGAACAAUUAAAUAUGAACUCACAGCCUCAGCUCCUUGCUUGAUUAAAACCAAGGAUCCAUCACUUCCAUCUGUCUUGGUUUCCAUCUAUAUGAGAUCUCCAAUUAACUUCAGGCGCAAGAAACAAAAUAAACAAAAAAGUAAAACUAAAAAGAAAAGGAUAACAAAACUUUAGGAUUUCAUAAAUGAAGUUGUUUAGCUCUUCCACAAUUCAAGUACAACACAAAGCUUGCACGCAAAAGAAUGGUUAAGAAAUUCUUUGGCAUCCAAUGGGGAUAGCUUAGCAGUCUAUGAAGUUUAUUCAGAACUGCGAGGUCUCAGGUUCAAUUGCAAAAUAACAAAACUAAAGUCCUAAUAUAGGAAAAGAGAAAUUAAAAAAUAAGAACCUAACCUCUCUCACUUUUUCCUCAUUUACCCAGCACCUCCAGGUCAAGUAUUCUCUCCCACAACUUUCAAUCGUUGAAGCGAUCAAAAGAUGUUUGGAAGAGCACCGAAGAAGAGUGAUAAUACGAAGUAUUAUGAUAUCUUAGGAGUACAGAACAGGGCUUCACAAGAUGAUCUCAAAAAGGCUUAUCGUAAAGCCGCCAUCAAAAAUCAUCCUGAUAAAGGAGGCGAUCCUGAAAAGUUUAAAGAGAUUGCCGAAGCUUAUGAUGUCUUACGUGACCCUGAAAAGCGUGAAAUAUAUGCUCAGUAUGGGGAGGAUGCUCUUAAGGAAGGAAUGGGUGCUGGAGGUGGUAGACAUGACCCAUUUGAUAUAUUUCAAUCAUUCUUUGGUGGUGGUGGAAGCAGCAGAGGUAGAAGACAAAGAAGAGGAGAGGAUGUUACCCCCCCACUCAAGGUCUCUUUGGAGGAUCUUUAUAAUGGAGCAUCAAAGAAGCUUUCACUAUCUCGCAAUGUGUUGUGCUAGAAGUGCAAGGGUAAAGGGUCUAAGUCAGGUGCUUCAAUGAAGUGUUCUGGCUGUCAGGGGUCUGGAAUGAAGUCUGCUGGAUCAUGGAUGGACCAAGCAGUCUGAAGUGUUCUGGCUGUCAGGGGUCUGGAAUGAAAGUUUCUAUCAGACUACUUGGUCCAUCCAUGAUCCAGCAGAGGCAGCACCCUUGCAAUGAGUGUAAGGGUACUGGUGAGACAAUCAGUGACAAAAAUAGGUGCCCACAGUGUAAUGGUGAGGGGUCGUGCAGGAGAAGAAGGUGUUGGAAGUUCAUGUGGAGAAGGGUAAGCAGAACGGGCAGAAGGUAACAUUCCCAGGCGAGGCAGAUGAAGCGCCAGAAACUAUCACUGGAGACAUGGUUUUUGUCUUGCAACAGAAGGAACAUCCUAAAUUAAAGAGAAAGGAAGAUGGAUCUUUUUGUUGAGCAUACAUUGUCCUUGACUGAGGCCCUAUGUGGUUUCCAGUUCGUUUUGACUCACCUAGACAACAGACAGCUGCUCAUUAAGUCCCCACCUGGCAAAGUUGUCAAGUCAAGCCUGAUCAGUUUAAGGCUAUCAACGAUGAAGGAAUNNNNNNNNNNNNNNNNNNNNNNNNNNNNNNNNNNNNNNNNNNNNNNNNNNNNNNNNNNNNNNNNNNNNNNNNNNNNNNNNNNNNNNNNNNNNNNNNNNNNNNNNNNNNNNNNNNNNNNAAUGCCGAUGUAACAAAGGACUUUUAUGAGAGGUAAACUGUACAUUCACUUCACUGUUGAUUUCCCAGAGUCAUUAACACCAGAGCAGUGCAAGAACCUUGAGGCCGUGCUUCCUCCAAAACCCAAACAGCAAGUGUCUGACAUGGAAUUAGACGAGUACGAGGAGACUGUUUUGCAUGAUGUGAACAUUGAGGAUGAGAUGCGUAGGAAGCACCAAGCUUCCCAAGAGGCAUAUGACGAAGAUGAUGAUAUGCAUGGUGGUGGUGGUGCACAGAGAGUCCAAUGUGCACAGCAGUAAUUUGGUAGUGUUCUGGUAUUUGUGCUAUCUUCUGAUAGGGGGUAGAUUACUUAAGGGUUUGGUUAUUUUUCUUAUGCAAACUGACACUACGAGCAGAAUUUUACUGCUCGACUAUUGUAAGUGUGCUUACAUGUUUAUGCAAUUUGUUUUAUUUUAUUCAAUAAUUCUUCUUACUUCGAAGUCGCAUUUGAAACUAACAUAGAGUCUCAUAUAGUUCUAACGAUUUUGGAAAUUAUAAUUCAUUUCACUAAGGGUGAGUCUUUAUUCACAAUCAACGUUAUUUGUAAGACUUAUUUUUCUUACUUUAAUUAUGGACGUUAUUUUGUUCACGAAAAAAAAAGAACCUAACAACUCUAACGACUAGUUACAAGCCUCGCAUGCUGCAUAAACUUUUGAUUGAGAUGAUCAUCUUCAUCCCAUAUUCAUCAAACUUCAGAUCUUCCAACCAGCAACCAGAGGACUUAAAAGCUAUGCUUUUUCCUUUUUCUUACAUGCUUAGAAGAAAUCAAAUGGACAUCAUCUAAGCCUGCGGAUACUCUUUAUACAAUUUUAAUGGUUCCUUUCAACUCUCAGCUUCCCACCUCCUCUUUCUCAUAAGAAGAAUGUAAGAUUCGUUAAGUUCUGGCUUCGAUUGUUUUUACUAUUUUGAGUCUUAAAGAGUAAAUUACACUUUUAAGCUUAAGACGGGGGAACCAGGACUGUUGUUACAUAAAAUAUCCUUGCAGAGAAUUCUAUUCUAUCGAAACCACUCAAACUACCUGAAAUCAAACAACGUGUUGCCUCAUAAGCUACUAAUAAACUCAUAAACAACCUCCUAAAUAGGUUUUAACUUAUAGCUAACAUUGGCUGAUUUGUUCCCAAUAUAUCCAAGCCUUAGUGGAUAAAGUUACCCGGUACCUGUACUAGUGAGGGUAGACGAUACCAGUGGAAUUAAUCGAGGUCCGCCACAAGCUAUCCCAGACACCAUAAUAAUUAAACAAAGGAGAUUCUUCGAUUUACACAAAUGUCUUUCUGUGAUUUUCUAUUUUGUAAGUCUUAUCUCCUUCACACUACAUAUGCUUCAAUAAAUGGUAGUACUAUACCUCUUCUAAUUAAUUUAUCAAGAAAACACACUAAGGUACCAUUAUAGCUUAAAAUAGAGGGAAAAUAUUUUUAUUCUUGAAGUGUUCUUUAUUGUAGCUAAAAAAAAAGCUUCAAUUUUUACAAGUAAACAACCCAAUUAGUAGCAUUUCUAGGUAUAAAAGAAGCAUUAGCCGCAGAAUUUGGAGAUAAAAACAUGAAAAAGAAUAAGAAAUAAAGAAAAGCAAAAUUAAGAAGGAAAUUUUGUUCUUGUUUUGUACUUUGAAUCCUCAAAUAAUGACCACCCAUCAAAGAAUUAUGAAAACUAAAAGCAAUUUGUGAGUAUUAAGGAAGAAAGAUACCUUUUUCCCCGUCGACAAUUAACAGCGCCGCCAGCCACAGCAAACCGUACCACUUCCGACAGUAUGAGUGAAGAAGAAGAAGAGAUAUGUUUUGCUUAAUAUGGGCCGGGUCAAUAGAAGUAGGUGGGCUUCCUUUUGGGACAACCCAAUUAGUGACGAAUGUUAAUAGCUCGGUUGAUUCAAUUUGCAACAUUAUAAUCGUCCGGAGAACAUUAGAAUAACUGAUAAAGUCAUGAAAAUUUUUGCAUAUAUACCGACAUGUUUAAUGUUAAUUACUAAAAAUCUCAACAUUUUUCAAAAUCUUCUAAAACUCCAAUAUUUGACCUCUGAUGAUUUAAUCGCAUUGGAUAUAUAUUGCUAUACAUAUAUCUAAUGUGAUUAACUUGUAUCACAGUAGAUACAAACAUUAGAUACAUGUAGGAUUAACUUUUAUUUCAGAAAUAGUAAAAAAUAUGAAAUGUUAGGAUUUAAGUGGUUUUUAAGAAGUGGAGGAAUUUUAGAAAUUUAGAUAGUUAUAAUGUUUAUUUAGGUAAUUUUUUGUAAAGUUAUUGCAAUAGGAACCGGAGGUCAUGGGUUUGUAAAAAUCCAAGAUAGAACUGCAUAAAAUAAAAUAAAAAAUUACAUCAUACCACAACUUAAUUUAUCAUAAAUAGUUAAAAUUUUCUUCCUUUUAAAUAGUUACAUAAAUCACUGAUUUAUUUAAAAAUAUGGAUACAUCAUAAAUGAAUGUGAGGUGUCAUGUAAAAUUAAAUUAUAUAUAUAUAAAAUAUGAUGUAUUCGUAUAAAAUUAAAUAAUGCACUCGAAAAUGUAUGUAUCUAUGUACACUAAAUAAGGGAUAUUUAGUAAGUUUAAAAAAAAAUUGAAAUGCAUUUACACAGUUUUUACUACAAUAAACUAUUGUGAUUCGAAUAUUUCUUAUACUUUGCUUAAUGCGAGCUUAUAUUUUAGAGUCCAUUUGAUCAUAAUUUUUUUUUUUUUCACUUUUUUCAAAAAUUAAGAAAAACUCAUUUAUAUUUAUGGUCGAAGAGAACUCUAAUUUCAAAAAUAAAUCAGUUUUGUAGCAAAACGCCUACUUAUUUUCUAAGACCAAACAAAAAACAGUAAGCAUCGACAAGUACGAAGAGGUUUGCAUUACUUUAUGACAAGCUUUUUCUGUGUAAGAAGUACUGUUCACAAAAUCGGUGGAUGGCUCCAAUAAGGAAAUCAAAGAAGAUGAAGAAAGAUUCAAGCAAGUUGAAGAAAAUCAAAGACAUAAACAACAAACACAAAUCCAUCAACAUUCACAACAAAGCCACUGAAUGCGAUUGGUGGGAAUGUUUCUGGAGCAAGAAUUCACCAACCCCAGGUAGGUCCCCCUUUACUUCUUGGUCCCCUUUUACUUCUUUCUCCCCAAAUCUCCAUUCUUUUACUGCAUUUUUUUAGCUUUUUUAUUUUUUUUGCUAAUUGAAUUGUGUUUUUAGCAUUUGAGUUCCAGCACUGUUCAAGAAUUAACUAUAGUUAUGUAAGACUUUAGUUAGAAGUCAAUUGGGAUGUUGGUAAAUGUCAAGAUUGGAGCUUUAAGCCUAAUUGUCAAGAUUGGAGCUAUGAUUUUUAACUGGAAUCAAUUUUUUUUUUUUAUUUUUUUUUUAAAAACACAUGAAGAAUUCAAGGGGGUUCAACAUCCGUUUCAAUUGGUUUGUAUGAUUUUGACUUGACACGGAGGUUAAGAAAGUAAAGAAAGAAUUUUUAAUUGUGUGGUUUUAAAUAUGUAUUGUGGAAAGUUGAAAUUAACGAGUUGCCAAAAAAAGGAAAGAGACAUUCCUUUGGAAAGGAAAGUAAAACAAACAAAUUGAAAUGGAGUGAAUAUAGAAGAAUUAUCUUUACCUAUCUAAACAGCGUAAUUUUCCAGUGAAUUGACAUCCCUUUGGACAAGGUGGCUCUGCCACUCUUUGUAGGCGGAAGGGUUGUGUGAAAAUAGUUUGAUAAUUCAUAUUGUCGACUCCAACUUGUUUGGAUGUAAGACAUUAUUGAUUGCUUUUUCUUUAUGUAUGCAUACUUGAAGUCACCUCGUUAAACUAGAAAGAAAAGAAGUCACUUAGUUAAGAUUUUUGUUGGAAAUGAACUCUCCUGCUUGGAGUUUAAAAGUCUAAUUUAUUCUAAAACCUAAAGUAGUGAAGUCCAAGGCAAUGCAAAUGUAGUCAAGGCCAGAACUUUUACAUUUAAAACAUUUUGUGGCGGGAUCUGUUAUCGUUAGUAUAUUAGGUAUUCAUUAUUAGGUUUAUAAUGCGGUUGUUGUCCAUGUGUCCUUCUUAGCAAAAUGAAGGUUUUCCCGCUUGAUUGAUCCCUAACUUUCCCCCAAAUAAGCUAGUUUGAGUGGGUUCAAUAGACUGGAAUUGUCUGCAAGGAUAUUUUAUGUAACAACAAUCCUUGGUUCCCGUCUUAUUCCUUUUUUUUUUUGCAUCUUUUUUCUAUAAGAUCUUUUGAAAUUCGUUUUUUCUUUUCUUAUUUUGGUCUGUACAAUGAAGGGAUUAGCUAACGCCUAUACCUAUUAUAUCCUGCAGGUUCUGGUGUACCUUGUGAUGAAGAGGAAGGUUUCAAGUAUUAUUUCCGUGUUUCCAAGAGUACUUUUGAUUACAUAUGUUCGCUUGUAAGGGAGGACCUUAUCUCAAGACCUCCUUCAGGUCUGAUAAACAUCGAGGGAAGGCUUCUUAGUGUUGAGAAGCAAGUUGCGAUUGCAAUGAGAAGAUUGGCUUCUGGUGAAUCCCAAGUUUCAGUUGGGGCAUCAUUUGGAGUCGGGCAGUCCACUGUGUCUCAGGUUACCUGGAGAUUCAUCGAAGCAUUGGAAGAACGUGCAAAGCAUCAUCUUAAGUGGCCAGAACCUAGUAAGAUGGAGAUGAUCAAGUCUGAGUUUGAACGAUCAUUUGGUUUGCCUAACUGUUGUGGAGCAAUUGAUGCAACCCACAUCGUAAUGACCCUUCCUGCUGUUGAAACCUCAGAUGAUUGGUGUGAUCAGGAAAACAAUUACAGCAUGCUUUUGCAAGGUAUCGUGGACAGUGAGAUGCGUUUUUUAGACAUUGUGACAGGAUGGCCUGGGGGCAUGACCACUUCAAGGCUGUUCAAGUGCUCUGGAUUUUACAAACUCUGUGAAAAUGGUGAUCGUUUAAACGGAAAUGUAAAAGUGGCUUUUGAAGGAGCAGAAGUUAGAGAGUACAUUCUAGGAGGAUUUAGUUACCCUCUUCUUCCAUGGCUCAUUACACCUUAUGAAGGUGAUGACCUCUCGGAUCCCAUGCAAGAUUUUAAUGCGGUGCACGCCACUGCAAGUUCAGUUGCAGUAAAAGCUUUCACACAAUUGAAGGGAGGUUGGAGAAUCCUUAAUAAGGUUAUGUGGAGACCUGAUAAACAGAAACUCCCUAGUAUCAUCCUCGUGUGUUGUUUACUUCAUAAUAUUAUCAUUGAUUGUGGAGACAAAUUACACCCUGAUGUUGCCCUAGCUGGCCAUCAUGACCCGGGAUAUAAGGGACAGAGCAGCAAGAAGAUCGAAUCAACGGGAAGAUUAAUGAGGGAAAAUUUAACUAAACACAUACAGGUUACCAAAAAAGAUGGUUCGAUGUAGAUGAUUGUCUAACAGUGCAUGUGAAAAAUAGAUGGCCUUUUCAAAGACUUCUGUUUCAGAGUUCAGACCAUGUUGUCGAUGUAAAUGGAGUUCAGGUACAAGAUCUUUCUGAAUGUAGAAAAGGUGCUUCAUGGUCCUUGAAUAUAUGUAAAGACUUACUUCAUACCUAACAGUUUCACAUGUCAUUUAGGUAAAAAAAUUUCUACAUUAUUCUAAUCAUCACUGUUUUUCUUUUCUAUUGUGACAUGUAGCCUCUCCUAGAUUAUCUCCAUUUAACUUGAGACUUGAAUCAGCUGUUAGUAAGGAUGAUUUAAGGAUGGUGAAGCGUUUAGAUGCUUAAUCUUUAGUGGUGUACUGCAUAUCUCUUUAUGGAAAAGGUAAAGAGGAUAGAGGGAAAGAAAAGGUCUUUCCGAAAUAAUUCUUGUCACAGGAAAAAGUAAGUUAUGUAAAGUGAAGAAUUACCCUUGUUUCAUCCGACAUUCUAAGCGCCUUGAAAUAUAGGCAAUUGAGUGACCCAUUUCCAGACUUGCCCGAUUUCUGUAGGGAUAUAUGAUAUGUUAAAUCGCAUCUAAUUGUUUGAUGUGCAGCAAGACUCUAAUUUGAUUCAAUAUAUACCUAAUGUGACUUUUCACUUUAUAUGGCCUCGUAAAGGUAUAAACUCUUAGAAGUGCUUUCGAUAGUGAUUAGUGUUGGUUUAAGAAUACUUUUUAGUAAUAGCUGGCUCUUUAUAAGUUACCAAAUGCAAUCACCUCUUCGUAGCUCAGAGUCUAUUGUUAGCCUAUCUUUAUGUUUUCGUCUCUCUCCCCGAAGUGGAUGUAUCUGCGUAAUGCCUGAUAAUGAGUCAUGGCAUAACCAUGAGACUAGUAUGUAGUACUUGUAAUUUCUUAGAACUCCAAUAUGAUAAAGCAAUCAAAUAUACAAGUCACAGGUGGAAAAUUAAAACCUGGCUCCCAGAUAACAGAUUAAUACAAAACUAAUUUAUUUAAGCUAGUUGAAAUAGUCAUAGAACUUGUUGAGACUGGGUUAAUAGGAUCUGUUGAUCAAAGUGACUAGAUAAGGAAGAAAUCCAGGGGCAGAUGUAGAGUAUUGUUUGCGGGUUCCCGGAACCCAGUAACUUUCGUACGGUUCUUGAAUUUAUAUUGAAAAAACUAGUAAAUAUAUAAGAAUUAUAAGUUGGGAACCCACAAACAAAGCGUGUUAUUGGUCUAGUGAUAAAGAAUUAUAAGUUGGGAACCCACAACCUUUAAAUUCUAGAUCCGCCUCUGGAAAUCUUAAUGUGAAUAACCUAAGUCGCAUAGGAUUUUGUCGCGUAAUAACUUAAGUAAUUGUAGCAAGUGAAUGAACAUCUUUUACUAUGUGAUAACCCAGUGAAGGCGGCUAGUCACAUAGUUGAUAAGAGAACACAGGGGAGAACUAUCAAGCGAGCAAGCAACCACUUAAGCAGUAACAAUAAGGUGCUAAGUUUUGAGGGAACAAUUAGGAGCUAGCAUGCCGUGAAAGUUGUUUAGGUCCAGGUCCCUAGUUAUAGGUAGUUAUUUUGUACGUAAAUUGUGCAUUAUCCAUGCAGUACAAACACAUAUUCAGCUCCUUUGGUUAAACUUAAUUCCUUUCUAUUCUUGUAUAAAUUUCUUUAGAUUCUUAAAAUUUAUGUCUCUUUACAUCCCAAGCAUUUAUAACCUUACUUGCCUUAAUGCAAUAUCAAGAAUAUUCACUGCUGGGAUCUUCUGUGAAGUGGUCCUAGGAAUCUAUAUCGAGGGAGUAGAGUCCCCUUGUAACCUUGUCAAUACUCGUCCCCUGAAUUUGUUUUUGCAAAUCAUUAGUUUAUGACUUCCAACUGCCACAACUCAUCCAACUCAGGUGAUUCAUUGAAUUUUUUCCGACUCAUUCUCUAGCAUACGUCCAAUACAACAACUUAUCAAAAUUCCUCGAAGGUUCUCUUCAGAAGUUACCUACUUCAAUCUGCAUGAAACUUGAGAUUUGGCAGAAACCUUUCUAAUUUAGAGCCCCAAUUGGGGAAUAAAACUGCAGUUCAGAUUUUUGUGUUCUUCUCAUCAAAUGCAUAACCAGUAGUUAGGCUUUACCAUUCGUCUUCUGGCUUCAACAAUUUCAGCUCAUCACUGCCACAAGAUGGAGGACUUUUUUUCUCUCCCUUGGUGGUUACCUUGCCAUUGAUAAAUGAACAAUCAGCAUGGGUGUUAACAACAAAAUGCACUCUCUGUCGAAACACAUUAGUGGUGUUCUUAAGCCUAUGGUGCAGAACGAGCUAUAUUUUACCAGAUAAUUUUUAGUGAAGAGAUCGGUUAUUUUGAUCUCGGGAAAGAAUACUAUGGUGAUUGAUGUGAAACCGAAAGUAUUUCAGUGUAAACAGUGGUAGUCAUGGAUUUAUAGAACUUCUUGCAUGGGCCAAAGAUAUUGAAUAUACAUAAAACUGAUCCUAUAAUUAAAAACUAAACCUUUUCUAAUUCUGAGAAAAAUGAAAAUGAAAUCUAAAGUUCCUCAUAUAUUGCAGGUAAAUAAAAGCUACAAAUGGGUAUACAGGUGAUAAUCAUUCUUUAAAUAGGAGCACAUUAUUUUACAAAAUGUGGGAGAGAAAUAAAACCCCUUCCAGUUUAUUCUAUGGAAGAGCACUGCAGCAAAAUCUUGACUUCUUUAAGCCAAAAUCUUUACAAAUUAGACGCACGCAUGAGCCACUAAAACAAACACUGUUUGAUAAUACUAAUAACUAAUUUGAAGUCAAACAUGGUUGCUCCAUUUCUGGGAUUCACCAUCUUCUGAAGUUUUUGGUUUACAGGAGUGAAGCAUGUAGCUGCAUGCUUCCACUGCUUCCCCUACUGUUAGGAACAUCCAUUCUUGUCCUAAUGUCUCUGUGAAUUUCGACUUGUUCAACUUCUUCAUCACCUCUGCUCCUGGAUUCGCCAAAACUAGCUGCAAAGCCACAAAAAUCACACCUUAUGUUAGAGACAUGAAAAUAAGACGCUAACCUUGAGAUCUCUUCUAUCAAGAUUUUUCUUGACCUCUUCGAACAUGCUAAUUCCGCUUGUAUCAAUGUUACCUACAGCUGCACAUCAAAGAAUUUAAGCUGUCAGUUUGUCAACUGUAUAUAUAUUUAGGCACCCAAAGGUGUGGCCUAGUGGUCAACAACAGAGGCAGAGGCAGAACCAUUAGGUGAUUCUUCCCAUCUGUCCUAGCCUUUGUCUACCUAGUAUCUGUUGUUGUUGUUGUUGUUGGGAGGUGGUAGGUAUCCCGUGGAUUUAGUCGAGGUGCGCAAAAGCUGGCCCAGACACCACGGUUAUCAAAAACAAAUGUAUAUGUAUUUACCGUUUUUUCGAAUAAAUAGAUGCAACACAAUUUGACUAACCUCCCGUAUCAAGUAUAACAUACUGCAAAGUUGUUUCUCCUGAAGAUUUUAAAUUGUCUUCCUCGUCGUCAAUCCACCUUGAGAUCCUGUAUAUAAGAAGGAAAUUGAAUCAACCCAUAAUUACUAUUUGCAUAAAGAGAUGGUAGUUAUUUGUAUACGAGUUUACCUUCUAUAUACUAACAAUGUAAAAUAACUUUUUAACUCUACUAGAUCAUAGUACAUGUAACUGUCCGUAAUGAGUGAAACUAGUAAUUUGAAUAUUACGUUGUCAGUGCAUGCAAGUUAAAUUCUUUGUAGAUAAUUUACCUCUCUUAAAUAGCUCGAGUUAGUGAAGUAAAUAGGUGCUCCAAUGUCAAGUAUGAGAACUUUGUGUUUGGAUAUUGCUCCACAUUUCUAUAGAUCAUAGAAUUGGGGAUAUUACCAAGUACUAAAGUCCUUGGCCUUGCUACAGAAAGUAACACCCUUAGCAAUGAUAAACCAACCUGCAUUUGUAUUGAAACAACAAUUUAUAAGUCAAUUUGAAUUUCAAACUCUUUUUUAAGUUGAUUAAAUACAUUAGAAAGGAGUACUUACAGCCAUGACCAAGCCAAUUUCAAUGUUGCCAAAGACAACACCAAUGUAUGCACUCAUGCAAACCAAGAAGUCGAAUUUGUCGACAUGCCAGAGAUGAAUGGCAGCAUUAUAGUCGAUGAGGCCGAGCAUGGCAGCGAUUAUAAUGGACGACAAGACAACGAGGGGAAUGAAGUGGAACAAUGGCGUUAACAGCAUCAACGUCACCAUCACAGCCAACGUCAUAACAAUAUUUGAUACUGCAGUUUUGCAUCCUGCGUUGAAGUUCACCGCUGUUCGCGAGAAUGGCCCUGCACGUAAUGUUAACAGCGCGCUAUCUUAAAUCCUAAUAUGUAAAAAGAGUUUUAACUUCUAUACGCUACUAGCCUUGACGUUAUGGUUUUAACGGGUCAACAAGGAAAGCAAUGACAUAUUCACACAUUUUGUUAAGGAAUCGAAAAAGCUUCCUAUACGUUUUUAAGGUUUGGGGUUAUUGUUCUAUCUACAUCCAUCCCGAAGAGUCAUUUUCACAAAUUUAAUUGUAAAUGUGUUAAAUACUUAUACAUAUAAAAAUGCGAUAAAAAAGAUGCAUGGUCGUUUUCACUUUAUUACUAAGGUGGAAUGAAAUGAUCCACCAAUUAAAAAAGUAGAUAAAAUUAUCUGAUAGUUUAUCGGUGGAAGGUAGCAAGUAUCAAAUGAAACUACUCAGACAUGAGUGGCAGGUCCCGGGGGUUUCGAUCAGGUCAUAUGAUCAGUAAUCACAUGGGACGGGCCCAAGUGGGACAAGAAGUGAUAGUAGUCCAAAUCAAAAUCAACUUUCGGCCCAAAGGAUAAUAAAAGUGAAAAAAAAGAUAAUGACCAGGUUAGAACUCAAAAUUAUGAUACGCGUGGUGCAGUGGAUGAGGCUGCUCCUUUCUUAACUAGAGGUCUCAGAUUCGAGCUUUGGGUAUGAAAAAACAAAUCCUUGGUAGGAAGCAUUUCCCUCCGAAUGGGCCCUACGCGGCGUGAAUCCAGAUUAUUAGGGCUUCAAUGUGGGUACCGGACACCGGACGAGAAAUAAAUAAAAUAAAAAAAAGGACUCAAAAUAUGAUAUUGAUAUGUUUGUAUAUAGCAACAUACAUACCAGUAGUAAGGUAGCAAGAGGUGCAGGAGCCAACAAUGUUCAUCAUCCCAAAAGCAAUCAUCUCUUUAUUACCAUCUGUAUGGUAAUUCUUGAACAUUGCAAAACUUCUCCCUACUGCUAUUCCUUCCUAUAAAAGUAAUUUUAUGUAUCAUAUAUCAAAUUAUUUAAAAGAUAAGUACAAAAUAAUCGUAUAUAAAAUCGAAUAGGUAAUUUUGGAAACAAGGCAUGCAUGUUACCAAUGGUAAGUUUAUCUAAUUUUUUUUCCCUUAAUAGUAUUUAAGUGGUGUUGGUAUAUAUUGUCACAAUUCGACAUGUUAGAAUGUUUGGGUUUACAUUGCUUACUGUCUCAAAUUGAUAUUUAUUUUUGCUUGUAUUUAUUAAUAGAUUUGAAGUUAUAUUCACAGAUAUCAUAUUUUUUCACUAUGAUCAGUAUGAUAAAGCCAUUUACAGGAUAUUAUAACUCUAUAUUUCAAGUUACUAUAUAGACUUGUUAUGAAAGGAGCUUACAAGCAAGAGCAAUGACACCCGUGACUAUGCCAGUUUUGAUAGCAGUUGUCAAAUAUUUCGAUCCAAAUGACAGAUCCAUUAUUGAUGGAGGAUUUAUCCCUUUCUUCAGCUCUCCAAUCUGUUUCCAUUUUUUAAAUAAAAUUAUUCACAUAAGAAUCCAAUUAUUCCACAUAAUGGAUGAUGACAUAACACAACCACAAUUGUUACUGCAGUCACUUUUAGAAAUAAGAAUAUUUAGAUAUAGUUAUCUUAAUAGGUUUGAACUUUGAAGUCCGAAAGUCGAAACAUUUAAUUUCGAGUUUUUUACUAUGAUAAAUUCAGAUACAGAUUCUUCAAAAAUCUACGAAAAAUAUUCAUACACGAAAACUAUUAUAAGUCAUCAUAGUUGAUAAUUUGACGAAUUUAAAUUUUAUGCAUCAUUAGUGUACAAAAUAUUUUAUACUAUCAGGUAAAGUUGAUUUACUAUUGCAGGUUAACUAAUUUUUUCUUUUUUUCAUUUUUAUGUAAAUAAUUGGAUAACUUGCAAUAACAUGUCAAGUUAACUGAUAGUGUAGAAUAUUUUGUAUACUGACCGAUGCAUAGAAUUUAAAACUCUAAUUUGAAAUCCUUUCUUAAAAAUAAAUAAAUUAUAUUUGAUUCUCAAAGCAUCAAUGACGGAACCAGAAUUUUUACUAAGAAUUUUCAUAAAUGAACAUCAUAUAAGCUAAUCGAAAAGGGUUCAAUAUCUAUAAUAGAUACAUAAAACAUAAUUUUAAUCAUACUAUAUAUAACAUAAUUUUUCACUAAAAGGGUUCAGAUGACCCCCUAGCCGAGGGUAGCUCCUCCCCUAAGUAGCACCUUGAAAUGAGAUAGAGGAGUGUGUCAUUUCUUUUUUACUGUUUGCGUAUGCAAGUAAAGUUAAUCUCUUCGCAAAAAGCGGCCACACUGAAGUGUUCAUCUUCGAUUGGUGACGGAAUCAGAAUUUUUAUUAAGAAAAUUUAUAAAUGAACAUAAAAACUAAUCAAAGGAAUUUAAUAUCUACUAUUGAUAUAAAUGAAAAAAUAAUUUUAAUCAUAUAUAUAUAUAUAUAUAUAACUAUUGAUAUAAAUUAUAUAUAUAUCAUAAAUUUUUGCAAAAGAAAAAAUUUGAUCAACUUGCAGUAUAUUUGUACUACAUUGAAACCCGUGACUGACAAGACUCAAAUUAAAACUUCUCAUUUCACUAUUUGUUACUCCCUCCGUCUCAUUUUAUGUGACAUUUGAUCUGAUACGAAAUUUAAAAAAUAAGAAAAGACUUGGUAAGGUUUAUCAAAUUAUCCUUUAUAAAAAAAUGUAUCAAUAUCUUUUUUUUAAUUAAGUGAGACCAAUAAAAGUAAAAGAAUAAUUGUGCCUUUAAAAAGUUGUCAAAUAAGGAAAGACAAUACUUAUUUUGAGACGAAUUAAAAAAAAUAAUAACACAUAAUUUGAGACGGAGGAAGUAUUUUUUUUUUUUUUUUUUUUUUUUUUUUUUUUUUUGUAUUUGAGUGUUUCCAAUUUAUAUAAGGACAAACAACUACAGCUAUCAAUCAGAAGUGUCUUGUUUCAUAUCUAUCAUAUACUGAUAAUGAAUAUGAACAACUAAUGUCGUAGAAGUAUCACCCCUAACCAAUUAGAAUUAAGUUGUUUUAUUCAUGUUUUAUGCACUUACUUACACAUGAAUAUGAUAGUAACUAAGUAAGGUAACUUGAACCAUAACAUGUUAAAUUGACAGUGUAUAUAAAUUAAAUCGAACUAAAAGUCUUACCACUUUAACAUCAUAUUUUUCAGCAUGUGUUAUAUAAAUAAUAAUCAUUCCCAAUAUGACAGAUGUUAACAGCGUUAUCGUCGAUAACCAAAACAACUUCGGUCUCUUUUGACUCUGCAUAAAUGCGGAAUGCCCAUUAAUAAAUUAAUAUCAAAUUAUAAUUAUGAAUAAAUUUUAUGAUAACAAAAUAUAAAAUUAAACAUUUUUAUUCUUUGACGAAAUUAAGGAAAGUUUGCUUCAAUUUGUUGGCUCUUUUCGGAGUAGGAGUAGGUUAAGUAACAAUAUAAAAUUUUAAAAGUGACAAUAUUUUUUUGGGAGAUUUGCAAUGUCUACCAAAAAGAAAAAUAUUAGUAUUUGGCAUUGCAAGUUUAAAAGAUUUCCACUUUUAGUAGACUGCUUUUGGCUUAUGGAUAUAUAAUUAUAGUGUUCCCAUUCCAAAAUGUCAAAGUCAGUUUGAGUAUGCUUACUAAAAAUUUGGCAAGCAUCAAGUAGAAAAGGAAACAAAAUCCCAGCACUGCACUUUCCCAUCGCCACUGCAAUUAUUUUAUAUGAUCAAUAAUUGAACCAUUAGUAUUGUAUUCAAAGAAAGUAUUAAUUACUAACACAUACUAAGUGAACAGACAAUAAUAUAUAACUAAUCUAGAACGUGUACUACUAUUUAAGAAUCACUUUAAAUCAACUCAAGUCUAUUUCUACACUAAAGUGCUUUGAUUCGAUAAUGAAAAUCUAAUUGAAAAAUGUAAAGGAAAAGGGUAUAUUUCUAUUAAAAGUAAAUACUUUAAGCAAUUCUCUAAACUUUUAAGUUUUAAGAAAAAAGGGAAGAAAGAAUCAACAUCUAACUAAAGGAUACUUAUGAGACAUAUUUUGCAAAUUAGCAAACCAUGUGCUUGUUACAAAAUAUACUUAAAAUUUUUUAAGUGAUCUAAUAACGUAAAUUUGUUUCAAACUAUGAUAUUGCUGUAUUUAUGUUCAAAAUCUCUAGAACGUAACUCAAAAAAUUGCAUUUUUUAGAAUCAAGCAACCUCAUAAACUCAAAAUCUUAGCUCGGAUUAAACUGUCUACCAUGAAUAUGUGACAUGUGACAUGAAAGAGAAAGAGAGGGACCUGAUGAGUUUGAGAAAAGACAGAGAGAUAUCAUCAGUGGCAUGAGUGAAAUGUUGAAGACCAAGUACUCCUUUUAAUUGCUGCAAUAUCACCACUGCUGCUGCUCCUCCCAUAAAUCCUACUAUUGUUGCAUGUGAUAAAAAAUCCACUAUAAAUCCCAGCCUUCAAUUUCAUUAAACAAAACAUUCAUUAAUUAUCAACAACUUAUAAUAAGGUCAUUCUACCAAUUAAACUUAUAUGGAUGUUGAAGAGAUUAGUCAGUUAGGUUGUUAUAGUUUGUUAGAAAAGAGAGUGGUGUACAGCUGGUGUACAGCUGUCAAGUUAGUGAAGUUGGAUGUUAGUGGAGUCGGUUAUUUUUCUCUAUAAGUUGCAAUUGCAUCACUAACAUUGUAAUCAGAAUUAGAUGAUUUUCAAUCAAUAAGGCUUGUUCAUUCCUCUAAGAACCAUAUCAACGAACUUGGUCCAACAGCUCUAGGGAUUUUAUCAUGGUAUUAGAGCAGUGAUCCACGAGCUGCUGCAGCUAUGCACCGGAGUAUCAUCAACAAUGGCGGACAAUACCACCUCUUCACUCAAUUCGCAGAACCCAACAGAAAUGGCAACGCAAAUUGAUUUCCAUCAUCUUCUAUAUCUGCAAAAUUCUGAUACACCUGGAUUGGUGUUAAUUGGCAUCAAGUUAACAGGACAUGAGAAUUACACAUUGUGGAGCAAAUCGAUGCGAUUGGCCUUGCUAGGGAAAAACAAGCUAGGUUUCGUGGAUGGCAGUUGUACAAAAGCUCAGUACAGUGACGAUUUGGGGAAACUCUGGGAACGAUGUAAUGCGAUUAUUCUGAGUUGGAUUGGAGUUACUGUUUUUCCGGAUUGGUUUCUAGCAUAGUGUAUGUGUUUGAUUCAAAAAAGGUUUGGGACGAAUUCAAGGAAAGGUUCAAUAAAUCAAAUCUCACUAGAAUAUAUCAACUCUGAAAGGAUAUAGCUACUCUAACUCAAGGUACGGACUCAGUCGCUGCUUACUAUUCCAAAAUACGAGAUUAUUGGGAUAAGAUAGAUGCCUUAGUACCAGUGGUAGGCUGUAGUUGUGAAGGAUCUAAGGCUUCCACUGAAAUGCUGAGAAAUCAAAGGUUGUUGCAAUUUUUUAUGGGGCUAAAUGAAAUUUUCAAUCAUGUUCGAAGUGAUAUUUUACUGUGCACCCCUGUCUUGACGGUCAAUCAGGCAUAUACACUAGUAGUGCAAGAAGAAAGCCAAAGAGGCAUGGGUGCUGGUAGCAAACAAAUGGAUUCCAUCACCUUAAUGGCUGGAGGUGACCACAGAUAAAAGGGAUCAACAUUCAACCAGUCUAAACCUGCUUCUACUUCAAAUCAGACCACAUAUAAGAAGCCACUUUUUCCUGCAGGUUGUGCUCAUUGUGGUUACAGAAACCAUUUAACAGAGGAUUGCUAUAGAGUUGUGGGAUAUCUACCUGAUUUCAAAAGUAAAAAGAAGGGCCAGUAUAGUUCCACUAAAGUCUAUGCCCUAGGUAAUGCUGUGGAUGCAGAAAUUGAACUUGUUUCUUCAGGAGAAGGGAGGUACAUAUCUGAGGAACAAUAUCAACAAUUCAUCACAGCAAGUUCCAGUAACACCUCAAGCAGCAACAACACUAACAACACUAACAAUACCUCAGGUGAUUUUCAGGCUAAUAUGACAGGUAUACUUGCACAUUCAUCCAGUAUUUUUUCACAUGAGUGGAUAAUUGAUUCUGGUGCAUCUCACCAUAUCACACCAUAUAAAGAGUGCUCGUUUAAUUCCUAAAAACUUGAGGGUUGUGAGAGAAACAAGGUCCAAGUACCUACAGGAGGUAGAUGUGAAGUUACACAUAAAGGAACCACUAUCAUACUGAGAGAUCAUAGGCUUAAGAAUAUUCUAUAUGUUCCUGAUUUCAAGUACAACUUGUUGUCAGUGUCAAAGAUGACAAAAGAUCUUUGCUGCUUAGUAUGCUUUUACCCAGAUUUUUGUGUUUUCCAGGACCUUUACUCUGGCAAGGUCUUGGGGAUCGGUAGAGAAAACAAUGGUUUGUACUUGAUGAAGGAUGAUGCAUCCAUACAUCCUGUAGUAGGCUCAAAAAUUCAUAAAGAAGUUGAUGGUGCAAUGUGGCAUAUGAGAUUAGGCCAUCCAUCCAUCAAUAUUCCAAGUUGCAUUUCCAUUGUUUAGAAUGGAAGAGAAGCACACAAACUAUGUGGGAUAUGCCCAUUAUCCAAGCAGACAAGGUUACAAUUUCCUGUUAGUAACUCACAUUCUAAUAGCAUUUUUCAGUUGAUACAUGUUGAUGUAUUGGGUCCUUUUAAGGUUCCUACUUAUGACAGAAAACAUUAAUUUGUCACCAUUGUUGAUAACUAUAGUAGAUAUGCGUGGACAUGUUUGGUUCAGUGUAAGUCUGAAGUGAUUAUUGUUCUGAAAGAUUUUUUGUUGAAAGUAAAGAAUUAGUUUUGUACUACUGUGAAGACAUUAAGAUCAGACAAUGGUAGAGAGUUUUUCAAUUCUCAGUGUUCUGAUUUACUUUCAUCCUUGGGCAUUAUUCAUCAAAGUUCUUGUCCAUACAUACCCCAACAAAAUAGGAUGGUGGAGAGAAAACAUAGACAUAUUCUUGAAGUAGCUAGAGCUCUUAAAUUUUAGAGUUCUAUCCCUAACAAGUUCUGGGGAGACUGUGUUAUGACUGCAACAUAUCUUAUAAAUAAACUGCCUACACCAAUUUUGUAAGGAAAGUCUCCUUAUACAAUUUUAUAUAAGAAACCUUUAGUAUAUGAUCACUUAAGGGUCUUUGGUUGCUUAUGUUUUGCAUCUACUUUACCUAAAGGAGAUAAGUUUGAACCAAGAGCUAAAAGAGCAGUUUUUAUUGGUUUUUAUUGGUUAUUCUGAGACUCAAAAGGGAUAUAAGUUAUUUGAUCUUCAGCAGAACACAUGUUGGGUCAGUAGAGAUGUGGUAUUUAGAGAAGACAUCUUUCCUUUCAAGGGAAUCACAUAUAAAAGAACCACUAUUUUUUAUGUUCCACACUCUGUCAAUGAUCAUCAUCAUCCUGACCCUACUCCAAUACCUAUGCCUGCAUCAUAUGCCCCUAUAUAUGAUGAUCCUGCUAGCUCUUCUGGUGUGCCAGAAGUUGCAGAUAAUAUGCAACAUUCCACAGUUGAAGCUGAUGAAGUGCCACCAGUGGAACAUUUAUUUUCACCUGUUCCACAACCAACAGACUUGAGAAGGACAACAAGGAGUGCCAAUCCGCCAAUAUGGUUAAAGGAUUAUGUAACCACUAAAUCUGGUGGUAAGUUUGGAAGUGUGACCCUUUAUUCUAUCUCAGAUGUGUUAUCUUAUGAUAAUGUCUCACCAGCAUAUCAAGUCUAUCUGCAAGCCUUUUCAUCUCAAAUUGAACCAUAAAAUUUUAAAGAAGCCACAACAGAUGAACACUGGAUUAAGGCUAUGCAGCUUGAAACUCAAACCCUGAAAGAAAAUCAGACUUGGGACCUGGUCCCUCUACCACCAGGGAAAUAUGCCAUAGGUUCUAAAUGGGUAUACAAGAUUAAAUAUAAGGCUGAUCAGAGCAUUGAAAGAUACAAGGCCAGAUUAGUUGUGAAGGGAUACAAUCAAUAGAAAGGUUUGGAUUAUCAUGAUACCUUCUCACCUAUUGCUAAAAUGGUGACAGUUAGAGCUAUGAUAAGCCUGGCAGCCUCCAAGAAGCGGGACAUCUUCCAAAUAGAUGUAAAUAAUGCUUUCCUAUAAGGAGAUCUUUAUGAAGAUGUAUACAUGGAAUUGCCUCAAGGCUUUCAGAGACAAGGAAGUAAACUGGUAUGCAAACUGAAAAAAUCAUUAUAUGGACUCAAACAGGAUUCAAGACAGUGGAAUAUUAAGCUCACAAAUGCAUUAAUUGCUGGUGGCUAUACACAAAGCAUCUAUGAUCACUCACUGUUUAUUCAGAAAUCAGGACAUGAUAUUGUAGUGGUCUUGGUUUAUGUUGGUGAUCUGCUUAUCACAGGGAGUAACUCUACUCUAAUUCAGUAUGCAAAAAACACACUGAAUGAGGCAUUCAAGGUGAAAGACUUGGGCUAGUUAAGAUUCUUCUUGGGAAUUGAAGUACUCAGGUCUGACAAAGGUGUCUUGCUUAACCAAAGGAAGUAUGUGUUGGAGCUGAUCUCACAAAUUGGCCUGAGUGGGUGCAAACUAUCUCCAACACCAUUAGAGGUCAAUAAUAAAUAAACUUCUGUAGAGUAUGACCUCCAAGUUGGUCCAUCUGAUGAUCCUGAAAUAGAUGACAUACUUGGUUAUCAAAAGCUGGUUGGCAAAUUGCUUUAUCUCACUAUUACAAGGCCUGACAUUUGCUUUGCAGUACAAAUAUUAAGACAAUUUAUGCAGAGACCUAAACAGUCUCACAUGGAUGGUGCACUAAGGGUGGUGAGGUAUCUGAAGGGUAAUCCUGGACUUGGAAUUCUACUUAAAGCAGAUGAGAUCACAUCUAUGACUUCCUUAUGUGAUUCUGAUUGGGCAUCUUGUCCCAACACUAGAAGGUCAGUUUCAGGGUAUAUAGUCAUGAUGGGUGAUUCUUUUGUUUCUUGGAAAUCUAAGAAACAAUAUACAGUGAGUAGAAGCUCAGCAGAAGUUGAGUAUAGGAGCAUGGCAGAUGCAACUGUUGAAGUGAUAUGGCUGGCUGGUUUAUUGGCAGAGCUUGGAGUGACCUUAACCAUGCCUGUGAAGUUGUUUUGUGAUAAUAAAGCUGCACUACAAAUUGCUGCUAAUCCUAUUUUUCACGAGAUAACUAAGCACAUAGAAAUCGAUUUUUAUUUUGUCAGAGAAAGAAUCAAAUCAGGUUUGCUGCAACCAGUUCAUGUCCCUUCCAAUAUGCAACUAGCUGAUCUCAUGACUAAAGGACUUCCAGCAGCUCAACAUCAGUUUCUUCUUUCCAAGCUGAGCGUCCUUGAUUUUUUUGGUCACCAGCUUGAGGGGGAGUAAAGAGACUAGUCAGUUAGGUUGCUAUAGUUUGUUAGAAAAGAGAGUGGUGUACAACUGGUGUACAACUGUCAAGUUAGUGGAGUUGGAUGUUAGUGGAGUCGGUUAUUUGUCUCUAUAAGUAGCAAUUGUAUCACUAACAUUGUAAUCAGAAUUAAAUCAUUUUCAAUCAAUAAAGCUUGUUCAUUCCUCUAAGAACCAUAUCAACGAACUUGGUCCAACAACUCUAGGGAUUUUAUUAGAUGUGAUUUGGCAACAAUAAUAGAAGUAGAAUUUAAGUUCAAUGGAGAGAUAAUAUAUCAUAAACACAUACCUAGAACUUAGAAGGCCGACGUACACUCCACCCUUCCCACUUCUCAUACUCCACUUGGUGAAAUUAGACUGGAUUUCACUAUGUCCCUCACAAGCACGUAGAAGUAAUUCUUUUUGUAUAAUGGUUGAAGGUGAGAUUAUUAAAACUCAGGAUCUCUAUAUGCUUUUUGUUAGAGUUGUGACCUGAAUUAUGUUGAGCCGGCCCUGAAAGUUUCGUUGUGCGACCCAUAUUUGUGAUUUUCAGUGAGGUCUGUGGUCGUAGCAUAAAGGUAUGAACCUUUAUGUUUUUGGACCAAGGACUAAUUUGUAUGCACGUAUUAUAUAAGUAUAUUUAGUGGGUUAUUUUGUGUAUUCAGAAAAUACUCAUUCUCUACAUUUUACUCCUCUUCUUUCAUUAUAAUGAAACAUCCUCUGCCUUUGCCCGUGGUUUUUCCCGCAAGAAAUUUCCACAUAAAUUUGUGUGUUCUUAUUUAUUAUUUUGCUUAUGGUUUGCUUUAUUUCUGCUGAUUUAUAACACUUUUAAAUCCUAUUGAACUUUGUGAGCCUACAUGAAAAAGCCAAGAACAACUUCAAAUAAUCCAUUGAAGAAAGUGGCAGUAAAAGCAAGAUGAAGAUAAAGUGUUGGAUUUUUAGCUGCGUUAACUUCAUUUCCCAACAUAGAAGCCAUGAGAAGAGAUCUAACUGCAACUAUUCCCACUGCUAAAUCUCUUGAACUUCCCAUUAAUACGUACACUAAUGGCGGAAUAAAGCUUGAAUCUGUACAACAAAAAAAACGUAGUAAUUAAGUUGCUAUAAUUUUAUGAGUUUGCAUUCAUGUCUAGGCUAAAAGUUAUUGGUUCAUUUGAAUUCAUAACUAUUACACUAGAUUCGUCCUGGUGAUACGUGACUAGUCACCAGCAAAAGUGUUUGAUUUGACAAAAGUCAUUUUCUUGGAAUAUAUUGUCUGGUAGCUGAACAUUAUAAAGUGAACGUCACGUACGUAAAACUUUCAUGAAAAAUAACUUUGGUCGUACCAAACAGUUUUACUAAAAAUAAACCUGAUCACUUACAGAGGCCAAGUAUAGGUGGCAAGUUCCCCAACUUAGCAUAAAUUAUUCCCUGAGGAAUAGCAAGACUAGCAAUAGUAAUUCUAGCAAUAAGAUCUGAUUUGAAGAACCCAAAAUUGUAACGAGAACCCCAUUCAAAAAUUGGAAAAAAAAUUGAACCGCAAGUAUGAAUUUUCUAAAGGGUGUUUGGUUCUUGAAUUUCCUAAGUGGAUCAUCUGGAAAUAAAGUUUCCUUCACAGUUGUUGAGAUUAUUGAAGAAUCAUGUAAAGUUUGAUUAGCUGGUAGAUUAGAAUAUUUAAUUAUGCUGUUAGUGGUAGUUAGUUAGCUGACUAGACUUAGUUAGUUAGAUAGUUGUUGACAUCUGGCAUUUACACAUACUUGUAUAUAUGUUGAUUUUGCAUUCACGGAAUAGAGUUAGUUACCAUUUCACAAAUUAUCUUCUUGUGAUCUUCUCUCAGUUCUCUCUCUCAAUCAAAGCUCAAGGUUAACUGCACAACAAUGACAAAUUUCAGUUUAUUGUCUUCAUAAAUCCUCAACUUUAACAUGGUAUCAGAGAAAUUUUGAUCCUGAAUUUUGCAUUUUUCUUUAGCAUUUCUUACUGCUCUGUUAGUAUAUUUGAUCUUUUGGGUUUUUUGAGUUGUUUUUUUGGUGUUACUUUCUGCUUCACUAGUGUUGGUGAUAUUGUUGUUCUUUCUCUCAUUGCGUCUUCAAAGUGUUUGCUUUUUUGUCACUUCUAAUGGUGGAUAAUGAAGCCAAUCCUCCUACUCAAGCGAGUCGAGAAACUAUCGACUUAACUAAUCCCUUGUAUAUGCAUCCCUCUGAGAAUUUAGGAGCAACACUGCUUCCUGGUAUUUUUGAUGGCACGGGGUAUCGGUCAUGGAGGAGAGGUGUACUUCGUGCCUUGUCAGUCGAAAAUAAAACUGGUUUUAUCAAUGGCAAAUGUCCAAAACCACCAGAGGAUUCUUCAUUUUUUAGUCAUUGGGAGAGAUAUGAUGACAUGGUGACUUCGUGGCUCUUUAAUUCUCUAUUCAGAGACCUAGCAGAUAGUUUACAAUAUGUCGAUAAUGCUCAAGAGCUUUGGCAGGAACUCGAAGACAGAUAUGAUCAAACGAAUGGGGCUAAGUUGUAUCAACUGUAGAAAGAGAUUAAUGACCUUUCUCAGGGUUCUUUAGACACCACCAACUACUACACUAAAAUGAAGAAACUAUGAGAGGAAUUGAGUGCACUCACUCUGAGUAAUAGCUGCACAUGUCAAUGCACUUGUGGUGCUAAAGCAGUUGUGCAUAAGGCUAAACAGGAUCGACGACUAAUACAAUUUCUCAUGGGGCUCAAUGAGAUGUACACACCUGUGCGAGGGAGUAUUUUAAUGAUGAAUCCCCUUCCUAGCAUUGCACAAGCCUUCUCCAAUUUGAUUCAGAAAGAGAAGCAAAGGGAAGUUAAGCCUCACACUCAGCUUAGUCUAGAAUCUGCUUCUCUUACCACUCAUGCCAUAGAAAAUGCAGCCUUUAAGACAAAUUAUCAAAACACUAGGAUAGGAAAUACUCAGUACAAUAGCAAACAAUUUGGUAAUCACUAUUCAGGUUCAUCUGGUUCUUCUGGAGGAUAUCCGUAUGGGAAUUUACAUGGUGCAGGUGGCCAUUCUCUGAGUAGAUCUCAUUUGUUUUGUGAUUAUUGCAAGAAAUCUGGUCACACUAAAGACAAAUACUAUAGGUUGCAUGGUUUCCCUCAGGAUUUCAAGUUCAUAAAAAGAAAGAAUUUAGCUUCUGCUGCUAAUGUGUUUGGAGGAGUGCACACUGAUAAUCACACAAAAAAGACUAUUACAGCAGAAGAUCCUAAUUCUCAAGGACUUCAAACCUUAACUAAGGAUCAAUACAGUUAAUUGAUGACCUUAUUGAGCACUUUUCAACAAGGAGAUGCAAUACAUGACAUAAGUGGUAUUUCUAGUGGUGCUACGAACCUUGCAGGUAUAAUUACUUGUCAUUCCUCUAUAAUUGAGAUUUCUGCCUUUCAUGUGCAUGUACCACAUUGACAACUGAUUCCUGGAUAUUUGACUCUGGAGCAUUUCACCAUAUCACAUACAAUAAAACCUUACUGACUAACAUCAGUAGUUUACCCUAACCUUUCCUAGUAAAUUUGCCUAAUGGAUAUAGAGUAAGGGUGACAGAAAUUGGUGACAUCUUUAUAAAUCCAACUUUAACACUGCAUAAUGUUUGGGUUGUGUCUAUUUUUAAAUUUAACCUCAUUUCUGUUCAUUGUUUAGUACUUGAUCUUCAAAGCAUAGUUAGUUUCAGUAGCUGUUUUUGUACCUUGCAGGCCCCUUCACUGAAGAGGACUCUAGAGAUUAGUAGAGCUAACAAUGGUUAUACUAUCUCUGCUCAAAAUGUCACAACAACACAUCAAGAUCUUCUAGCAGACUCAAAUCCUCCAUUCCCAGCUCUUUAAAUACUUGUCUUAGUUUUCCCACUUUUAGUAAACUUGUUUCAUCUUUACUUCCAAUUAUUGUUGUAAAUAAUUCAUGUUCAACUAGUAAAUAAUUCAUGUUCAACUAAUAAAGAAGUCUACUUUAUUUUGAAUCCAAGUCUGUCUUCUGCAUCUCAUAAUAAUAAUGUUGAUAUUUUGUGGCAUCAAAGAUUAGGCCAUGUACCUUUUGCAAAAAUAAGAGGAAUAUCUUCACUACCAGUACCUUUUGCACCAAAACAACCUUUCAUGUGUACCAUUUGUCCAAUGGCCAGACAAAGUAGACUACUUUUUCCACAGAAAUUGACAAUCAGUACCACCCCUUUUGAGCUCUUAUACAUUAAUCUAUGAGGACCUUAUCAUGCUCCAACUCAUGACAACUAUAGGUAUUUUCUUACAUGGUUGAUGAUUACAGCAGGUCCACUUGGACACAUCUUCUAAGUUGUAAAAGUAAUACACUUCAAUCCAUCAAAACCUUUGUGUCUCUUGUAGAAACUCAGUUUUUGACCAAGAUCAAGAUUAUCAGGUCUGAUAAUGGCCUUGAGUUUGUAAAUCAUGCAACUACAUCAUUCUUUCAAGAAAAGGGCAUCAUCCACCAGAAAACUUAUCCAUACACACCAUAAAAUAAUGGUGUGGUGGAAAGAAAACACAAAUAUCUGCUUGAAACUGCAAGAGCACUUUUAUAUCAAUACAAGCUUCCAAUUAGAUAUUGGGGAGAAUGUAUCCUAACUGCUACCUACCUUCCUCUUAUGAACUUCUGUACCAAAAGAAACCUAGUUACUUUUAUUUAAAGACUUUUGGAUGUCUUUGUUUUCCCACCACUCUCAAGGCUCACACAAGUAAGUUUGACCCUAGGACCACUCCAUAUGUUUUCAUGGGAUAUCCUUUUGGUACAAAAGGUUACAAGGUUCUUAGCUUGAGUACAAAAAGGUUACAUAUUUCUAGGGAUGUUGUUUUUCAUGAAAAUGUCUUUCCUUUUUCCUUGUCAUCUCACCAGCCUGCCUGAUGUGGUUCCUUUAACAAAUUUUAAUAUUAAUGCUAGUCACUCUUCUAUCACACCACAUAGUUUUGAUAUACAUGAGUUGGAUUUUAGAUAAAAUUCUCAUAAUGCUGCCCCUGAUCCUAUACCUGCUAGCAACUCUCCAUCAUCACCAGCAUCUCCUCAACCCACUACCUCUCCAUCAUCUUCUCAUAAUCCACUACCUGAUCCUCAACCACAUAUUUCACAACCACAAGCUGAACCUAGAAGAUCAUCUAGAACUCAUGCCACACCAGCCUACCUAUAGGAAUAUUCUUAUUCUUUACCCAACCUACAACCUUCUUCUUCAUCUGUUUCUGCAUCAACAAACAUUGCCACUCAUACCUCUCUUUCACUUACUUCUUUUAGUUCGGAUAGCCAGCAGUUAAUAAGGAAUAUUUCACUUGAAUGUGAGCCAUCCUUAUGAGGAAGCAGUAUUAAAUCCUGCUUGGCAUAUUGCAAUGACACAGGAAUUUGAAGCUCUGUAUGCAAACCAUACUUAGGAUCUUGUCCCAUUACCUACUGGAAAGAGAACCAUUGGUUGUAGGUGGGUUUAUAAGGUUAAACACAAGGUUGAUGGAAAUAUAGAGAGGUUCAAUUCUAUACUCGUGGUGAAAGGAUACACGCGAAAACACAAUGUUGAUUACAGUGAAACUUUCUCACCAGUAGUGAAGAUGACUACUAUAAGAAUUCUUCUCAGUCUAGCUAUAAAGAAAGGAUAGAAACUCCAUCAACUUGAUGUCAACAAUGCUUUUCUACAUGGUGAUUUGCAUAAAGAGGUGUAUAUGGACUCUCCAAAGGGCCUAUUGUUGGAUAAUCCAAACCUUGUAUUCAAGCUAAGGAAAUCCUUAUAAGGUUUGAAGCAAGCUAGUAGGUAGUGGUAUGAAAAACUGGUUGAAUCCUUAUGUUUGCAGGGUUAUUUACAUUCUGCUAGUGAUUACUCUUUAUUUUACAAGAAAACUGAUGGUUACACAGUUUUUGUAGUUGUGUAUGUUGAUGAUGUUAUAGUUACUGGUACUGAUGAGAAGGAGAUACACCAGCUGAAGUUGUUUUUACACAACAAGUUCAAAAUCAAAUAUCUGGGACAUCUACAUUAUUUCUUGGGGUUAGAGGUAUUAUACAGACAUGAUGGAAUUUUAAUUUCCCAGAUAAAAUUUGCCACUGAUUUGUUGAAAGAGUAUGAUCACCUGAACUACAGCAUUACUGCUUCCCCUCUUGAUCCCAAUGUUAAGUUACUGGAAAAUGAGGGAAAGUUGUUGUCUGACCCAACACCUUAUAGAAAACUGGUUGGGAAGCUGAAUUUUCUCACAAAUACUAGGUUGAACCUUGCAUAUAGUGUGCAACAUCUUAGCCAAUUUAUGCAGGCUCCUAGAGAGUCCCAUUACAAAGCUGAUUUACAUGUCCUGAGGUACUUAAAAUCAGAUCCAACCUGGGGUUUUUUCUUGUCAAAUGACCCCAACUACACUCUGUCAGCUUUUUGCGACUCUGAUUGGACUCCAUGUCCAGAUUCAAGAGGGAUAUAUUGUGUUUCUUGGCAAUAGUCCAGUUAGUUGGAAAUCCAAGAAACGAACUACCAUUUCUCUAUCAUCAUCUUGGUGAACUGGUAUGGGUGGAUAGACUGCUGACUGAGUUAACUAUUGUCUCCACCAAGCCUAUUUCAAUACUUUGCGAUAGUCAAGCAGCCAUACACAUCGCAAGGAAUCUUGUUUUUCAUGAGAGAACUAAACAUAUAGAAGUAGACUAUCAUUUUGUCCGGGACAAGCUACAUGAAGGCCUCAUUACUUUGUAACAUGUUACUACAAAUGCUCAACUUGCAGACAUCUUGACAAAGUCUCUUACUGGAGUUAAGCAUCAUACUGUAUUAGGCAAGUUGGCUGUACUUUCAGCACCUCCAACUUGAGGAGGGGUGUUGAGAUCAUUGAAGAAUCAUGUAAAGUUUGAUUAGCUGGUAGAUUAGAAUAUUUAAUUAUGCUGUUAGUGGUAGUUAGUUAGCUGACUAGACUUAGUUAGUUAGAUAGUUGUUGACAGCUGGCACCUACACACACUUGUAUAUAUGUUGAUUUUGCAUUCAUGGAAUAGAGUUAGUUACCAUUUCACAAAAUAUCUUCUUGUGAUCUUCUCUCAGUUCUCUCUCUCAAUCAAAGCUCAAGGUUAACUGCACAACAAUGACAGAUUUCAAUUAUUGUCUUCAUAAAUCCUCAACUUUAACAACAGUAUUUUUCAGUGACUUGAAAAAAGAUUGUGGUGGUGGUAGUUCAACUUUGUGUAUGCCUAUGCCUGUGUGCUCUCCAUUAUUCAUCAUUGAUGGGUACUCAUAAUCUGCGUUACCCAUUCUGAUAAUAUAUACUAGUAUUUUUUUUAAUUUUUAAUUUUGGGUAUUCAAAGAAAUAAUCUGACACUGAUGAAAUUAUAUAUAUCCAAUGGAUAAGGACUUUCUGCAAAGCGUUGAAAUAAGGAAUUUUGGUUGGAGUGGCUUGGACUGAAUAAUAAAGGAUGGGUGUUUAUAUAGAGGUAUUAUAUGAAGGAUUGUUGACACUUUUUUCGAGUGGAGUGGAAGGUAAUAGCCAUAGGGACCAAUUGUGUGGUUCUAAUUUCUAUAUUUUUAUUCUUAUAUGAAUUUAAUUUGUGUGUUUAUGCACACAAUAUAUAUAUAUAUAUGCAUGAUAUGUUGGUAAAGGUGAAUUUAUAUGUAAGAGACUAGUCAUAUUUUAGAUUAGCAAAUCAAUAUUUCUAAUUAGGAUUUGGAAAUUGGACAGUUACUUUAGUUCAUAUUCAAGCCUUGGAAACAGUCUAUGGCAGAAAUGCAAAGUAAGACUGCGUACAAUACAUCUUGUGCUGGGACUCUUUCCCGGAAAGCGCGCAUAGUGAUAGCUUUAGUGCACUGGACUGCCCUUUUACUUUAGUCCAUAUUCAAAUAGGGUUUGUAAUUAAAAGAGAAUUUAAAAAAAAAAGAAUUCGCAAAUCAGUAAAUAGCUCCUACUUUUUCAAGCUCAAUAUAAUUCCAAUUCAAUUUACAGAAAAAUGAUCAUAUCUCAAAAUUCUUUUGGUUUUACAUUAUAUCUGAUAUUUAUAUUACGAUUUGAUUAAAUUCCGAUUCGCACUUUAUAGGAUUCUUCUCUGAAGACUAAACUUUCAAACUAAUUUUUUGGAUUCCUCGCUCGAACAUUACUCUUUUUGAUUCAAUGUUUCAAACUUUUAUUUAAAAAUUCUGGACCCAAAAAUAUUAUUUCUUUUCAGCACACUGAAUGCUAUUUCUGGAAAAGAAGGCAGACGCAGACUCCGCCAAAAUUAUAAUUUACUCUUUUUAUAAUGACAUAAAAUUUUUUUUAGUCCGUAUAAAGAAAAAUGAUUCAUCUUUUUUGGUAAUACUUGAAUCAGAUGAUUAACAAAUGAGUGAAUAUAGACUUAAUUGAACUGAAUCAAAAAUAGGUUAAACGAAGAGUCAUGGCUCAGCAUGUCAAACUCAAUACAAAACUUUCAUUUCUUUGUCUGUUUCUCUUAAUUUGUUUAAUUAUCUAAGAAUUUUUUUCUGUAUUACGACUUAUUAUAAAAUAUCAAAAACGAUAAAAAUUGUAUAUUUUGACAAGAUUUUUAUGAGCUAAUUUAGAUUACAUAUUAGCAAUUUAACACAAGUUUUAAAUGAAUUGAAUUUGAUUGGUCAAAAUGGGUUGACUUGAGUUAUUCAAACUUAAAUAUAUUGUACGAGUAUGUAUUUCCUUGGGCCAAUUUUGUCAACUCUAUGUUAAACUACGCCGAUAAGAUAAAAUUAGAGUUACAGCCUGAAUAUCUUUGUUCCUACUCAUCAUGCAUCACUAUCAAUUAAGCACAUUUGAACUUUAUGAAUUAAACCUAAUCCUGAUAUUUUGCAAGUGCUAGUAAUUAAUCAUGACAAUUCAAACUUCCACUAAAGCUAUCUAUGUGAGAAAAAAAGGCAAAUUAAGGUGGGUAAUACAAUAUAUAUCUAGUAACAACCAAUAUCAACAAGUAAAAUGGAAGCUCCUAAUUUAUUAAGUUUGUAAACCACACCAUUGUUGCACACGAUCGAGCUAAAAUGGAGAUAAUAGAUUUUGUUGCAACGUAGGAAUCAAAAUCAAUUCAAAAUUCUCUUACUAGAUAGCACUUUUAUAUAUGGAAUUGGGGAUUUUGCUAGUUCGUUUUAUGAAUGUUCACUUUAUUGAAUCCAAGUCAAUAAAUUGUUUUUUGAAUGGAAUGUCGUUUAGUUUAGCCUAAAAAUAUCACUUGGAGGAAACAUAAUAUUAUUUUUAGCAUACUUAAGGCAAAAUUGAAUGGUUAUUUUUAUUAUAAAAAGUUGUUCACUGACUUUUUGAAAUAUUUAUUAAAUGUAAAGUUGAGUGACUUUUUUAUCUAAUAAUUAGAGAAGCUAAUUUAGUUUUUAUGUAUAUAUAUUAGAUGUUGAACCCCCUCGAUUAGUUUUUAUAUUCACUUAUGAAUCCCCUUAGUGAAAAUCCUAGCUCCGCCACUGCUGUAUACCACAUGUAUUUUUUCAUUGUCUUAUAUAUGCUCAACUCAAGAGGGAUCCGUGACCUAAACACACAUAUAUACAUAUAGCCCUUAAGUUGCGUGUUUGCUUUAUGCAACUGGAAUUAAAUUAAAUAACAUAACGAAGUUGGCAUCUGGAUAAUUAAUAACUUCUUGAAAAUAUUUCCAAUCUGGUCUAGCCGUUAGGAAAGCAAUUACAGAAAAAGAGAAAAAAAAUCACGUUUGUUUACAAACCAAAACAAUAUAUACGACAGAAAAUUUCAUUAAGAAUAGAAGAUCAGAAGAUAAAUUCAAUAAUCCAUAGAGGAAGCUGCAAGCAAAGUGCUUCAAUUAAUAAAAUAACAAUAAAGAGCGGAUUAUUGUGGAAAAAUGCUGCGAAUAUAAUUAAGUAAAUAAAAGUGUGUUCGCUUUAAUAUACUAAAUUUUUAAACAAGAUGAUCACACACUUUAAUAUCAUAUUGAAAACAAAUCUAACCACCAUCUAUCAUCAGAAGAAUUUUCAUCGACCCAUUGAAAAAAUGGAACUCAUAUGCACAUUAAACACUUCAAUAUUAACCUAGUAAGGCAAAAAUCCCGAGAAGAUGCUUAUCGAGACCUUAUUUUCAACUAAGUAUCAAUCCCUAGAAAUUUUUUUAAAAAAUGGGCUAGCUAAUUACAUGACAAAUGCUGCAUGAAUAAUUACAAUUAACACGCUAUAUAAUUACAUAUACAUUUCAUCUCGUGAUUCAGAAAAUUAAAAUACAAAAGGAAAACGAAUCAAAGACUUUGACUUGGGGAUUUAUGUGGGAAAUGACAAAAUCCGACAUAUACUUUUUUAAUAUCUUCUCUAUAUUCCUGAUAACGAUUCUUCUGUUUAAUUUGGAAUUUGGUGCGUGAUUAAUUAAUAAAUGAAGUAGCUAACUUGGCACUUGGCAGCAGUUAACAGAAUAUUUAACCUUUUUUUCUUGUAAUAUAGCUAAAUAAUAAAAGAGACACAUCCAACUAGACAACUAGACAUAAGGUUAGUGGAAUUCUGUAUAUAUUUUACAUUUUAGUAAUAUGUUUUGUAUGAAUUCUUAACGCUAUACAGCUCUUGUUUCGAAAUUUAAAUUAAUCCACAGUAAUUAAAUAUUAAAAUAUAAUUAUUUGAUUUAGAGAAGUUAAAUUUUGAAGUGAAAAUGUGAUGGAAUAUAAUGUUAACGAGUCUGAAUGUGGGUGAGACUUCAUGAACAUAUGUAGUAACUAGUAUACGCUUAAGUUUAAGUUCGUAGGUGUCAGAUAGACGGAUUAAAUUGAAAUCAUUAUAACAUAAAACAAUCAUCACUGUCUGCCCUUGGUGUGCUAUUACCAUUGCCAAUAUUAUUCUGAAAUCACUAUGUGCAACCACCAUCAUCAUCCUCGUAACACUUCCAUCACCAACUUCUAUCGCUCAACCACCACAAUCACCACCACCUGUAUAUAAUAGUACGCACCAAGAACAACCACAUGUAGGUGCGGAGCCAGCAUAUAUUUAGAGGGUUUCAAACUUCUCUGGACGAAAAAUUACAUUAUUUAUACAUGGUUAAAUUAUUUUUUAUGUUUAUAUAUAGUAGAUAUUGAACCCCUUUAGCUAGUUCGCGUGUACAUUUUAAACCCCUUAAUGAAAAUUUUGGCUUCGCCACUGACCACGUGAACCGCCUCCACUAGCAAAUACCACUAAUGACCAACUCAACACCAUGCCGCCCCACAACACCAGGCAAUGUAUUGUCAGGCAAGACAAAACACUAAUGCUCAUUGUCAUUGCGCCAAAAAUCCUAGUGUGUUUCAUCAAACAAACAGGUUUACCAGCAUGGGUUGUGGUGUAGAGGUGGGACAACUCCACCCUUAAUUAAAGGUCUCGGGUUCGAGUCCUGGGUAUGGAGAAAAUUCUAUUGGGAGCGCCACCCCCUAGAAUGGGCCCUACAGUGCACGAUCUGGAUUAGUCGGGUCUCUAAUGUGGGUACCGAACACCGGUUAGGAAACAGAAAAAAGGUUUAAUUUGUAUUAUUUGUUAUGAAAUAUAAAGCAAAGAGGAAGAAGAAUAGAGAGAGAAGAGAAGAGACUUCUUUAUUUCUCGUGGAGAUUCUUGAUGGGUUAAUUAGAAUGAAGGAAAACCUUGAUUCCUAGAAGACGUACCUUUUAGUCGAGUCAUCUCCCUUGAUUCCUAGAAGACGUACCUUUUAGUCGAGUNNNNNNNNNNNNNNNNNNNNNNNNNNNNNNNNNNNNNNNNNNNNNNNNNNNNNNNNNNNNNNNNNNNNNNNNNNNNNNNNNNNNNNNNNNNNNNNNNNNNNNNNNNNNNNNNNNNNNNNNNNNNNNNNNNNNNNNNNNNNNNNNNNNNNGUACCUUUUAGUCGAGUCAUUCCCUUUGACUCCUAGAAGACGUAUCUUUUAGUCGAGUCAUUUCCUCUGAUUCCUAUAAGACGUACCUUUUAGUCGAGUCAUUCCCUUUGAUUCCUAUAAGACAUACCCUUUAGUCGAGUCAUUUCCUCUGAUUCCUAUAAGACGUACCUUUUAGUCGAGUCAUCUCCUUUGAUUCCUAGAAAACGUACCUUUUAGUUGAGUCAUUCCCCUUGACCCCUAGAAGACGUACCAAUUAGUCGAGUCAUCCCCCUUGAUUCCUAUAAGGCAUACCUUUUAAUCGAGUUAUCCCCCUUUGAUUCCUAUAAGACGUACCUUUUAGUCGAGUCAUCUCCCUUUGAUUCCUAUAAGACGUACCUUUUAGUCGAGUCAUCUCCCUUUGAUUCCUAUAAGACGUACCUUUUAGUCGAGUCAUCUCCCUUUGAUUCCUAUAAGACGUACCUUUUAGUCGAGUCAUUCCCCUUGACCCCUAGAAGACGUACCAAUUAGUCGAGUCAUCCCCCUUGAUUCCUAUAAGGCAUACCUUUUAAUCGAGUCAUUUCCCUUGACCCAUAGAAGGCGUACCUUUUAGUCGAGUCAUUUCCCUUGACCCCUAGAAGACGUACCUUUUAGUCGAGUCAACUCCCCUGAUUCCUAUAAGACAUACCUUUUAGUCGAGUCAUUCCCCUUGAUUCCUAUAAAAUGUACCUUUCAGUCGAGUCAUUCCCCUUGAUUCCUAUAAGGCGUACCUUUUAGUCGAGUCAUGCUCCUUAAUUCCUAUAAUGAUGUGACUUUCAUCAAAGUCCUUUGAUGAUAAACUGGGGCAAAAUUUAAUUCUUGUUUUUGGAACUUUACUUUUCUGGCAAACGAAAUUUCUCUUUAUAAUAAUUUUUGUUUGGGUUGGGAUAAUUUUCUUUCCAGUUUUGAUGUGAUUUCAGGAGCCUUCCCGAAGCACAGGGCGAAUAAAUGGAAAACCAAGCAACAAAGUGAAGAAAUUAAAAGUUAAACAGAUUGAAAAAUAGCAAGUGGGGUGAAGAAAUUGAAAGCAUAGCAAAAAGUUGAUGAAAUAGCAAGUCAGGAACCCGCCCGGAGAACAGGGUGUAGAAAUUGAAAGGCAAGCAACAAGUUGAAGAAAUUGCAAGUCAGAAGCCCGCCUGAAUAAUAGGGUGAUGAAACUCAAGUCAAGAGUCCAAAAGAAGCUGUAUAGAUAGGAUUUUUGUGAUUUUCAUUUUUGUUUAACUUGUAAUUUUCAUUUUUGAUGUAAUGACAGAGCCGCGGACCGGAACCUCGACGGGACCUCACUCGACUCCCCAACUCGAUAAUGUCCAUCUCCUUCCAAUCCUUUAAGAUACCUGGGACUUGACUCCCUCAUAACUUGGGUAGGUAGGAUGUCCUAAGUCAAGACUUGGUUGUCCUUCUUGCUUUGAAUAAUGAUCAGGUCAAAAUUCUGUCUCGUUGUCUACUUCUUUGAAUGAAAACACUUUGUGUUUACAUGCAAAGAGGGGUAUGAUGUAGACACGUAAUUUUGUCCCUCCCCGAAAAUAUUUUUACCAUUUUACCUUAUUCUACCGCGUACCCUCAACCAUGUAAUUAUCCCUCCAUAAAAUGACAAAAAUAACAACCCUUAAUAAAUUUUACCUUGUUCUAAUCCUAUCCUAACAACCUCUCCAAUUAAAAGCGGACACCUUAGCACCCCUACCCCUGCCACGUGACCCCCCCUAAAUCACAUUUUUCCAUCUUUGGUUAUAAUAACAGAUUACUAGGACCCAGGGAAGGAUUUAAUAAUAACAUAUACACUCACAGGCCCCACCACUAAAAAAAAGACCAUUAAUACACUCAUCCUCACCAACACUCACCAGAAAUUUGCCAAAACCCACAACACUGUCACACCCCUUUUUACGUACUCUAAAAAAAUGGUUAUAAAUUAAUGUUUGAAAGGGUUUUAAUUAUUAAAGUGAUAAAAUAUGAAAAUUUAUUUCGGAAAAGGAUUAUUUACAUUUUUUACUCAGAGUCGCCACAUGGCAUAAUCUGGCAUGCCAAGUCACCAUUAGAAAAUCCUUUUUAAAACCGUUUGACUCUUUGAACUGGUUUACGAACAGAGAUUCCGGCUAAGGAAUUCUAUUGACCGAGGGGAAGGUAUUAGGCACCUCUCGAUCCCGUGGUUCAACCACGGUCGCUAGGUAGGGUGUAUCAACUAUUUUGACACUACGAAAUGUAUCAACCACACAGAGGCACGCAAANNNNNNNNNNNNNNNNNNNNNNNNNNNNNNNNNNNNNNNNNNNNNNNNNNNNNNNNNNNNNNNNNNNNNNNNUCCGGGGUAUGAAAAGAAAUGCAGAAAUAUAAACCUAUGCUAAAUUAAUUCUAAACUAAUGUUCUACCCGACGCCUCGGGCCUUCAUCACGAACGUCCUCCGGAUACAUGAUACCUCGGGGCAUUCCCCGGGGACUAAAUAUAUACAGAUACUUCGGGGCAUUCCCCUGCCAAAUUAUACAAUUGAAUCUCAAUGCAUAAAUCAGAACCAUUCCACAAAUAUUUCAAACAUUCCAACAAUCCAUCAAUUCUAAAUUUUGCCUACCCGAACCUACCUUUACCUAUCUAUUUGAUCCAAAUGUGAUAUUAUCAAAACUUAACAAAUCCAACGCCUAAUUUACAACAAAACAAACAUCAAUCAAUCAAUACGAACAAAUCACAUUAAUUUUUCUAUCCGUUUCCCAUUCUCACCUCGAUUUUGUUAACUAAUUACCGAUUUCAAUUAUCCACAAGAUAUCGUUUUCAUCCAAAUUGCACCGUUCGAGAUCAAUCAUUCAACACAAGCACAUAUCGCAGCAAAUCAAUCCAAAAAUCACAGAACACAGUCACAUGGAAUUUAAGAAAAAUAGAGUUAGAAAUUGGACAUUUCGGGAUCAAAGUGUUGUUUCGAUUAAAUAAGAUGAACCAACGGACCAAAAACCGAGAAAACCUCAACUCGAGCAAUCUCAACCUCGAAUGAUGCCAAUCGACCAAUCCUCAAUACGAACCCCAAAACCACCAAAUAACGAGACGAAUCAACCACGAAAACCCCCUAAGAAAUCUGAUUUGAACGCAGUUUCUUGAAGAAGACGAAUCUCGAAAACAACACACAUAAAAAUCCAAGCGGAAUACCAACACAUAUACGAUUCAAAAGGAAUUUUGGGAAAGAUUGAUUUCUGGUGACGUCGUUUUCCGAUUGCUUUUCGCCGGAAUAGCGAUAAACCGUCACUAGGCAUCUCCCGAUGGCUGACCGAAUAAAAUUUCGAUGGAUUUCCCGUGAGAUACUCGCCGUUAAUUGAUCCCUCUAUUUUUCUCUCUCUCUCUCUCAUGCUCAAUCUCUCUUAAUUUCCUUCGAUUUUCAUCCUCUCUCUUCAAUCACACUCCGACUCAAUCCCCUCAAACUUAUGUCUCAAUCUCUCUGAAUUUUCCACCUUUCACUAUGUGUGUGGGCGCUUAUGUUAGUGUGUUUGUUGUGACUGUGUGUUUGUGUAUAUCGAUGGAUGUGCGAGUGAUGAGUGAUGAAUGAAAAAAAAGGAAGAAGAUGAGUGUGUGUCCCCUGUGUGUAACGAAAAAUGGCUUUUUGUGAGGUGAGUCCCGUCUGUGUAUGGGUGUGUGAAUAGAAUUGAGAAUGGUGUUGUUGUGUUUGGGAGCCCAGAAGCCCAAGAAGAAGAAAAGAAUGGUGUCUGACCCCCUUUUUUUAAAAAAAAAACUCCUCAUAUGGUCCCUUUGUGUGUGUAUAUAUGUUGUGAGGUGAGGGUGGGGUAGUGAGGUUAGGUAGGUGGGGUCACAUGGGGUAGGGGGUAGGGUGUGAUGUGGUUUAUUUUGAUUGGAUGGGUUGUUAGGAUAAGAUGUAGGGGUUAGGAUAGGAUAGGAAUUGUUAGGGAGUUUGUUAUUUUUUUUGUAUUUUGUGAGGGUAUAAUAACAUGGGUGAGGGUACACGGUAGGAUAAAAUAAAAACGGGUAAAAGUGAAUAAAAAUUGAACUUUUAAGGUAAAAAUGGGUAAAACGACAUCGGGGAGGGAUGAAAUUAGGUGUCUACAUCAUGCCCCCUUUGAAUGUAAACAUGAAGUGUUUUCAGACAAAGAAGUAGACAACGAGACUGAAUUUUGUCUCAAUCAUUAUUCAAAGAGAGGAGUAAAAGAAGGAAGGACAAUCGACUCCUGUCGGAUACCCUAUCUACCCAAAUCAUGAGAGAAUCAAGUCACGGGUAUUUCGAAGGAUUGGAAGAGAAGUGGGCUAUACCGAGUUGGAGAGUCGAGUGAGGUUCCAUCGAGGUUACGGUUCGUGGCUCUGUUAUUACAUCAAAAAUGAAAAUUUAACAAGUUAAAACAUAAAUGAAAUUACAANNNNNNNNNNNNNNNNNNNNNNNNNNNNNNNNNNNNNNNNNNNNNNNNNNNNNNNNNNNNNNNNNNNNNNNNNNNNNNNNNNNNNNNNNNNNNNNNNNNNNNNNNNNNNNNNNNNNNNNNNNNNNNNNNNNNNNNNNNNNNNNNNNNNNNNNNNNNNNNNNNNNNNNNNNNNNNNNNNNNNNNNNNNNNNNNNNNNNNNNNNNNNNNNNNNNNNNNNNNNNNNNNNNNNNNNNNNNNNNNNNNNNNNNNNNNNNNNNNNNNNNNUUGCUAUUUCAUCACCCUGUUCUCCAGGCGGGCUCCUGACUUGCUAUUUCAUCACCCUGUUCUUCAGGCGGGCUCCUGAAACCCAAAAUUAAAACUAGAACGAAAAUUAUCCCAAAAAUUAUAGUAAAGUAGUAUUUUAUUUUUUGAAAGGGUUGUCCCAUUUUCCAGGAGGGUACUGAACAGAAAGUAACAUCCCAUUUUUCAGGAGGGUCCUGAAUUGAAAGUAAAUUCCCAUUUUUCAGGAGGGUCCUGAGCAGAAAGCGAAAUCCCAUUUUUCAGGAGCGUUUUGAACAGAAAGUAAAAUUCCAUUUUUCAGGAGGGUCCUGAACAUAAAGUAGAAUCCCUUUUUUCAGGAGGGUCCUGAACAUAAAGUAAAAUCCCAUUUUUCAGGAGGGUCCUGAAUUGAAAGUAAAUUCCCAUUUUUCAGGAGGGUCCUGAGCAGAAAGCGAAAUCCCAUUUUUCAGGAGCGUUUUGAACAGAAAGUAAAAUUCCAUUUUUCAGGAGGGUCCUGAACANNNNNNNNNNNNNNNNNNNNNNNNNNNNNNNNNNNNNNNNNNNNNNNNNNNNNNNNNNNNNNNNNNNNNNNNNNNNNNNNNNNNNNNNNNNNNNNNNNNNNNNNNNNNNNNNNNNNNNNNNNNNNNNNNNNNNNNNGUCCUGAACUGAAAGUAAAUUCUCAUUUUUCAAGAGGGUCCUGAACAAAAGUAAAAUUUCAUUUUUCAAGAGGGUCCUGUAUAGAAAGUAAAAUCUCAUUUUUCAGGAGGGUCCUGAGCAUAAAGUAAAAUCCCAUUUUUCAGGAGGGUCCUGAGCAUAAAGUAAAAUCUCAUUUUUCAGGAGGGUCCUGAGCAUAAAGUAAAAUCCCAUUUUUCAGGAGGGUCCUGAGCAUAAAGUAAAAUCUCAUUUUUCAGGAGGGUCCUGAGCAUAAAGUAAAAUCCCAUUUUUCAGGAGGGUCCUGAGCAGAAAGUAAAAUUCCAUUUUUCAGAAGGGUCUUGUGCAUAAAGUAAAAUCCCAUUUUUCAGGAGGGUCUUGAACAAAAAGUAAAAUCCCAUUUUUCAGGAGGGUCCUGAACAGAGAGUAAAAUCUCAUUUUUCAGGAGGGUCCUGAACAUAAAGUAGAAUCCCCUUUUUCAGGAGGGUCCUGAACAUAAAGUAAAUUUCUAUUUUUCAAGAGGGUCCUGAACAGAAAGUAAAUUUCCAUUUUUCAGGAGGGUCCUGAACUGAAAGUAAAUUCACUGAACAGAACGUAAAAUCCCAUUUUUCAGGAGGGUCCUGAACAGAAAGUAAAUUCCCAUUUUUCAGGAGGGUCCUGAACUGAAAGUAAAUUCUCAUUUUUCAAGAGGGUCCUGAACAAAAGUAAAAUUUCAUUUUUCAAGAGGGUCCUGUAUAGAAAGUAAAAUCUCAUUUUUCAGGAGGGUCCUGAACUGAAAGUAAAUUCCCAUUUUUCAGGAGGGUCCUGAACAUAAAGUAAAAUUACUGAACAGAAAGAAAAUCUAAUUUUUCAGGAGGGUCCUGAACAGAAAGUAAAGUUCCAUUUCAGGAGGGUCCUGUACAUAAAGUAAAAUCCCAUUUUUCAGGAGGGUCCUGGACAUAAAGUAAAAUCCCACGAAUGUGCAUUUCCAAUCGUAGCUGAAUCAAGUGAAAAGAAUUUGCCCCUGUUUCAAUAAAGAAAAUUUGUCAGUUAAAAAAAACUUAGUGGUGGCUUGCAGCUCUUGGCUUCUCAUGUAUCUGCCCCAGCACUCACUCCUUUCAUCUUUGUUCUAAAUUGCUAACACCUGCUCUGUCUUGCUGCAUCAUCGACCCGGAUCCAGAUUGAAGGAAAUGAGUUCUGACUCAAACAAUGGGUUUCCAUUUUACUAUGCCCCUGAGAUGCACUCUUUUCCCAAAUCUGAAUGCUUCUACGAAUCCAAUAGCCUGGCGGUUUAUAGACUUCCUUUGCUUCGUGUUGAAUUACGAUCAUAUUUCUUUCCUGUACUGUUCCUUGGAUUUUCCUUAUAUAAUUGGAAAGACUUGUAGUAAAUUUUGAAAUCCUUUCUCGCUUGUUUUGAGACAGACUUGACUUAAAAUGUAAAGAAAAUGAUGAUGACUUUUAUUUUUGAUAAAUGACAUAAAAGACAAAACAUGAAUAUGUAAAUGAAAGAAAAGGGCAAUGUCCCAUAUUCAAAAAGAAAACUUAUCUAAAUACGACAACCAACGCCAAUGAUUAUGACAUGCAUUUUGGAUUGAGCUGCCUGAUCUUUCUAUCCAAACUCCCCAUUUGUUAUUGAGUUCAUGCCUUUGCUGCUGAGCCAUUUCCUCAAAUCCAUUGGACUCCUACAUCACAUUCGAUUGACGACAUCUUAAAAGAUUUUCGCCAACGAAGCUCUUUCUUCUCACUUUUCACCUUUCUCUUGAACUCUCCAUCGCCUUACAGUGCCCGUGAGGGUUUUCACCAAUAAGACUCUCUCAUUUUAUUUCUCUCCACUCACCAUCGCUUUAUGGUGCCUGCAAAGGUUUUCACCAAUAAGACUCUCUCAUUUUAUUUCUCUCCACUCACCAUCGCCUUAUGGUGCCUACAAAGGUUUUCACCAAUAAGACUUUUCUCUUGAACUCUCCAUCGCCUUACGGUACCCGUGAGGGUUUUUACCAAUAAGACUCUCUCAUUUUUAUUUUCUCUCAACUCACCAUCGCCUUAUGAUGCCCACGGGGGUUUUCACCAAUAAGACUCUCUCAUUUUUAUUUUCUCUCAACUCACCAUCGCCUUAUGAUGCCCACAGGGUUUUUACCAAUAAGAAUCUCAUUUUUGUAUUUCUUUCCUGAUUUUUUAUGCUGAGGGAGACAAGUGGUACUUCACAAUGUAUCAUCAAUAUCCAUUGCAUGCUUAGCCUUAACAUUAUCAAAAAUUGAUCUGAAGGGCUUUCUUUUGUUGUAACUUGGCUUUUGGUUAAGGUUAGAAAAAAUGGUAAGAGGCUCAAAUGAUACUUGAAAUGGGGGUGGGACUUACAACUUUUGGAAUCGACUCAAACUACACAUUAACUCAUGCCCCAGUUUUGUUGACUGGGUGAAUCUUAANNNNNNNNNNNNNNNNNNNNNNNNNNNNNNNNNNNNNNNNNNNNNNNNNNNNNNNNNNNNNNNNNNNNNNNNNNNNNNNNNNNNNNNNNNNNNNNNNNNNNNNNNNNNNNNNNNNNNNNNNNNNNNNNNNNNNNNNNNNNNNNNNNNNNNNNNNNNNNNNNNNNNNNNNNNNNNNNNNNNNNNNNNNNNNNNNNNNNNNNNNNNNNNNNNNNNNNNNNNNNNNNNNNNNNNNNNNNNNNNNNNNNNNNNNNNNNNNNNNNNNNNNNNNNNNNNNNNNNNNNNNNNNNNNNNNNNNNNNNNNNNNNNNNNNNNNNNNNNNNNNNNNNNNNNNNNNNNNNNNNNNNNNNNNNNNNNNNNNNNNNNNNNNNNNNNNNNNNNNNNNNNNNNNNNNNNNNNNNNNNNNNNNNNNNNNNNNNNNNNNNNNNNNNNNNNNNNNNNNNNNNNNNNNNNNNNNNNNNNNNNNNNNNNNNNNNNNNNNNNNNNNNNNNNNNNNNNNNNNNNNNNNNNNNNNNNNNNNNNNNNNNNNNNNNNNNNNNNNNNNNNNNNNNNNNNNNNNNNNNNNNNNNNNNNNNNNNNNNNNNNNNNNNNNNNNNNNNNNNNNNNNNNNNNNNNNNNNNNNNNNNNNNNNNNNNNNNNNNNNNNNNNNNNNNNNNNNNNNNNNNNNNNNNNNNNNNNNNNNNNNNNNNNNNNNNNNNNNNNNNNNNNNNNNNNNNNNNNNNNNNNNNNNNNNNNNNNNNNNNNNNNNNNNNNNNNNNNNNNNNNNNNNNNNNNNNNNNNNNNNNNNNNNNNNNNNNNNNNNNNNNNNNNNNNNNNNNNNNNNNNNNNNNNNNNNNNNNNNNNNNNNNNNNNNNNNNNNNNNNNNNNNNNNNNNNNNNNNNNNNNNNNNNNNNNNNNNNNNNNNNNNNNNNNNNNNNNNNNNNNNNNNNNNNNNNNNNNNNNNNNNNNNNNNNNNNNNNNNNNNNNNNNNNNNNNNNNNNNNNNNNNNNNNNNNNNNNNNNNNNNNNNNNNNNNNNNNNNNNNNNNNNNNNNNNNNNNNNNNNNNNNNNNNNNNNNNNNNNNNNNNNNNNNNNNNNNNNNNNNNNNNNNNNNNNNNNNNNNNNNNNNNNNNNNNNNNNNNNNNNNNNNNNNNNNNNNNNNNNNNNNNNNNNNNNNNNNNNNNNNNNNNNNNNNNNNNNNNNNNNNNNNNNNNNNNNNNNNNNNNNNNNNNNNNNNNNNNNNNNNNNNNNNNNNNNNNNNNNNNNNNNNNNNNNNNNNNNNNNNNNNNNNNNNNNNNNNNNNNNNNNNNNNNNNNNNNNNNNNNNNNNNNNNNNNNNNNNNNNNNNNNNNNNNNNNNNNNNNNNNNNNNNNNNNNNNNNNNNNNNNNNNNNNNNNNNNNNNNNNNNNNNNNNNNNNNNNNNNNNNNNNNNNNNNNNNNNNNNNNNNNNNNNNNNNNNNNNNNNNNNNNNNNNNNNNNNNNNNNNNNNNNNNNNNNNNNNNNNNNNNNNNNNNNNNNNNNNNNNNNNNNNNNNNNNNNNNNNNNNNNNNNNNNNNNNNNNNNNNNNNNNNNNNNNNNNNNNNNNNNNNNNNNNNNNNNNNNNNNNNNNNNNNNNNNNNNNNNNNNNNNNNNNNNNNNNNNNNNNNNNNNNNNNNNNNNNNNNNNNNNNNNNNNNNNNNNNNNNNNNNNNNNNNNNNNNNNNNNNNNNNNNNNNNNNNNNNNNNNNNNNNNNNNNNNNNNNNNNNNNNNNNNNNNNNNNNNNNNNNNNNNNNNNNNNNNNNNNNNNNNNNNNNNNNNNNNNNNNNNNNNNNNNNNNNNNNNNNNNNNNNNNNNNNNNNNNNNNNNNNNNNNNNNNNNNNNNNNNNNNNNNNNNNNNNNNNNNNNNNNNNNNNNNNNNNNNNNNNNNNNNNNNNNNNNNNNNNNNNNNNNNNNNNNNNNNNNNNNNNNNNNNNNNNNNNNNNNNNNNNNNNNNNNNNNNNNNNNNNNNNNNNNNNNNNNNNNNNNNNNNNNNNNNNNNNNNNNNNNNNNNNNNNNNNNNNNNNNNNNNNNNNNNNNNNNNNNNNNNNNNNNNNNNNNNNNNNNNNNNNNNNNNNNNNNNNNNNNNNNNNNNNNNNNNNNNNNNNNNNNNNNNNNNNNNNNNNNNNNNNNNNNNNNNNNNNNNNNNNNNNNNNNNNNNNNNNNNNNNNNNNNNNNNNNNNNNNNNNNNNNNNNNNNNNNNNNNNNNNNNNNNNNNNNNNNNNNNNNNNNNNNNNNNNNNNNNNNNNNNNNNNAGGCUUUGUCAGGAUGUUGGAGCAUUGAAGACAGAGUGGCUAAAGCAUCAGCAAUUUCAUUAUGAAUCCUUGGAAUAUGCCUAAAUUUUACUAACACAAACCGUUGACAUAGCUCCUGCAAGCAUUGUUGAUACGGGAUGAGCUUCAAAUCUCGCGUCUCCCAAUAACCUUGAAUUUGAUGGACGAACAAAUCAGAAUCUCCCAACACUAGUAAUUCCUGGACUCCCAUAUCAACAGCUAACCUCAAACCAAGAAUACAGGCUUCAUACUCUGCCAUAUUAUUAGUACAGUAGAAUCAAAGUUGUGCUGUUACCGGGAAAUGUUGUCCCGACUCAAAGAUAAGAACCGCACCUAUUUCGACCCCUUUCAUAUUGACAGCUCCAUCAAAAAAUAACCUCCAACCAGGAUCAGCAUCUAUAACGACUUCAUCGACACACGACACUUUUUCGUUCGAAAAAUAUGUCUUUAAUGGCUCGUACUCUUCAUCAAUGGGAUUCUCAGCAAGAUGAUCUGCCAGGGCUUGGGUUUUCAUGGUGGUUCGAGUCACAUAUAUAAUGUUGAACUCGGUAAGCAAUAUUUUCCACUUUGCCAAUCGACCCGUUGGCAUAGGCUUCUGAAAAUCAAAGGAUCCAUGCGGGAGAUGAGAUAAGUAGUAUAGGAUGAGAGAUAAUGCUUCAACUUCUGUGCUAUCCAAGUUAGGGCACAACACGUCCUUUCAAGAAGAGUAUACCUGGCCUUAUAUGCGGUGAACUUCUUGCUAAGAUAAUAAAUAGCCGGCUCUUUUUUGCCUGUUACAUCAUGUUGACCCAAGACACAACCGAAAGAAUUUUUCAUGACUGAUAAAUAUAAGAUCAAAGGCCUACCAGGCUCUGAGGGUACCAGCACGGGUGGAUUUGACAAAUAUCUUUUGAUUCGAUCGAACGCUUCCUGACAUUCUUUAGUCCAUUUUACCGCAGCACUCUUUUUCAGCAACUUGAAUAUGGGCUCACAAGUGGUUGUGAGUUGAGCAAUAAACCUGCUAAUGUAUUUCAGUCUACCAAAUAAACUCAUCACCUCCGUUCUAUUCUUGGGCGGGGGCAAAUCCUGAAUGGCUUUGAUUUUCGAGGGAUCCAAUUCAAUUCCUUGACGGCUGACUACAAACCCCAACAGCUUUCCAGAUGGAACUCCAAAGACAUAUUUCGCCGGGUUGAGUUUGAGAUUAUACCUGCGAAGCCUUUCAAAGAACUUUCUUAAAUCUUUAACGUGGUUGGCCUGAAUUUUUGACUUAAUAAUCACAUCAUCCACGUAGACCUCAAUCUCCUUAUGCAUCAUAUCAUGAAAUAUAGUGGUCAUGGCUCUCAUGUAUGUUGCUCCAGCAUUCUUCAAACUGAACGGCAUCACUCGAUAACAAUAAGUUCCCCAUGGUAUGAUAAAAGAUGUCUUCUUCACGUCUUCAUCAUCCAUAAUGAUCUGGUGAUAUACGGCAUAGCAAUCCACAAAAGAGGCGACCUCAUGUUAGCACAGUUUUCUAACGAAAUGUGAAUGUUGGGCAGUGGAAAAUCAUCUUUUGGACUUGCUCUGUUCAAAUCACGGUAAUCAAUACACACUCAAAUUUUGCCAUCUUUCUUUGGUACGGGAACAACAUUGGAUAACCAUAUGGGAUAGCNNNNNNNNNNNNNNNNNNNNNNNNNNNNNNNNNNNNNNNNNNNNNNNNNNNNNNNUACUUACAUCUAUUUUAAACUUCCUCAACUUCUGUUUGACAGGAGGGAAUGCGGGAUCAGUUGGCAAUUUGUGAGCCACUAAUUCAGUGCUUAAAUUAGGCAUAUCAUCAUAAGACCAUGCAAAAACAUCCUUAUAAUCAAUUAAUGCUUGAAUCAUUUCACCUUUUAGCUGUGGCAAAAAAUGUACACUAAUUUUAGUUUCCCUAACAUCUUCUUGAUCCCCUAGAUUUAUUGGCUCAGUAUCAUUCAAAUUAGGAUUCGGUUUGUCUUCAAAUUGUUCCAACUCUUUGCUUAUUUCUUUUAAUGCUUCUUAUUCAUCAUAUUCUCCAUCCUGCUUCAUUACAUCUUGCUUAGUUUGGAUUUUAAGAUCAGGCUGAAAAUUUCGCAUGCAUGUCAUGUCAUUAGAAUCAGCAUAAAGAGAACUGUGUAAAAAAAGAAAAAUAAAAUAUAUUAGACACGAAAUAAAAGGGACAUUGCAUUUCAUUAAAUAGAAAGAUAGAAGGGUUUAAACCUAGAUACCAACAUAACAUAAACAAACUAAAAUCUGAAUUACAACCCUGAAAUAACUCGGAUAAACAGAAAGAAAAACAAAAUAAACUACCAAAACUCCCUCCUGACGGGGAGAGGAGUGACUUCCCAAUUAUUGAGCCGGACAGCUGGACCUAUGAAUUACACGUCUGCCAUACUGGUACCUUCUCCUGCUUCAACCAUAUCGACUUCAAUACAAAGGUUCUGGAAGUCAUCAACCAAUUCAACCUCAAAUUCCACAUGCUUCGUGACACCGCUCUUAACAAAUGAUUCACUGAGUAGUGGCAUUGGGCNNNNNNNNNNNNNNNNNNNNNNNNNNNNNNNNNNNNNNNNNNNNNNNNNNNNNAGCUGUAGGCUCAAAUCCCAGACCAAACGUGCCCACGUUCUCACUCGAACAUAUGGGAUGAACUAUACCGUGCAGAGAUGCUCCCAAACCCUUUCCUGGCUCAAAUCCGUAUUUCCAAAGUUCACUCACCAUCAUGAUAGAAGCAGAAGACAAUUGCGAUCCCGAUAUAGCCUGCCAUUCAAGGAUACGAUUCACUUGCACUGCAUAAAAAAUUUGAUAGACGAAUGUCUCCUCUACGCUAUUUGCUUCAAUAAGAGACAAGGAAGAAUCUUCGUAGGCUAAAAAAUCUCCUUCACCAUGAAUAACUACUUCUUUCCUGUCAUGAUCAAACUUAAUCAUUUGGUGCAGUGUAGAUGCAACCGCCUUGGCCUUGUGGAUCCACGGCCUUCCCAACAACAGAUUGUAAGAGGAUUCUACCUUCAAUACUUGAAACUCUAUGGCAAAAUCAACAGGCCCUAUGGUCAACAUUAGUUCUAUUUCGCCAAUGGAAUUUGAUUUUGCACCAUCGAAAGCCCUAACACAUACAUUGUUGGGCCUGAUCCUGUCAGCACCAAUAUUCAACUUUUGCAAAGUAGAAAUAGGGCAAAUAUUUGCACCUGAACCUCCAUCAAUCAUAACAUGAGUGACGUAGAAAUCUUCACACUUCACUGUAAUGUAAAGGCCCCGGUUAUGCCCUGUACCUUCAACAGGCAAUUCCUUAUCAGAAAAGCUGAUCCGAUUGACCUCAAAGAUUUUUCCAACCAUUUUCUCAAGAUGGUUGAUUGUAAUCUCCCUUGGAAUAUAUGCUUUAUUUAAUACCUUCAGUAAAACAUCACGAUGCUCUUUGGAGUGCAACAACAAAGAUAAAAGGGAAAUUUGAGCAGAGGUCUUUUUCAACUGGUUUAAUAUUGAAUACUCUGGCAACUUCAUCUUCUUCAAAAAUUCUUUGGCUUCCUCUUCGGUGAUAGGAUUUUUGAGAGAUGAAGGUCUACUCAUCGUUGGCUUGGACUUUCUUAAGCUUUCAGGCACGAAGCAUCUUCCUGACCUAGUCAAACCCCCUACCUCAUCUACAUCUUCAACAACUUCUUUCCCGUGAUAGGUCAUCACAGUCCGCCCAUAAUUCCAGGGAACUUUUUUCGUAUCAACUAUCGGAGGUUGGGUCACCGAUUUGAGAACAGUAGGCGCUGCCAGUGCUCCUCUCACCGUCAAGAUGGGCUGACUCAGGGCUCUCACCACUGUCAACUUAGGUUUAUCCUGGCUUAAAUCAACAUACCCUCUGGCGCCUUGUACUGUGAUCAGGGGCUUCUUUGUGCUUUCAAGGGCUUUAUCUUCGCUCAUUCCAUCCUGGCUCAAUGACAUUGCUUUCAAAGAUUCUGCUACAUUCACCGAUUUUUCCUUAAUGGUCUGUAUCUUGACAGUAGGCUUAUAACCCCUUGAAGAUUCUUUCCCAUUAUAUAUCAAUUCUAACAUAUUGGCUUCAGCAUGGGUUGGCAAUGGAUUCUGGUUAAUGUUUGGACCCUCCGGGGCCUGGACCAGCAUCUGAUAUGUGUCAAUUAAAUCUUGGACAGCUCUCUUUAAAUGCCAGCAUUUUUUGAUAGCAUGGCCUGGCAUAUCAGAACAGUAUGCACACCUUAAAGAAUAAUCGAGAUUCCUCGGUGGUGGAUUUGAAAGCCUUUCUUGAAUUGGGCUUAAAACCUUCAACUUUCUCAACCUAUCAAACAAGCUAGCAUAUGACUCCCCAAGAGGUGUGAAUUGAUUUUUGACCGCCUUCUCCUUCUUAUACUCGGGCCUAGGCUGAAAAAUGGGUCUGGAGGGGGUUUGGUAAUUUGGUGGACCGAAUGGGCAAUUUUGUAGAGCUUGCGCGCGCCAUUGCGGGUAAGAAGGGGUUUGGGCAUAUGGUUGCACGCUAUAUACUGGGUACGGAGGUGGUGGAAUGGAAUAUAAAGGGUUUUAUAAGGGGUAGUAAUGGUGGGAAGGAAUAUAUGGAGCUUGGGCGUAGACUUGGGCUUGGGAUUGGGGAUAGGGGCGAGGUGGUCUUUUGGGAUAGGAAUGGGUUCCAGCUACGACAGUCGCNNNNNNNNNNNNNNNNNNNNNNNNNNNNNNNNNNNNNNNNNNNNNNNNNNNNNNNNNNNNNNNNNNNNNNNNNNNNNNNNNNNNNNNNNNNNNNNNNNNNNNNNNNNNNNNNNNNNNNNNNNNNNNNNNNNNNNNNNNNNNNNNNNNNNNNNNNNNNNNNNNNNNNNNNNNNNNNNNNNNNNNNNNNNNNNNNNNNNNNNNNNNNNNNNNNNNNNNNNNNNNNNNNNNNNNNNNNNNNNNNNNNNNNNNNNNNNNNNNNNNNNNNNNNNNNNNNNNNNNNNNNNNNNNNNNNNNNNNNNNNNNNNNNNNNNNNNNNNNNNNNNNNNNNNNNGGCUUUUAAUGCGGCAAAACUCACUAUUCGGCCGGUCUUAAUUCCAUCCUCUAUCAUCUCCCCCAUUUUAAGGACUUCCAUAAAAGACUUUCCCAUUGCCGGAAGUAAAUAUUGAAAAUAGGUCUCAUCCUGCGCCUGAAUGAAAACUUCUACCAACUUACUUUCUUUCAUUGGAGGCUUUACCCUGGCAUCCUGCUCACGCCACCUUAUCGCGUAUUCCCUAAAACCUUCAGUGCUCUUCUUCUUCAUGUUGACCAAGGAUUUUUCGUCCGAAAUCAGGUCGAUAUUGUACUAAAAAUGUUGAACAAAUUCAAAAGCCAAAUCAUCCCAGCUAUUUCAUUUAUCGAUGUCUCAAUCGAUAAACCAUUCUGAGGCCAGAUCUGAAAGACUCUCGCCAAAGAAAGCCAUGAGAAGUUCUUCCUUUCCUCCUGCAGCCCUCAACUGGUUGCAAUAAUGUCUUAAGUGUGCCACGAGAUCGUCGUAUCUUGCAUACUUCUCGAACUUAGGCAUCUUAAAAUCGGGGGGAAGGUUGAUGUCUGGGAACAUGCAAAGAUCUUUAUAGGAAACACUCCUAUAAUCUCUGAUUCCUUGUAAAUUUCUCAUCACUUGUUCUAAACUUUUCAAUUUCCGGGCUAUGAUAUUAUGUUCCUCUGCUGCGACAGAUUUCUCCGUAUCAAAUGGAAAUGCAGGCGACUGAGUGUACCCAUACGAUUCAUUCAUCUGCAAAGUAGGCUCCGGGGCAUAAUACUGACUAUCUGAAGCCUUCAGUACUGGCUCACUGGCAGACCUAGGAAGCCUCAUUGUGGAACGCACAGCAUAUAUGGGAGUUUCAUGUGGUGGCGGAGCCACGAAUACUGGUGUGAUCGGUGGCGCUGGCUGAGUAGCUGGUCUUAAUUGGGGAGCUGCCAAGGGCACACCAGAACUGCCAGGAUAAUAAUUUCUCGGAGUGAAUCCUGGCGCGUGUUCAGGUGACUCAGUAGGAGCAGAGAAUUGCGCCUGAGAGAGCGGUGGGCAAUUAGAGAUAUUCCCAAGACCUUCAGGGAGUGGAGGAGGAGGCAUUCCGCUGGCCCAUGCCCGGUGUAAAUCUAUCAAUUGUAGCCUGAUCCUUACUACCUCAUCAUUGUGUUCAGAAUUUCUUUCCUGUGAUCCUGAUCCGGGUCAAUGAGCGAAUUUUUAAUCUCCCUGCUAGCCAUGGAGAGCUUUGCUUUGGAUCUAGUGAAGUAUGGGUGACUGGCCAAAGUGCUGCAAACCUACCACUGUUAUCUGAAAGAACAUGCUCAUCAAAGACAACAUUCGUUAGGAUUAGGGCACACAACAAACAUGGGAAUCACAUUGGUAAAAUUGUCCUAAAUUCAUGUUCAUUUCUACCAGCUUUUGAGGGUAGCGAGGUCAUUUUAACAUCAUCCUGAUUUUGUCUACACUUAUUUUUUUUAUCUACACUUAUUAUUAUUAUUAUUAUUAUUCGUAUCCAUCUCUGUCUUUUCCGUUCUCUCUUUAUCUACCUUUAUUUUAUCAUUCUUUAUGUCUUUUGUUAAACUAUGAUUAACAAAGAAAAAUCUUUUGGGAUUUUUGAUUUUGAAUUUCAUAGAAAAAUGAAACUUGAAACUAUUAAAGAAAAAUCUUUUUGUAGUUUUCUUUUAGAGAUGUAUAUGAAACACCUACUCUAAGCGAAGAGUGAAGAAAAUCUUUUUGAAUUUUCAGAUUUCUAUACAAAAUGAAAUCUAUGAUUACCGAAAAAAUAUUUUUGGAUUUUUAUUUUGAAUUUCAUUCGAAAAAUAAAACCUGAACCUAUUAAAGGGAAAUAUUUUUUUUGUUGUUUUCUUUUAAAGAUGUACAUGAAACACCUACUCUAAAUGAAGAGUGAAGAAAAUCUUUUUGAAUUUUUGAAAUAAGAUCAACCAAAAAUGAAACCUACGCCUAUUCAGGAAAAUCUCUUUUUUUUUCUCUUUUUUUUUUUCUUUUCAAGAUAUGUAUGAAACACCUACUCUAAAUAAAGAGUGAAGAAAAAUCUUUUUUAAAAAAAAAAAUAAGAUCCCCGAACCAACAAUAGGCUGCCUAUAUAUCUCACAUCCCGAAAGAGGUAAAUUAGGGGAGCGUAGUUCAUCCAGAUUGAACAAUUAACGAUUAACUACUAAAUUGACCCUAACUUAAGAGACACAAUCGAAAAACUUUUUGGAUUUUCAACUAGACAUUUCAACUAAGACUGACACCACCAAUUGUGAAAAAAACUUUUUGGUAUUUUGUUUUUGACAAAUAAGUAGAAAAGGCAAACAAAACCCUCUUUUAUUCAUUUUUUUUAUUAUGAAUUUUUUGAAUUUACGGUACUUUGCGAAGACAAAUGCAAAACGUAAAAAAAAUCAUUUUGGAUUUUGGAUUGUGAAAAACAAAAGUCAUAACGAAUUCUAAAAUAAACUAUGACAUUCCUCUUUUUUUUUUAAUUCUUUUCGACUCACUUUUUCUAUUUUUUUUUCUUUGUUUUAACCACGGUCGCUAGGUAGGGUGUAUCGACUAUUUUGACACUACGAAAUGUAUAAACCACACAGAGGCACGUAAAACAAUCAAAUGAUAAACAAAACAAAAACAAUCCAAAAUGUAAUGUCCAGUCCAAUUAUACAGUCCGGGGUAUGAAAAGAAAUGCAGAAAUAUAAACCUAUGCUAAAUUAAUUCUAAACUAAUGUUCUACCCGAUGCCUCGGGCCUUCAUCACGAACGUCCUCCGGAUACAUGAUACCUCGGGGGCAAUAAAUAUAUACAAAUACUUUGGGGCAUUCCCCGGCCAAAUUAUACAAUUGAAUCUCAAUGCAUAAAUCAGAACCAUUCCACAAAUAUUUCAAACAUUCCAACAAUCCAUCAAUUCUAAAUUUUGCCUACCCGAACCUACCUUCGCCUAUCUAUUUGAUCCAAAUGUGAUAUUAUCAAAACUUAACAAAUCCAACGCCUAAUUUACAACAAAACAAACAUCAAUCAAUCAAUACGAAUAAAUCACAUUAAUUUUUCUAUCCGUUUCCCAUUCUCACCUCGAUUUUGUUAACUAAUUACCGAUUUCAAUUAUCCACAAGAUAUCGUUUUCAUCCAAAUUGCACCGUUCGAGAUCAAUCAUUCAACACAAACACAUAUCGCAGCAAAUCAAUCCAAAAAUCACAAAACACAGUCACAUGGAAUUUAAGAAAAAUAGAGUUAGAAAUUGGACCUUUCGGGAUCAAAGUGUUGUUUCGAUUAAAUAAGAUGAACCAACGGACCAAAACCGGGAAAACCUCAACUCGAGCAAUCUCAACCUUGAACGAUGCCAAUCGAACAAUCCUCAAUACGAACCCCAAAACCACCAAACAACGAGAUGAAUCAACCAUGAAAACCCCCUAAGAAAUCUGAUUUGAACGCAGUUUCUUGAAGAAGACGAAUCUCGAAAACAACACACAUAAAAAUCCAAGCGGAAUACCAACACAUAUACGAUUCAAAAGGAAUUUUGGGAAAGAUUGAUUUCUGGUGACGUCGUUUUCCGAUUGCUUUUUGCCAGAACAACGAUAAACCGUCAUUGGGCGUCUUCCGAUGGCUGACCGGAUGAAAUUUUGAUGGAUUUCCCGUGAGAUACUUUCCGUUAAUCGAUCCCUCUAUUUUUUCCUCUCUCUCUCAUGCCCAAUCUCUCUUAAUUUCCUCCAAUUUCCAUCCUCUCUCUUCAAUCAUACUCCAACUCAAUCCCCUCAAACUUAUGUCUCAAUCUCUCUGAAUUUUCCACCUUUCACUAUGUGCGUGGGCGCCUAUGUUAGUGUGUUUGUUAUGACUGUGUGUUUGUGUAUAUCGAUGGAUGUGCGAGUGAUGAGUGAUGAAUGAAAUAAAAGUAAGAAGAUGAGUGUGUGUCCCCUGUGUGUAACGAAAAAUGGCUUUUUGUGAGGUGAGUCCCGUCUGUGUAUGAGUGUGUGAAUAGAAUUGAGAAUGGUGUUGUUGUGUUUGGGAGCCCAGAAGCCCAAGAAGAAGAAAAGAAUGGUGUCUCCCCCCCCCCCCCUUUUUUAAAAAAAAAAUCUCCUCAUAUGGUCCCUUUGUGUGUGUAUAUAUGCUGUGAGGUUAGGUAGGUGGGGUCACGUGGGGUAGGGUGUAGGGUAUGAUGUGGUUUAUUUUGAUUGGAUGGAUUGUUAGGAUAAGAUGUAGGGGUUAGGAUAGGAUAGGAUUUGUUAGGGAGUUUGUUAUUUUUUUGUAUUUUGUGAGGGUAUAAUAACAUGGGUGAGGGUACAUGGUAGGAUAAAAUAAAAACGGGUAAAAGUGAAUAAAAAUUGAACUUUUAAGGUAAAAAUGGGUAAAACGACAACGGGGAGGGAUGAAAUUAGGUGUCUACAAACACAGUAACCAAUUCACACAUACACCAUCCCAUUGACAAAAAAAAAGCCACCAAUACUCUCACUGACCCCUCAAAACCAAAAUAUACACAUAACACUCAUCCUCACUGAGAUCACACACACAAUCUCAAUUCAUACAUACCAUUUAUGAAUUCCGCUCUCACACAGUUUGUACACACAUACAAAAGGAAAUCAAAAAAGAGAAGAGAGAGAAGUGAAUUAGACUAAAAGAAAAUAUAUUGAGGGCUCAAAGGUUCGAGUAAGAGAGAGCUCAGCCAUUGAGAGAAUGACAGGGAGAGAAAUCGGUCAUGCUACUCUAAUUUUUCGGUGAAACUUCACCGGAAUUCGGUGCCACCGGCGAGCCUGAUACACCCACCAGCUGCCAUAUACCAUCCUGCCGCCUCUGAACCACCAGAGCACUGUGACCAUCGAGAAUACCCCAAAUCUGAUCCAAACUCGACUAGUUCGUCUUUCUUCGUCACGAUUUCGGUAUGCUCAAUUUCUGUUUGAGUCUUUGGGUUACUAUACUGAGUUGGUGUCGAUCAUUUUAAAGUUUUCUUGUCGUCCGUCUAGUGUCGGGUUGCCAUCCGUCGUCGAUUUGUUUCAAUCUAGGUUUAUUUUGCUUUUGGAUUUCGAGAUCGAAAUUCCAUCUUCGAGGGUUUUAUUGCUUCUGUUUGAAGUUAUUGGUUAGGCAGUAUAUAUUGAAUUUGCGGUCUUGGAUUCAAAUCUAUUAGGAAUUCAUGAUAUCGAGUUGGUCGAGUUGUCGAGGUUGAUUUGGGGUUCUUCGGCACGUGGAUUCACCCCCUCGUUUGAUUGAUAUUUGGAAUAAAAUCAUCAUUGAGGUCUGUUUCUACUCAUUUCCUCUUUUUUAUUUCAUUGUUAAUGGUAUAUGGUACAUUAGAUUAAUUAGCUGUGAAUGUGAUUAGGUGGUUGUUGAUCAUGAUUGUUUGAUUUUGUUGAUGUUUAUGCUUUUGAUAAUGAAAUUCGAGUGAUGUUGAGUUGUUUAAUUUCGUGAAUCAAAAAAUGAUUAAGGAUAGUUGAAUUGGUGAUUACGAAUUGUGGAAUUUGAUAUUAAAAGAGAAUUUGGGGUGGAAUUUUGAGAUUGAUGAAAAGGGUCAAUUUGGAUUAAUGUUGGUCUUCUUGUUGUUUAAUGCGGAAUUAAUUUCAAGUUUGUGAAUUCUAUAGUGUCAUGAUAGGUAAAAUGGGAUAGACAAAUAUUUAGGUUCGGGUAGGCAAAAAUUUAGGAUUGAUGUAUUGAUUGAAUGGGUUGAAUAUUUAGAUGUAUGUUUUGAACCUUUUUUUAGUUAUCUCAGAUGUAUUCAUUUGGCCGGGGAAUGCCCCGAGGUAUUUGUGUUCAUUUGCUGGGGAAUGCCCCGAAGUAUCAUGUACUGGAAGAUAGCACACGUUCAAGGCCAGGAACGACGGGUGGAGUUUAAUUCAGGAGUAGUUAGGGAUAGUUCGGAAUAGAAUAGAUUUACAUUUUUGCAUUUUUCAUUAUUCGAUACUGUAUAAUUGGACUGGACACUAUAUUUUUUAUUCGUUUUGUUUUGUUUGUUUUUUGAUUGUUUUACAUGUUUUUGUGUGGUUUGUACAUUCAUAGUGUCAAAUUAGCCGAUAUCCUCCACCAAGCGAUCGUGGUCAAAAGAUGGGACUGAGGGGUGCCUAACACCUUCCCCUCGGUCAACAAAGUUCCUUAGCCAGAAUCUCUGUUCGCAAACUAGUUUAAAGAGUCAAAUAAUUUUGAAAAGGAUUUUCCAAUGGUGACUUGGCACACCAGAUUAUGCCAAGUGGAGACUCUGAUUUCAAAUGUAAAGACAAUCCUUCUUCGAAACAAAUCAUUUUCUUUUGUCACUUAAUAAUAAAAAUCCUUUUCAAACUUAAAACGAAUCAUUUGGAGUACGAAAAGGGGUGUGACAGCUCUGGAGACUCUGCUGGGGAACCUUUUCAGAAUUUGAGUUUAUUUUUUUGGAGUUGAAUUGGCUUAGUUUGACAUUAUGGGUGCGUAAACAUUGUUUGUGUUAUCAUUUGUUGUUUAUUUUAUCAUUGUUGAGUGCCUACGUGCUCUUUGUUUACAGUUUUUCUCUUAUGUGUUACCGCUUUAUAAAAUCCAGUUUAAGCAUGAACAUUGAAUCAAAGGGUUAAAGUUAGAAAAAGAGAGCAUCUGAGAAAAUAGAUAGAGUGCUGAGGCAUUUGGUGAUCAAGUUGAAGCCUUCUUUGAAAAUUAAGGCUAUUAUUUUGAGAAUCGUGAGAAUAACUUGGUCAUCAAUUGAAAGACAUAUCUCAAUUAGGUCAAGUAUUGAAUGUGUGAUCCUAUAUCAAAAGGAACAGGAAGAAAAUUAGCUCCACGAAGUCAUGAGUCCUUCAGCAUGAGGAAUGUACAACAAAGUGGAGUUGUAUACUGGGCAAGUGUAGGAAAAGAAAUGGCACACAUGCUCGGGGCAAGUUAGUGUUGUAAAAUAUUUCAUAAGUGAUCUUGAUCGUGCACUUUUGCAUUGCAUGCUAUGUAGUAGCAUUUUCAAGAAUUGAUAUGACGAAGACAUUUUAUUCUGCUAUCCAAACAUUGUAUCAUCCUUUGUCUACCCCAUUUGGGCCUUAGUUUUAUUUUCUUUCAUACUCCUCUUUUGGAAUCAGGAUAGAGUUUGCAACGUCCAAGAAACAGUGUCGAAAAAAAAGAGGUCAGAAAAUUUUCAAAAAAGAGACAAAAUAGGUCCAAAAAGAAAGAAAAGAAGAGUGUGUCAAGAAAAUGGAGUCAGAAAAAGAAUCUCAAAGAGAAAAGAUCCAAUAAAAGAAAAAAGAAAAAAAAAUCAGAUCAAAAGAAAGAACAAGUUGCCAGAACUACGCAUGGCCUGAUUCUCCUCUCUCAAGGGUGAGAUACGUAAGUUGCCCUACUCAGAGCUCGGUCCAACCAAAUAAGCAAUUUAGAAUUGCCCAGGCAAAAGAAACCAGGGCAUGAGUUGAUCCUCAUUAUUUGAGUCGAUUCCAAAAGUUGUAAGUCUCACCCCACUUCAAGUGUCGCUUGGGCCCCAUGUCAUCCUUUCUUUCUAACCCUAUCCAAAAGUCAAGUUACAACAAAAGAAAGACCUUUGGAUCUAUCUUUGAGAAUGUUAAGUCAAAGCAUGCAAUGGAUGUGAUGACACAUUUUAGGAACUACUCGUCUUCCUCUACAUAAGAAAUCAGGAGAGAAAUAAAAAUGAGAGAGUCUAAUUGGUGAAAACCCUCAUGGGCACCAUAAGGUGAUGGUAAGCAGAUAAAAAUGAGAGGGUCUUAAUGGUGAAAACCCUCACGGGCACCAUAAGGUGAUUGUGAGUUGAGAGAAAAAUGAGAGAGGCUUGUUAGCAAAAAUCCUUCAAUGUGCCACUAGCCGAAUGAGUUCUUCGAAUGCAAUGGGUUCAAGCAAGUAACUUAGUUUCAGAGCCAUUAACUCAAAAACAAUUGGUAGAAAGUUUGGAUGGAAAGAUCAAGCAUCUUGAUCCAAAAUGCAUGGCAUAAUCAUUAGAGUUAUUCAAAUGGGGACAUUCAUUGUCUUUUCUUUCUUUUCUUUAUUUUUGUUUUAUUUUUCUUGAGUCAGUUAUCCAAAUAAAAAAUUAUUGUCAUUUUUCUCUUGUUUUUGAGUCAAGUCCAUGUCAAAACAAGUGAGAAAAGAUUUUAAAAUUGGCUACCAUCUUCUUCAAUUGCAAAGAGCGAGACAAAAGACCAACACAUGAAAAAGACAUAAUUGUAAGCCGAAAUAAGGCAUACAAAAAAUCCUGUCAACAAACAAGUCUGGGAACUCAUGGAAAUACCAAAUUUCAAAGGGUUUAUCUGAAGAGCUUGGCAAAGCAAAGAUACUGUGUUUGUUUCAAAGUCACUCUUAAUAAUCUGAGUUUUGGUCAAUGAUGCAUCAAGUCAAUGAUAUAUGUAAUAGUUGGAAGGAAUAAUGCGGCAAAGGCGAUCUCCGCAAAAACUAAAGCCAUAAAUCAACCACCAUGUUUCAAACUAACAAGUUUUCUUUGAUGAAAUAGGAAACAUACUACCUUCAAAGCAAUAACUUCAGAGCAUGAACAUCAAGGGCUGCAAAGAGUCACAUUUACAAAUGCAAGAAGCAAUGUUGCUGCACAGGUUUGAUAAUAAAAUCAUGGUAAAGAUUUAUCAUCCUAUAUCCCUCGGAGACACACUUGUUAAGGGAUUUCAGUUUUCAUUUGUUAGGUGAUACACUUUUUAAAUUGAAAUUUGAUUUCUAUAAGACGUACCUUUUAGUCGAGUCAUCUCCCUUGAUUCCUAGAAGACGUACCUUUUAGUCGAGUCAUCUCUCUUGAUUCCUAUAAGACAUACCUUUUGCCAGUCAUCUCCCUUGAUUCAUAGAAGACGUACCUUUUAGUCAAGUCAUCCCCCUUGAUUCUUAUAAAACGUACCUUUUAGUCGAGUCAUCCCCCAUGAUUCCCAUAAGACGAAUCUUUUAGUCGAGUCAUCCCCCAUGAUUACCAUAAGACGUACCUUUUAGUCGAGUCAUCCCCCUUGACCCUUAGAAGACGUACCUUUUAGUCGAGUCAUUCCUUUUGAUUCCUAUAAGAUGUACAUUUUAGUCGAGUCAUUUUCUUUGAUUCCUAUAAGACGUACCUUUUAGUCGAGUCAUUCCCUUUGAUUCUUAUAAGACGUACCUUUUAGUCGAGUCAUUCCCUUUGAUUCUUAUAAGACGUACCUUUUAGUCGAGUCAUUUCCUUUGAUUCCUAUAAGACGUACCUUUUAGUCGNNNNNNNNNNNNNNNNNNNNNNNNNNNNNNNNNNNNNNNNNNNNNNNNNNNNNNNNNNNNNNNNNNNNNNNNNNNNNNNNNNNNNNNNNNNNNNNNNNNNNNNNNNNNNNNNNNNNNNNNNNNNNNNNNNNNNNNNNNNNNNNNNNNNNNNNNNNNNNNNNNNNNNNNNNNNNNNNNNNNNNNNNNNNNNNNNNNNNNNNNNNNNNNNNNNNNNNNNNNNNNNNNNNNNNNNNNNNNNNNNNNNNNNNNNNNNNNNNNNNNNNNNNNNNNNNNNNNNNNNNNNNNNNNNNNNNNNNNNNNNNNNNNNNNNNNNNNNNNNNNNNNNNNNNNNNNNNNNNNNNNNNNNNNNNNNNNNNNNNNNNNNNNNNNNNNNNNNNNNNNNNNNNNNNNNNNNNNNNNNNNNNNNNNNNNNNNNNNNNNNNNNNNNNNNNNNNNNNNNNNNNNNNNNNNNNNNNNNNNNNNNNNNNNNNNNNNNNNNNNNNNNNNNNNNNNNNNNNNNNNNNNNNNNNNNNNNNNNNNNNNNNNNNNNNNNNNNNNNNNNNNNNNNNNNNNNNNNNNNNNNNNNNNNNNNNNNNNNNNNNNNNNNNNNNNNNNNNNNNNNNNNNNNNNNNNNNNNNNNNNNNNNNNNNNNNNNNNNNNNNNNNNNNNNNNNNNNNNNNNNNNNNNNNNNNNNNNNNNNNNNNNNNNNNNNNNNNNNNNNNNNNNNNNNNNNNNNNNNNNNNNNNNNNNNNNNNNNNNNNNNNNNNNNNNNNNNNNNNNNNNNNNNNNNNNNNNNNNNNNNNNNNNNNNNNNNNNNNNNNNNNNNNNNNNNNNNNNNNNNNNNNNNNNNNNNNNNNNNNNNNNNNNNNNNNNNNNNNNNNNNNNNNNNNNNNNNNNNNNNNNNNNNNNNNNNNNNNNNNNNNNNNNNNNNNNNNNNNNNNNNNNNNNNNNNNNNNNNNNNNNNNNNNNNNNNNNNNNNNNNNNNNNNNNNNNNNNNNNNNNNNNNNNNNNNNNNNNNNNNNNNNNNNNNNNNNNNNNNNNNNNNNNNNNNNNNNNNNNNNNNNNNNNNNNNNNNNNNNNNNNNNNNNNNNNNNNNNNNNNNNNNNNNNNNNNNNNNNNNNNNNNNNNNNNNNNNNNNNNNNNNNNNNNNNNNNNNNNNNNNNNNNNNNNNNNNNNNNNNNNNNNNNNNNNNNNNNNNNNNNNNNNNNNNNNNNNNNNNNNNNNNNNNNNNNNNNNNNNNNNNNNNNNNNNNNNNNNNNNNNNNNNNNNNNNNNNNNNNNNNNNNNNNNNNNNNNNNNNNNNNNNNNNNNNNNNNNNNNNNNNNNNNNNNNNNNNNNNNNNNNNNNNNNNNNNNNNNNNNNNNNNNNNNNNNNNNNNNNNNNNNNNNNNNNNNNNNNNNNNNNNNNNNNNNNNNNNNNNNNNNNNNNNNNNNNNNNNNNNNNNNNNNNNNNNNNNNNNNNNNNNNNNNNNNNNNNNNNNNNNNNNNNNNNNNNNNNNNNNNNNNNNNNNNNNNNNNNNNNNNNNNNNNNNNNNNNNNNNNNNNNNNNNNNNNNNNNNNNNNNNNNNNNNNNNNNNNNNNNNNNNNNNNNNNNNNNNNNNNNNNNNNNNNNNNNNNNNNNNNNNNNNNNNNNNNNNNNNNNNNNNNNNNNNNNNNNNNNNNNNNNNNNNNNNNNNNNNNNNNNNNNNNNNNNNNNNNNNNNNNNNNNNNNNNNNNNNNNNNNNNNNNNNNNNNNNNNNNNNNNNNNNNNNNNNNNNNNNNNNNNNNNNNNNNNNNNNNNNNNNNNNNNNNNNNNNNNNNNNNNNNNNNNNNNNNNNNNNNNNNNNNNNNNNNNNNNNNNNNNNNNNNNNNNNNNNNNNNNNNNNNNNNNNNNNNNNNNNNNNNNNNNNNNNNNNNNNNNNNNNNNNNNNNNNNNNNNNNNNNNNNNNNNNNNNNNNNNNNNNNNNNNNNNNNNNNNNNNNNNNNNNNNNNNNNNNNNNNNNNNNNNNNNNNNNNNNNNNNNNNNNNNNNNNNNNNNNNNNNNNNNNNNNNNNNNNNNNNNNNNNNNNNNNNNNNNNNNNNNNNNNNNNNNNNNNNNNNNNNNNNNNNNNNNNNNNNNNNNNNNNNNNNNNNNNNNNNNNNNNNNNNNNNNNNNNNNNNNNNNNNNNNNNNNNNNNNNNNNNNNNNNNNNNNNNNNNNNNNNNNNNNNNNNNNNNNNNNNNNNNNNNNNNNNNNNNNNNNNNNNNNNNNNNNNNNNNNNNNNNNNNNNNNNNNNNNNNNNNNNNNNNNNNNNNAAAGGAUUUUCCAAUGGUGACUUGGCACACCAGAUUAUGCCAAGUGGAGACUCUGAUUUCAAAUGUAAAGACAAUCCUUCUUCGAAACAAAUCAUUUUCUUUUGUCACUUAAUAAUAAAAAUCCUUUUCAAACUUAAAACGAAUCAUUUGGAGUACGAAAAGGGGUGUGACAGCUCUGGAGACUCUGCUGGGGAACCUUUUCAGAAUUUGAGUUUAUUUUUUUGGAGUUGAAUUGGCUUAGUUUGACAUUAUGGGUGCGUAAACAUUGUUUGUGUUAUCAUUUGUUGUUUAUUUUAUCAUUGUUGAGUGCCUACGUGCUCUUUGUUUACAGUUUUUCUCUUAUGUGUUACCGCUUUAUAAAAUCCAGUUUAAGCAUGAACAUUGAAUCAAAGGGUUAAAGUUAGAAAAAGAGAGCAUCUGAGAAAAUAGAUAGAGUGCUGAGGCAUUUGGUGAUCAAGUUGAAGCCUUCUUUGAAAAUUAAGGCUAUUAUUUUGAGAAUCGUGAGAAUAACUUGGUCAUCAAUUGAAAGACAUAUCUCAAUUAGGUCAAGUAUUGAAUGUGUGAUCCUAUAUCAAAAGGAACAGGAAGAAAAUUAGCUCCACGAAGUCAUGAGUCCUUCAGCAUGAGGAAUGUACAACAAAGUGGAGUUGUAUACUGGGCAAGUGUAGGAAAAGAAAUGGCACACAUGCUCGGGGCAAGUUAGUGUUGUAAAAUAUUUCAUAAGUGAUCUUGAUCGUGCACUUUUGCAUUGCAUGCUAUGUAGUAGCAUUUUCAAGAAUUGAUAUGACGAAGACAUUUUAUUCUGCUAUCCAAACAUUGUAUCAUCCUUUGUCUACCCCAUUUGGGCCUUAGUUUUAUUUUCUUUCAUACUCCUCUUUUGGAAUCAGGAUAGAGUUUGCAACGUCCAAGAAACAGUGUCGAAAAAAAAGAGGUCAGAAAAUUUUCAAAAAAGAGACAAAAUAGGUCCAAAAAGAAAGAAAAGAAGAGUGUGUCAAGAAAAUGGAGUCAGAAAAAGAAUCUCAAAGAGAAAAGAUCCAAUAAAAGAAAAAAGAAAAAAAAAUCAGAUCAAAAGAAAGAACAAGUUGCCAGAACUACGCAUGGCCUGAUUCUCCUCUCUCAAGGGUGAGAUACGUAAGUUGCCCUACUCAGAGCUCGGUCCAACCAAAUAAGCAAUUUAGAAUUGCCCAGGCAAAAGAAACCAGGGCAUGAGUUGAUCCUCAUUAUUUGAGUCGAUUCCAAAAGUUGUAAGUCUCACCCCACUUCAAGUGUCGCUUGGGCCCCAUGUCAUCCUUUCUUUCUAACCCUAUCCAAAAGUCAAGUUACAACAAAAGAAAGACCUUUGGAUCUAUCUUUGAGAAUGUUAAGUCAAAGCAUGCAAUGGAUGUGAUGACACAUUUUAGGAACUACUCGUCUUCCUCUACAUAAGAAAUCAGGAGAGAAAUAAAAAUGAGAGAGUCUAAUUGGUGAAAACCCUCAUGGGCACCAUAAGGUGAUGGUAAGCAGAUAAAAAUGAGAGGGUCUUAAUGGUGAAAACCCUCACGGGCACCAUAAGGUGAUUGUGAGUUGAGAGAAAAAUGAGAGAGGCUUGUUAGCAAAAAUCCUUCAAUGUGCCACUAGCCGAAUGAGUUCUUCGAAUGCAAUGGGUUCAAGCAAGUAACUUAGUUUCAGAGCCAUUAACUCAAAAACAAUUGGUAGAAAGUUUGGAUGGAAAGAUCAAGCAUCUUGAUCCAAAAUGCAUGGCAUAAUCAUUAGAGUUAUUCAAAUGGGGACAUUCAUUGUCUUUUCUUUCUUUUCUUUAUUUUUGUUUUAUUUUUCUUGAGUCAGUUAUCCAAAUAAAAAAUUAUUGUCAUUUUUCUCUUGUUUUUGAGUCAAGUCCAUGUCAAAACAAGUGAGAAAAGAUUUUAAAAUUGGCUACCAUCUUCUUCAAUUAAGUGAGAAAAGAUUUUAAAAUUGGCUACCAUCUUCUUCAAUUGCAAAGAGCGAGACAAAAGACCAACACAUGAAAAAGACAUAAUUGUAAGCCGAAAUAAGGCAUACAAAAAAUCCUGUCAACAAACAAGUCUGGGAACUCAUGGAAAUACCAAAUUUCAAAGGGUUUAUCUGAAGAGCUUGGCAAAGCAAAGAUACUGUGUUUGUUUCAAAGUCACUCUUAAUAAUCUGAGUUUUGGUCAAUGAUGCAUCAAGUCAAUGAUAUAUGUAAUAGUUGGAAGCAAGAUUAAUGUGAUGACGGCAAAGGCGAUCUCCGCAAAAACUAAAGCCAUAAAUCAACCACCAUGUUUCAAACUAACAAGUUUUCUUUGAUGAAAUAGGAAACAUACUACCUUCAAAGCAAUAACUUCAGAGCAUGAACAUCAAGGGCUGCAAAGAGUCACAUUUACAAAUGCAAGAAGCAAUGUUGCUGCACAGGUUUGAUAAUAAAAUCAUGGUAAAGAUUUAUCAUCCUAUAUCCCUCGGAGACACACUUGUUAAGGGAUUUCAGUUUUCAUUUGUUAGGUGAUACACUUUUUAAAUUGAAAUUUGAUUUCUAUAAGACGUACCUUUUAGUCGAGUCAUCUCCCUUGAUUCCUAGAAGACGUACCUUUUAGUCGAGUCAUCUCUCUUGAUUCCUAUAAGACAUACCUUUUAGUCGAGUCAUCUCCCUUGAUUCCUAGAAGACGUACCUUUUAGUCAAGUCAUCCCCCUUGAUUCUUAUAAAACGUACCUUUUAGUCGAGUCAUCCCCCAUGAUUCCCAUAAGACGAAUCUUUUAGUCGAGUCAUCCCCCAUGAUUACCAUAAGACGUACCUUUUAGUCGAGUCAUCCCCCUUGACCCUUAGAAGACGUACCUUUUAGUCGAGUCAUUCCUUUUGAUUCCUAUAAGAUGUACAUUUUAGUCGAGUCAUUUUCUUUGAUUCCUAUAAGACGUACCUUUUAGUCGAGUCAUUCCCUUUGAUUCUUAUAAGACGUACCUUUUAGUCGAGUCAUUUCCUUUGAUUCCUAUAAGACGUACCUUUUAGUCGAGUCAUUCCCCUUGACCCCUAGAAGACGUACCUUUUAGUCGAGUCAUUUCCUCUGAUUCCUAUAAGACGUACCUUUUAGUCGAGUCAUUCUCUUUGAUUCAUAUAAGAUGUACCCUUUAGUCGAGUUAUUUCCUCUGAUUCCUAGAAGACGUACCUUUUAGUCGAGUCAUCCCAUUUGAUUCCUAGAAGACGUACCUUUUAGUCGAGUUAUUCCCCUUGACCCCUAGAAGACGUACCUUUUAGUCGAGUCAUUUCCCUGGAUUCUUAUAAGACGUACCUUUUAGUCAAGUCAUCUCCCUUUGAUUCCUAUUAGACAUAACUUUUAGUCGAGUCAUCUCCCUUUGAUUCCUAUAAGACGUACCUUUUAGUCGAGUCAUCCCCCUUGAUUCCUAUAAGACGUACCUUUUAGUCAAGUCAUUCCCCUUGACCCCUAGAAGACGUACCUUUUAGUUGAGUCAUCCCUCUUGAUUCCUAUAAGGCAUACCUUUUAGUCGACUUAUUUCCCUUGACCCCUAGAAGGAGUACCUUUUAGUCGACUUAUUUCCCUUGACCCCUAGAAGACGUACCUUUUAGUCGAGUCAUUCCCCUUGAUUCCUAUAAAACAUACCUUUUAGUCGAUUCAUUCCCCUUGAUUCCUAUAAGACGUACCUUUUUAUCAAGUCAUUCUCCUUAAUUCCUAUAAUGAUGUGACUUUCACAAAAUUCCUUUGAUGAUAAACUGGGGCAAAAUUUAAUUCUUGUUUUUGGAACUUUACUUUUCUGGAAAACAAAAUUUCUCUUUAUAAUAAUUUUUGUUUGGGUUGGGAUAAUUUUCUUUCCAGUUUUGAUGUGAUUUCAGGAGCCUGCCCGAAGCACAGAGCGAAUAAAUGGAAAACCAAGCAACAAGGUGAAGAAAUUAAAAGUUAAACAGAUUGAAAAAUAGCAAGUCAGGAGCCCGCCUACAGAAUGGGGUGAAGAAAUUGAAAGCAUAGCAACAAGUUGAUGAAAAAGCAAGUCAGGAACCCGCUCGGAGAACAGGGUGUAGAAAUUGAAAGGCAAGCAACAAGUUGAAGAAAUUGUAAGUCAGAAGCCCGCAUGAAUAAUAGGGUGAUGAAACUCAAGUCAAGAGUCCAAAAGAAGUUGUAUAGAUAGGAUUUUUGUACUUUUCAUUUAUGUUUAACUUGUAAUUUUCAUUUUUAAUGUAAUGACAGAGCUGCGGACCAUAACCUCGACGGGACCUCACUCGACUCCCCAACUCGGUACUGUCCAUCUCCUUCCAAUCUUUUAAGAUACCUGCGACUUGACUCCCUCGUAAUUUGGGUAGGUAGGAUGUCCUAAGUCAAGACUCGGUUGUCCUUCUUGCUUUGAAUAAUGGUCGUGUCAAAACUUUGUCUCAUUGUCUACUUCUUUGUAUGAAAACACUUUGUGUUUACAUGCAAAGAGGGGUAUGAUGUAGACACAUAAUUUUGUCCCUCCCCGAAAAUAUUUUUACCAUUUUACCUUAUUCUACCGCAUACCCUCAACCAUAUAAUUAUCCCUCCAUAACAUGAACAAAAUAACAACCCUUAACAAAUUUUACCUUGUUCUAAUCCUAUCCUUACAACCUCUCCAAUUAAAAGCGGACACCUCAGCACCCCUACCCCUUCCACAGACCCCCCCCCCCCCCUCCCAACCCCCCCCCCCCCAAAUCACAUUUUUCCAUCUUUGGUUAUAAUAAAAGAUAACUAGGACCCAAGGAAGGAUUUGAUAACAACAUAUACACUCACGGGCCCCACCACUAAAAAAAGACAAUUAAUACACCCAUCCUUACCAACCCUCACCAGAAUUGUCAAAACCUACAACACAGUAACCAAUUCACACAUACACCAUCCCAUUGACAAAAAAAAAGCAACCAAUACUCUCACUGACCCCUCACAACCAAAAUAUACACACAACACUCAUCCUCACUAAUAUCACACACACAAUCUCAAUUCAUACAUACCAUUUAUGAAUUCCAGUCUCACGCACAGUUUGCACGCACAUACGGAGAGAAAUCAAAAAAAGAAAAGAGAAAGGAGUGAAUUGGACUAAAAGAAAAUAUAUCGAGGGCUCAAAGGUUUGAGUGAUAGAGAGCUCAGCCAUUGAGAGAAGGACGGGGAGAGAAACCGGUCAUGCCACUCUAAUUUUUCGGCGAAACUUCACCGGAAUCCGGUGCCAUCAGCGAACCUGAUACACCCACCAGUCGCCAUACACCAUCCCACCGCUUCUGAACCACCAGAGCACCGUGACCAUCGAGAAUACCCCAAAUCCGAUCCAAACUCAACUAGUGCGUCUUUCUUCGUCACGAUUUUGGUAUGCUCGAUUUUCGUUCGAGUCCUUGGGUUAUGAUACUGAGCCGGUGUCGAUCAUUUUAAAGUUUUUUUGUCAUUCGUCUAGUGUCGGGUUGCCAUCCAUCGUCAAUUUAUUUCAAUCUGGGUUUAUUUUGCUUUUGGAUUUCGAGAUCGGAAUUCCAUCUUCGAGGGUUUUAUUGCUUCUGUUUGAAGUUGUUAGUUAGGCAAUAUAUUUUGAGUUUGCGGUCUUGGAUUCAAAUCUAUUCGGAUCCUAAUUUGUGAUAUCGAGUUGGUCGAGUUGUCGAGGUUGGUUCGGGGUUCUUCGGCACACGGAUUCGUCCUCCCGUUUGAUUGAUCUUUCGAAUAAAAUCAUCAUUGAGGUAUGUUUCUACUCCUUUCCUCUUUUUUAUUUCAUUGUUGAUGGAAUAUGGUACAUUGGAUAAAUUGGUUGUGAAUGUGAUUAGGUGGUUGUUGAUCAUGAUUGUUUGAUUUUAUCGACGUUUAUGCUUUUGAUGAUGAAAUUUGAGUGAUGUUGAGUUGUUUAAUUUCGUGAAUCAAAAAAUGAUUAAGAAGAGUUGAAUUGGUGAUUGCGAAUUGUGGAAUUUGAUAUUAAAAGGGGAAUUUGGGGUGGAAUUUCGAGAUUGAUGAAAAGGGUCAAUUUGGAUUAAUGUUGGUCUUGUUGUUGUUUAAUGCGGAAUUAAUUUCAAGUUUGUGAAUUCUAUAGUGUCAUGAUAGGUAAAAUGGGAUAGGCAAAUGUUUAGGUUCGGAUAGGCCAAAAUUUAGGAGUGAUGUGUUGAUUGAAUGCGUUGACUGUUUAGAUGUAUGUUUUGAAUGUUUUUCUAGUUAUCUCAGAUGUAUUCAUUUGGUCAGGGAAUGCCCCGAGGUAUUUGUGUUCAUUUGCCAGGGAAUGCCCCAAAGUAUCAUGUACUGAAAGACGGCACACGGUCAAGGCCUGGAACGACGGGUGGAGUUUAAUUCAGGAGUAGUUUGGAAUAGAAUAGGUUUACAUUUUCACUUUUUUCAUUAUUCGGGACUGUAUAAUUGGACUGGAAACUAUAUUUUUUAUUUGUUUUGUUUUGUUUGUUUGUUGAUUGUUUUACAUGUUUUUGUGUGGUUUGUACAUUCUUAGUGUCAAAUUAGCUGAUAUCCUCCAUCAAGCGACCGUGGUCAAAAGACGGGACCGAGGAGUCCCUAACACCUUCCCCUCGGUCAACAGAAUUCCUUAGUCGGAAUCUCUAUUCGCAAACCAGUUUAAAGAAUCAAAUGGUUUUGAAAAGGAUUUUCCAAUGGUGACUUGGCACACCAGAUUAUGUUAAGUGGCGACUCUGAUUUCGAAUGUAAAGAAAAUCCUUCUUCGAAACAAAUCGUUUUCUUUUGUCACUUGAUAAUAAAAACCCUUUCGAACUUAACGAAUCAUUUGGAGUAAGAAAAAGGUGUGUGACAGCUUUGACGAAUCUGCUGGGGAACCUUUUCAAAAUUCGAGCUUACUUAUUUUUUCGAGCUUAGUUUGACAUUAUGGGUGUGUAAACAUUGUUUAUGUUAUCGUUUAUUGUUUAUUUUAUCAUUGUUGAGUGCAUACGUGCUCUUUGUUUACAAUUUUUUUCUUAUAUGUUAUCACUUUGUAACUGGUAUAAUGUGCAUAUGACAAUCUCUUGGGCUUAUUGAUUAAUGGACUAGCCCAGUAAAUAUUGGACUUCAUUUAAAUCCAUACAUGUUUGAACUUAAAUAAUUAAUUCAAUUAUAUUAAUCUGCAAUAUUUAUUUGGGACUAAUAUAUUUUAAAUUUAAUAUAAUCCAAAUUUAAUACGGAUUUAAAUUUAAUAAAAUUGCAUCGCCCAUAAAUACCCCACCUUCAAGAUUUGUCGAGACAUUUAAUCUUUCGACCACUAGAAUUGAAGUAUUUGUAACAAUAUUUGUGUAACAAAGAAAAGCCUCGAGCCAACGCCUCAAAUAGAAAUCUAUUUAAUUUGAAUCUGACUUUCUAAAGAAUAAAGUUGUAACUUAUGUUACAAUUAUAGGCAAAAUAUGAAUGAAUAUUUCAGUCAAAAUGAUGGCACAUGAUUGCUAACCAAUAAUCCACGUGAAAUCACAUUAUUGACCCUUCUUUUGUUUGCAUGCAUUUUCUAAGAAAAUGGACAUGUUAUCAUUUUUUAUUUACUGGCUGUUGCUUUGUCUCAUAGCCAUGCCAAUAAUCCAUUUGGAUUGGAGAAAAAAAAAUGAUUAGCAACCCAAAUUCCCUUUGGGCAUAGGAAACGUUAUUCUGCCGCCUCAAGUUAUUUUAUGUGUGUUAUUUUUUUUAUUUUUUCAAAGCCUGCACGUGACUGGAGGAGGCAGAAGAUAACAUUCCAUGCUUGAGUUCCAUCCGAAGUCAAAUUGUAACACCCAAUUCAUCUUUGACAUUAAUUGCUCAGCCGACUUUAAACUUCUAUAAAUAUCAAUCAUUUAAUCGCUUGUGAUUCAGAAUUUAACUGCCGCAAUUCCCAUCGGUUCUGUUUGAUUGUUGGUUGCGCCUGACCGAAGUAUUAUUGGUGAGUUGCUUUUCCUUAAUUUGCUCAUUAAUGUUUUGUUCUCUUUUUCUUUCCCUUUUUUUUUAUAGGGUUGAAACAAAUAGCAAUAUGCCACAAUCGGCUUAGGGUGUGAGAGUUUAACUUCGUCUUCAUACACUCUAAGACCAAUUAAUUUUGACUCUAAGACGGUGGCUACGCAAUAAUCGGCUUAGGGUGCGAGAGUUUAACUUCGCCUCCGUACACUCUAAGACCGACCAAUUUGACUUCAAGAUGCUGACUUUGCAACAAUCGGCUUAGGGUGCGAGAGUUUAACUUCGCCUUCGUACACUCUAAGACCGACCAAUUUGACUUCAAUACGGUGGCAAUGCAACAAUCGGCUUAGGGUGCGAGAGUUUAACUUCGCCUCCGUACACUCUAAGACCGACCAAUUUGACUUCAAGACGCAUGGUUUUCUUUAAGUAUGUGCCCUUUCAAUGUUCAGCUUAAGGUGCAAAGGAACAAAUUUUGUCCACCUUAAGGCAUAAAAAUUUUGAUAUCCUUUUAAGGAUAAACCCUUUAGAUGCCAGCUUAAGGUACAAAGGGACAAAUUUUGUCCACAUUAAGGCAUGAAAAUUUUCAUAUCCUUCUAAGGAUAACCACGUAAGAGGCCAAUUUAAGGUGGAAAGGGACAAAUUUUGUCCACCUUAAGGCAUAAAAUUUUUUAUAUCUUUUUAAGGAUAAACACGUAAGAGGCCAACUUAAGGUGCAAGGGGGCAAAUCUUGUUCACCUUAAGGCAUGAAAAUUUUGAUAUCCUUUAGGGAUAAACUUGCGAGAGGCCCACUUAAGGUGAAAAGAAACAAAUCUUGUCCACCUUAAGGCAUGUAAAUUUUGAGAUCCUUUUAGUUGUAGGCUUGGAGAACUUUGGCAUUCCAAAUCCCAUUGAAGGAACUCUCUUUCUUUUUGACGAGUUGCCCCCAUUGAACCACAAGUAUUUGACAUAAUUCCAAAUCUUAAUUCAAAUGUAUGCAAACUUGACUUUCAUACGACGGAUCAAACAGGGACAUACGUUUUUUUGACACUCAUGUAACUGAACUCAGAAUGAAAUUUCAAGCGCCUGCGUACCUCAAUAAAGAGGAUCAAGUCACAACGUAGUUCUGGGUGAGUUUUUUUUUUGUGUCCCAAGUUUUGCCUAGGUCGCCUCUUUCGAGGUUUUCAACCUAGCAGACAUUUAUUUGAUUUUUUUUAGCCGUUCACAGUUUAUACUCUUGCGGGCCAGGAGUAGACAUACAGUUUAUACUCGUGCCUUAAGGGGUGUCAUCUUCCUUCAAGGAUAGUACUUCUUCAAGAACUUGGCAUUGAUGGGGCCAAUCCUCAUGUCAUCUGCAUCGAUAAGCUUGUAAGCACCAUUUGAAUAUGCCUCUUGUUCAACAUAUGAUCCAUCCCACUUCGGGGUGAAUUUGCCCCCAGACUUACGAGAAGUGAUAAUGGGUCUUUUUACUGCAAGGACUUGAUCUCCAACUUGGAAGCACCUCAAGCGAACCCUUUUGUUGAAAGAACGAGAUAGCCGGGCUUGGUAACAUUCAAGAUUUUGUUGGGCCUCCAGCCUCUUCUCAUCAAGAGCUUCUAACUCCGCAAGACGCAACUUAGCAUUUUCUUCAUCGGUGAGCCCUUCUUGAAUAGCCAAUCUCAAAGAAGGUAUUUGAUGCUCAAGUGACAGGACUUCUUCAACUCCAAAAGCAAGUGAGUAUGGAGCUGCUUGCGCCGGUGUACGGUAAGUUGCCCUAUAUGCCCAUAAAUCUUCUUCCAUUCGCUCAUGCCAGUCUCGUUUGGAUUUGGAGACGACUUUCUUCAGCAAGUUACAUAAAGUCUUAUUGAACAUUUCGGCUAGACCAUUGGCGGCAGCAUGGUACAUAGAAGACUUGUGUUUCUUGAAACCAAAGAGAUCGCAAAUUUUGUUCAUCAGCUUAUUAUCAAAUGGCUUUCCAUUGUUAGUUAUUAUGUACUGAGGAAUUUCAAAGCGGUAGACGAUAUUCACUCAGAUGAAGUUUGCAACAUUUUUUUUCUUUACUUCCUUGAGAGCAACAGCUUCAGCCCAUUUCGAGAAGUAAUCUGUCGCGGCCAAGAUAUAUAGGUGUCCACCAGAAGAUUUUGGUAGUGGACCAACAACAUCCAUUCCCCAAGCAUUGAAUGGCCAAGAUGCUACAGUUGGAUGUAGUACCUCUGGAGGUUGAUGUAUGAAAUUUGCAUGGAAUUGACAAGCUUUGCAUCUUCUAGCAUAGUCUAAGCACUCUUUCACCAUCGCUGGCCAAUAAUAUCCUAUUCUUUUAAUGUGAAAAUGGAGCUUCGAUCCAGACUGAUGUGAUCCACAAACUCUCGAGUGUGCUUCUUGCAAAGAUUGAACUGCUUCUUCCUCUCCCAAAUACCGUAAGAGUACUCCUUCAAAUAAUCUUCUGUACAGUGUGUCUUUGUAGUAAAGGAAGCGAGGUGCGCGACGACGAAUGUCAGUCUUUCUCCUUGGAUAUUCUGGAAGUAUCCCAUAACAUAAGUAAUUAAUGAUAGGUUGUCACCAAUCUUCUUUUACAGCUUCAGACAAGGCAACGAGGUAUUCAACCUUGCUUUCCACAUCCUCAUCUGACGGCGGUACUACCUAUUCUUGGCGGAUAGUAACUUGGGUCUAAUUUGGAAGAGUCAGGGUUGAGGCCAAAGCAGCUAGAGCAUCAGCUUGAUUAUUUUCUCUCCUUGGCACAUGUUGGAGGGUCACUCCUCCAAGCCACCCCAUUAACUUUUGUGCAUAAUCAUGAUAUGGUCGUAGCUCAGGCUUUCUGACUUCAUAGCUUCCCAAAAGUUGUUUGAUCACUAGUUGGGAGUCACCAAAGACUCGUAAUUGUAGUUGUUUCAUGUCGACAGUCAUCUCUAGUCGAGUAUGAGCGCUUGAUACUCGGCAACAUUAUUGGAGCAAUGAUUUGUCAAGGUAAAAGAGUAGGGGAUGACCUCUUCUUGCGGUGUGACAAACACCUCACCGACACCAGCUCCAUCUCGAUGUGCAGGACCAUCAAAGUACAUUUUCCAUGGGGGACUAGCCUCAAUAACCAUUGCAUCUUCAUCAGGAAGUUCAUCGCUCAGUUCCCAAUCAUCAGGUAUCGGGUGGUCUGUCAAGAAGUUAGCCAAUGAUUGUCCCUUUACAGCCUUUUGGGGAACAUACACAAUCUCAAACUGUUGAAAUUGAAGGUACCAUCUUGCAAGUUGGUCACUAAGGACUGGUUUCGACACUACAAACUUGAUGGGAUUUGUCCUAGAGAUAAGCCGGACAACAUGAGCCUGAAAGUAGUGCUUCAUCUUUUGAAUCGAGAAGAAUAAUGCCAAACAUAACUUUUCAAUUGGAGAAUACUUUAGCUCAUUCGGCGUCAUCAUUCUGCUCAAAUAGUAAAGAGAGUUUUCCUUGCCUUUAUUAUUUUCUUGAGCCAGUAGUGCUCUAACUGACCUCUUUUGUGCCGCAAUGUAAAGUAUCAAUGGUUUCCCAGGUAUGGGUGCUGCAAGAACUGGUGGCUUCAUUAAGUAUGAUUUGAUACUCUCAAAGGCAUUACUACAAGCUUGGUCCCAUUCGAAGAAAGUGUCCUUCUUCAUAAGACGACUAAAUGGUUGACAUUUUCCGGCCAGGUUUAAGAUGAACCUCCUUAAAUAUGCUAGCCUUCCUUAAAGGCUUUUUAACUCAUGAAUAUCUCGAGGCUUGGGCAUCUUCAAAAUUGCAUCAACCUUAGCUUGAUUAAUUUUAAUUCCUCGGUGUCGCACAAUGAAGCCAAGAAAUUUUCCCGAAGUAACUCCAAAGGCACACUUCAAAGGAUUCAUCCUAAGUUGAUAUCUUCGAAGCAACUCGAAUACCAUUCUUAGGUCUUUUAAGUGGUUGCAUCUCUUUCUUGACUUCACCACUAGAUCAUCUACAUAGAAUUCAACAUUUUUAUGGAGCAGGCCAUCAAAGAUGUUCUGCAUAGCCCUUUGAUAAGUGGCGCCAGCGUUCUUCAAACCAAAAGGCAUCACCUUAUAGAAAUAAAUACCUUUGGGCGUACGAAAUGCAGUGAGUUCUUCAUUCUUUGGUGCCAUACGGAUUUGAUUAUAGCCGGAUGAACCAUCCAUAAAGGACAUUGCCUUAUAACCAGUGGUGGGAUCAAUCAUCAACUCUGGUAUGGGAAUUGAAAAGACAUCCUUAGGGCAGGCAUUGUUGAGGUCUCAAAAGUCGACACAAACUUGAAUUUGGCUAUUCUUUUUUCUUACUGGAACAAUACUUGAAAUCCACGUGGGAUAUUUGACUUAGCAAAUAAAGCCAGCUUCAAUGAGUUUGUUAACUUCAUUUUCAAUUAAUGGAACCAACUCUGGCCUAAAGCGCCUUUGGGCUUGCUUAACAAGACGAGCACCAUUCUUGACCGCCAACUGAUGAACCGCUACUUUUGGAUCUAAGCCAGGCAUUUUCUCAUAGCUCCAGGCGAAGACAUCCAUAUAUUCUUUGAGUAUUUCCAUAUAAGCGAUUUUCUCCUCUACUUCUAGAAACGCACUCAAGUAAGUUGGUCAUGGUUCUUCAUCGGUUCCAAGAUGAACUUCCUUCAAGGGAUCUAUUGUGGCCUUUACUCCUUCUUCAAGUUACGAUGGAGCAUCUCCAACAUCUUCCUCCUCUUGAGGAUCAUCUUCAUUGACGGAUAUAUGAUAACACCAGAAAGCAUCUUCUAUCUCUUCAUCAACCUUUAUUUGAAACAAGACAUCUUUCUCGUUCUGGGUCAUAACAUGAUAUGAGGAGCCAACACUCUCUUCAUCUUCUUCGCGUUGCUUAGUAUAAACCACAGUAUGCGCCUUUGCUUUUAACACCUCGUUGCAUGAAACUACCAGUUUCGUUUGUCGCUUCAUUCUAGAAGGAAUCAAACUUUGGAAAUCCUUCUGGAUUUUAAAUGAAGAAUGCAGCAUCGUGCUUUGACGACUUCUUUGACGCUUGUUGUUUUUCUUAUUAUUUAUAGGACCCAACCUUUCGAACACAGAAGUUCUUGCGGUUGAUUCUCCAAGUCGAUCAAAUACGGAGGGUCUUUUGUUAGCGGCAGUGGAUUCUUCUUCCACGGUGAUGUAAUUAUUGAAUGCCCUUCUUAUGGAGAUGCGAAUUGGAAGUGGUUGCGUGUAUCCUAGUUCUUCACGUACUUGCCUGGUGUUACCCUCCAAUGGAAGUUUGCCCAACCUUAAUGGCUCAUUAGGAUUGUAUCCAGCCUUUACAAAUAGCUUGUAUGCAUUUGGAUUAAAGCCUUCUUUCGUACGCUUCGUAGGGAGUGCCAUAUCUGAUGGUAGAUUUUGAGCCACAAAUUCCCCAAGUGGCCUUGAGGAUGGAUUUAUUGCGUCAAUCUUCCUGACAGGUAAAGUUAUCCCCUUUAGCACAUUAUCUUGGGCGUCAGGUGAGUGAUCUUCCUCUUUCUUUACCUUUGGCAUGCAGCGAAGAACAUGAGUUGCCUUCUUCUUCGUAAGAGCGACACUUUCUUUAUUCGAAGUGAAGAAAAGCUUCUUGUUGAUGAAUUUUUCGAUAGUCACCGCGACCUUCUUAGAUGCAAGAUCGUCACACUUGGUCUUGGUGACAUCUUCAAUCCUUUUCUCAUCUACAAUAUGAUUCUUUGAGUAGAAUUUUGCAUCGGCAAAAUGUGACUCAGUUUCAGUGAAUGGCUUAUCAUCCGCGACUAUCGUUCUUUCCACUCCAUUUUUGAGGUACUUCAAGCAUUGAUUGUAAGAGGACAAGAUAAUUUUGUUCCCGUGCACCCAAGGCCUACCAAGCAAUACAUUAUAUGAAGUUUUGACAUCGAUCACAUGCAUCAAUGGGUUUGAUUGAAAAUCAUCCAUACUAAUCCAAAACUUGAUACAUCCCAUGGCCCUUUGGCCCCCUUGGUUGAAGCCUUGGAUCAUUAUACGACUUUCUUCCAGUUCACUAGUAGCGAUGCCAAGCUCCUUCAUCGUACGGAUAGGCAAGAUAUUGACUCCAAAUCCUUCAUCUAUCAAGAUUCUAUUGAUCUUCUUUCCUAGAAUUUGACCCACCAUGUAUAAGGGACGGUUAUGUAGGGUCUCACCAAGCAGAAGAUCGUUAUUUGUGAAUGUGAUUUUUGUAUCACACACAUGUGCCUCUUCGCCAAGAGUUUCAGCAAGCUUUUCGGAAGGUGAAGGAACUUCCAUGGGUUUAUUUUCACCUUUUUCCCCCUCUUUGGCGGUAUUAAAACAAGACACCUCAAAGUUAACUUGGGCAGUCUUAUUGCGGAACCAACUCGGUAAGAAUUCCUCUAAAGUUACCGGACGCCGAGGUUUCUAAUGGUGAAGCUCUGUCACCCUUGUCCUUUUUGGAAGUGCAACCAACUUCUGUUUCCUUAGUUUCUUCACCACUUUCCUUUCGGUUGGCUGCUCGUACGUCUCCUUUCGCAGACUCAUCUUCUUGCGUUUUCGUCUAGUCACUAGGGUCCAACCUUCUUCGUCGUCUUCAUCAACCGAAGACCUGUCAGGAUCUAAUAUCUCCUCAUUCUGCUUUUUGACACAAAUUUUAACCGGGUCGAGCAAGCCAAAAGUGAUAGAGAUUUGAUGAGAACUGGUUGUCUCAUCGUCGAAGAAAAUUUUCUUCUCUUUUGCCAGUUGCAUACCUUUAUCUUUAAAGACAAAGCAUUUCUCUAGAGGGUGACUUAUGAGCCUAUGAUAUUUGCAAUAAUUAGGGUCAUUGGUCCUUUCGGCUUUAUUGGGACGCUUCAUCUCUGGGAGUUCGAUGAGCUUAUGCUGAAGGAGUUCAUCGAAAAUAUCAUCAACAUCAGAAUCAAGGAAGGGAUAUUCCUUUUCCUGCAUCUCCUUUAACGUUUUCUGAUUUGGACGUGCUCCAGAAGUCGUCUUUACAUUUUGCUUCUUGCUCACCUUUGUGGUGACUUUCACAGGAGACACAUCAACAUUUAUGGAUUCUUUGUUAUCAUUUUUGGGGAUAAACUUACCCCAUCUUUUGGGUUCUUGCUUAUCCUUUCCCCUUCGAGAGUCAUGGAUAGGCGCUCCUUCCUUUCCAGCACAAGACAUCCUCAACUCCAUGUCAUGAGCACGAGUAGCUAACUCUUCAAAGGAUUUUGGCUUAAUGCCUUGCAAGAUGUAGAGAAGCCCCCAGUGUAUUCCUUUGAUGAACAUCUCUAUCGCAGAAGUUUUGCUGAGCCUAUCUUUACAGUUUAGGCUAGCAUUUCUCCAUCAAUUGGUGAAGUCAAUGACUGGUUCGUCCUUUCUUUGCCGAGUAUUUGUGAGCUCUACCAUGCUCAUUGUACUCUUUGUGCUAUAAAAGCGAUUCAGGAACUCAUGUUCCAAUUGCUCUCAACUAUCGAUGGAAUUAGGCGCGAGAUCCGUAUACCAAUCAAAGGUGUUUCCCUUUAGGGAACGAACAAACCGUUUGACAAGAUAAUCACCGUAAGUUUCAACAUUAUUACAUGUCUCGAUAAAGUGUGCGACAUGUUGUUUUAGGUUACCUUUGCCCUCAAAUUGUUGAAAUUUGGGGGGUUGAUAGCCAGCAGGCAUUUUGAGGCUAUCUAUUCUUGCAGUGUAAGGCUUAGCAUAUGCAAGGUAAGACUUGGUGACAACAUCAUACUUGUCUUUGAGGGUCCCUUUAAUAAAUUUCCUCAAUUGCCCAAUCGGGAUUAUUCCCUCAGCAGAAACAUGCACCUCUUUAGUCGAUGGUGUUUGUUUCACAGGGUUUUUUAUCUCAUGAACCCCUAGAACUUUUCCCGGCGCAUGGCUAGAUUCUCCGUAUAUCAAGCCUUCCACCCUAUCCACUAUCUUAUCAAUCCUAGCCUCUUGAUUCUGAACAUAGUUGGUCAGGCCUUCAAUUGCCUUUGUCAGAUUCGCAAGUUGCUCCUCCACAAACGAGGCAUCAGUUACCAUUACUUGCAUGAUCACUGGAGAUGUUGGAGAGUAACAUGGAUUAUCGCUUAGGUUGAUUUUUGAAGUGCUUAACUUAUGCGGUGUAAGUGGAGAUGACGCGUUUGUUGAACGACCAUAGCUCUUUACACUAGAGUAUUUGGAACCAGAAUGCUCAAGUAGAGCAAGAGUCUUCUUAAUCAAUUCCACGACACUGCUUCCUCCUUCCGAAACAUUUGUAUUGGACUUCGUUCCUUUUAGGGUUGAAGAUCCAAAAACUGGAGUUGGCGCGGACGACACUAGAUGUGUUUAUUGUCCUAUCAAGCCUGCCUUGCUCCUCGUGACAGCUCCUAAACUUCCGAAAGUAACACCAAGGAUUCUUUCCACUUAGGCAGAGAACCUUGAAUCAACAGCCUUGGAAGCAGUUGAUUGAGAGUUGAUCUUCUUGAAAGUCAUUUCAGCGUUCUUAAUCUUCAAAGUCUAAAAAGUUGAGAUGAGAGGUAGAGAUCGUCCCACUGGGCGUGCCAGAAUUUGUUGGACAAUAAAAUUCUCGAGUGAGGAAAAUAAAUAAUUCGAGACAAGAAAAUAUUGCAACAAUCAAUUUUAUUGAUUUCAAUGCGAUUGUUACAAUCUCUAUGAAUCCUCUGAUUCGUCUUUUCAAAUAUAAAUUUAAGGGCUUGAAGCUUAAUCUUGAAUUUAAACUUGAUUUGUUGAAUUUAAGGGACUUGGUCUUGACUUGUGCUUGAAUUCAAGAGCUUUUGAGCUUGUUCUUGAAUAUUGCGGUCUAGAUCUUGAAUCUUGAUGAACUUAAUUUGAAUGCCUGAGCUUUUUAGAGAAAUUAUGGCGUUUAAUCCACUAGCUUUGUCUUGCUACUUGUUAGAAUUCUAGGGGUCUGGGGUCUCUUUUUCUGAAUUAUGAGACUCUUAUUUAUAGUUGUAGGAAAAAAAGAGUCAUGAUGAAUAUGAACUUCCUUUGACCAAUCAGAUUUAAGUUGACAUGUCACCUUUUAUGGGCUUUAAUUUUAUGGGCCUACUGCAUCAUUUUGACAUGUGUCAUGGUCCUAUUGACUCCUUCCCUUGACUUGUCAUACCACAUCAUUUGACAUGUGUCACUUAUUUGGGCCUCUAGAAUAUGACGAUCUCUUGAACUUAUUAAAGUGGGCUCAUCAUUUAUAACCCAAAUUAAUGGACUAGCCCAAUAAAGAUUGGACUUCAUUUAAAUCCAUACAUGUUUGGAGUUAAAUAAUUAAUCCAAUAAUAUUAAUCCGCAAUAUUUAUUUGGGACUAAUAUAUUUUGAAUUUAAUAUAAUCCGAAUUUGAUACGGAUUUAAAUUUAAUAAAAUUACAUCGAACACAAUACUAUAGAUUAUAAUUUUUCUAAUAUGAAUAUGAUAAAUUAUAUUUUAAAAUAUUAUUCAAAGUUUAUAUCAAUUGAUUGAUUAAAAAAAAAUUAUGAUAAGGAUGUCUCUACUCCCUAAUUGGCUUUCAACGUCUUGCUUUUUGGAAAAAGCAUCCUUCAACUUCAAAGCACUAUCUUCAAGCACUGCGUUCUUGACUUUAUGGCUAUGGCACGUUGUAAAGAUAAUGACAGAAAGUUAAGAUCUCUCUUUCUAUUUCUUGCCUCCUCUAUUUAUCUUGCGAGAGAACUGAGAAGAGAUGUACGUGAUCAUCAGUUCAUUUAAAAGUUGGAAUCGUUAUGAAGAUUAUAAUUUUGUUAAUGUAAUUAUACUUCAACGUCUUGACCCUCACAGAAAUGAUUAUGCAUCAUGGGCUUGAUUUCUUUUGAUGAGCCAGACAUGGAAAAUAAAUUAUUAAUAAGUGAUAAAUAAAACUCUUUCGAUCCAAUAACUCUUGCUUCGUUCUCAUCUUUUAUGAGCCCCACACACAUAAAACUUUUAUCAAUAUUUUUACAUCCCACGUUGGUUGAAGGGAGGGGAAUUUGGCAUUAUUAUUAUUAUGCCAACGCUUACAUUUAUUUAAUAUUUUUAAAAUUACUAAUCCUGAUAUGAGUAGUCUUUGAUAAUUGUAAAUUGAAAGAGAUUUUAUUAUGGUGGGACUAUAUUUCACCCUUGAUUAGAGGCCUUGGGUUCAAGCCUGGAUAUGAAGAAUUGGGAGCACCACCCCCUUAAUGGGUUCUACAAUGCGAGAUUCCAAUUAGUCAUGGCUUUAAUACGGCCGUACACCGGAUGAAAAUUUUUAAAAAAGAAAAAAAAAAGAAGAAAGAAUUGAAAGAAAUUUUAGAGGAAUUAAUUACUGGACUUUUGAAAUUAAAUAUCCUCAACUGCAUAAAGUAGUAGGGCAUAUAUUGGCCUAGUGUGGGAGAGGUAUUUUGGCCAAUUACAUCAAUUUUAGUUGAUGCAAUUUUUACUUGUACAAUGUCACCACAAUUGUUUUGUCACAGUCAAUCUGCACAAUGGAAAACUCACUUAGAAAUGAACACAAUUCAUAAAUCAAUCAAACUAGCAUAGCAUAUUCGACAGGGAUUCAACAGUAAAAACUUUUGAAUGUAAUUAUUCACACAGGAAAAGGUUAUUAAGUGUAAACAUGCAUACAGAAGAACCCAUGCUAGUAUGGCUGCAAAUGAACUAAAAUCCCUUACCAGCAUGUGCAGUUUCCUUUUCCUUUUUUCUUGAUCAGGUAAACAUUUCAUUAAUCACAGGGCCAAAGUCGGCCGUAUACAAGAAGUAUACCAAAAAGUAAAGAACCUACAAUACGACAUGGUUCUCUACAAAAGACACCCAAUCCUUUAUACAAUCCUGCACUACAUGGAUGCAACAAAAAUAAAUAAGGGACCUCCUCAACUGGACAAAAGUCAAUUCUACCCCUUCAAAAGCCCUCCUAUUUCUCUCUCCCCAAACGAUCCACAUCAAAGCUAAAGGAACAAUAUUCCAAGCCCUGCACUUUCUCAUGCUUCUUCUAGCUUUCCAAUGAAAAAAUGUUUCCUUCACAUUUCUGGGCAUCACCAAAGAAAUACCAAACCAGCUAAACAUUUCCCACCACAGUCUCGUAGUCAGGUUGCAAUGUAAUAGAAGAUGAUCAACCUCCUCACCCGUCUUUUUGCAUAAGUAACACCAGCUAAUGCAUACGAUCUUACUUUUUCUUAGGUUUCCUGCCGUCAAAAUCACCCCCUCUGGCAGCUAACCAAGAGAAAAAAUACAUCUUCCUCGGUACCUCCAUAUCCACCCUCACCAAGAGCUUCUCAUAAAAGGACUUGACAGAAAAAACCCAAUUACUCUCCAACUUCCAUUUCAGAGUACCGAAUCUAACGACUGGCUCAUGAUAUAUGCUGAUAAAUUAGAGCUAGAAACAUUUGAAACCCAUUAACCUCCCAGUCUUAAAAAUUCCUCCUAAUGAUGGACUACCGCCUCCCUCUGACAAGAAAUCCUAUAGAGGCUCGGGAAUUCAUCUUUUAGUCCCACAUCUCUACACCAUUUGUUUUUCCAAAAACUGACUCUCCUCUUAUCCCCUACCCUGGACGAGAUGUUAACCUCAAAAUCAGCCCAUCACUUCAUAAUACUACUCCACACUCCACACCCAUACGCCAUAUUGAUUUCAUUAAUUCUCCCACCCCCUUCCAUCACUCCAUAUUUUUCUACUAUCACCCUUCACCAAAAAGAAUGGACCUCUAUCCCCAAUCUCCAUAACUAUUUUCCAGGCAAAGCUUUAUUAAAUACCCUUAAGUCUUUGAAACCCAACCCUCCCCAAUUUUUAGGCAUAGUCACUUUCUUCCAUCAGACCAAAUAAUGUUUUCUUGCCCCGUCUGUCGAAUCUCAAAGAAAGUUUCUUUGAAGUCUUUCCAGUUUUCCUGUAACACUGGUAGGAUCAUGAAACAAAGACAAAAAGUAAGUGGGGAUACUUGAUAAUGUGCUCUUAAUAAAGCACUUCUUUUCCUCCUUUGGAUAAAUAUCUUUUUUGCCAACUAGCAAGCCUCUAGAUUAACGUAACCCCUUUUGGAAGGAGAUAUCAACUCAUAAGGUUCUCCCAAAACAUGUAACUUAGAACAUAAGUACCUUUGGGUACUUUUGGACAUGUGAGCUUUCACAUUAAUGGCCCAUGUAACAUUCAUUUGAAUUUGGCAAUGGACAAUCUGAAAAGAUGACUUAAAAGCUUCAUCUAGAUAUGAAAAAAGGCGGAUAAAAAUAUAGUUGAUAAACGAGUGACGAAUGAACAUGUCACAACACAUGCUUUUUCUCAGUUGCAUCAUCUACACCCCCAAAACUCACCAAAAGAACAGGACCAAACUCUGGAUGGUGGAGAAACCCACACUGUUGGAAGCUCACUUAGUAAAUCAGGCAGAGAGUCAAUGGUGAAAUAUCAAAAGUAGCCAACAUAAUAUAGGAGAUUUGGUAUUAGCCCAAGAAAUGUCCUACAAAUGCUUCGAACUUCAUACAGAUGAGCUUAGUUUGUAUAUCAAAUUCUAUCUCAGCUGUUGUGGUUGUACUCUGGAAAGUGCAUAAUAGUCUUCUAAAGGAGGAGGGAUAAACUGCACUGCAGGUAGAUCAGCAUCUAAUGGAAUUCUUUUACAGUAAUAAAGAUGUGCAUAGUUCAUUUAUCAAAUUCCAUCUAAGUUGUAGUUCUACUUCAUGCUUGGGAAAUGCAUAAUUGUCUCUGUGUGUGUUUGGGGGAGGGGAUGUGAUAGAGGGACAAACCGCAGGUAGAUCAACAUCUGUUGGAAUUCUUUUGCAGUAAUUGCCAGCGUACUCCUGAACUUGAAUUCCCUGCAAAUAAAUAGAACACGGUCAGCAUGCGAGCUCAGUUUCACUUUCCAUAAAUUAGGUAUGGCAAUUCUCCUACGAGAGAAGCACAGGAAGAUCCGAAAAAUAGGGAGCAUACCUGACUACAUCUUACACGCAUUACUGCCUCAAACCUUUCGGGCCUAGUGAUAUUCCAUCGAAGAUCAUUGUAUAGCUUGGCAGUAUCAGCAAGAGCAGAAAACGGGAAAUAGUAAUACACCUGACACAAGUGAAACAACCAUAAAGCUCAAAGCUUAGAUGUAAAAAUAUCAAAAGGAACAUGAAGUGAAGUGGCUGCAUCAUAAGAUUGUUGAUAAAUUUCAUGAACAGUAAGUUGCACCAUAACCAAGGCCCUAGGGAAGAAGACAAGCUAAAAUAGUAACAAGCGUCACAGUUACCUGCCCACCAGUGGUCCUAGGAAUGACUGAAAUGGAGGCAAUGUCUUCAUAAGAUUGAGUUGUGAGAAACACGUCAACACAGACCUGAAGCAGUUGAGGUCUAAUUAAUAAAAGUGAAUGAUUAUAAAAAUAAAGACCAAAAGGCGUUCUUAAUCCUAUUUGUUUUUAAUGAAUCAUCACUGCCACGGGCUUUUAAUAUAAACUCUCACCUGAUACUCAGCAAACUCAAUGGCCAUUGUCUUCAGAUUUUUGUCGGCUGGCUGGAGUAACUUGUUAGCCUCCUGAAAUUGGAAAAUAUACAACUCUUCUGAAUAAGCAAUGUCAUGGUUUGUUUUUUCGGCAUAAGACAUUAGCGCUGAAUAUGUACAUUACAAAACUCAGAUGGAGUUUCACUUAUCCAAUGCUUACAGGAUUCCACUAAAAGUACCUCAGUGUACCAGACAAACACCAUUGGCAUAAAACAUUCAUCUGUUCUAAGAAAACUGAUCAACGAGUAAAAAACUGAUAAGCCCAGUCUGGUGAAAUCUUAGUAGGAAUACACCUAAACACAAGAUUUAAGAAGAAAAUUGAUAGCCACAAAGAGCACUCUCAUUUACCACACAAGAAAAAUGAUUAUUCUGCUCCACGAUUUAAGACAAUGAUUCAAGAGUGCAAUGAAGAGCAGACAUUUUCAUGAAAUGAUGAGCACGCUGCCAUUCAUUUCUCAGCCUUUCUACUUCUUUAGAGGUAGAGGUAUGGACUGCGUACAUCUUACCCUCCCCAGACCUCACUAUGUGGGAAUAAACUGGGUUUGUUGUUGUUGUUGUUGUUGACGACUCAAAUAAGUGAUUAGCAGCUUAAAGAACUUCAGUCAAGUUACUGAACCUCUAUUUCUGACCAUACAUUAUUGUACAUGCUCUAGUAGUCAAAUUUCAAGCAGACAUUUUGAUAUCAAUAAAUAGAAAAGACUAUUUAAUUUCCAAUGUUCUCUUUAAUAAGAAGUUGACAGUUAAAAGACAUCAUCUCUCGCACUUAAUCGUCUUAGCGACAAUAUUAGAAGCUUCUAUAUAUUCAGCACAAUAUGGACAACUUUAUGGGCAGAGCCCACAUUAUAAACGAGCAAUGUCUUUCUACAUCCAAAAUAUGAAAUGAGGGGCAAAAACUAGGGGACAGUAGGUAGAAACAAUCUAAAAGUGAGACAGAUAUAUGCUGAAGAACUAAAAACUGGUUCAAAAAUUUUACCUUCUCUGCAGCUGAUACAUUGGUUCUUCCUUCAGCCUCUCUAGCAGAAAUACUUCAAUUUUAAAAGAACCAGACAGUGCUGUAGAAAGCAAUCCUCUUAUGUAUCAUCCUAUUUAGUCAGAUUGCAUUGGAAACAGAAGUUAAGCAUAAAUUAAUGAAAGCAAAACAGUCAAUCAGCAGUGCAUUGUAAACAAGGCGUGGGGGAUCAAAGAUAAAAGAUGUUUUAAUGCAAGCAUGCGGACAAUAUUACCGGCUUGAUUUUUUACUAGUACAUGAAACUUAAAGUUAACUGCAUUUAGCACCUUACCUGAUUGAAACACAAGAAGUUUGCCUCCAGUGCUUUUCAUUGCCAAGAAAGCAGCCUGAAGUAACAAAACACGAAGUAAGAAUCAAUCUAUAUGAUAAUCCAUCAUAGACUGAUGUCGUUAGACUUGCAUCAAUCAUCUGCAUGAGGGAGAUCCCAGAUUUAAAUUCUAUGGGAUCAAUCUUUAAUGUUCGAAGCAUUGGACACAUUAAUUUUAAAAAAAAAAAACGAUAACAGUUGUGUCCAAGCUAGCUUGCGCGCACCUCGACUAACUCAAUGUGAUAUUUGUCACCUCCCACCUACAAUAGAUACUAAUUGACUUUGUCAAACAAGGCUAGGACAAAUGGGAAGAGAUCACCUAGAGUUUUUGUCUCUGCUGAGAUUUGAACAUGAGACCUCGUGAUUCUCAACCCACUUCAUUGACCACUACAUAUUUUUAAAUUUAUGGCUUCAUACCCAUCAUUUAGUGCAAGUUUAGUCAUUUUUUACACAUAAACUUAUGCUCUAAGUUGAACGUAUCGGGUUUAGAUGAACCCGUUACUGUACGGCUGGACCUGCCCCUGCAUCUGCAUGUAGAGACAUAUACUACUUAAUUUUUCCAAUCUUUUUCUAAGAAUGGCAAAGUCUCAGGAAACUGUAAUGACCUAACUACUCACAUUAUAGAGGGAAUGCAGAAAAUACUUAUUCCAUCUAUGAAUUAACGAGGCAAUUUUUUAAAAAAAAGGCAAUAUAAAACAAGUGGAUUUAUAUUCCAAAUGAUAACUUGGGAAUAUAACUUCAUGUAACGCACUGAUACCUUGACAGCAGCACCAAAAGCUGAAUUAGCAGUCCAGUUGUUCUGGAACAUAGUUGGGAUGCUUUCUAGGAGAAGCUCUAGGUUUUGACGGCACUGAAAACACAAACAAGGAACAACUUUCAUAGGACGCACUCAUAGUCUUAGUCAUUCUGCUUAAUAAGGGGAAAAUGAACAGAAGUUAGACAACAUCUUGCAGAACAAACCUCCGACAGCUGCACAAUAACAUCAGUCUGAAGGGGGGUGUAAACGUCUUGGACAUCAGGGACUAUUAGCAUCAAUGGCUGCAAAGGUAGAUCCAGAAUAAACUUAUCAGAAAACACGCACUUCACCAACCUAAACCAUUUGCCACAACCCUAAUCCCACAGUUUAGCAUCCAUAUUAAAGAACAAUGAACAGGUCAUAUUAGAGAACAAUGGAACAAGUGAAAUGGAAUCCAACUAUACCGGAGAAGAAAAAUGAAGAACUGCAUAAUUAAGCAAAAUGAAGAAAUCCAACAAUAAGGAGAAGAGCAACUAAUUAAGGCAGAAAAGUUGAGAAAAGUCAUAAAGUACUCUUUUUGAAGGCUAAUAUUUUCUUCCUGCAAUCCAUUACUUAAUCAUGGACAAGACAAAUGAAAAAGGAAAACAACAACAAUUUUACUUUAUUUUAGUAAGUACUACUAACUCUGCUUCCCAGAUAUGCCUAAUUUUGCUCAAACUCUCCAAAAAUGUUGUCACACCUGUCUCGGAUCCACAAAAAUGCAUAAUUUUUUGAGGAUCCGACAUGCACUAUUUGACAUUUUUGAAGAGCCCGAGCAACAUACACUUGGUUAAAGAUUUUUAUUUUAUUUUCACUACAGAAAUUCUUUACGAAGAGCCGAGGGUCUUUUGGAAACAGUCUCUCUACCUCCCACGAGGUAGUGGUAAGGUCUGAGUACGCUCUCUACCUUCCCUAAACCUCACUAGUUUCACUGGGUAUGUUGUUGUUGCAAAGAAAUUCUUUAAGAAAUGGCAUUUAGCUAAUCAUCUUGGCAACACAUUUCUGAAAUCCAACGAGAAUCAUUUUAGUAGUUCUGCAUUUUACCCUUAAAAGUAAUUGUCAAUUCAUCACUACCUCAACAAAGAGAAAAAUGGCAAAGAUAACUGAUUAAGACUUAACACUAAUUACAAAGCAUCUUUUAAUUUUAGAUUCUAUUCAAUAGCUUAAUUUAGCAGAAUAAACUCAUUUGGAUGUGCUGAACCUGCUGCAAUGCACACUUGAGAUUGUAAAAGUGGAUAGUUGAGUCAAAUGUAGCAACUCCAACCAACGUCCGAGGACCAUCCUGCAAUAAUAAGUUUUCAAAGUCAAAGACAGCUCUUUUAACUCUCCAAGAAUUCAUAUUGUGCAUUAAAAUUGAAAAGAAAUGCAUCUUAGCUGAACUAUAUCACAAAUAGAAUAGACUCCCAAAUCUCUUGCCUCUUAGUGAACAUGUCAUUCUACCACUUGACCGAUCCCAUCUCUCCCGAAUUCCAUUAGAUCAUAGAUUGAUUUCUACCAGAUCCUAUGGUCCAUUCAACUAGAAUGACACCAGAUGCCAAGAAAAGAACCCCACAAUCAAAGCAAGGGUUCACCUGAAUCUUUUCGUCACAUUCAUAGUUUUCCUUUUACCUUCUGAUUUAUUAUAAGCCAUCACUUAAGGAGAUGCAAAUCAACAGGUUAUCGCAUCAUAAUCUCUUCAUCUUUUUUUGCCUAAUCCCCCCCCGAUGUCCAGCAGCCACUAAAUAUAAAUUUCCAUAAUGACCUCUUGGAUAAAACAAAGUGAUCAAGCAGCAUUCGUGCAGCAUCGCACCAUUCAGAAUGGAGACAACUAGGUUUUCCACAAUCAGAUACAUAAAUAACUAACCUAUCUCAUCAUCUCAACAGACAAAUUACACGGAUAAUUGCUUCGCUACAUCAGAAGUUCUAGGUAAAAGUGGAUAGUUGAGUCGAAUGUAGCAACUCCAACCAAUGUCCGAGGACCAUCCUGCAAUAAUAAGUUUUCAAAGUCAAAGACAGCUCUUUAACUCCAAGAAUUCAUAUUGUGCAUUAAAAUUGAAAAGAAAUGCAUCUUAGCUGAACUAUAUCACAAAUAGAAUAGACUCCCGAAUCUCUUGCCUCUUAGUGAACAUGUCAUUCUACCACUUGACCGAUCCCAUCUCUCCCGAAUUCCAUUAGAUCAUAGAUUGAUUUCUACCAGAUCAUUCUAUGGUCCAUUCAACUAGAAUGACACCAGAUGCCAAGAAAAAACCCCACAAUCAAAGCAAGGGUUCACCUGAAUCUUUUUGUCACAUUCAUAGUUUUCCUUUUACCUUCUGAUUUAUUAUAAGCCAUCACUUAAGGAGAUGCAAAUCAACAGGUUAACGCAUCAUAAUCUCUUCAUCUUUUUUUGCCUAAUCCCCCCCCGGUGUCCAGCAGCCACUAAAUAUAAAUUUCCAUAAUGACCUCUUGGAUAAAACAAAGUGAUCAAGCAGCAUUCGUGCAGCAUCGCACUAUUCAGAAUGGAGACAACUAGGUUUUCCACAAUUCAGACACAUAAAUAACUAACCUACCUCAUCAUCUCAACAGACAAAUUACACGGAUAAUUGCUUCGCUACAUCAGAAGUUCUAGUUAAUCUCACUGAUUUUAGUAUAAAAAUUGAUUAAUUUAUGAUGACUCCACUUGAGAAGACACGCCAAAUACUUUUCCCUCUAAUCUAAAGGGAAAAAAAAUGCAUGUUGCAUCAUCAUAAACAACCAAUAGACUUACAGGGAGAUCAGAAAUAACUUGGCUGAUCGCACUGCAAGCAGCUGCAGUUGCACCAGUCUGUAUGGCAUUCAUGGAAACAUCUAUCAGGAAGAAAUAAACAGCGGGCAUUGGAUCCCGAACCUGAAAUACAAGAAAAAAUUCCAAGUUAUUACUGCAAAAUAAAAUGAGUCACAAAAUCAAAUUAAGGAAUUCUCUAGACCAAAGACAGGAGUGCAUCUACGAAAAAGGAGAGCAUCAAAUCAACUUGCAACAUAGAGUAGGUUCUAAGCUAUAUCUACAUUGAUUUAGAACUCUGUAAAAUGUCUCUGUGGAAGUAUUAGUUUAAUUUUCUAAACUUGAGCUCCUACUCGUCCACACUACCGACCCCCUCAACCCAUGCGCUGUUAACAGAUUGCAUAGUACUCUAGGAGCAGUAAAUUGACAAGUCUGCCACAGUUCAACAUCUCACGUAUCCUGCUCAUUGCUCAGUGGACCUUCUCCUUCUCACCAUAUUCCUCUUUAGCUUCUCUCUGUAUAUGUUGUUUUUUACUACUUUCAAUGCUGAAAAGAAUUUUGUAACAAAUAAUAUACAAACCAACUGUUUCCUCCUAAAGUCUAAAAUCAGCAACAGAAUAGCAGGCCGAUAGCAACAACCUGGUGCUGGAAAACAACACAAGAACCGGCAUUUGGAGUAUAUUGAAAACGGUGCUAGUGAACUGCAAACUUUCCGCAUACCAAUCCACUGUGACUCAAUCUCAAGUUAGUGUUUUAUUUUAUUAUUACUUAUUUGCCCACAGGGUAUGUUGUUAUUGUUGUUGUAUUUUUAUACCAGCAUCAAUCCCAAUAGUUAAUAUUGCAAUAUGAAUCCUGUGUAGUCAAGUCACUCUGUUCUGGUUAGCUUCAGCAAAUACCAUAACAACUUCAGAUGUUAGAUUUGAAAGCACAAAGCUAGCAAAACAGAAAGCUCAGAGCUUGAAAUGUCUACUUAAUAUGGCAUUACUCCUAUAACGUCAUGCAAUCACAUCCCUUAACCAAUGUGUCCAAAAAGUACCAACCAUAUAUUCCUUCGUAGCGACAAACUUAACAGUUCCUCGGCAUAGUUCAGGCCUCUCAUCAGCAUCCCUACGCCUGCCAUCUGGACCUAAGUUGCACUGAUAGUCACGAGGAGUUUCAUCGGUAUGUCCUGCAACAAGGACGGCAAGAAACAUGAGAUAAGAGUUGCAUAACAACACAUUUUCAUUAAACAUGCAGUAUUAAGAAAUUGAAAUGGUUUUUACAUUUCAAGUUAUGAAUGCGAUUGAUUAAUUAAAGCUAAUGGCCUUUGUCCUCACUUAAAAGUUGAGGAACCUGAAAAGAGAUAUCGGUAAAUGGAAUAGAGAGGUCUGUGGCAAACUAGACUAUCAGAGGAAUAAGGUUCUGGAAGAGCUGGGAUUCCUUGAACAAAUUGCUGAACACAGGGAAAAUACAACAGAAGAGAAACUGAAAGCUUGAAGUCUGAAACUAGACCUUAAACAGAUAGCAAUUGCUAAGGAAAUUUCUGUAACACCCCGCAUUUCGGACUAGAAUAAAAACCAUGACUCUGAUGCGUUGAUAAUCCCAGAGCCUUAAAUCCUAUGCCAAUUUGGCAUGUUUAUGUAGUAUGUGAAUCCAUCUGAGCAUGAAUUUAGACCCUAGAGGUCCUUCAACUCAAGGACAAGUUGAAACUAUCUCGAUCGAUUAAGUUUUAGUGGACGUUGUAAUUUGUGUCAGCUUCCAUCGACCAUAACUCUCUGUACAUGUUGAAUUAGAGAGCCUACUAUGUGUCAAAUCAUAGGUCUUCGAGCUAACUUUCCAACGAUACCAAUUUUGCUAAAAUCCGACACCCGAGCAAGAAGUUAUGGCCUUUCAAAGUAGUAUGCGUCACCUAACCAAUCGCACAUGGCCACUGGAAAGCAUAUGCGAUAGCAUAUGCGGCGCCUAUGUAAAUAUAGGCGAUAUCAUAUGCGGCGUCUAUGUAAAUAUAGGCGAUAUCAUAUGCGGAGGCUAUGUAAAUAUAGGUGAUAUCAUAUGCGGCGCAUAUCUUAUGGUUUCAAGUGACUUAAACACUCCGUUUUUGGGGCAAAAUAGUCCUUUUCCCACCCUUAUUCAGCCAUAAACACGAAAUUCAGUCCCCAAUUCUCCAAAAUACAUCCACAUUCAUCUAAAAAUUCUCAAGAACACUUCCAGGGGUUUCAAACUAAAAACCCAAAUAAAUCAAGAUUUAACCGUAGGUUUUCAAAAUUGAUUAGAGAUUCGGAAUCCCCAAUCCACAGGCUUCAAGAAGCACCCAUUAUUUUCCGAAAUAGAGGUACGCGGGGUUUUCCUAAAUUCUCAUGGGCAUAGAAAAAUCAUGUUUUAGAAUGGGGUUUUUGAAUCUAUGUAUAUAUUCAUGUAUUAAAUAUUUUAACAUCAUUAUUUUGGUCUUUUGACCUUCCCCAAAGUGAUUUGAGAAUAUGAAUGUAUGAAACCNNNNNNNNNNNNNNNNNNNNNNNNNNNNNNNNNNNNNNNNNNNNNNNNNNNNNNNNNNNNNNNNNNNNNNNNNNNNNNNNNNNNNNNNNNNNNNNNNNNNNNNNNNNNNNNNNNNNNNNNNNNNNNNNNNNNNNNNNNNNNNNNNNNNNNNNNNNNNNNNNNNNNNNNNNNNNNNNNNNNNNNNNNNNNNNNNNNNNNNNNNNNNNNNNNNNNNNNNNNNNNNNNNNNNNNNNNNNNNNNNNNNNNNNNNNNNNNNNNNNNNNNNNNNNNNNNNNNNNNNNNNNNNNNNNNNNNNNNNNNNNNNNNNNNNNNNNNNNNNNNNNNNNNNNNNNNNNNNNNNNNNNNNNNNNNNNNNNNNNNNNNNNNNNNNNNNNNNNNNNNNNNNNNNNNNNNNNNNNNNNNNNNNNNNNNNNNNNNNNNNNNNNNNNNNNNNNNNNNNNNNNNNNNNNNNNNNNNNNNNNNGGCAUACAGAGAUGUUAGGUGGUUCCCUAAAGAGGGCUUGAGUUCAAGCAACUCAUUGCCUAAAAUCGUGGUUUGCCGACCCGAGUAUAUUAUUAUAUGCUGACUUAAGUGUCGUGCGGCGUAUCAUAUUCAAGAACUCCAACCCUUCUGGCAUACUCGGGUUGGAGGCUUCCCUGCUGAGUCAAUGGCGGAUUCCAUAUCGCUCGUGGAAUAUCAGACUUGCAGGGGAUACCACCUAACUUAGAAGUAAUACACAGAUCAGAGUUUGAGACUUACAGACAGGUUACAUGUUUUCAGAAGGUGCCCAUGUGUUUUUCAGAAACUGUUUUAUGCAUAAUGUUUGAUGAACAUUUGCUCUCACGUAUUAUAUAUAUAUANNNNNNNNNNNNNNNNNNNNNNNNNNNNNNNNNNNNNNNNNNNNNNNNNNNNNNNNNNNNNNNNNNNNNNNNNNNNNNNNNNNNNNNNNNNNNNNNNNNNNNNNNNNNNNNNNNNNNNNNNNNNNNNNNNNNNNNNNNNNNNNNNNNNNNNNNNNNNNNNNNNNNNNNNNNNNNNNNNNNNNNNNNNNNNNNNNNNNNNNNNNNNNNNNNNNNNNNNNNNNNNNNNNNNNNNNNNNNNNNNNNNNNNNNNNNNNNNNNNNNNNNNNNNNNNNNNNNNNNNNNNNNNNNNNNNNNNNNNNNNNNNNNNNNNNNNNNNNNNNNNNNNNNNNNNNNNNNNNNNNNNNNNNNNNNNNNNNNNNNNNNNNNNNNNNNNNNNNNNNNNNNNNNNNNNNNNNNNNNNNNNNNNNNNNNNNNNNNNNNUUCGCGUGCCAGUACAAUUGUGCUGACCCCCUUCCUCCCAGGUAACUGAGGCGCAGUCUAGGGGUCUAGAUACUCAGUAGAGUCUACAGACAGAGUUGUCUCAGAGUUCAGUUGGUGAGCCUUCUUUGCUUCGAAAGGCCUAGUCAUUUAGGUAUUUAUUUCAGUAUGGCUUUUGGUCUGCUGGGGGCCUUGUCCCAGUUAUUCAGAUAGUAUGUCAGUACAGAUUUCGUAGACUGUUGCAGAUGUUUAUUAAAUAUUGUUGGGCAUGUUUUCAGGCCUUUAACUGUUUUAAAUUGUUGACCAUGUUUCCGUAUUAUUGUGUCUAUUCCGUAUUACUUUGAUCAUAUGAAUUAUGUGCAUAAUUACCAAAUAGACAGAGGACGUUCCGGGCCUUCAGGUUCGGGAAUGCUCGUCGCGGCCAGGGCCCCGGUUCGGAUCGUGACAAUUUCUUGGAGGAAAAAGUCCAGAUUUCUAUGGCUAAAAGCCGGGGACAAGAACACUAAGUUCUUCCAAAGAAUGGCAAACUCACACAAAAGAGGCAAUAGUAUUGACAGGCUAAAAAUUGAAGGAGAAAUCAUUGAGGAUGAGGAUGUGAUAAAAGAAGGCAUCCUUGAUUUUUACCAAAACCUUUAAAAGGAAUCUGAACCAUGGAGGCCAUCUGCAGAGUUUGAAAACAUCUCAACUUUAAGGAUUGAGGAAAGGGAUGAGCUAGAGCUACCAUUCAAUGUACUUGAAGUUCUUAAUGCUCUCAAAUCAUAAGCUCCAAGCCCUGAUGGCUUUACCAUGGCUUUUCUACCAGAAAGAAUGGAUUUUCAACAAAGAAGACAUCAUGAAUGCCUUCAGUUAUUCCAUCAAAACUAUCAAUUGGUGAGAUCCUGCAAUGCUUCCUCCAUUGCCCUUAUUAUCCCAAAGAAGAAGGUGCUUUGGAACUUAGGGACUUAAAACCAAUCAGCCCCGUAGGAAGCAUUUAUAAACUGGUGGCCAAGGGUCUGGCUGAGAGGUUGAAAAAGGUGGUGUGCAAUUUAGUUUCAGGUCAACAAAGUGCUUUCAUGAAGAACAGGCAGAUUACUGAUGCCUCACUUAUUGCUAAUGAAGUGCUAGACUGGAAGAUCGAAAGUGGGGAAACUGGCAUUCUAUGUACGCUAGACAUAGAAAAGGCUUUUGACCAGUUACAAUGGAGCUAUCUAGCUAAACUUCUAAAAAUACUAGGCUUUGGCAACAGGUGGAUUAAAUGGAUAUACUUCUGCAUCUCAAUUGUUAAGUUCUCAGUAGUGAAUAGAAGUCCAGUAUGGUUCUUCUAUCCCAAAAGGGUCUCAGGCACGGGGACUCCCUCUCUCCUUUUCUGUUUAUCUUGGCAAUGGAAGAGCUCACUCAGUUACUAGUUAGAGCUAGAGAACUUCAAUGGAUUCAGGGAUUCCAAGUUGGCAAUGACCCUAGCACAGCUGUUACAGUCUCACAUCUGCUAUAUGCAAAUGACACUUUGGCUUUUGGUGGAGCAAACAGACAACAAAGUGCGGCAAAUCAACAUCACUCCCAUGGUCUUUGAAUCAAUUUCUGGACUUCACAUCAACAUGAUCAAGAACAAAAGCUACCCAGUAAAUAGAGUCCCCAACUUAAAUGAUCAGGCAGACAUUCUUAGUUGCAAAACUAGAACUCUUCCAACUACCUACUUGGGAUUGCCAUUACGAGCAAAAUUUAAGGUUAUUGAAAGAAUGGAGAAGAGACUAGCAACCUGAAGAUGCAAUCUCUCUUUAGGAGGCACACUUACACUAAUCAGUAGUGUACUUGAUAGUAUUCCCGCCUACAUUAAAAGCCAUUUUUUACUUUUAGGAUUGUUUGGCAAAUUUAAAAGUUGCUUAAAAAAAGUUAAUUUUUGCUUUUUAAAAGCCAAAAGCUAGAAGUUGUCCAUUCCUUACUCUUUUUUUUCAGUUUAUAAUCCAUUAAAAGUUGACCACAUAAAAGAUAUUUGUGUCCCUUAUAAUUCUUAUUUAUUCCAAAAUUACCCUCUUGUAACCCCCAAAACACAUUCUCUUUCACUACAACACACUUCUUCUUGUAUUAAUUAAACAUUUUUACUUUUUGUAUUUAUGGCGAACUUAACUAUAGCCAUAUUAGUACCUCUUUUGUGUGAAACUUAUAAUUUAUGAAAUAUGAUUUUUAUGUAUUAUUCUCAUUCUUUAAUAUAUUCUUUUAAAUUUGAACAAUUAUUAUUAUACAACAUAUGAAUUUUUCUAAGGAAAAAAAAAACUCACCAACCAAGAUAUACGGAGAACAUUCACUGAAGAUAUACAACUUUAUGAACGAUUAGCGAACAAUUCACGAAUAUUUGACGACGCAACGUUCGUAUUCGACAAUGUUUUAAUAGUGGUAUAGUCAUUACUCAAUCAACGAGUAAUAUAUUUUUCAAUUAAGAGUCAUUUUAGCAAAGAAAUAGUAUCAUUUGUGACCAACUAUUUAUCUAUUAAUGUAAUUAUAAUGAUUAGUAACAUAUAUAUUUUGUUUGAUGAUUUAAACUCUUUUAACCAAGAAAAAAGAAUUUUUUUUAGCGCACAUUUAAUAGUCAUUCAUGAAAAUAUUUUAUAUAUUGAAACUGAAUUAAAAAUAUAUAUAUUAAUUUUAAUUUGAAUCAUUUUAGAAAUAAAAAUUAAUAAUAAUCUACUCUACAUAUUGUUAACAGCUUUAAGGGUAUUUCAGACAUUUUGACCCAAAAAAGUGCUUACAACACUUGUUUACCAAACACAUCAACAACUUUUUUUCAGUUUCAACACUUUUAUCCAAACACGUAACUGCUUCUUUUUAAAAUAAGUUUCAGCACUUUCAAAAGCACUUUUAAAGAAUCUUUUAAAAGCCAUUUUUUUUCAGUCUAUCCAAACAGGUUCUAAGAAGGAAAUUUCUAACAACAACAACAACAACAACAAACCCAGUGUAUUCCCACUUAGUGGGGUCUGGGGGGGUAAGAUGUACGCAGUCCAUACCUCUACCUCUGAUGAAGUAGAAAGGCUGUUUCCGAAAGACCCCCGACUCCAGGAAUACACCCCCACCAAUUACCUCCCUACAUUAGCGACCCGAACAGGCCCUAAUCCUCUGCCGUAAUUCGCGUCUUCCAGACCUUCCUAUCUAGGGUCAUGUCCUCGGUGAGCUGUAACUGUUCCAUGUCCCGCCUAAUCACCUCACCCCAGUACUUCUUCGGUCUACCCCUACCCCGUCUAAAACCAUCCAACGCUAGCCUCUCACACCUACGGACCGGGGCAUCCGUGCCCCUCCUCUUCACGUGUCCGAACCAGCUCAAUCGUGCUUCCCGCAUCUUACACUCCACUGAAGUCACACCAACCUUCUCCCGGAUAGUCUCAUUCCGAACUCUAUCCCCUCGAGUCAGUCCACACAUCCAGCGCAACAUCCGCAUUUCUGCCACCUUCAUUUUUUGGAUGUGGGAGUUCUUAACUGGCCAACACUCCGCUCCAUACAGCAAGGCCGGACGGACUACCACCCUAUAGAAUUUGCCUUUAAGCUUGGGCGGCACCUUCUUAUCACACAGCACCCCCGACGCGAGUUUCCACUUCAUCCAUCCCGCCCCAAUACGGUGCGAGACAUCCUCGUCAAUCUCACCGUUACUCUGGAUCACGGACCCGAGAUACUUGAACUUAUCCCUCUUACAUACCUCUUGUGCUUCCAGCUUCACUACUACCUUGUUCUCCCGCCUCACGUCAUUAAACUUACAUUCCACAACAAGGUUGCUCAUAAAACUCACAACAAGGUUGCUCAUAAAAUGGCUAUGGAGGUAUGGCCAAGCAGAGGCCUGAUAUUGGAAAGAUGUCAUCAUAGCCAAAUAUGGGGCACAGAAACAUUGGUGUACCAACAGGAUCAGAGUACCAUAUGGGGUAGGGGACCUAGAAAUUUAUCAGUAGCUUUCAAGAGGUAAACAUUGGUGUACCAACAGGAUCAGAGUACCAUAUGGGGUAGGGCACCUAGAAAUUUAUCAGUAGCUUUCAAGAGGUCUUCUUUCAGAAGGUAUCCUACAAAGCUCACAAUGUCUGACCAAUGGCUUGGAAACACUACAUUAAAGAAUGUUUUUCCCAGCCUUUAUCAAAUAGCCAACAACAGGGAAGCAACCAUUGCACAAUAUAGAGAUGGCAACAUGUGGAACACUAAUUUCAAAAGGAAUCACCAAGAUUGGGAACUCAAUGAUCUGCUGCUCCUCUUAGAGUCCUUGGUGUCCUAUCAUCUAGAUAGAAAUGCUAGCAGGAUCUUAUGGGGCUCUUCCAAUACAGGAACCUACACAGUGAAAGAUUUCUACAGAGCAGAAUGCUCGCAGAAUAGCCAAAUUGAGCUUUGGCCUUGAAAGCAUGUUUGAAAAACUAGACAACCUCUCAAAGUCACUUGUUUCACAUGGAUUGCACUAUAUGAAGUCUCUUUGACUCAAGACAAUCUCAGAAAGAAAGGCAUCAUCCUUACCAACAGAUGCUACAACGAACCAGUGAACCACCUUCUUUUGAUUCAACCUGUGACCUGCCAGGUCGAAUCAAAGAAGCAUAUUUUAGCUGGAUUUCUUGGAGAGUUGACAAAUUCAUCAAAAUAAUCUGGAUCAUGAUCCUUGCAGUCAUAUUUUGGACCAUCUGGAAGGAAAGAAAUCAUAGACAUUUGCUUAGUAACCUUAUUCAGUUGGCACUCCCUAUCCCCUGUAAACAGUGUCGAUACCUUUUUAGAUUUUGUUAGCUCCUUAACUCUUAUUUAACAGAGUAUCAAGGUAUCAUUCUUUUGACUAUGUUUCUAGGUUUUUGAAGCUAUUUUUAGUUUAGUCAGUUUUUUCUCUCUAGCUACUCGUACCAUUGCAUCUACGUGAUGCCUUUCUAAUACAAUUAAUAAUUACUUUAACCAAAAAAAAAAAGAAUUGCAUGUGUAAUGCUGAGGCCGGUCCGUCCACGCCUUGAAUAUUUAUCAGAGGUGAAUGGACUAUCCCCAAAAUAAAAGAGAUAUAGAGAGAGAAUCAACAAUUCUUUCCUUUUACUGUUCCACUUCAUAGCGCUAGUUAACUUAUAAAGUUGCUCACGGGCAGGCUUCACAUAUAGACUGACAUGUCAACCUAUAAGGAUUAUAUUGAUAUCUAUCAAUGUCACUUCCAAAUAAAACUUAUAUCUGAAUUAGGUCCAGAAAAGACUACGUUUAAAGAUAAUUUUCUUCUUUGCAGCUUAUGAAAUGGAAGGUGUAAGAGUAAGACUGCUCACAUGUUCUCCGUUAACCAAUAAGAAUGAAUAUUAGACGUUUGAGAAUGUGCUUAUGUGUUUUGCUAGACUAGUUGGAGCAGAAAAAUAUCAAUAACGAUGUAAAUUUGAUACUUCUGUUUGGUAUUCUGUAGUUUCACAAAACAUCACAGCCAUGCUAUGUUGCAUUUCAAUCUUGAGUCUCUAAAUAAUAUAUAGAGCCACUCAAGACUCCAAAUAUCACAUAACUUCAGUGGAAAUAAAUGAAAUUCAUUCUUACCACAAAAUGAAUUUAAAGUUUCAAAAAAAAUCUUUCUUACCACAAAAAUUACAGAUGAAACGUCUUCCCUGAUCAAUGAACUUCACAAAAGGAUUUAUAUAACCUUUGCAACGGGAGCACCGAACAGGACCAUUUUCCCCAAAAUCUACCACCUAUCAAGGAAAACAACAGGUAGGUAAAAGAACUAACAAACUAUUUCAUUCUGCAGUCAAGUAAGCCACACAAACCAAUUUAGAUGAUUGAAGUGACCCUACAUGUUUAGAAUAUAGAGCAAGUAGAAAUGAAAACAAAUAUAUAACAAACAUAAACAUAAGAUCCAUGAUGAUUAGUCAAAACAUUAGAUGAUUGAAGUGACCCUACAUGUUUAGAAUAUAGAGCAAGUACAAAUGAAAACAAAUAUAUAACAAACAUAAACAUAAGAUCCAUGAUGAUUAGUCAAAACAAUCUCCACUCUAGGGAUCACGAUCAUGCCUUUUUGUCACGAAGAAGAAGAAGAAAAAGAAAAAGCACACUGCCCUGACGAAGGUCAUUGCAGUCAAUUGUACAUCUUAGAACAAAUCAAGCCAGUAAUACUUCAACAAAUAUCAACAAACACAAUUAAUUGUAAUAAUCACUUAUAAAGAUCUUGACACUACAAAUAUCAUUUGUUUGCAUGCGAUAACUUAAUUUUCGGUUAAUCACAUAUAAGACAGUUCUGCUUUUGGCUUACUUUGAGGCUAUAUCCUAGUUCUGGAUCAAAAUUAGGAAGUCCAAAAUAGUUCUUUUGUAACUGCCGGAAUCCUAGCCUGUGGGCUGUGGCUGCCUAUUUCUUUUAAUAUAAAACUUGCUUACCUUCUAAAAAAAAAAAAAAAAGAGUCCGCAAUGAUCCAGCUGGAGAGGCACAUAAAAAUCAAGAUUAGCGGUUAUGUGGCAGCAAGUAGCUAAGCUACUAUCGAAUUACUUGGGCCUACAACAUGGGUGAAAGUGCAAAACAGCUCUAGUUAUCAAAGGUUGAAAGAGAUGAGAAAAAACUGGAGACAUGGAAGCAAGGAGGAGCCAGCCUUAAAGAUACGGGUUUGGAAGAAUCCAAUAGUUUUGGCUCAAAACCCGUGCUUGAGUUUUAAGUAUAGAAUCUUUUUUGUUCUCAAAAGGUCCCUUUUAUUCAUUCUCAAAAGAAGUCUUGUUGUUUCUUUCCUUCCAAAUUGUUAUUACCUCGUGCUCUUCGGAUAAAAUAUAACAUAAAUCAUCCUUCAUAAAGGUAUGCCAUUAUUUACCUCGAACACUAUUACUUUUCCUGUUCCGUCAAAGGUUUCACACUUUCAUUUUUAGCCUGUUCGAAAAAGAAUGAUGUUACUCUACAUUUAGAAAUAAUUUCACUUUAAACUUCUCUUUUCACCCUCAAUGACAUGAUUUUAUAGCCACAUAAAUAUCACGGCAUGUUUAAGACCACAAAUUCUACAAUUCUUUUUCUCUCCACUUAAAUGUCAUGCCCAGACAGAAAGGUUCACAUAUAAUGAAACAUAAGGGUACAAAAAGGCUAUUAAAAUUAGAAUACAUAGAUGGCAAAAAAUGCUUUACCUGAAGGGGCUGUUCAGAUGGAUGAGGAAGAGCCAAGGGCUGGAUCAAUAAAGCCAAUUGCAUUGCCGAAGUUGUCAAAAGGUCAACAGUGCGUGGUAUCUGUUAAACAAACAACGAGGACCAAAUCAUCUACCAUUAGUGCUUUAAUUAAAAAAAAUAUAUAUGGUUAAUAAGCUACUCAUUACAUAGAAUAAGAAAGAGUAUAAUGCAGAAACCAUAGAGGGAAGAAUAACAGAGACAAAAAUCAACGCAAAAAAGUCUAGUACCUAACCAUGGGCUGCAAUUUCCAGUGUCCCUAGCAAUAUAGUUACUUGUGGCAGGCUUCGAGUGGACGAAAAAGGAAAAAGGAAAAAAAGGAAACAGCAGCAAGAACAAAAAAGUUAGUUUAGUAAGAAGCUUUGGGAGGCAAGCAUAACCAUUUGAAAAAAAGAUGGUUCAGCCGCAUAUGCAACAGUACUAAAUGAAACAAUAAUUUACCGGAGGGGGAUUGGCUUGGUUGCAUUGUCGGGUUUCAUGCAGAACUACAGAAGCAUUUGGAAUAGGGCGCGGGAUUUGAUUUGGAUCAACUUUUGAUGGGCUGGAAUGGCCAAUAGAAGAAGUUAUCGAAGCCACUGCCUGAUUUGAAAGGGGAGGCGCCAUCCCAUACAUACUUGGUGGUUGCAUGGAACCAGGAAGAGCAGAAGGUGGAGCCCCCUGUCAAUAAGUAAAAUCAGGAUAUGCCCUUCACAUGAAAGAGGAAAUGGAGUAAAAGCAUGCUAAAACCAAUUUACUUGAUCCAACAUGUGAUCCACAUUGGAAGUGUGUCAUGCACGUAAGGGUCUUUUUGAAUUAAAUAUAAGUUUUAUCAGAGAUCCUUUUACCUCUUCUGAUUAAGAAAGGAUAGCUAGGUUGUUGUAGCUUCAAAUGUGAAAGUUUUCCUUUUCAGAUGGUCCAGCCAGCCAAACAGAAAAGGUGGUGCAAUAUACUUUGAUACUGUUUAAAUUUUUCAUGCUUGAGGAAACUUGUGCACUUCAAAUUUUUCUUUUACAAGCACUUAUACACUCAAGAUAUAAUAUAACAAUUAUUUAAAUAGCGGCAGAUUUUGCAGCAAACUUAUGAAAGGGUUUCUCUAUUUAUAGUUUGAAUUGAUUAGACAAAGUAAAUAAGUGAUACUGAAUAUAUCUUUUUCAUUACUUUCAAGCAUAGAAAAAUACCUAGCCAAAAUAUAACAAUUUAUAAAUAAAAAUAAUUUUUAUUUAUGGAGUAAUCAAAUAUAUUAUUUAAUAACUUCAACUAAUGGAAGAACCCCAAAAAACAUAUUAAAAGUUCAAAAGGAAAAAAGAAUUCAUAUAGGUAAUUUCGUUAAUGAGAAUUUGAGCUCUCUUUUGUGUUGACGAAAAAGAUAAAUUUUAUAAUGCACAUACUACUAAAUAAAAGUUACUUAAAAUAGCAGCACAUUUUAAUAUUUUAUCACAAAUCCAUCAAAAUACUUCGACGAUUAUCUCUGAAUGAAUAAAAUAUGACAUCAUUGAUUUAUAUGGGAGAAAUACACUAGAGGUGAAAUGAGUUAAACUAUCAAAGAUAGAAAAAAAGAAAAGAAUGUACAUAGAACGUAAGGGCACAGAACAAUAGACAUUGCAUGAGGGAAAACUGCAUAAAGCUGGAGGAAUAUUUGACUAUUUAUACCAUGUUGGAGCGAGAAAAUUAUUUUCACCCCUUUCUAAAUUUUAAGUCAUGACAGCACUUCACAGUGUAGCUUUUUUCUUCACUUUUAGACCCUACUACUUCCACAACAAAUUUUCUGGAAUUACCAAUUGGUCAUUAACAGAGUUUUGAUAUCAUUCUCACAUUACUCAUCAACAGCACCAAAUAGUAACCGAUUUCUGAAUAUUAUUGAUCAGUAUAUCCUAAAAGUCAUGAAGCAUCUCUUCAACAUUAGCCCCCUUGAACCAUUGUAAUUCCUUGAUUCCAGAACCAACAGGCCAACAUUUCUAGUUGGUUAUUAAAUAUAAUAAAUACACGCAUAAAAUUUGAUUAAAAACGCAUCUUGUGUGGCUUGUUGAUCCAAAAGAUGUUUGUGCAAAUUAAAAAUACAAAUCCUAUGACUUCUUUUUUAGUCUAUCACAGGAAAGAACUAAAUAUAUCUCUCAGCUCCAUAGAUUACAAAAUAAAUUACACUUCGCUAAUGAGUUUAGGGAAAAUUCUUAUUUUUCCUUCAAUAACAUAUGCACAUGAUAUCAAAUUUUUCUUUUGGGAAAAUACAUAGAUUUCACCUUGCAAAAAAGGUACAGUAAGAUAGGCAUAAAAAGAUCACCUGAUGGGGUGGCAGUUGCCACGACUGUGUUCCACCACGACUGUGUUCCAUAAGGAGCACCUAUGGGUGGAGCACCCAUGUGUGGAGUGCCCAUGGGUGGAGCACCCAUGGGUGGAGGCAUGGCUUGAGAAGGUGCUGCAAAUGGGGAGAAACCUGGAGGAGGUGGCACAUUCUGAAAUGAUCCUGAAAAUGGUGGUGGUGGUUGUGCUGUAACUGGUGUCGUGCUGACACAUGACGAACUUCCAAAGGGAGAGCGCAUGCGUGAAGGCUGAGAAGAAGCGCCUGGUGAAACCAUAGCUGGUGGAGGAGCUCCAAAUGGUGGCCUCAUUGCAUUGCUUGGAGGAGGAAUACGUGCUCCACCCUGCAUCAUUCCCGGACCACCUGACGGUGGCCCAUUACUAACAGAGCUAGAAAUGCUUGAUGGUGGUGGCACAGCAGGACCUGUUGUCAACGGCGAAGAAGAAAAAGAAUCCGGAGGCCCCGGACGAGAACCCAAUCCAAAAGGAGAAGACCCAGGUGACGGGGGUGCACCACCCAUAGAAGGAGGCAUUACACCAGGAGGAGGUGGCCGAGAUGCAAAGGGAGGAACAGACUGAGCCACGGAAGGAGGCAAUCCAUUGUGUGGAGGACCACCAGGAGGUGCAGGGCCUCUUGGAAAUACACCAGGCGGUAGAGGUCCUGGACGACUAACAGGUGGUCCACCAGCAAAAGGUGGCUGCUGCCCAAAUGGGGUAUUAGGCCUAGGAGCACCAGGUGGCUGAUUGGGCCUAUUUACUUGUAGAUUUUGCAUACCAUCAGCAAGUGCAUUAGGGUUAUAAUUGGGUGGAGGCGCAUUCCUUGGUCUAGGUCCCCCUGGAGCUGCCAUUGAUUAUUUCCAAAUUUCCCAAAACUCUAGAACAGAUGCCACAGAAAAAAAAAAGUUUAAUAAAUAGAUAAAAUCAACAGAAACAAAAAAUAAGAACAGCAAUCUUCACUAUAUCAAACAAUCAGCAAGAGAAAACAAAACAUAUUGAUUCAAAGGAAAACAAGUCCAUAAAAUCAAUCACAAAAUAAAAAUAACCAGACAAUACAUCUUUUUUUAUCCCCUUCAUCCCCCCUCCUUCAUUUCAGCACACGCGGCCCAAAGAACCUGGAAGACGGACAAUUAACACAUUGACACCCAGAAAUAGCAUCAGCGGAAAGGUCCAAAUGACAAAGGCGGCCAAGUCAAACACCACCAGCUCCAAAACAACAGAAAUUAGCAAAGAGAACUCAAACAUCUCAUGAAACAAAAACAGAGCUGACAGGUUUAAAAGAGCAGAAGUGAAGGUGGAGAACUCCCUAGAUCUGGAAGAAAAGAAAAUGGACAGGAUAUGGUUCUUCCUGAGAGAAACUGAGAGAUUACAAAGACAUGGAAAAAACUGGUCUCUUUGGCAAGAACAAAAUUUCUAUGGCGAUAUAAAUGAGUCCCAACUACAGCAUACAAAUGGGAUUGAAUAAAGAGUGGGGAUAAUAUGAGAAUCACUCAGCCUUUUCAGUUUUUUAUUCAAGAUAUACAGAGAGCUAGAGCACAAUAAGAUGCUAACUAGCUAAACAAAGAUGACAUGCAUCGACAUACCUACCCGCUUUAGAACUAGACACAAACCAUAAAGGGAAGAGAACAGCAAAAGGCUAUUGAUAGAAGAACCCAAACUACCAUUCGGUAUCAUUUUAAGGAAGAUCUAGGGCACAUACUUUGUUGUGCUUGGCCAUUGACGAAACAGAUCAUAUCACAAUAGAUAUAUACAAAAUCACUCGAAAAAGGAAGAAAACUAAUUGCCUCCAAAGGCAGGGAUCAAAUCUUAGAAGUACACGCAAAAAAGAACAAAUUAAUAGAGGCUCAAUUGGAAGAAGAGCGAAAAAUUUCAGACAACGGCAUGGGAGAUACACAAAUAACGAUCCUAAGGCUGGAGAGAGAUAGAAAAAUCUGUGCCAUAUUUUUGCCAACUGACCUUCCUCUAUUUCUCUAUGGACUAACUUACUCAGUUAGGGCUUCUUUAAAUGGAUCAUUGCUAGCUUUCUUUGUGGAUCCAAAAAAUAAAAUCUUCCCUAGAUCUAGAGUUUUCACGGUGCGAUUACAUAACAAAGUAUAAACCAUUUCCCCUCUUAAACUUCAUUUAAAAAUAGAAUUUUCAUCUAAAUUUGUAUAAUGAAUGUGCUUCUUCUCCUUCAAUUUCGGGAUGUUAGUCCAAUUAGUUUGUAAUUCUAGAACACAAUGCCCUCAUUGAAGUAUCAAGUAUCAGCCUCUCUUUCUUUGAAAUUUUAUAACAUGCUAAUUUAUUUUCUUUUUCUGAAGUUCUCUUCUCAUGGUAUUGAUUAACACAGUAUAUAUAGUGUUCUUCUCCUCCAUCCAAAGAACAUUCUAUUAAUAAAAUGAUGGAAUGGGACUUAGAGUAACUGGUAAAGUUACUGUCUUGUGAUCAGGAAUGCACAGUAAAAUUGUAUACAAUAAACCUUUUUGAUCCGGAUACACGGAAGCUUUAGUGCGCCAAUGUUUCCUUUUUAUUAAUAAAUGAAUCAAUCUGCCUAUGAUACAUGGUGAAAGUAUGAGCUGGAAGGGUUCAUAAACUAAACUAUUCGGCCCUUGAGCUGCCGUUGAUUAUUAACAAAUUUACAACCUAAGCAAAUUCCAGCUCAAUUAAAUGUAUCAAAAAUCAUCCACAAAAAUGGAACAAAUAAAUAGUCAUAAAGAGAAAUUUACAGGCUAUAAAUAAAUAAAUGAUACUAAAAAGAAAAACUAACCAGCUAUAAUGUUAAAUUGAAUUAAAGGACGUUAACGUUGACGCCGGUAGCAACGAAACGACGUCGUGUGUAAAAUUAAACAGCGAAUGAAUUCGCCUACUCACCGAAACCCUUACUGUUACAAGUGAUAUACACGAACCGAGUUUUCAAUGACCUUGAACGACUUCGAUCUGAUACAAAAAACCUAAUUCGAUUAAAAUCAAUUAGAUCCAAAAUACAAAAUUCAAAAUUGAAUACAUUCACAUAAACAUAGCAUUCAACGUCAUUCAUAUAUACUACAUGUACAUACAUAAAAGGGAAAAAAUGUUGAACCUGAAAAUCUAGAGGAGGAAGACGCUGGGUUUAUAGAUCGAAAUUGGUGAAGGUUUCAGUGAUCGAAUACUGGCUCAAUGGAGAAGAAGAAGGUGUAACUAUAUUUUUUUUUACUUGUCCAAAUAGAGAUUUUUUUUUUUAUUACUUACUAUUUAAUUGUGUAGAGUAGUUUUGAUAAAUAACGCAAUCUGAUUGGUCUAAACCCCAGAAAUUGAUGUCAAUGCAGGAAAAUGAAUUGUGUAGUUGUUGUAAUAUUUAGGUGCAUUAUUUUGUUGUCAUUUUUUUUUUCUACGAUUAAUAUUCUUCCUUAAAAAUUGUGUAAUAAAUAUUGGUUGUUCAUAUUAUUAAAAGAAAAAAAUCAAAUUACUUACUAUUGAUUAUUAAAACUAAGGUAAAUUAAUUAUUUUUCCCAUUUUAUCUUUAUAGUUAAUUCUUUUGAAAGUGUAUACAAGUUUGUAAAAUCUCAGGAAAAAAAUUAAGAAAUAAAUUUUUAAAAUUACUAUUAUACAUGAGAGAGAAUAGAAUUUUUUGGUAGUCCUUACAUAAUUUUUUUUAUCUCUUUUACUCUUAAUUGAAGUUUUUAUUACUUUGUAAGUAAACACAUAUUUUAAUAAAUUUUUAAAACUUUAAGGUCUUUUACAUGCCACCAAAAGUGAAAAGGAUGAUAGUAGACCCUGCAAAACAUACUUAUACAUAUUUGAGUCUUUAUUUAUUUUAUGUAAACAUGCUAUUAAACUUGUUUCAAAUUAUAUUUGAUUGUAACAUUUAAUUAUAAACGCAUAAAUAAUUAUUAUAUUGUUCAAUUUCUAUCAUGAUAAACGCAUAAUUAAUGAGUUCAAAUAUUUUUCUUAUAAUAUUAUUUGUUGAUGUUAUUUAUAAUGUUUAAUUUGUAAUUUAAAUUGUUAGUUAAUGAUUAAUAAGUAUAGUUUAUUUUAUUUUAAUUUUAUCUGUAAUUUUAUAUUGUACAUGCCGACAAACAUAAGUAAUUAACAAAGAUUACACUUAUAUAAAAUUAUAUUUUAAACUAAAUAAUAACCAUAAUUAAAUUCAUCAUUGUUAAAUACUCUUAAAAUGUGUCCAAAUGUUAGUUAUAAUCAUUUCAUUUAAGUCAAAAAAUAAAUUUCAUAAUAUGAUAGUUAGUUAAUCUAAUUUUAUGUGCGCACAUUUUUAAUUUAAAAUUUACUUGAUAAAUGACCAUAUUAAAAAUAAAUAAUAAAAUAUUAUUUUUGUAUAUAUUUUGAAAAUGCUUGGAGAAAAAUGUAGUUAAAGAAAUUAUAAUUUGAUUUCCUAAUAGUUUAUGAUAAAAAUUAUAGGAAAAAUACUCAAAAAAAUACCUGAACUUUGACCGGAUUUGCAGUUGAUCAUACUGAACUUUGCGGGGGUCCUAUUACCCACCGAGACUUUUUUUAAGUGGAUUUAAUUCCCCCCGAAAUGCUAUACGCAGUUUUGACGGUUGACAGUGUAAUACACGCGCCAAUCUCGUUUUUACACGUGUUUUUUUAAAAAUAAUUUUUAUUUACUUUCUUCUCCAUUCUUAUUCUUUUCAUCAAUUUUCAUUAUUUUUUCACCAAAAUCUUGAUUUCUAAUUCUUGAAGUUUGACUUUUAUUUAGUUCAUACUAAAUCUUUUCCCAAAUUUCAAAUUCAAAUCGAAAACUUUCUUCAAUAAUUUUAUUCAAAUCGAAUGGAAUACUUUCCAAAGUUUCUUAAUUAUGCCCAAAUGCCAACGACAAUGGUGGCUGCCGGCAGCAAUGGUGGAAUUAAUUUCCUCCAAAAUUUGAUAAAGAUUUGAUUUUUUUCCGACCAAAUGUAAAAGAUGAUUAGUUUUUCAAUUUUGCGAUAUUUUUUCUUUUACAAUUUAAAAUUGGGUCAAAUUGAUGGAAAAUAAUUGGGUGUUGAAGAUGAAAGAAAGAAGCACCAUUGGAGCACCAUUAAAGAGAAGAAAGAAAGAAGAGAGAAGAGAUUGAUUUUUUUUCGACCAAACGUAAAAGAUGAUUAAUUUUUCAAUUUUGCGAUGAAUUUUUCUUUUUCAAUUUAAAGUUGGGUCAAAUUGAUGGAAAUGAAUUGGAUGUGUUGAAGAUGAAAGAAAGAAGCACCAUUGGAGCACCAUUGAAGAGAAAAGAGAAGAGAAAGAAAGAAGAGAGAAGAGAAAAAAUGAAAAAAUAAAUAAAAAUAUAAAAAAUUUAAAAAUCAGAAAAUUGAGGGGCUAUUUGACAAAAAAAAGGGUUUUAAUAUUUUUUUAAUACUCUCACGCGCCUAAUGCGCGUGAAUUACACGCACUUGUCAAAGUGGACAGAUAUAUACCAUUAAAAUACGAAAAAAAGAAGUCUAGGUGGGUAAUAGAACCUUCGCGAAGUUCAGUAUGCUCAACUGCAAAUCCGGUCAAAGUUUAAGUAUUUUUCUGAGUAUUUUUUCAAAACUAAAAGCUCAAUUUGAAUAAUCGGAGAUUAGAAACUCAAAAGAUUUCGGUAAAAUAGAAAUUAGAACUUUCAUACACGCAUUUUUUUUUUUGAAAGUGUAAAAUUUAAAUUAAAAAAUAUUAUCCUUUAACUUUUCAAUAUCAUUCAUACUGUACUAUUUUAAAACUCCUUAAAAAUUAUUACACUGAUAUCACAAAAAAAUAAAAAAAUAAGAACGAUUUUUUUUUUAAAAUAUCUAUAAAUUUAUUUGAGAUAAUACUCAAUCACCCCCUGAACUAUACUCAAAAAGGCUAUGACACACCUCAACUUAAACGGGGUCCUAUUACCCCCGAACUAAUUAAAAGUUGAAUUUUCACCUCCUUAAUGUCUAUGUGGCACAUACGUGGCACAACACACUAAAGUGUCCACGUAGGCACACGUGUGUGCCACGUAUGUGCCACAUAGGCACUAAGGGGCUGAAAAAUUUACUUUUAAUUAGUUCAGGGUGGUACUAGGACCCCCUUUAAGUUGAGGUGCGCCAUAACCUUUUUGGGUAUAGUUCAGAAGGGUAAUUGGGUAUUUUUUCAAUUUAUUUUGUUAAUGGAAGUUUGGGCCCAGGCUUAGUCGGGCUAAAUGAAACUAGUUACUUUACUACUAUAUAUAAGAGACAAUUCAAGGACUUUGGUAGUCCUCACAAAAGUUUUCAAUUUAAUUUUAAUUUUUUCAAUUAAUUACUUUUAUGUCAUGAUUUUAUCUUUUAUAGUCAUUUAAUUAAUUUUUUAAUCCUAUAAUAUUGUGACAUCUGAUUGACAUAGCUGAAGUUUUUUUUUUUUUUUUUUGGUUAUAUAGACCUUUGCACUUGGUGCAUGUGUCAUAGUAUGAGAAGCUAUUAUUAAUAUUUUUUUUUUGUAAUUUCGAUUAAUUAAUUAACUAUUUAGAAAAUAAUAAUUGGGAGUAGGACAAGGGAAAUUACGGAGGAGAUUACGAAGCAAAAAAUUAAAUAUUUACCAAUAAAGUAAAGUUUAGGUAGUUAAUCAAUUGAAACAUUCAAAUUCUCAUAUUGUUUAACUAAUCGAUAAAUCAUUUUUAGAAUCUUCCAUUAUAAUGUUUUAUUUCUCAUACUUAUAUAUUAUUUAAUCAAGUCUAUUGCAAAAUAUAAACGUCAAAUAUCGUUUAAUUAUUUUUUUUAUUAAAUUAUUUGUACUUCAUGCUUUAUGAAGUAUAAGACCAAAAAGUAUUAAUUUUUCCCUUUGCUACUUACAAGACCAAAAUAUUUUAAUUUGACUAUUUUUCAUUAACUUUUUAAAUUAAAAUUAAUUAUUUAAUUAAUUUUUGUAAAUUAAAAUAGCUUUAAUAAAAUUAAUAUUUUAUAUGAACUUUUAUUUAAAGUAGUUUAAGAAAAAAAAAUUGACCGUGGAGAAUUUUUUCUGUUGCAUAAAUAAUUCAUCAUUUUUUUUCUUUCUUAUUAUUAAUCUUUAUUAUUUAUUUUCCAUAAGAAAGAGUUUUGUACAAAUAAUGUGGGUAUGCAGAUAUAUUUUAUUUCUAUUGAAUUGAAUAUGGUUCUGAUGCAUUUCUUAAUUAUCUUUUAUAAAUUGAAUAAUUUUUUGUGGACAAUUUUAUUUAAUGCUUUUUAAAAUAUCAGACAUAUUUCAUAUACAAAAAAUUAAAAUUAUUGAUAAAGUUAAAAAUUAAGGUAAUGAUAUGAAUUAAGAUGAAAUUAUUUUUGAAAUCUCUUUUCUGGUCAAUUGAGAAUCAAUAUUUUUAAGCAUUAACUAUAGAGAGAGAAUCAAUUGAUCUCGAUGUUCAUUUUAGUGAGUCUAAUUUUUUUUCUUAAUUUAGUAUAAAAUUAUGCUUAAAGCACCACAAUUAACUAGCAUGAAUUCUUGUCACGUGAAAUUAUAAAUAAAAUCAUACAUUUUUCAUCACACACAAGAAGCCUUGAGUAAAUAAUUGAUCCACUUGAUAUAUUUUAAAUCAUAUUAGUCAUAAAACAUCAAAUUACUUGAGUUUGGGCCUUGUAAAACUAGACUAUAUAUAAGGGAGAACAUCUUAUUUUGGUAGUCCUCACAUAACUGUAUUUUGUCUAUUUUAUCCUUAAUUAAGUUUUAAUUACCUUUUAAAAUCUCAUCCAUUUUAAUAAAUCUAAACAAUCACAUGAGCAUUUAAAAUGCUAUACAAAAAUGAUGAAUCAUAAAGAAGUGAUAGUGACACUAUAAAAUAUCUAUUUAUCUAACUAAAUUUAAAAUUAAUUCAAAAUUUUAUUGUCGCCUUUUAUGUGGGAUAAUAUUAAUUUAAUUAAAAAAAAUACAUUUUUUAAUCCUCACAAGAAAUUUGUGAAGCUUUAAUAAACUUGUAAGGACUCAUUGAAGAAACAUCUACAAAAAGUAUUUUAUUGAGUUUGACUUUUAAUUAUUUAAUUUAUCAUAAAGCAUACAAUAGUUUGUAGCAUCAAAUAUUUUUAUAUUAAUCAAAUAUUGUAUUAUUUUUUUAAAAAUAUGAAUCAGCAAUGUAAAGUUUAAUUGAGAAAAAACAAUGAAAUUAAUUAUACAUAAGGCAAAAAUCAAUUUAGAUCGUUAAAGGCUUUCAUUCAAAACUUUCAGUAAAAUAAAAAGGAGAAAAUUUUUCGUGUGUGCAUUUGUUUGAAAAUUAAAAGAAAGACUAAAAUAUACCAUAAGAAAAAUUGUUAUUUUUAACUUAUAAAAGCUUUUACUCCCUCUGUUUUAAUUUAUAUGUUUGAUUCUGACUUAACACAAAGUUACAGAAAAAGUAACGAAUAUUUUUGAAUUUUAUGGUCUUAAAUUAAAAAUAUGUAGAAAGGAUCAAAAUAUUUGUUGAUCUUGUUGUCUUAAACAUGCCACGUGGACAGUUGGAUUAACCAAGAAAGAAAAGAGACAUUUUUUAAAAAAGAACUAAAAAAAUAGGACAAAAAUUGAAACAGAUAUAUAAUUAUAACAUUUUAAAAAUAUUAAAAAAUAAUCAAACCAAACCGUUAAACUAAUAUAAUGGUAUAAAAAGUAAAAAUAGCAAGUUAAAAAAAUUACAAAUAUAAAAGUUAAUGUAGUUUGAGCCCGGGUUUAGCACGAGCUAAACGACACUAUAAUUUCUUAAGGAUAUGUAGAGAAAAAAUAGAUAACUAAGUAAUACAAAAAGAAAGGAAAAUGUGUGAAGCAUUAAAAUUAAAUGUUUGAAUUCUAUUACAAUGAGGGAUCGUUUGAUGUGUGAUAUAAGUGAUAAAUAAUUUUGAAAUAAAAUGAAGGAAUAUUUUAUCUCAUGUUUAUUGUGAGGUAUUAAUUAGUAUCGGGAAUUAUUUAUCCCACCAUUUUACACUAUAGUGAUAGAAUAAGUUAUCUCUUAUACAUUGUGGGACAACUAAUCCUGCAAUGACUCUUUUCUAAUCAAACGACCCCUCAGAGUAACAAGAAGAAUAAUGUAUCUGUUGCAAGCCUACAAUAUCACAAAUGAUGUUCGAGAAAGACGGAGAGAGAAUUUAUUCGUAAUAAAGCAAAAUAUCAAACCAGCUCGGUAAAAGAAACAACUAAAGUAAAAAGUCAUAUAAUGAAAUACUAAAGAUAACUUGACAAAAUAUUUUUUUGGUAGAAACAACAUAAACAAUAACUACAACAUAAUAAUAUUAGUUAAAUAGGAAGCAAGAGGUAGCAACAAAAAACAAAUUUCAAUAAAUAACACAUAGUAAAUAGAGAUUGAGAAUAAAAAAUUACAAAAAUAAUAUGACGACUACUAGUGUAGAAGAAUUAGUGAGACAACUUUUAAUUACCUACUAGAUUUUUACUUAAGUCGUGUCCUCAAAACUUUCAUCUAAGAUUAUACCCUCAAUAAGUUGAACUUGCGUUAUCUUUCUUCAAUACUUUUUUAGACUAUUUUUGUCUCUUUUGAAGUUAUUCAGAGUCAAUUUCUCACACCUGGACAUUCGAACGCCUCCUAACAAUACCCAAAUCAUCUUAGUCUCGCUUCUUAGUUCUUACAUAUUGACCUUUACAUGUCAUUUUCAUUUUGUUGGUACUGUCUUCAUUUUUAAUCAUAUCAUCGGUAAGUUGAACUUGCAUCACCGUUCUUCAAUACUUUUUUGAUCUAUUUUUGUCUCUUUUGAAAUCAUUUACAGUCAACCUCUCACACUACUGCACUAGAACAUCCACGUCUCAUAACCACACCCAAAUCAUCUUAGUAUAACUUCUCACAUGUUGGCCUCCGCGUGUCACUCUCAUUUUGUCGUGACUUUCAUUUUUAAUCAUCUCUUCCAACAAGUCCACAUAUUCAUCUCAUCGUUUUUAUCUCCACAACUUUCAUCUUCUGAACAAAAAUUUCCGACUGGUCAAUAAUUCGCCUCAUAAAGAAAUAUCAUCUACCAAAAAUUUUCAUCUUGUUAUGUUAAGAGUGUGCAUAAUUAAAAUUACACUCAUAGUACCUAGCACUACACCACAUAAUUUUUCGGAAAGGAUAUGCUUACGUAGCUCCGCCGAUGAUAGUAGGAGUAUUUGGAAGCUGGAUUUGUGGAGGCAGGGACAAGACAAAACAAAACAAAACAAUAGGGAGGAAGUUGCGGGGAUGCUUCCAGAAAGUGUUGAAAAACGCCACGCCAAGCAGCCCCCCACAUAUCAUCAUCAGUCCAUGUAAUGACAUGACAUAAGACGAAUUGAAAGUUUGGCAUGCAUUGUCAGGGCAAUUGCCGUGUAACAGACGAAUUGACAUGAUUGCAAGCGUUAUUACAAAAUUAUACACUAGUACCAAAUAAGGAUAAAGCUAGCAGCAAAAGAAAUGGAAUACAAAGAGUAGAAAAAGUGAGAACAGACUAUCUACUUACUUUACUGGAAAGUCAUACAGUACCAUCUUCUUAAGAUGAUUAUUUGAAAUUGUAAAUUAUCAAUUAUAUAAUCUUAUAUCUUGAGGAAGAAAAUUAAUGUGCAAACUUUCUGGCAAAGAAGGUCACAUGCACAAAGAAAAUUUGCUAAUCUAAAAAGUAUGCGUGAAGGAAAUAAAAUCUCAUUUCUUCUCCCUCACACAUUUGAGAAAUGUAGCUAAUGAACAAUGUUAAAAGUAGGAGUGCUGAGGAUUGGCAAGACUGAAGUAGCUUGGACGGUUACUCAUGCAAAAGGAGAAUCUGCAAGGCAGGAAUUCUAUAGGAUGGUUCUAUCAAGAUGUGUUUAUCUUGCUUGGCUUAAAAGGAAUGCCAUGUUUGCCUUGCCUACCUUUUUCUUCCCAAUGCCAGUCCACACUCCACACUAAUCUUUCAGUUCUUUCAGAUGGAAGUUCUAAUUGUCACUUCCAACAAUUGAUCAAAUUCAGUUUAAAGCUAACAUGAGAACUUAAUUCCUAAUACGAUUGUAAUAAUGAACCAAAGGAUCUUGUUUUGGUAUAUUAAGAAUUUGAAUCAGGUCCUUUAAUCUAUAGCUCGAACAAAUUUUGACAGAAAGGGCUCCCAAAGGUCAAUCUAAGUAGAUUGAAAUGACGCUCAAAACUUCAGCUGAUGAUGCUCUGACAUCAAGAGAACAAAGGUUAAAUAGAAACACAUUUUUCACACCAUACCAAUAUAGUCAAUAAAACUAAUUCCAUUUUAAUUUCACGUCAAGAAAAAUAAUCAUGAUAAAUAACACUAUUGCUUUUUGUUUGUCCCCUAUGAGUAGGUGCUACACCUCAGAAAAACUAAGAGAGACCUGAAGCCACGGCCACACCUAGAAAGCUGAUCUGCACCUCUUCAUAUUGAAACCAUCUGUACCCCUUUCUCUAUAAUCAAAAUUCAUGAACAAAACUGGAUAUUUCUCAAGCCAUUUUAUUUUGAAUGUGUCGAUGGAUAUGUACUAGAAACUCAACAUAUGAAAGUCCAUUUUGUGUCUUGUCUUCUACCAUGUACGAGAAAAAUAACAUGCCUGGCAAAGAGAUUCAAAGGUUAAUAAUGUGAUGGGGCCAAGGCCAAGAAUGAUUAUCAUAUAAUUUGACACGCUUACCUUCCACAACAAUCUCACAUGAACAUGCUUCUUAAAUGUAGAAAAUGUUUUGGCAUAUGUUAUAUAAUCAUUCUUUUUCCUCAAUCUUAAUUAAAGCUAUAUAACCAUAAACAAUAAGACAAGGGUAGAAGUAAGUAAUCCUUUGAUACAACUGUUCUACACCUCAGAUAAACCUCAGGAUGUGUUGCGAUAAACUGUUGUAAAACCAAAGUACUGCCUAAAGAAUCUGGAAUGGCUAAAGGUGAGUUAAUAAACAAAGCGAGAAUGAUGGUCAUUGCAAGAUAUCAGAUGAAGUGUUAACAUUAAGCAGCUAAGAGCAGCAAGAACGUUAAAUAUAGAUCAGUUUGAUAAUUAGUUAUCCUAACCCUUCUCCUUUUUUCCACUUUAGACUAUUUUAUCUUUGUUUUCCUGGGGGGAUAUGCCAAGAUUGAGGGUAGAAAUGCAAAAGCAUGGUGCUAGAUAUGAACCUGAUGAAUCUCCCUUUUUGCAUAAUUUUAAGCUGCCAAGAUCAAAUUGAGAAUUUAUCAGAAAUUAGACAUAUUAUGUGUUAUAGGUAACAAAUCACAUCGUUUUGAUUAAUAAGUAAUGAAUUGUAAUUGAGGAACCAUCAUUUAAAAUGGAGUAAAUAGAGGAGCAAAUACACAGAAAAAGAAGAAUCAUACCGGAGAUAGUUACACCUUUGGCGCCUAAUAUCAUUAAUGAUGUCAUUGAGCUUCUUAGAAAGUGGAUUGUCUUGCUGCUGCAGAACAAACUGAGAGGGAGGAAAUUCAGAAUCGACGCGAGAGAAGCUAAAUUACAAUAAGUAAUUGUUUUGCUUCACCAAGGGGAAAAAAAGGGAACAUUUGAUUGCUUUGUCAAUCAAGAACCUAAAGAACAUGCAGGAAAACCACCCACCACCCUCAAAAAAAAAAAAAACAGGUUUAAUUUUAAGACAUGACUACGUUGAAUGAAAUGGCACAACCACAAACACUCAAAUAGGAUACGUGGUUUGAAUGCAAGCCUCAUGCUUUCGCUUGCUGCAAUGCAACCUGACUGACACAUCUAGUCACCAUGGAUUUAUAUAGUCUAACCAAAGCCAUUCAAGAAUAAUCCAUACAAAUUAAAUGCACUUCUUAAGCAACAUGUAUCAAAAGAGGAUCUAGGAAAACGGGUGCUGAGAAAGUGUUUCCCCCUUUUACGUUCUCAUACACGAAUAAUAUCACACCAAUAAACAGCAGAAGACAUGUCAAACUACCUGAGCAGGAAUUUCCUCAACAGAUGAAAUGCCUAGCAGCUGAUGGAUAACAUUAGGAUCUGCAGAGUUCCCAACAUAUAUCAAACAGUCCUCACCGUUCUCGAGAAGAUAGAUACCAGUGUCACUAAUGUGUUCACUGGAAAGUGGCAUAGACUGAGGAAUAAGAGAAUCUCCAUCCUCCUACAAGUUCAAAUACAGAAUGAAACGUAAGAAAUGUAAUUCAAUAAUAAUGUCUCAAAUGAAUCAAGAAAAUGAACAGAACUGCCAACUUGACUUAGAAAGGCAAAAGAAAAGGAGGGAAACAAAAUCCAUAAAUACAAGUACCAUACCUUUGUAUCAAGUUCGUGAAUUGCAAUCAAUCUUGGGUAGACCAGAGGGAUAGCCAAUGGAGUAGAGAGUGGGGAAACAUAAUUAAUCCAGAAGGAUCUACUAUCGAUCUGUCCAUCUGUUCUAAGUCCAGUGCUUUUAACCAAAGCUGAAAUAUUAUGAGAACUCAAUAAAAAUAUAGAUUUGACAUUAUUAUUUGCACAAAAUUGGCACAAGUAAUGGUUUUGUAGUGACAGAGAAAAUUAGUGUCACUCAUUUAAUAUGCACUAUAAGUAGGAAGCACUCGGAAGCUGAAUGAACAUACUAAGAAUGGGUGAUCAUUCAUUCAUCGAGGUUUUCUUGGCACUACUUUCCCUCAUAUCAUUUACAUCAACUCAACUCAUAUAAUACACCGGAUAGCAACAAAAGGAACAUAAGGAGGAAGGUGAUACAAGGAGAAGAAGAGGAAAUAAUGCAAGAAAAAUAUUUUAAAAUUGCACUGCAUGUAUAAACCAACACUGUCAAAUCAUUUGGAAAUGAAGGGCUUGGGAAAAAGGAAGGCAAGAUAUACCCAGUGUGUAAAGAGGAAGAAGUUUAAGUGCCUCAGGAAGAAUAAGUUGUCCCGAGGAUGACACUGUGGCACAAUAUUUACGGUAAGAGUGCAGAAUGUUGAUGCAAAGGUUUGUCACUUGUUCUCUGAUCCGUGAGAGAGGAGCGGUUGGUACUUCACUGGCAGCUGCAUGCAAGAAAAAUAACAUAAGUAGGACUACUCUUUAAAAAAGAUAAACAAGGAGGAAAAAGGAACAAAAUAAUGAAAUAGCAACAAUGCAUGAGAUAAAGACAACAUCAAACAUCAAAAGCAAGCAGGCCACUUGAUAACUCGUGACGGUAAUUAUGUCGACCACAACAAUGCAAUUAAUAAGUAGUAAAGAACUAGAGAAGCAGGAUGUUAAGCCCUCAAUACAGGAUCUUGUGCAGCUGAUUCUGUGGACACUGGGAGAUAAAUAUAGCUUCUUCAUCAACGAAAGAGAUGACAAGUUUGCUGUGGUUGAUUAGUCAAAAGAAAUGUGAAAGGAAGCAAAGGAGUGUAUUAAUUGCAUUUUCAAGGAAAAUAUACAUUUUAUUAAAUUUCUCCUAUACAUCCUAACGAAUUGAAACCUGAGGGAAAAAAAGGAAAAUAUUAUUUAGCUAUUCUGCCAAAAGAUAUAAAAGAGAUAUCCAACAAACACCGGUUCCUUAUUCCUACAGUGCCUCUUUUUUUUUUUUCCUUUUUUAUUAAGACACUUAUUUUUCUUUGUUCUUACUUUGUUCGAGUCGUGGUUUUGCUUUUGCAUAGCAUCCAAAACUUACAGAACAUCUGGACACAAAAGUUACAUCCCCAUCUAGCAAAUAUUCAUUCCAAAUAUAUGCAGAACAAGAGUUAUGGGGAUUAUAAGGGAGCACUAUUGCAGAAACAAUCAGAUUCGAUAUUGUACCAAUGGACACAUAGAAGGUGUCCACGCACAAUCUUACAUAUAGUUUGGCUAUGCACAUAAGAGAAAGGAGCAAAUAGAAGUGCAGCUUUUGGAAAUUAACAAAUCCAUGCAGCUUUGGGAAAUUAAUAACUCCAUACUUUAUAAGGACAAAUUGAGUGUCAAAGAUCAUCUCGGUAUAAAGGGAAGAAAAUGGAGCAUAGAUGCAGAAACCAAAGAUUCUUUCUUAGGCAGAAGCACGCUAUAGAGGAUAAACUCUUCCCAAGAAUUUUAGCAAUUCAAAAAAUGGAGAUAGAUUGAGAAGAAAAAGGGAGAUGCCCCCUAACCCUGAGGGGGCGAAUAAGGAGGGUGAACUUUCAACAUUAUACUUAAGAAUGUAGCACAGUGCAUUAUGACAUAGUAUCGUCUACCUUGUUUUAAGAUGCAAGCAAAUUGGGUGUCCAAGUCAGCUGAUCGAAACAGAUUACUCAACAUAGUUGUGCAAGGUAGAGCCAAAGUUGACACUCGGAUUCUUCUUUGGCCAUCAAUGGUAGUGUAAAGAACGGCAGACUGGAAAAACAGAAACAAGCUCUUGUAAAUAGCCAUCAUAUUGCACCAGGGAAGAAAAAGGUAAAAGGAAGGGAGCAGCAGCAGGGAAAAAUAGACAUACAGAAACAGGGCAAACAUGAUUGACCAGAAACUCAUUGGUGAAGACUCAAUAUAAAUUUGUACCUGAAAAGAACAUUCUGAACCUUCCUGCAAUUUGUCAUCAUGCUUCAAUGUCACCAUAAUUGUUUUGUCACAGUCAAUCUGCACAAUGGAAAACUCACUUAGAAAUGAAUACAAUUCAUAAAUCAGUCAAACUAGCAUAUUCGACAGGGAAUCAACAGUGUAAAGACUUUGAAUGUAAUUAUUCACACAGGAAAAGGUGAAUUAACAGGGUAAACACAUGCAUACAGAAGAACCCAUGCUAGUAUAGCUGCAAAUGUACUAAAAUCCCUUACCAGCAUGUGCAGUUUCUUUUUUUUUCCUUUUUGAUCAGGUAAACAUUUCAUUAAUCACAAGGCCAAAGUCGGCCGUAUACAAGAAGUAUACCAAAAAGUAAAGAACCUACAACAGGGCAUGGUUCUCCACAAAAGACACCCAAUCCUUUAUACAACCCAGGGAGGCUACACCACCUCAACUGGCCAAAAGUCAAUUCCACCCCUUCAAAAGCCCUCCUAUUUCUCUCUCCCCAAACGAUCCACAUCAAAGCUAAAGGAACAAUAUUCCAAGCCCUGCACUUUAUCCUGCUCCUUCUAGCUUUCCAACGAGAUAACAUUACGUUCACAGUUCUAGGCAUCACCAAAGAAAUACCAAACCAGCUAAACAUAUCCAACCACAGUCUCGUGGUCAGGUUGCAAUGUAAUAGAAGAUGAUCAAACUCCUUACCCGUCUCUUUGCAUAAGUAACACCAGCUAAUGCAUAUGAUCUUACUUUUUCUUAGGUUUUCCGCCAAAAUCACCCCUCUAGCAGCUAACCAAGAGAAAAAUGCAUCUUCCUCGGUACCUUAGGAAUCCAAAUAGACUUUACGGGGAAAGCCUUCACCUCCCUCACCAAGAGUUUCCCAUAGAAGGACUUGACAGAAAAAACCCAGUUACUCCCCAAAUUCCAUUUUAGAGUCUCGAAUCUAUCGACUGGCUCGUGAUGCUGAUGAAUUAGAGCUAGCAACUUUGAAACUUAUUAACCUCCCAGUCUUGAAAAUUCCUCCUAAACCUCAAAUCCCAAAAUGUUUCUUUUCCUUUUAACCCUCUAAUAUGAUGGACUACCGCCUCCCUCUGACAAGAAAUCCUAUAGAAGCUCGGGAACUCAUCUUUUAGUACCACAUCUCCACACCGUUUGUUUUUCCCAAAAACUGACUCUCCUCUCAUCCCCUACCCUGAACGAGAUGUUAACCUCAAAAUCAGCCCAUCCCAUCAUAAUAUUCCUUUAGCCAUACACCAUAUUGAUUUCAUUAGUUCUCCACCCCCCUUCAAUCACCCCAUAUAUUUCUACUAUCACUCCUCACCAAAAAAAUGGACCUCUAUCCCCAAUCUCCAUAAACAUUUUCCCGGCGAAGCUUUAUUAAAUACCCUUAAGUCUUUGACACCCAACCCUCCCCAAUUUUUAGGGGAAUUCACCUUCUCCCAUCUGACCAAAUAAUGUUUUCUUGCCCCGUUUGCCGAAUCCAAAGAAAGUUUCUUUGAAGUCUUUCCAAUUUUCCUGCAACACUGGUAGGUACAUGAAACAAAGACAAAAAUUAAGUGGGGAUGCUUGAUAAUGUGCACUUAAUAAGCACUUCUUUCCCUCCUUUGGAUAAAUAUCUUUUUUGCCAACUAGCAAGCCUCUAGAUUAACGUAACCCCCUUUGGAAGGAGAUAUCAACUCAUAAGGUUCUCCCAAAACAUGUAACUUAGAACAUAAGUACCUUUGGGUACUUUUGGACAUGUGAGCUUUCACAUUAAUGGCCCAUGUAACAUUCAUUUGAACUUGGCAAUGGACAAUCUGAAAAGAUGACUUAAAAGCUUCAUCUAGAUAUGAAAAAAGGCGGAUAAAAAUAUAGUUGAUAAACGAGUGACGAAUGAACAUGUCACAACACAUGCUUUUUCUCAGUUGCAUCAUCUACACCCCCAAAACUCACCAAAAGAACAGGACCUAACUCUGGAUGGUGGAGAAAACCACACUGUUGGAAGCUCACUUAGUAAAUCAGGCAGGGAGUCAAUGGUGAAAUAUCAAAAGUAGCCAACAUAAUAAAAGAGAUUUGGUAUUAGCCCAAGAAAUGUCCUACAAAUGCUUCGAACUUCAUACAGAUGAGCUUAGUUUGUAUAUCAAAUUCUAUCUCAGCUGUUGUGGUUGUACUCUGGAAAGUGCAUAAUAGUCUUCUAAAGGAGGAGGGAUAAACUGCACUGCAGGUAGAUCAGCAUUUAAUGGAAUUCUUUUACAGUAAUAAAGAUGUGCAUAGUUCAUUUAUCAAAUUUCAUCUAAGUUGUAGUUCUACUUCAUGCUUGGGAAAUGCAUAAUUGUCUGUGUGUGUGUUUGGGGGAGGGGAUGUGAUAGAGGGACAAACCGCAGGUAGAUCAACAUCUGUUGGAAUUCUUUUGCAGUAAUUGCCAGCGUACUCCUGAACUUGAAUUCCCUGCAAAUAAAUAGAACACGGUCAGCAUGCGAGCUCAGUUUCAAUUUCCAUAAAUUAGGUAUGGCACUUCUCCCACGAGAGAAGCACAGGAAGAUCCGAAAACUGGGGAGCAUACCUGACUACAUCUUACACGCAUUACUGCCUCAAACCCUUCGGGCCUAGUAAUAUUCCAUCGAAGAUCAUUGUAUAGCUUGGCAGUAUCAGCAAGAGCAGAAAACGGGAAAUAGUAAUACACCUGACACAAGUGAAACAACCAUAAAGCUCAAAGCUUAGAUGUAAAAAUAUCAAAAGGAACAUGAAGUGAAGUGGCUGCAUCAUAAGAUUGUUCAUAAAUUUCAUGAACAGUAAGUUGCACCAUAACCAAGGCCCUAGGGAAGAAGACAAGCUAAAAUAGUAACAAGCGUCACAGUUACCUGCCCACCAGUGGUCCUAGGAAUGACUGAAAUGGAGGCAAUGUCUUCAUAAGAUUGAGUUGUGAGAAACACGUCAACACAGACCUGAAGCAGUUGAGGUCUAAUUAAUAAAAGCGAACGAUUAUAAAAAUAAAGACCAAAAGGCGUUCUUAAUCCUAUUUGUUUUUAAUGAAUCAUUACUGCCACGGGCUUUUCAUAUAAGCUCUCACCUGAUACUCAGCAAACUCAAUGGCCAUUGUCUUCAGAUUUUUGUCGGCUGGCUGGAGUAACUUGUUAGCCUCCUGAAAUUGGAAAAUAUACAACUCUUCUGAAUAAGCAAUGUCAUGGUUUCUUUUUUCGGCAUAAGACGUUAGCGCUGAAUAUGUACAUUACAAAACUCAGAUGGAGUCCAGUUUCAUUUAUCCAAUGCUUACAGGAUUCCACUAAAAGUACCUCAGUGUACCAGACAAACACCAUUGGCAUAAAACAUUCAUCUGUUCUAAGAAAACUGAUCAACGAGUAAAAAACUGAUAAGCCCAGUCUGGUGAAAUCUUAGUAAGAAUACACCUAAACACAAGAUUUAAGAAGAAAAUUGAUAGCCACAAAGAGCACUCUCAUUUACCACACAAGAAAAAUGAUUAUUCUGCUCCACGAUUUAAGACAAUGAUUCAAGAGUGCAAUGAAGAACAGACAUUUUCACGAAAUGAUGAGCACGCUGCCAUUCAUUUCUCAGAGGCGACGACUCAAAUAAGUGAUUAGCAGCUUAAAGAACUUCAGUCAAGUUACUGGACUGAAGCGCUAUUUCUGCCCAUACAUUAUUGUACAUGCUCUAGUAGUGAAAUUUCAAGCAGACAUUUUGAUAUCAAUAAAUAGAAAAGACUAUUUAAUUUCCAAUGUUCUCUUUAAUAAGAAGUUGACAGUUAAAAAGACAUCAUCUCUCGCACUUAAUCGUCUUAGCGACAAUAUUAGAAGCUUCUAUAUAUUCAGCACAAUAUGGACAUCUUUAUGGGCAGAGCCCACAUUAUAAGGGGCAAAAACUAGGGGACAGUAUGUGGAAACAAUCUAAAAGUGAGACAGAUAUAUGCUGAAGAACUAAAAACUAGUUCAAUAAUUUUACCUUUUCUGCAGCUGAUACAUUGGUUCUUCCUUCAGCCUCUCUAGCAGAAAGGGCUCCAAUACCAGUAGAUGGCAGCACUAUAAAACAGAGCAAGUACAGCCAACACUUAGAAUUGUAUCACAAUUUGUGUAAUCAAGGACUCAAGGUUGCAUGGCUCAUGCAACAGAUCAUUUACAGGUCCUAUGGACUAGUUGAUGCACCAGGUGAAGAACUAUAAGGCAAUUGCCAAAAACAUAGUUCGAUCUUACAAAGCAUUUGGUCCAGAUAUUUGAUGGAGAGUGUCAUAACAGGAAUUUACUGAAAACAUAAUCUAAACAUAGCUAUUGUAGAAAUACUUCAAUUUUAAAAGAACCAGACAGUGCUGUAGAAAGCAAUCCUGUUACGUAUCAUCCUAUUUAGUCAGAUUGCAUUGGAAACAGAAGUUAAGCACAAAUUAAUGAAAGCAAAACAGUCAAUCAGCAGUGCAUUGUAAACAAGGCGUGGGGGAUUAAAGAUAAAAGAUGUUCUAAUGCAAGCAUGCGGACAAUAUUACCGGCUUGAUUUUUUACUAGUACAUGAGACUUAAAGUUAACUGCAUUUAGCACCUUACCUGAUUUUAACUGCAUUUAGCACCUUACCUGAUUGAAACACAAGAAGUUUGCCUCCAGUGCUUUUCAUUGCCAAGAAAGCAGCCUGAAGUAACAAAACACGAAGUAAGAAUCAAUCUAUAUGAUAAUCCAUCAUAGACUGAUGUGGUUAGACUUGCAUCAAUCAUCUGCAUGAGGGAGAUCCCAGAUUUAAAUUCUAUGGGAUCAAUCUUUAAUGUUCGAAGCAUUGGACACAUUAAUUUUUUUUUUAAGAAAACGAUAACCGUGGUGUCCAAGAUGGCUUGCGCGCACCUCGACUAACUCAAUGUGAUAUUUGUCACCUCCCACCAGCAAUAGAUACUAAUUGACUUUGUCAAACAAGGCUAGGACAAAUGGGAAGAGAUCACCUAGUGUUUUUGUCUCUGCUGAGAUUUGAACAUGAGACCUCGUGAUUCUCAACCCACUUCAUUGACCACUACAUAUUUUUAAAUUUAUGGCUUCAUACCUAUCAUUUAGUGCAAGUUUAGUCAUUUUUUACACAAGAACUUAUGCUCGAAGUUGAAAGUAUCGGGUUUAGAUGAACCCGUUACUGUAAGGUUGGACCUGCCCCUGCAUCUGCAUGUAGAGACAUAAUACUACUUAAUUUUUCCAAUCUUUUUCUAAGAAUGACAAAGUCUCAGGAAACUGUAAUGACCUAACUACUCACAUUAUAGAGGGAAUGCAGAAAAUACUUAUUCCAUCUAUGAAUUAACGAGGCAAUUUUUUUUUAAAAAAGGCAAUAUAAAACAAGUGGAUUUAUAUUCCAAAUGAUAACUUGGGAAUAUAACUUCAUGUAACGCACUGAUACCUUGACAGCAGCACCAAAAGCUGAAUCAGCAGUCCUGUUGUUCUGGAACAUAGUUGGGAUGCUUUCCAGGAGAAGCUCUAGGUGUUGACGGCACUGAAAACACAAAGAAGGAACAACUUUCAUAGGACGCACUCAUAGUCUUAGUCAUUCUGCUUUAAUAAGGGGAAAAUGAACAGAAGUUAGACAACAUCUUGCAGAUCUAACCUCCGACAGCUGCACAAUAACAUCAGUCUGAAGGGGGGUGUAAACGUCUUGGACAUCAGGGACUAUUAGCAUCAAUGGCUGCAAAGGGAGAUCCAGAAUAAACUUAUCAGAAAACAAGCACUUCACCAACCUAAACCAUUUGCCACAACCCUAAUCCCACAGUUUAGCAUCCAUAUUAAAGAACAAUGAACAAGUCAUAUUAGAGAACAAUGGAACAAGUGAAAUAGAAUCCAACUAUACCAGAGAAGAAAAAUGAAGAACUGCAUAAUUAAGCAAAAUGAAGAAAUCCAACAAUAAGGAAAUGAGCAACUAAUUAAGGCAGAAAAGUUGAGAAAAGUCAUAAAGUACUCUUUUUGAAGGCUAAUAUUUUCUUCCUACAAUCCAUUACUUAAUCAUGGACAAGACAAAUGAAAAAGGAAAACAACAACAAUUUUACCUUGUUUUAGUAAGUACUACUAACUCUGCUUCCCAGAUAUGUCUAAUUUUGCUCAAACUCUCCAAAAAUGUUGUCACACCUGUGUCGGAUGCACAAAAAUGCACAAUUUUUUGAGGAUCCGACAUGCAUUGUUUGACAUUUUUGAAGAGCCCGAGCAACAUACACAUGGUUAAAGAUUUUUAUUUUAUUUUCACUUCAGAAAUUCUUUACGAAGAGCCGAGGGUCUUUUGGAAACAGUCUCUCUACCUCCCACGAGGUAGUGGUAAAGUCUGAGUACGCUCUACCUUCCCUAAACCUCACUAGUUUCACUGGGUAUGUUGUUGUUGCAAAGAAAUUCUUUAAGAAAUGGCAUUUAGCUAAUCAUCUUGGCAACACAUUUCUGAAAUCCAACGAGAAUCAUUUUAGUAGUUCUGCAUUUUACCCUUAAAAGUAAUUGUCAAUUCAUCAUUACCUCAACAAACAGAAAAAUGGCAACGAUAACUGAUUAAGACUUAACACUGAUUACAAAGCAUCUUUUAAUUUUAGAUUCUAUUCUAAAGCUUAAUUUAGCAGAAUAAACUCAUUUGGAUGUGCUGAACCUGCUGCAAUGCACGCUUGAGAUUGUAAAAGUGGAUAGUUGAGUCGAAUGUAGCAACUCCAACCAAUGUCCGAGGACCAUCCUGCAAUAAUAAGUUUUCAAAGUCAAAGACAGCUCUUUAACUCCAAGAAUUCAUAUUGUGCAUUAAAAUUGAAAAGAAAUGCAUCUUAGCUGAACUAUAUCACAAAUAGAAUAGACUCCCGAAUCUCUUGCCUCUUAGUGAACAUGUCAUUCUACCACUUGACCGAUCCCAUCUCUCCCGAAUUCCAUUAGAUCAUAGAUUGAUUUCUACCAGAUCAUCCUAUGGUCCAUUCAACUAGAAUGACACCAGAUGCCAAGAAAAGAACCCCACAAUCAAAGCAAGGGUUCACCUGAAUCUUUUUGUCACAUUCAUAGUUUUCCUUUUACCUUCUGAUUUAUUAUAAGCCAUCACUUAAGGAGAUGCAAAUCAACAGGUUAACGCAUCAUAAUCUCUUCAUCUUUUUUUGCCUAAUCCCCCCCCGGUGUCCAGCAGCCACUAAAUAUAAAUUUCCAUAAUGACCUCUUGGAUAAAACAAAGUGAUCAAGCAGCAUUCGUGCAGCAUCGCACUAUUCAGAAUGGAGACAACUAGGUUUUCCACAAUUCAGACACAUAAAUAACUAACCUACCUCAUCAUCUCAACAGACAAAUUACACGGAUAAUUGCUUCGCUACAUCAGAAGUUCUAGUUAAUCUCACUGAUUUUAGUAUAAAAAGUGAUUAAUUUAUGAUGACUCCACUUGAGAAGACACGCCAAAUACUUUUCCCUCUAAUCUAAAGGUAAAAAAAAAAAAAUGCAUGUUGCAUCAUCAUAAACAACCAAUAGACUUACAGGGAGAUCAGAAAUAACUUGGCUGAUCGCACUGCAAGCAGCUGCAGUUGCACCAGUCUGUAUGGCAUUCAUGGAAACAUCUAUCAGGAAGAAAUACACAGCAGGCAUUGGAUCCCGAACCUGAAAUACAAGAAAAAAUUCCAAGUUAUUACUGCAAAAUAAAAUGAGUCACAAAAUCAAAUUAAGGAAUUCUCUAGACCAAAGACAGGAGUGCAUCUACGAAAAAGGAGAGCAUCAAAUCAACUUGCAACAUAGAGUAGGUUCUAAGCUAUAUCUACAUUGAUUUAGAACUCUGUCAAAUGUCUCUGUGGAAGUAUUAGUUUAAUUUUCUAAACUUGAGAUCCUACUCGUCCACACUACCGACCCCCUCAACCCAUGCGCUGUUAACAGAUUGCAUAGUACUCUAGGAGCAGUAAAUUGACAAGUCUGCCACAGUUCAACAUCUCAUGUAUCCCGCUCAUUGCUCAGUGGACCUUCUCCUUCUCACCAUAUUCCUCUUUAGCUUCUCUCUGUAUAUGUUGUUUUUUUACUACUUUCAAUGCUGAAAAGAAUUUUGUAACAAAUUAUAUACAAACCAACUGUUUCCUCCUAAAGUCUAAAAUCAGCAACAGAAUAGCAGGCCGAUAGCAACAACCUGGUGCUGGAAAACUACACAAGAACCGGCAUUUGGAAUAUAUCGAAAACGGUGCUAGUGAACUGCAAACUUUCCGCAUACCAAUCCACUGUGACUCAAUCUCAAGUUAGUGUUUUAUUUUAUUAUUACUUAUUUGCCCACAGGGUAUGUUGUUAUUGUUGUUGUAUUUUUAUACCAGCAUCAAUCCCAAUAGUUAAUAUUGCAAUAUGAAUCCAGUGUAGUCAAGUCACUCUGUUCUGGUUAGCUUCAGCAAAUACCAAAACAACUUCAGAUGUUAGAUUUGAAAGCACAAAGCUAGCAAAACAGAAAGUUCAGAGCUUGGAAUGUCUACUUAAUAUGGCAUUACUCCUAUAACGUCAUGCAAUCACAUCCCUUAACCAAUGUGUCCAAAAAGUACCAACCAUAUAUUCCUUCGUAGCGACAAACUCAACAGUUCCUCGGCAUAGUUCAGGCCUCUCAUCAGCAUCCCUACGCCUGCCAUCUGGACCUAAGUUGCACUGAUAGUCACGAGGAGUUUCAUCGGUAUGUCCUGCAACAAGGACGGCAAGAAACAUGAGAUAAGAGCUGCAUAACAGCACAUUUUCAUUAAACAUGCAGUAUUAAGAAAUUGAAAUGGUUUUUACAUUUCAAGUUAUGUAUGCGAUUGAUUGAUUAAAUCUGAUGGCCUUUGUCCUCACUUAAAAGUUGAGGAACCUGAAAAGAGAUAUCAGUAAAUGGAAUAGAGAGGUGUGUGGCAAACUAGACUAUCAGAGGAAUAAGGUUCUGGAAGAGCUGGGAUUCCUUGAACAAAUUGCUGAACACAGGGAAAAUACAAGAGAAGAGAAAUUGAAAGCUUUAAGUCUGAAACUAGACCUUAAACAGAUAGCAAUUGCUAAGGAAAUUUCUUGGAGGCAAAAGUCCAGAUGUCUAUGGCUAAAAGCAGGGGACAAGAACACUAAGUUCUUCCAAAGAAUGGCAAACUCACACAGAAGAGGCAAUAGUAUUGACAAGCUGAAAAUUGAAGGAGAAAUCAUUGAGGAUGCGGAUGUGAUAAAAGAAGGCAUCCUUGAUUUUUACCAAAAUCUUUAAAAGGAAUCUGAACCAUGGAGGCCAUCUGCAGAGUUUGAAAACAUCUCAACUUUAAGGAUUGAGGAAAGGGAUGAGCUAGAGCUACCAUUCAAUGAACUUGAAGUUCUUAAUGCACUCAAAUCAUGUGCCCCAGACAAAGCUCCAAGCCCUGAUGGCUUUACCAUGGCUUUUCUACUGGAAAGAAUGGAUUUUCAACAAAGAAGACAUCAUGAAUGCCUUCAGUUAUUCCAUCGAAACUGUCAAUUGGUGAGAUCCUGCAAUGCUUCCUUCAUUGCCCUCAUCCCAAAGAAGAAGGUGCUUUGGAACUCAGGGGCUUAAGACCAAUCAUCCUCGUAGGAAGCAUUUAUAAAUUGGUGGCCAAAGUUCUGGCUGAGAGGUUGAAAAAGGUGGUGUGCAAUUUAGUUUCGGGUCAACAAGGUGCUUUCAUGAAGAACAGGCAGAUUACUGAUGCCUCACUUAUUGCUAAUGAAGUGCUAGACUGGAAGAUCGAAAGUGGGGAAACUGGCAUUCUAUGUAAGCUAGACAUAGAAAAGGCUUUUGACCAGUUACAAUGGAGCGAUCUAGCUAAACUUCUAAAAACGAUGGGCUUUGGCAACAGGUGGAUUAGAUGGAUAUACUUCUGCAUCUCAACUGUUAAGUUCUCAGUAGUGAAUAGAAGUCCAGUAUGGUUAUUCUCUCCCAAAAGGGUCUCAGGCACGGGAAAUCCCUCUCUUCUUUUCUGUUUAUCUUGGGAAUGGAAGAGCUCACUCAGUUGCUAGUUAGAGCUAGAGAACUUCAAUGGAUUCAGGGAUUCCAAGUUGGCAAUGACCCUAACACUGCUGUUACAGUCUCACAUCUGCUAUAUGCAGAUGACACUUUGGCUUUUUGGCUUUUGGUGGAGCAAACAGACAACAAAGUGCGGCAAAUCAACAUCACUCUCAUGGUCUUUGAAUCAAUUUCUGGACUUCACAUCAACAUGAUCAAGAACAAAAUCUACCCAGUAAAUGGAGUCCCCAACUUAAAUGAUCUGGCAGACAUUCUUAGUUGCAAAACUGGAACUCUUCCAACUACCUACUUGGGAUUGCCACUACGAGCAAAAUUUAAGGUUACUGAUGUUUGGAAUGGAGCAAUUGAAAGAAUGGAGAAGAGACUAGCAACCUGAAGAUGCAAUCUCUCUCUUUAGGAGGCAGACUUACACUAAUCGGCAGUGUACUUGAUAGUAUUCCCACCUACAUUAUGUCCCUCUUUCCCAUACGAGGUUCAGUGACAAAGCAAAUUGACAGCUUAAGAUGGUGUUUGGAUAAGAUUAUAAGUUAGGUCAACAUGGCUUACAAGCCAUUUUUUCCUUUUAGGAUUGUUUGGCAAAUUUAAAAGUUGCUUAAAAAAAGUUAAUUUUCGCUUUUUAAAAGCCAAAAGCUAGAAGUUGCCCAUUCCUUACUCUUUUUUUUUUAGCUUAUAAUCCAUUAAAAGUUGACCAAGUAAAAGACAUUUGUGUCCCUUAUAAUUCUUACUUAUUCCAAAAUUACCCUCUUGUAACCCCAAAACACACUUCUCUUUCACUACAACACACUUCUUCUUGUAUUAAUUAAACAUUUCCACUUUUUGUAUUUAUGGCGAACUUAACUCUAGCCAUACUAGUACCUCUUUUGUGUGAAACUUCUAAUUUAUGAAAUAUGAUUUUUAUGUAUUUUUUGAUAAAGAUUUUUUUUUUUUUAAUUCUNNNNNNNNNNNNNNNNNNNNNNNGCUUUUUGUAGUGCUAGCAGGAAUACAAGUGACCCAGUGAAAAAUGGGGUUGAUGGUGUUGGCUAAAAAAGGGGGAGACAUAUGAAUUUCUCUAAGAAAAAAAACAACUCACCAACCAAGAUAUAUGGAGAACAUUCACGGAAGAUAUACAACUUCAUGAACGAUUAGUGAACAACAACAACAACAACAACAACAAACCCAGUGUACUUCCCACCAAGUGGGGUUUGGGGAGGGUAGAGUGUACGCAGUCCAUACUGCUACCUCCAGAGAAGUAGAGAGGCUGUUUCCGAUAGACCCCCGGCUCAAGAUAAAGAAAAGUAGACCAAAGCGUAAUUAAAUAAGAAGCAAGAUGGAUGGCAUAACAUGACAAGGAAUAAGACUCAUAAAAAUAGAAGUCAGAACAAUAAGAAAUAAAAUAAAUAAGCGCAAUAGAAGAAAGAGACCCACGCCCGCCUGACCGGGCUCCUAUCUUUGGACCCAAUCCUAGGUUUACUAGCCCGACUCAACCUGAGCUCUUCUAACUACUUACUAAAUCCACGCACACAACCUAGCCUUCUACCCUUAUCCGCGACCUCCACACCUUCCUAUCUAGGGUCAUGUCCUCAGGAAGCAGAAGCUGCUCCAUAUCAUGUCUAAUCACUUCCCUCCAGUACUUCUUCAGCCUACCUCUCCUUCUUCUGAAACCAUCUAACGCUAACCUCUUGCACCUACGAACUAGGGCAUCCGUGCCCCUCCUCAUCACAUGCCCAAACCAUCUCAACCUUCUUUCGCGCAUCUUAUCCUCCAACAAAGCCACUCCGACCUUCUCCCGAACGGUCACAUUCCUGACUCUAUCCUCUCUGGUAAGUCCACACAUCCAACGCAACAUUCUCAUUUCCACUACCUUCAUUUUUUGAAUGUAGGAGUUCUUGACUGGCCGACACUCUGCUCCAUAUAGCAUAGCAUGACGGACUGCUGCUCUGUAGAAUUUACCUUUAAGCUUUAGUGGCACCUUCUUGUCACACAACACUCCCGAGGCAAGCCUCCAUUUCAUCCAACCAGCUCCAAUAUGGUUAGAGACAUCCUCAUCAAUCUCGCCAUUCCCCUGAAUCAUAGACCCAAGAUAUCUAAAACUAUCCCUCUUUCGGAUCUCCUGAGAAUCCAACCUUACCACGAAAUCAUCCUCCUGUCUCACCUCACUAAACUUACAUUCCAUAUAUUCAGUCUUGGACCUACUCAACCUGAACCCUUUAGAUUCAAGGGUUUGCCUCCAAACCUCCAAUUUUUCAUUCACACCGGCCUGCGUCUCAUCAACCAGCACUACAUCGUCAGUGAACAACAUACACCACGGCACCUCCCCUUGAAUACUCCGUGUCAACACGUCUAUCACCAACGCAAACAGGAACGGACGAAGAGUCGAACCCUGGUGCAACCCUGCCUCGACCGAAAAAUGCUCUGAGUCACCUCCCGCCAUUCUCACCCGAGUCUUUCCUCCAUCGUACAUGUCCUUAAUAGCUCUGAUGUACGCCACCGGGACCCCUUUGGCCUCUAAACAUUUCCACAGAACCUCCCUCGGAACUUUGUCAUAAGCCUUCUCCAAGUUGAUGAACACCAUAUGCAAAUCCUUCUUCCUUUCCCUAUACUGCUCCACCAAUCUCCUCACCAGGUGAUUGCCUCUGUCGUGAGCGACCAGGCAUAAAACCAAACUGAUUCUCUGAAAUGAACACGAUCCUCCUCAAUCUCAGCUCAACUAACCUCUCCCAAAUCUUCAUAGUAUGACUCAACAGCUUGAUACCUCUAUAGUUAGUGCAACUCUGGAUGUCUCCCUUAUUUUUAUAUAACGGAAUCAUCGUACUCCACCUCCAAGCCUUCGGCAUCCUUGUCGUCUUGAAAAUGCCGUUAAACAAAUCAGUCAACCACCUUAAACCAACCUUACCUAUAAACUUCCAAAAAUCCACCGAAAUCUCAUCGGGCCCCGUCGCCCUUCCCUUUCGAAUUCUACGAAUAGCAUCUCUGACUUCCUCCACCCUAAAACGCCUACAAUAACUGAAAUUACAUCUCUCCUCCAAGUGUUCCAACUCUCCUAACUCGAUGCCUCUAUCUCCCUCCUCGUUCAAAAGCCUAUGGAAGUACUCCUGCCAUCUCCUCUUAAUGUGGACAUCUUCCACCAAAAUAGUACCAUCCUCCCCUUUAAUGCACUUCACUUGGUCUAAGUCCCGACCCUUCCUUUCCCCAGCCUUCGCAAGCCGAUAUAACCUCUUUUCCCCGCCUUUCGCAUCUAACCCCGCAUACAAGCUCUCAAACGCUACAGUCUUAGCUGUCGUGACUGCAAGCUUAGCUUCCUUUCUAGCAACUUUGUAGGCCUCCCUAUUCACCCGCUUCUCCUCUGCAUCAUUACUCUCAAUCAACUUAGCAUAAGCCCCCUUCUUAGUCUCCACCUUUUUCUUAACUUCUUCAUUACACCACCAGUCCCCCUUAUGUCGACCUGCCCGACCCUUCGAAACACCAAAAACUUCUCUAGCAGCUUCCCUGACACAACUGGCAGCCCUAUCCCACAUAGUCUCCACGUCCCCCUGCACCUCCACACCCCCAAACCUGCCACCUUCUCCUCAAUCUCUAACGCACUACCCGGUGUCAAGCCAACCCACCUAAUUCUAGGCCGACCCUCUUUGGCCCUUCUCUUUUUGCCCUUCUUGAUAGUCAAGUCCAUCACCAGAAGUCUGUGCUGGGUCGAAAGAUGCUCACUCAGAAUGACUUUACAGUCCUUACAAAGAGCCCUAUCCUCCUUCCUAAGCAACAGAAAGUCAAUCUGAGUCUUGGCUAUCGUGCUUCGGAAGGUAAUUAGGUGAUCCUCCUUCUUCGGGAAGCUCGAAUUCACCACCACCAACCCAAAGGCCCUAGCAAAAUCCAACAGAGCAGCUCCCUCGUCAUCCCUAUCGCCGAAUCCAAAAUCUCCAUGCACAUCGUCAUAACCUCCAGGCAAAACCCCAAUGUGCCCAUUGAAGUCCCCUGCUAUGAAAAUCUUCUCCGAACUAGGCACGCUUCUCGCCACCUCAUCCAAAGCAGCCCAAAACCCCGCUUUCUCCUCCUUAACCAAGCCCACCUGCGGUGCAUAAACACAACACACAUUCAGCAAAACCCCCCCAACGACUAGAGUAAUCGUCAUCAGCCUAUCACUAACCCUCUUAACCUCCACCACCUGCUCUCUAAGCUCCUCAUCCACUAAGAUCCCCACUCCAUUCCGACGCCUAUCGCACCCAGAGUACCACAGCUUAUACCCAUCCACAUCCCUAGCCUUAGUCCCUACCCACUUAGUCUCCUGCACACACGCAAUGUUGAUCUUCCUCCUCUUAAGAACCUUAACCAGCUCUAUGGACUUACCCUGAAGGGUUCCUGUAUUCCACGACCCUACCCACAACCUAUCUACUCUCGCCUACCUCUACGAUCCCUCACCACACCAGCCCUAACACUCGACCUAAAUCCCCCACCCACCCCUGCCCUUCCCUCCUCACCCCCACCCAAAACCGACCCCAACCCCAACCCCCUCAGACAUGACCUUAUACCACCAUCAACCCCUACCUCCACCACUUAAGAACCAAAAACCAAUCCCUAAACCGAUAAACCACAAAACAAAAAUCAACAAAAGGCAGGCAGGAAACCAAAAAAGCAGCAGGGAAGCAGGGAUCGCACACAGAUAAAACUAUCCGGCCUAUCAGAGGACACAACUCUAAUCACAAGAAAUAGCAGUGCAAACGAGAACGGUAAAUAAGGCGAGAAAUAAUAACUAGUAAAAAGUAUGUAAAUAACAAAGGUUAGAUGUCAUCGGGGUAAUCUCGUGUGCUAAUGGUGCCGUUAAUACUGGCUUCGAAGUUGAUUGCUGAAAAUACAGUCGCCGAAAAAAUUCUGCCAGGCUCUAGCUGUCACUGGAGCGUGUCCUGGGUGUUACCAGAUCUGUGUUCUGGUGCCCGUUGACGCAGUCGAUCCGGCGGAAACCCUUGUUCCGCCGGCGAAAUCAGUGGCUAAAAUUUCAAAGAAGGGGAAGGAAAAGAGAAAUAAUUCGGGAGAGAUGGGGAGAGAGGGAGGAGAGGGAGAGAGCUUAAGGGAGAGAAACAAAGCAAAGGUACCCUUAAUUAAUAACAAUCAACUCUACAUAUUGUUAACAGCUUUAAGGGGAUUUUAGACAUUUUGACCAAAAAAAAGUGUUUCACAACACUUGUUUACCAAACAAAUCAACAACUUUUUUUCAGUUCAACACUUUUAUCCAAACACGUAACUGCUUAUUUUAAAAAUAAGUUUCAGCACUUUCAAAAGCACUUUUAAAGAACCUUUUAAAAGCCACUUUUUUUCAGCCUAUUCAAACGGGCUCUAAGAAAGAAACUUCUAUGGGAAGGAAAUAAUGUGUCUCAAAAAUUUCACUAGUCAAGUGGAAGAAAGUGAUCCUACCUAAGUCUCAAGAAGGUUUGGGGAUUAGGGACCUGAAAACUCACAACAAGGGACUGCUCAUAGAAUGGCUAUGGAGCUAUGGCCAAGCAAAGGCCAGAUAUUGGAAAGAUGUCAUCAUAGCCAAAUAUGAGGCACAGAAACAUUGGCGUACCAACAGGAUCGGAGAACCACAUAGGGUAGGGGACCUAGAAAUUUAUCAGUAGCUUUCAAGAGGUUUCUUUCAAAAGGUAUCCUACAAAGCUCACAAUGUCUAACCAAUGGCUCGGAAACAGUACAUUAAAGAAUGUUUUUCCUCGCCUUUAUCAAAUAGCCAACAACAGGGAAGCAGCCAUUGCACAAUACAGAGAUGGCAACAUAUGGAACACUAUUUUCAGAAGGAAUCACCAAGAUUGGGAACUCAAUGACCUGCUGCUCCUCUUAGAGUCCUUGGUGUCCUAUCAUAUAGAUAGAAAUGCUAACAGGAUCUUAUGGGGCUCUUCCAAUAUAGGAACCUACACAGUGAAAGAUUUCUACAGAGUAGAAUGCUCGCAGAAUAGCCAAAUUGAGCUUUGGCAUUGGAGCAUGUUUGGAAAACUAGACAACCUCUCAAAGUCACUUGUUUCACAUGGAUUGCACUAUAUGAAGUCUCUUUGACUCAAGACAAUCUCAGAAAGAAAGGCAUCAUCCUCACCAACAGAUGCUACAACGAACCAGUUAACCACCUUCUUUUGCAAUGCCCUGUGACAAUUGCUAUCUGGCAGCUUUCUUCUCUAUUUUUGGACUUUAUUGGGUGAUGCCAGGUUGAAUCAAAGAAGCAUAUUUUAGCUGGAUUUCUUGGAGAGUUGACAAAUUCAUCAAAAGAAUCUGGACCAUGAUCCUUGCAGUCAUAUUUUGGACCAUCUGGAAGGAAAGAAAUCAUAGACAUUUUGAUGGGAUCUCAACUCCCCCAAGCUCUCUCAAGGCCAAAUGCUUAUUAACCUUAUUCAGUUGGCACUCCCUAUCCCAUGUAAACAGUACCGAUACCUUUUUAGAUUUUGUUAGCACCUUAACUCUUAUUUAACGGAGUAUCAAGGUAGCAUUCUUUUGACUUUUACAGAACUUUUCCCUAGCUUCUGAGAUCAAAUGUUUCUAGGUUUUUGAAGCUAUUUUUAGUUUAGUCAGUUUUUUCUCUCUAGCUACCUGUACGAUCUACGUGAUGCCUUUCUAAUACAAUUAAUAAUUACUUUACCCCCCCAAAAAAAAAAGAAUUGCAUGUGUAAUGCCGAAGCCGGUCCGUCCACACCUUGACUAUUUAUCAGAGGUGAGUGGACUAUCCCCAAAAUGAAAGAGAGAUAGAGAGCGAAUCAACAAUUCUUUCCUUUUACUGUUCCACUUCAUAGCGCUAGUUAACUUAUAAAGUUGCUCACGGGAAGGCUUCACAUAUAGACUAACAUGUCAACCUGUAAGGAUUGUAUUGAUAUCUAUCAAUGUCACUUCCAAAUAAAACUUAUAUCUGAAUUAGGUCCAGAAAGGACUACGUUUAAAGAUAAUUUUCUUCUUCGCAGCUUAUGAAAUGAAAGGUGUAAGAGUAAGACUGCUCACAUGUUCUCAGUUAACCAGUAAGAAUGGAUAUUAGACGUCUGAGAAUGCGCUUAUGUGUUUUGCUAGACUAGUUGGAGCAAAAAAAUAUCAAUAACGAUGUAAAUUUGAUACUUCUGUUUGGUAUUCUGUAGUUUCACAAAAUAUCACGGCCAUGCUAUGUUGCAUUUCAAUCUUGAGUCUCUAAAUAAUAUAUAGAGCCACUCUAGACUCCAAAUAUCACAUAACUUCAGUGGAAAUAAAUAAAAUUCAUUCUUACCACAAAAGUUACAGAUGAAACGUCUUCCCUGAUCAAUGAACUUCAUGAAAGGAUUUAUAUAGCCUUUGCAACGGGAGCACCGAACAGGACCACUUUCCCCAAAAUCAACCACCUAUCAAGGAAAGCAACAAUUAGGUGAAAGAACUAACAAACUAUUUCAUUCUGCAGUUAAAUAAGCCACACAAACCAAUUUACAUGAUUGAAAUGACCCUACAUGUUUAGAAUAUAGAGCAAGUAGAAAUGAUAACAGAUAUAUAACAAACAUAAACAUAAGAUCCAUGAUGAUUAGUCAAAACGAUCUCCACUCUAGGGAUCACGAUCAUUCCUUUUUUUUUUUUUUGACAAUGGUAACAUUUGAAUUUAAAUCAGUACUUACAUAGUACUAAAAAACCAUAUUUACAAAUAUGAGAAAGAAGUAUAGUCUUCCCCAAAGCAAAACUAAAAUCUAGAUGGACCCUAGUACAUCUAUGAUUGACUCAGUCUCAUUGGAGUAAACAGUGGUACACCAAAAGCAAAACAACAAAACUCAUUUAAUCCUGACUUCUUGUAGGCUAUUGUCCCUAUUCUCAAAACAUCUAUUAUUUCUCUCUCUCCAUAUAGUCCACCAUAUACAAGCAGGGAUCAUCCUCCAUCUUUCUUUGUUUGUAGCCCCAACUCCAGCUUCCUCCCAACUAAAAGAGUCUUAUCAAUUUUACUAGGCAGGAAAUGCCUCUGAGAUUUAAGAAAAUCUGCCAGAGCUAGACAGUGAAAUUGUAGUGUAGGAAAAGGUGUCUCACUGUCUCUGUAUCCUUUCCACAUAAGGAGCACCUGUUGCAUAGAGAGAUACCUCUCUUAGCCAUAUUAUCCAAUGUCAAAACAGCUUCAUUGGCUAACAAUCAAGUAAAGCAUGCCACUUUAUGUGGCACUUUGACUCACCAGAUAUGUUAUAUGUUUCCCAGGCCAUUUGUGAACUUGAUUAUCACUAACAUUUGUGUCACUAAGACUUGUCUGUUUAUACCCUUCCUUUACCCUGUAUUUACCUUUGUUGUGCCCAUGCCACCAUAAAUAAUCCUCACCAGCCUGUGUUCCAUGAAAACUCCCCAGUAGUUGGUAAAGUUCGAUUAUUCUAUGAAUUUCCCAGUCAUUUAGAUUUCUUCUUAGGACCAAGUUCCAUCCUUGUUGCGACCACAUAUCAGCAAUUGUGUUCUGUUGAUGUUGAGCCAAAACAAAGAUGUCAGGAAAAAAAUCUUUGAGGCUCACAGCACCCAUCCAUUUGUCAGCCCAAAAAGUAGUUUUUUUACCAUUUAGAGCAUUUACCUCUUUAGUCAUCCUCUUUAGUCAUACACCAUAGUGCUUUAUCCUCUUGAUGAUACCUCCAUAGCCACUUCACCUUCAAAGCUUUGCUCUGGUUUUUGAGGUUCUUGAUACUUAAGCCAUCUUGUUUCUUGCUUCUGAGGAUAUUCUUCCAUUUGACUAAGUGAAAGCCUUUCCUUUCCUAAUUGCCUUGCCACAAGAAGUUUCUUCAGAUUUUGUCCAACCUCUGAAUUACUGACUGAGGUAUAUGAAAGAUAGAUAACAUAUAUGUAGGAAAAGCAUCUAGAAUUGAAUUUAUCAGGGUCAGUCUACCUCCCAGAGACAGAUAUUGGGAUCUCCAUCUAGCUAAUUUCUUUUCACACUUCUCCAAAAUUGAGUUCCAAAUGUUUAUGGAUCUUGAUUUUGCACCCAAAGGCAUGCCCAAGUAUAUUGAUGGCAAAUUUCCCACCACUCUUCCCAAAAUCCGAGAAAGAUGAUCCAUCUUUGGAACCACAUUAAUUGGAUACAAGUGGCUUUUGUUCCUAUUUAUAUGGAGCCCAGAUAUGGCUUCAAAGUAAACCAGUAUAAGUCUUAAGAUCAUCAGUUGCUCCUCCUCAGCCCCACAAAAAAUUAGUGUAUCAUCAGCAUACUGCAGAUGUGUGAUUUCCACACUGUUUCCCGCUACCUUGCUAACUUCAAAUACAUGGAUUCUUCCUGCUUCCUUGCCUAUAUUCAGCAUGUUAUUUAGCCCUUCCAUAGCUAUGAUGAACAAGAAGGGAGAUUGGGGGUCUCCCUGCCUAAUCCCUCGGUGUGCAUUGAAAAAACCUUGAGGUGAAACAUUGAUAAGCACAAAAAACUUCACAGAUGACAUACAAAACUUGAUCCACCCGAUCCAUCUCUCACCAAACCCCAUUUGUCUCAACAUACGUAGAAUGAAAUCUUAAUUCACGUGGUCAUAUGCUUUCUUGCUAUCAAGUUUGCAUAAUAUACCAGGUUUACUUUGGGACAUUCUAGAAUCAAUUGCUUCAUUAGCAAGAAGCACUGCAUCCAUUAUCUGUCUGCCUCAGAUAAAAGCCAUUUGCUGCUUGUCUACCAACUUAUCCACAACUUCCUUCAGCCUUUCUGUCAGUACCUUCGAGAUCAACUUGUAAAAGCUUCCAAUUAAACUGAUAGGUCUGAAGUCUUUGAGCUCCUUUGCUCCUAUCUCCUUAGGAAUCAAUGCUAUUUAUGUUGCAUUCUAGCUUUUUUCAAACAUCCUAGUAGAAUGGAAAUUGUGAAAAGCCUCCAUAAUGUCUUGUUUAAUUAUCUCCCAACAUGUUAGAUAAAACCCCAUUGUGUAACCAUUAGGGUCGGGGGCUUUGUCAAUGGCACACAUCUUUAAGCACUCAAAAACUUCUUGCUCCUCAAAUGUUGCCCGCACUGCCUCUUUCUCAUCCACUGUGAUGGUAGGAUGAUUGUUAAUAUUUUGAGAAGGCCUCCAGUCUUCUUGUAGAAGGAUAUGACUUCCUCCUUAAUUCUAUUAGGAUCAGUUAUCGUCUCUCCCUGCACUUCCAAUUGAUCAAUGUGAUUAUAUCUUUUGUGGACAUUAGCAGUUUGAUAGAAAAACUUUGUAUUUCUAUCCCUUCCCUUGAGCCAUAAGGUCCUUGAUCUUUGUCUCCAGGCCACUUCUUCAUUCUUUAAACACCUCUCAUACUUCAUAAACAGUGUUGCUUUCUUGGCGAUUUCCUCCUCUGUCAAGGCUCUAAUAUUCAACUGAGAUUCUAGCAUAGCCAUCUGAUUGAGAAGAUUGUUAUUGUCUACUCCAUUUUUUCAAUUUCCCUUUGAGAGCUUUGAGUUUACCUGCUAAGAUGUAGUCUGGCUUCCCAUAAAAUUCAAAUUCACUCCACCAAUUCUUGACUCUUUCAGCAAAACCUUCUUGAUUCAACCACCAAUUUUCAAACUUGAAGUAGGAAUUAGAUUGCUCCCAGUGUCCACAAAGCAGAGCUAUUGGGACAUGAUCAGAGGUCACUCUUUGCAGUGUAGUCUGUUUUAGAUUAUUGAAGAGAUUGUUUCAUUCUGUGGAAACCAUUAUCCUGUCUAUUCUUGAUGCAGUUGUAUGACUAUCCCCUCUAUACCAGGUAUACUUUCCACCGCUUAGCUGUAGAUCAAUUAGGUCCAGGUCCUCGAUGCAAUCUGAAAACUCCCUCAUUGCUGAAUUUCUCCUGUUCCAAUCCCUUUUUUCAAAGGGAAAUCUACAAACGUUGAAGUCACCACAGAUAGCCCAUGGCCCAUCAAACAAGCCUCUUCCAUCCAUAGGUGCAUUGCUAGACCCAAAGCCCUAAUACAGAUGGAUUUGGAUUUGUGAUUGAUAGGCACGCAGCCUGCAGCAGGGUUCCACCAUUCUAAUUUGAGUCUGAUUUUCUUCCACUGCCAUUCUCCCUGUAGAACUUGUUCCGCCAUGUAUCUAUUUGGAAACUCAAAGAGAAAACAGUUGUACAAUAUCUCUCAGACAUUAAUCCCAAACGCCUUCUUCCACAUCAUCGAGGACCAUCGUCUAACUUCUGAGAGAGCGGGUGUUUCAGGUUUUGCGUUACCAAAAGACCCAAAAAUACAUCUUCCCAGUACUCCUUGAUCUUUGAUUUUGGCUGCAACAUUGGUUUCAAUCUCUUUUCCUUUGGUUGUGGCUACCUCAGAGCUAUUGCUUUGCCACUUGCUGGUUGUAACUGCUUUUGCAUAAGUCAUAUUUAAAACAUUUGUCUUGCAUUGUGUUUGUAUCUCCUUCUGUGGUGGAUUUUUAAUGAAACUUUGAAUCUUAAAUGCCACACUUUUCCAACCAACAUUUAUGUUUGACUCAGGUACAAUAAUAACCGCUCUGUCCUCUCACUUCAGUGACAAGAUACUCAUAUAUCUCCCAUGGGAAUUGUAUUUCCUCGUACAGAAGAAAUCUGCCAUUUGGUCCUUGUAUCUCCGACUUCUGACCUGAUAUUUUCGAUCGGCUGAUGCUUCUGUAAGGAUGAAGCAGAUCCAUUCCAACGCCUUCUCAUUGAGUGUAACCCUUCUCAUCAUAUUUCUGCUCCUUUACCCCCAGUCGUACCAUACAACAUUGUUUGAAGUCCAUCUGGUUAUGUCAUAAGAUUGUCAUAAGAUUUAAAACCUUGGUUGAAAUAUAUAUUCUAUUAUCUCCCAUAGGUUCAGAAAUCAGAGAUCUUAGUAAAACAGAAAUCAGAAGAUGUAAAGACUGGCUUGUUUGAAAGAUAAAGGGUCAAUUCCGGCAAGUCCACCGAAAAAGGUCUUGAGUAACGGCCUGAAUCUGUAGUUAACAGCCGGAAAUUAGUGUUGGUGAAGCCUGAUAAUUUGAAAAACUGUAUGAAUGGUCUCACGCGCCGGUGCGUGAGGCGCAUGAUGGGGGUAGCUGGGAGAUCUGGGUGGCGCGUGAGGGCGUGUAGGGUAGUUUCCGGCGAUAGGUUUUCUGGGGUUUGGUCGCAACAGGGUGUUGGUGACUAUGGAGGGGGAGAAUUGAGAGAAAGAGGAAGUAAAAGGGGUAUUCUGGUGAUCAGAAGGACCACCGGAGAUGUUUUUGGUUGAAAGGGGGUCUUUUUCUAAAGUUACAUUGGGACCAAUAAGAAAAAGAAAAAGAAAAAGCACACUGCCCUGACCUCCCAGGGUCACUGCAGUCAAUUGUACAUCUUAGAACAAAUCAAGUCAGUCAUACUUCAAUAGAUAUCAACAAACACAAUUAAUUGUAAUAAUCACUUAUAAAGAUCUUGACACUACAAAUAUCAUUUGUUUGCACAUGAUAACUUAAUUUUCGGUUAAUCACAUAUAAGACAAUUCUGCUUUUGUCUUGCUUUGAGGCUAUAUCCUAGUUGUGGAUCAAAAUUAGGAAGUCCAAAAUAGUGCUUUUGUAACUGACGGAAUCCUAGCCCGUGGCUACCUAUUUCUUUUAAUAUAAAACUUGCUUACCUUCUCAAAAAAAAAAAAGAGUCCACAAUGAUUCAGUUGGAGAGGUACAUUAAAAUCAAGAUUAGCGGUUAUGUGGCAAGCUACUAUCAAAUUACUUGGGCCUACAACAUGGGUGAAAGUGCAAAACAGCUCUAGCUAUCAAAGGUUGAAAGAGAUGAGAAAAAACUGGAGACAUGGAAGCAAGGAGGAGCCAGCCUUAAAGAUACGGGUUUGGAAGAAUCCAAUAGCUUUGGCUCAAAACCCGUGCUUGAAUUUUAAGUAUAGAAUCUUUUUUGUUCACAAAAGGUCCCUUUUAUUCCUUCUCAAAAGAAGUCUUGUUGUUUCUUUCCUUCCAAAUUGUUAUUCCCUCAGGCUCUUAGGAUAAAAUAUAACAUAUAUCAUCCUUUAUAAAGGUAUGCCAUUAUUUACCUCAAACACUAUUUCUUUGCAUGUUCCGUCAAAGGUUUCACACUUUCAUUUUUAGCCUGUUCGAAAAGAAUGAUGUUACUCUACAUUUAGAAAUAAUUUCACUUUAAACUUCCUUUUUCACCCUCAAUGACAUGAUUUUAUAGCCACAUAAUUAUCACGGCAUGUUUAAGACCACAAAUUCUACAAUUAUUUUUCUCUCCACUUAAAUGUCAUGCCCAGACAGAAAGGUUCACAUAUAAUGAAACAUAAGGGUACAAAAAGGCUAUUAAAAUUAGAAUACAUAGAUGGCAAAAAAUGCUUUACUUGAAGGGGCUCUUCAGAUGGAUGAGGAAGAGCCAAGGGCUGGACCAAUAAAGCCAACUGCAUUGCCGAGGUUGUCAAAAGGUCAACAGUGCAUGGUAUCUGUUACACAAACGAUGAGGACCAAAUCAUCUACCAUUAGUGCUUUAAUUAAAAAAAUAUAUAUAUGGUUACUAAGCUACUCAUUCCAUAGAAUAAGAAAGAGUAUAAUGCAGAAACCAUAGAGAGAAGAAUAACAGAGACAAAAAACAACGCAAAGAGGUUUAUUACCUGAUUAAUAGUACACCUCAUGUACCGUGGGCUGCAAUUUCCAGUGUCCCUAACAAUAUAGUCACUUGUGGCAGGCUUCGAGUGGACGAAAAAGGAAAAAGGGAAAAAAGGAGACAGCAGCAAGAACAAAAAAGUUAGUUUAGUAAGAAGCUUUGGGAGGCAAGCAUAACCAUUUGAAGAAAAGAUGGUUCAGCCGUAUAUGCAACAGUACUAAAUAAAACAAUAAUUUACCGGAGGGGGAUUGGCUUGGUUGCCUUGUCGGGUUUCAUGUAGAACUACAGAAGCAUUUGGAAUAGGGCGCGGGAUUUGAUUUGGAUCAACUUUUGAUGGGAUGGAAUGGCCAACAGAAGAAGUUAUCGAAGCCACUGCCUGAUUUGGAAGAGGAGGCGCCAUCCCAUACAUACUUGGUGGUUGCAUGGAACCAGGAAUAGCAGAAGGUGGAGCCCCCUGUCAAUAAGUAAAAUCAGGAUAUGCCCUUCACAUGAAAGAGGAAAUGGAGUAAAAGCAUGCUGAAACCAAUUUACUUGAUCCAACAUGUGAUCCACAUUGGAAAUGUGCCAUGCACGUAAGGGUCUUUUUGAAUUAUAUAUAAGUUUUAUCAGAGAUCCUUUUACCUCUUCUGAUUAAGAAAGGAUAGCCAGGUUGUUGUAGCUUCAAAUGUGAAAGUUAUCCUUUUCAGAUGGUCCAGCCAAACAGAAAAGGUGGUGCAAUAUACUUUGAUACUGUUUAAAUUUUUCAUGCUUGAGGAAACUUGUGCACUUAAGAUUUUUCUUUUACGAGCACUUAUACACUCAAGAUAUAAUAUAGCAAUUAUUUAAAUAGCUGCAGAUUUUGAAACAAACUUAUGAAAGGGUUCCUCUAUUUAUAGUUUGAAUUGAUUAGACAAAGUAAAUAAGUGAUACUGAAUAUAUCUUUCUCAUUACUUUCAAGCAUAGAAAAAUACCUAGCCAAAAUAUAACAAUUAAUAAAUAAAAAUAAUUUUUAUUUAUGGAGUAAUCAAAUAUAUUAUUUAAUAACUUCGACUAAUGGAAGAACCCCAAACAACAUAUUCAAAGUUCAAAAGGAAAAAAGAAUUCAUGUAGGUAAUUUCGUUAAUGAGAAUUUGAACUCUGUUUUGUGUUGAUGAAAAAGAUAAAUUUUAUAAUGCACAUACUACUAAAUAAAAGUUAUUUAAAAUAGCAGCACAUUUCAAUAUUUUAUCACAAAUCCAUCAAAAUACUUCUCCGAUUAUCUCUGAAUGAAUAAAAUAUGACAUCAUUAAUUAUUAUGGGAGUAAUACACUAGAGGUGAAAUGAGUUAAACCAUAAAAGAUACAAAAAAGAAAAGAAGGUACAUAGAACGUAAGGGCACAGUAGACAUUGCAUGAGGGAAAAUUGCAUAAAGCUGGAGGAAUAUUUGACUUUUUAUACCAAGUUGGAGCGAGAAAAUUAUUUUCACCCCUUUCUAAAUUUUAAGUCAUGACAGCACUUCACAGUGUAGCUUUUUUCUUCACUUUUAGACCCUACUACUUCCACAACAAAUUUUCCGGUAUUACCAAUUGGUCACUAACAGAGUCUCGAUAUCAUUCUCACAUUACUCAUCAACAGCACCAAACAGUAACCGGUUUCUGAAUAUUAUUGAUCAUUCUAUCCUAAAAGUCAUGAAGCAUCUCUUCAACAUUAGCCCCCUUGAACCAUUGUAAUUCCUUGAUGCCAGAACCCAACAGGCCAACAUUUCUUGUUGGUUAUUAAAUAUAAUAAAUACACGCAUAGAAUUUGAUUAAAAACGCAUCUUGUGUGGCUUGUUGAUCCAAAAGAUGUUGGUGCAAAUUAAAAAUACAAAUCCUAGGACUUCUUUUGUAGUCUAGCACAGGCAAGAACUAAAUAUAUCUCUCAGCUCCAUAGAUUACAAAAUAAAUUACACAUCGCUAAUGAGUUUAGGGAAAAUUCUUAUUUUUCCUUCAAUAACAUAUGCACGUGAUAUCAAAUUUUUCUUUUGGGAAAAUACAUAGAUUUCACCUUGCAAAACAAGUACAGUAAGAUAGGCAUAUAAAGAUCACCUGAUGGGGUGGCAGUUGCCACGACUGUGUUCCAUAAGGAGCACCCAUGUGUGGAGCGCCCAUGGGUGGAGGCAUGGCUUGAGAAGGUGCUGCAAAUGGGGAGGAACCUGGGGGAGGUGGCACAUUCUGAAAUGAACCUGAAAAUGGUGGUGGUGGUUGUGCUGUAACUGGUGUCGUGCUGACAGAUGACGAACUUCCAAAGGGUGAGCGCAUGCCUAAAGGCUGAGAAGAAGCGCCUGGUGAAACCAUAGCUGAUGGAGGAGCUCCAAAUGGUGGCCUCAUUGCAUUGCUUGGAGGAGGAAAACGUGCUCCACCCUGCAUCAUUCCCGGACCCCCUAACGGUGGCCCAUUACUAACCGAGCUAGAAAUGCUUGAUGGUGGCGGCAUAGCAGGACCUGUUGUCAACGGCGAAGAAGAAAAAGGACCCGGAGGCCCGGGACGAGAACCCAAUCCAGAAGGCAAAGACCCAGGUGGCGGGGGUGCACCACCCAUAGAAGGAGGCAUUACACCAGGAGGAGGUGGCCGAGAUGCAAAGGUAGGAACAGACUGAGCCACGGGAGGAGACAAUCCAGUCUGUGGAGGACCACUAGGAGAUGCAGGGCCUCUUGGGAACACACCAGGCGGUGGAGGUCCCGGACGACUAACAGGUGGUCCACCAGCAAAAGGUGGCUGCUGCCCAAAUGGGGUAUUAUGCCUAGGAGCACCAGGUGGCUGAUUGGGCCUAUUUACUUGUAGAUUUUGCAUACCAUCAGCAAGUGCAUUAGGGUUAUAAUUGGGUGGAGGCGCAUUCCUUGGUCUAGGUCCCCCUGGAGCUGCCAUUGAUUAUUUCCAAAUUUCUCAAAACUCUAGAACGGAUGCAAGAAAAAAAAAAGGUUAAAUAAAUAGAUAAAAUCAACAGAAAGAAAACAUAAGAACAGCAAUCUUCACUAUAUCAAACAUUCAGCAAGCCAAAACAAAACAUAUUGAUUCAAAGGAAAACAAGUCCAUAAAAUCAAUCACAAAAUAAAAAUAACCAGACAAUACAUCUUUUUGGGGAAAAAAAUCAUCAGAUAUUAUCCCCCCCUCCCCCCCUCCUUCAUUUCAGCACACGCGACCCAAAGAACCUGGAAUACGGACAAUUAACACAUUGACACCGAGAAAUAGCAUCAGCGGAAAAGUCCAAUCGACAAAGGCGACCAAGUCAAACACCAACAGCUCCAAAACAACAGAAAUUAGCAAAGAGAACUCAAACAUCUCAUGAAACAAAAAUAGAGCUGACAGGUUUAAAGAGAAGAAGUGAAUGCAGAGAACGCUCUAGAUCUGGAAGAAGAGAAGAUGGACAGGAUAUGGUUCUUCCUGAGAGAAACUGAGAGACUACAGAGACAUAUGGAAAAACUGGUCUCUUUGGCAAGAACAGAAUUUCUGUGGUGAUAUAAAUGAGUCCCAACUACAGGAUACAAAUGGGAUUGAAUAAAGAGUGAGGAUACUAUGAGAAUCACUCAGCCUUUUCAGUUUUUUAUUCAAGAUGUACAGAGAGCUAGAGCACAAUAAGAUACUAACUAGCUAAACAGGGAUGACAUGCAUCGACAUACCUACCCGCUUUAGAACUAGACACAAACCAUAAAGGGAAGAGAACAGCAAAAAGCUAUUGAUAGAAGAACCCAAACUACCAUUCCGUAUCAUUUUAAGGAAGAUCAAGGGCACAUACUUUGUUGUGCUUGGCCAUUGGCGAAACAGAUCAUAUCACAAUAGAUAUAUACAAAAUCACUCGAAAAAAUAAGAAAACUAAUUGCCUCCAAAGGCAGGGAUCAAAUCUUAGAAGUACAGGCAGAAAAGAACAAAUUAAGAGAGGCUCAAUUGGGAAAAAAGCGAAAAAUUUAAGACAGCGGUAUGGGAGAUACACAAAUAAGGAUCCUAAGGCUGGAGAGAUAUAGAAAAAUAUGUGCCAUAUUUUUGCCAACUGACCUUCCUCUAUUUCUCUAUGGACUAACUUACUGAGCUAGGGCUUCUUUAAAUGGAUGUUAUCUAGCUCAUAACAAAGUAUAAACCAUUUCCCCCCUUAAACUUCAUUUAAAAAUAGAAUUUUCAUCUAAGUUUGUAUUCUGAAUGUGCUUCUUCUCCUUCAAUUUUGGGAUGUUAGUCCAAUUAGUUUGUAAUUCUAGAACACAAUGCCUAAUUUGCUCACUGAAGUAUCAACCUCUCUUUUUUGAAAUUUUAUAACAUGCUAAUUUAUUUUCUUUUUCUGAAGUUCUCUUCUCAUGGUAUUGAUUAACACAGCCUUAUAUAUAGUGUUCUUCUCCUCCAUCCACGAUAUUUUUUUUUUGACUUUGGUAACAUUUGUAUUAAAAUCAGUACUACCUUAGUACUGAAAAACCACAUUUACAAAUAUGAUAAAGAAGUAUAAUCUUCCCCAAAGCAAAACCAAAAUCUAGGUGGACCCUAGUACAUCUAUGAUUGACUCAGUCUCAUUGGAGUAAACAGUGGUACACCAAAAGCAAAACAACAAAAUACAUUUAAGCUUGACUUCUUGUAGGUUGUUGUCCCUAUUCUCAAAACAUCUAUCAUUUCUCUCUCUCCAUGUAGUCCACCAUAUACAAGCAGGGAUCAUCCUCCAUCUUUCUUUGUUUGUAACCCCAACUCCAGCUUCCCCCCAACUGAAAAGAGUCUCCUCAAUUUUACUAGGCAUACUCCAGGAAAUGCCUCUGAGAUUUAGGAAAAUCUGUCAGAGCUUGACAGUGAAAUUGCAGUGCAGGAAAAGUUGUCUCACUGUCUCUGUAUCCUUUCCACAUAAGGAGCACCUGUUGAAUAGAGAGAUACCUCUCUUAGCCACAUUAUCCAAUGUCAAAACAGCUUCAUUGGCUAACAAUCAAGGAAAGCAUGCCACUUUAUAUGGCACUUUGACUCAACAGGUAUAUUUCCCAGGCCAUUUGAGAACUUGAUUAUCACUAACAUUUGUGUCACUAAGACUUGUCUGUUUAUACCCUUCCUUUACCCUGUAUUUACCUUUGUUGUGCCCAUGCCACCAUAAAUAAUCCUCACCAGCCUGUGUUCCAUGAAAACUCCCCAGUAGUUUGUAAAGUUCGAUUAUUCUAUGAAUUUCCCAGUCAUUUAGAUUUCUUCUUAGGACCAAAUUCCAUCCUUGUUGCGACCACAUAUCAGCAAUUGUGUUCUGUUGAUGUUGAGCCAAAACAAAGAUGUCAGGAAAAAGAUCUUUGAAUCCAUUUGUCAGCCCAAAAAAUAGUUUUUCUACCAUUUAGAAUCUUGACAAUUACUGAUUAUUGAGGAAAGACCAGAAGAUUCUGAUUGACUUCCAAAGGCUAACACCAUGUGGAGCAUUUACCUCUUUAGUCGUCCAUUUGUUCAGUUCCUCAUACUUGCUCUUGAUCACCCUACACCAAAGUGUUUGAUUCUCCUGAUGAUAUUAGGGUCAGUCUACCUCCCAAAGAUAGAUAUUGGGAUCUCCAUCUAGCUAAUUUCUUUUCACACUUCUCCAAAAUUGGGUUUCAAAUUUUUAUGGAUCUUGAUUUUACACCCAAAGGCAUGCCCAGUAUUCUGAUGGCAACUUUCCCACUACUCCUCCCAAAAUCCGAGAAAGAUGAUCCAUCUCUGGAACCAUAUUAAUUGGGUACAAGUGACUUUUGUUCUAAUUUAUACAGAGCCCAGAUAUGGCUUCAAAGUAAACCAGUAUAAGUCUUAAGAUCAUCAGUUGCUCCUCCUCAGCCCCACAAAAAAUUAGUGUAUCACCAGCAUACUGCAGAUGUGUGAUUUCCACACUGUUUCCGGCUACCUUGCUAACUUAAAAUCCCUAGAUUCUUCCUGCUUCCUUGCCUAUAUUUAGCAUGUUAUUUAGCCCUUCCAUAGCUAUGAUGAACAAGAAGGGAGAUAGGGGGUCUCCCAGCCUAAUCCCUCGGUGUGCAUUGAAAAAACCUUCAGCUGAACCAUUGAUAAGCACAGAAAACUUCACAGUUGACAUACAAAACUUGAUCCACCCAAUCCAUCUCUCACCAAACCCCAUUUGUCUCAACAUACUUAGAAUGAAAUCCCAAUUCACGUGGUCAUAUGCUUUCUCGAUAUCAAGUUUGCAUAAUAUACCAGGUUUACUUUGGGACAUUCUAGAAUCAAUUGCUUCAUUAGCAAGAAGCACUGCAUCCAUUAUUUGUCUGCCUCAGAUAAAAGCCAUUUGCUGCUUGUCUAACAACUUAUCCACAACUUUCUUCAGCCUUUCUGUCAGUACCUUGGAGAUAAACUUGUAAAAGCUUCCAAUUAAACUGAUGGGUCUGAAGUCUUUGAGCUCCUUUGCUCCUAUCUUCGUAGGAAUCAAUGCUAUGUAUGUUGCAUUAUAGCUUUAUUCAAACAUCCCAGAUGAAUGGAAAUUGUGAAAAAAGUUCAUAAUGUCUUGUUUAAUUAUCUCCCAGCAUGUUAGAUAGAACCCCAUUGUGUAACCAUCAGAGCCAGAGGCUUUGUCAAUAGCACACAUCUUUAAGCACUCAAAAACUUCUUGCUCUUCAAAUGCUGCCUGCAGUGCCUCGUUCUCAUCCUCAGUGAUGGUAGGAUGAUUGCUAAUAUUUUAAGAAGGUCUCCAGUCUUCAGGUUCUGUAUAUAACUUCUUGUAGAAGGAAAUGACUUCCUCCUUAGCAGAUUGAUGGAAAAACUUUGUAUUUCUAUCCCCUUCCUUGAGCCAUAAGGCCCUUGAUCUUUGUCUCCAGGCCACUUCUUAGUGUUGCUUUCUUGGCGAUUUCCUCCUCUGUCAAGGCUCAAAUAUUCAACUAAGAUUCUAGCAUAGCCAUUUGAUUGAGAAAAUUGUUCUUGUCUACUCCAUUCUUUCAAUUUCCCUUUGAGAGCUUUGAGUUUACAUGCUAAGAUGUAGUCUGGCUUCCCAUAAAAUUCAAAUUCACUCCACCAAUUCUUGACUCUUUCAGCAAAACUUCUUGAUUCAGCCACCAAUUUACAAACUUGAAGUAGGAAUUAGAUUGCUCCCAAUGUCCACAAAGCAGAGCUAUUGGGACAUGAUCAGAGGUCACUCUUUGCAGUGUAGUCUGUUUUAGAUUAUUGAAGAGAUUAUUCCAUUCUGUGGAAACCAUUACCCUGUCUAUUCUUGAUGCAGUUGUAUGAUUAUCCCCUCUAUACUAGGUAUACUUUCCACCACUUAGUUGUAGAUCAAUUAGGUCCAGGUCCUCAAUGCAAUCUGAAAACUCCCUCAUUGCUGAAUUUCUCCUGCUCCAAUCCUUCUUUUCAGAGGGAAAUCUACAUACGUUGAAGUCACUACAAAUAGCCCAUGGCCCAUCAAACAAGUCUCUUACAUCAGCCAAUUCCUCUCAUACAAGCCUCCUCUCUACUUUACUAUUAGGAGCAUACACACCAGUUAUAUGACAUUCAAAAUUGCUCAACUUAGCCUUAAAUUGGCAAGAAAGAGUAUAAGCUCCAACUUGUAAGAUUUCCCCUUCCCAAAUUCUAGAAUCCCAAAGCAGUAAGAUUCCUCCUCUGGUUCCACUGGCCUCCAAACAUGCAUACGUGAUCCAUCUCCCUGCCCAAAUUUGCUUAAUUAUCUAAUGUACAUUGCCUUCUAAUUUGAUUUCCUGGAGACAGACUAUGUCUGCUUUCCAUUCCUGAAGCAGACUUCAUACCACUCUCCUCUUCCUCUGUUCUUUCAACCCCCUAACAUUCCAUGAGAUCAAUUUGAUCUUCAGGGAUUAUUCUGUGAGUUCCCUUUCCCCUUCCCUCUAUCACCAUUGCUUUUGAAUUUAACGUCAAAAAAAAUUAGAUUCUUUUAACUCUUGUGCUCCUCUAUUUUUUGUUCUUCUAACUACUCCCAAUUGCUCCAUUCUUCUUGCAUGCCUGCUUACAUCCACUUGCCUUAGGAGUUCAAGUGUUUCUUCUUCCAAUCCCUGAAAUCCACCCCAAACAUCUUAUGAAGUUUAAGCAAAUUUUGUUGAACCCACACUGUAACUUUUCUCUCCAUUUCAAUGAGAGCUUCUUGUUGCCACGUACAAAGAGGUUCGAUCUCCCGUACAUCCCAUAAUUCUCCACAAUUUACCAGCCCUAUUAUUUCUUGUCUGAACUCUAUGUCACCCGUGAUGAUCUUCCCUUGUCCUUUAUCUUCACUCUCUUCACUAUUUGCUGCACACAAUUGUUCAAGUUCUUUUUCCCCACCUUCUUCAAUUUGUAAUUAUUCAUCAAUAGCUGUCAGGGCAGCUUCUUUUGUUUUCUGAUCACUUCGCACAUAAUCAAAAGAGAAAAUCACAACUGUUUCAUCCACUAUAACCUCCUAGAGGAAAUCUUCAACGGGUUGUUGGUUAAAAUUAUUAGCAAUAAUCUUUGCUUGGUCCAGCCCAACCGAUUUUAAGGCCCAUUUGUUGUUUAAACUAUGUACCUACCCAUCACGUGCUCCUGCAGUUACUUUUAAACAAUCUCCAACUGUCCCCACAUAUGUCUCCCCUGUUCCAUCACCAUCAACAUGGAGUCUCGGGUAUAGAGGAUGAAGUCUCUGUUAUCCAAUGGUUCUUCAUUUGGGUUUUCUCAACUUUUCCGGCAACUGGGCCUUUUUUCUCCGGCGACAACUCGAAUCUUGUUUUCCUUUCUACCCAUAUCGGAAUAAUAAAGUUAACUCCAUCUCUGGAGAUGUUAACUUCUGUUGGCAUGUUCCAAACAUCCCCUCGAGUCUCGAUCCUAGCCCAUUUUUGAUAGUUUCUUAGUUUUGUUUCCUCCUCCGUAGCCAGCCACCCGCCACAGAGUUCUCCGAUUUCGCGACAAAUCUCUUCUGACCAGAGGUGCAUUGGUAGACCCAAAGCCCUAAUCCAGAUAGAUUUGGGUUAGUGAUUGAUAGGCACGCAGCCUGCAGCAGGGUUCCACAAUUCUAAUUUGAGUCUGCUUUUCUUCCACUGCCAUUCUCCCUGUAAAACUUGUUCCGCCAUGUAUCUAUUUGGAAACUCAAAGAGUAAACAGUUGUCCAACAUCUCAUAGACAUUAAUCCCAAACGCCUUCUUCCACAUCGUCGAGGACCAUCGUCUAACUACUGAGAGGGUGGGUGUUUCAGCUUUUGCGUUACCAAAAGAGCCAAAACUACAUCUUCCCAGUACUCCUUGAUCUUUGAUUUUGGCUGCAACAUUGGUUUCAAUCUCUUCCCUUUGGUUGUGGCUAUCUCAGAUCUAUUGUUUUGUCAUUUGCUGGUUGUAACCGCUUUUGCAUAAAUCAUAUUUAAAACAUUUGUCUUUCAUUGUGUUUGUAUCUCCUUCUGUGGUGGAUUUUAAUGAAACUUUGAAUCUUAAAUGCCACACUUUUCCAACCAGCAUUUAUGCCUGACUCAGGUACAAUAAUAACUGCUCUAUCCUCUCUCUUCAGUGACAGGAUACUCAUAUAUCUCCCAUUAGAAUUGUAUUUCCUUGUACCAAAGAAAUCUGCCAUCUGGUCCUUGUAUCUUUAUCUUCUAACCUGAUUUUUUCGGUCUGCUGAUGCUUUUGUGAGGAUGAAGCAGAUCCAUUCCAACACCUUCUCACUAAGUGUAACCCUUCUCAUCAUAUUUCUGCUCUUUUCCACCCAGUCGUACCAUGCAACAUUGUUUGAAGUCCAUCUGGUUAUGUCAUAAGAUUUAAAACCUUGGUUGAAAUAUAUUCUAUUAUCCUCCAUAGGUUCAGAAGAGGGAAAUUUUAGUGAAACAAAAAUCAGAAGAUAUGAUGACUGGGUUGUUUGAAAGUUAAUAGGUCAAAUCCGGCAGGUCUACUGGAAAAGGUCUUGAGUAACGGCCUGAAGCUGUUGGUAAUAACCGAAAAUCAGUGUUGGUGAAGUCGGACAAGAUGAAAAACUGGCUGAAUGGUCACACGCGCCGGCGGUAGCUGGGAGAUAUGGUGGCGCGUAAGGUAGUUUCCGGCGAUAGGUUUCCUGGGGUUUGAUCGGAAUAGGGUGUUGGUGACUAUGGAGGAGAAGGAUUGAGAGAAAGAGGAAGUAAAUGGGGUAUUCCGGUGAUCAGAAGGACCACCGGAGAUGGUUUUGGUUGAAAAGGGGUCUCUUUUUUUUUCAAGUUACAUUGGGAUUAGUGUCUGGAUUUUCAAUUUUAUCAAAUCUCCAUCCAAGAUAUUUUGAACAUUCUAUUAAUAAAACGAUGGAAUGGAAGCCUUAGAGUAACUGGCAAAGUUGCUGCCUUGUGACCAGGAGUUCACGUUUUCUGGGGCGUGGAACAGCCUAUUGCAGAAAUGCAUGGUAAGGCUGCAUCCAAUAAACCUUUCUGGCCCGGAUACGUGGGAGCUUUAGUGCACCGGUUUGCCCUUUUUAUGAAUAAAUAGAUCAAUCUGCCUAUGAUAUAUGGUGAAAGUAUGAGCUGGAUGUAUCAAAAUCAUCCACAAAAAUGGGACAGAUAAAUAGAGUCAUAAAGAGACAAAAUUUAUAGGCUAUAAAUAAAUAAUGAUACUAAAAAGAAAAACUAACCAGCUACAAUGUUAAAUUGAAGGACGUCAACAGCAACGAAACGGCGUCGUUUCUAAAAUUAAACAGUGAAUGAAUUCGCCUGGUCACCGAAACCCUACCGUUGCAAGUGAUAUACAUGAACUGAGUUCUCAAUGACCUUGAACGACUUCGACCUGAUACAGAAAACCUAAUUCGAUCAGAAUUAAUUAAAUCCGAAAAUACAAAAUUGAAUACAUAAACAUAGCAUUCAAAUCAUACAUAUACAUAUAUAAAAGGGAAGAAAUGUUGAACAUUAAGAUCUAGAGGAGGAAGACGCUGGGUUUAUAGAUCGAAAUUGGUGAAGGUUUUAGUGAUGGGACGCUGGCUCAAUGGGGAAGAAGAAGAAGGUGUAACUAUUUUUUCUUUUACUUGUCCAAAUAAAGAUUUUUUCUUUUAUUACUUACCAUUUAAUUGUGUAGGAUAGUUUUGAUAAAUAACGCAAUCUGAUUGGUCUAAACCCUAGAAAUUGACAUCAACGCAAGAAAAUGAAGUGUGUAGUUGUUGUAAUAUUUAGGUGCAUUAUUUUGUUGUCAUUUUUUUCCUAGGAUUAAUACUCUUCCUUCAAAAAAUAGCAUAAUGAUAUGAAAUUAUAUUAAAGCGGAAGAAACGAAAGUGAAAGAAAGCAAAUAUUAAAGUAGAAGACUAAUGUAAUAAUCUUUGUUUCUUGUUUCUGAUUCUCUCAUAGUCACGUAUUAUAAGAAAGGCUAUAUAUAGCCCAAUAUUAACACUAUUCUACCUUUUAGGAGCAAGAAUUUGAUUGGCUAUUUAGAAAAGGGGAGGACAAUUAUUUCAUUUGAAUGCAACCCACAUAGGCAUCCACUAGUCUGCUAAUAUUUUCUAACACUCCCCCUUGGAUGCCUAUGUAAAGAUAAAUUUACUGAAUACGCAUUUGAGUGUUGCAUCAUUAAAAACCUUACCAGGAAAAACCAGUGGGAUAAAAACCUUGGUUAAGGAAAAAAUAGUACAGCGCGUAUUGUUAUAAAAGAUGCAUUGUUCUCUUAACCAAGGUUAAGUUGAAUCGAGGUCUUCAUCAGGGGGAGUAAGAAUAUUACAACAACUACACACUUCAUUUUCUUGUGAUGACGUCAAUUUCUAAGGUUUAAACCAAUCAGAUUGCGUUAUUUAUCAAAACUAUCCUACACAAUUAAAUAGUAAGUAAUAAAGAAAAAAUCUUUAUUUGAACAGGUAAAAGAAAAAAUAGUUACACCUUCUUCUUCUUCCCCAUUGAGCUAGCGUUCCAUCACUGAAACCUUCACCAAUUCCGAUCUAUAAACCCAACGUCUUCCUCCUCUAGAUCUUCAAGUUCAACAUUUCUUCCCUUUUAUAUAUGUAUAUGUAUGAUUUGAAUGCUAUGUUUAUGUGAAUGUAUUCAAUUUUGAAUUUUGUAUUUUUGGAUCUAAUUGAUUCUGAUCGAAUUAGGUUUUCUGUAUCAAAUCGAAGUCGUUCACGGUCAUUGAAAACUCGGUUCAUGUAUAUUCACUUGUAACGGCAAGGGUUUCGGUGACCAGGCGAAGUCAUUCACUGUUUAAUUUUAGAAACGACGUCGUUUCGUUACUGCCGGCGUUGACGUUGACGUCCUUCAAUUCAAUUUAACAUUGUAGUUGGUUAGUUUUUCUUUUUAGUAUCAUUUAUUUAUUUAUAGCCUGUAAAUUUUAUCUCUUUAUGGCUCUAUUUAUCUGUCCCAUUUUUGUGGAUGAUUUUGUUACAUUUAAUUAAGUUAGAAUUUGCUUAGGUUGUAAAUUUGUUAAUAAUCAACGGCAGCUCAAGGGCAGAAUAAUUUAGUUUAUGAACCCUUACAACUCAUACUUUCACCAUAAAUCAUAGGCAGAUUGAUCUAUUUAUUAAUAAAAAGGGCAAACCGGUGCACUAAAGCUCCCACGUAUCCGGGCCAGAAAGGUUUAUUGUAUGCAGCCUUACCAUGCAUUUUUGCAAGAGGCUGUUCCACGCCCCAAAAAAUGUGAACUCCUGGUCACAAGGCAGCAACUUUAUCAGUUACUCUAAGGCUCCCAUUCCAUCGUUUUAUUAAUAGAAUGUUCAAAAUAUCUUGGAUGGAGAUUUGAUAAAAUUGAAAAUCCAGACACUAAUCCCAAUGUAACUUUAAAAAAAAAGGGACCCCUUUUCAAUCAAAACCAUCUCCAGUGGUCCUUCUGAUCAUCGGAAUACCCCAUUUACUUCCUCUUUCUCUCAAUCCUUCUCCUCCAUGGUCACCAACACCCUAUUCCGACCAAACCCCAGGAAACCUAUCGCCGGAAACUACCUCACGCACCCUUACGCGCUACCAGAUCUCCCAGCUACCGCCGUCACGCGCUUCACGCGCCGGCUCGUGUGACCAUUCAGCCAGUUUUUCAUCUUGUCCGACUUCACCAACACUGAUUUUCGGUUAUUACCAACAGCUUCAGGCCGUUACUCAAGACCUUUUCCAGUAGACCUGCCGGAUUUGACCUAUUAACUUUCAAACAACCCAGUCAUCAUAUCUUCUGAUUUUUGUUUCAAUAAAAUUUCCCUCUUCUGAACCUAUGGAGGAUAAUAGUAUAUAUUUCAACCAAGGUUUUAAAUCUUAUGACAUAACCAGAUGGACUUCAAACAAUGUUGCAUGGUACGACUGGGUGGAAAAGAGCAGAAAUAUGAUGAGAAGGGUUACACUUAGUGAGAAGGUGUUGGAAUGGAUCCGCUUCAUCCUCACAAAAGCAUCAGCAGACCGAAAAAUCAGGUUAGAAGAUAAAGAUACAAGGACCAGAUGGCAGAUUUCUUUGGUACAAGGAAAUACAAUUCUAAUGGGAGAUAUAUAAGUAUCCUGUCACUGAAGAGAGAGGAUAGAGCAGUUAUUAUUGUACCUGAGUCAGGCAUAAAUGCUGGUUGGAAAAGUGUGGCAUUUAAGAUUCAAAGUUUCAUUAAAAAUCCACCACAGAAGGAGAUACAGACACAAUGCAAGACAAAUGUUUUAAAUAUGACUUAUGCAAAAGCAGUUACAACCAGCAAAUGGCAAAGCAAUAGCUCUGAGAUAGCCACAACCAAAGGAAGAAGUAGCGAUUGGUCCUAUUCAACGCUGAGAAGAAAUUACAUGAACACAGACAAAGGUAUGAUGAACAGCCAAUUCAGGCAUUCAAGGAAUAAUAAGGACUCAGAUAUACUAAAUAUCCUAUCUAAUCAUGAAUUUGGAUCUACAGAGAGACAGAGAAGGUCAGGAUGCAGAUUGGAUAAAAAGGCUAAGGAGUUUGGUAACUGGACAAAACAGAAGUCUAAAGGGUAGCUAACUGAUCUGAUAAGGUCUAGGAUAUAUACAAUAUCUCUGACAAACAGAAUAUCUAUAGGAACAUAAAGAGGCUAUAAGUAUGAACAGUCCUAUGAUAAAUAGAAUCAAAAAUGAGAAUUGAUUGUUACGACGAAUUGAUCUCCAGAGCAUUAAAGAUAGUUGAUCAAAGGGCUCUACAACCUCUACAAAGAACUCCAAGCUAUCUAUCAAUUACUGCAAUAGGGGCAUCCCACUCAACACCCAGCUUCUUCUUCCACUGAUCUAUGCACAAGCACAUACAUACUCCAUUUGUUGAGCCUCACAUAGUCUAACCACAUCUGCACAUAAUACACGGACUUCAAAUGUAUCCAAAGACAGUCAACCAACCAGCCAUUGCUCAUGUCGAAUUUCCUUUAAACAACCACCGUUAACAGGUGUUGAAGCUUCACUGCUGAGAUAAAGCUGCUCUCUACCGUGACAAACACUACGUGAAACGAUAACUUUUGAACUAAAAACUGUUUUAUUCACCAUAUGUACCAUCUACUAUUACCUAAUACGAAAACUAUAGAACCCCAUAUUUAGCUGCUACUCAGCACUCCUACCAUACAUUCAUUAAUCUGCAAUUUCAAGGUUGAGCAUGCAACGAAGAGUCUGUGUCGCAAAGUCAAUACUGUCAAAUACAAUUCCUGGAGAAGGGCAGCGCUCCCUGGUUGGGGAUGCUGGUGCAGACUUGGCGAUGGGACGUAAAUCAAUAUCAGAUGCUGAAACAGCAAAUUCAAGAGAGGAAGCCCUCUUAGGCCUGAGGGAAAACUUGGGCAUGGGCAGAGAACUAGGAGGAGGAGAAUUCGAAUAAGCUGGCCCUGCCCAUAGUUCAGAGAAUGGAAACUCAUCACUCAGGGAAUUCUCAUUCCUAGAACCAACAUCCACUUCGAGGUUAAAUGGUAUCGUAAUCGUGUUGCUUCUGCCUGGUUUUCUUGAUUUCUUCUGAUCUCCAGAGUAAGACUUAACAGUAUUAACAGGCAGUGGUGUUAAAGGUGAUCGCUUUUGGGGAGACAAGAAACCCGAGGAGGCUCUUUUGUUGACAGGUUUCUUGACAGACUUCGAUUGGGUUUGAAAUAAACCUGCUCUGGACUCAAAAGCCCUACAAUUUAUCUCCCUAAGCCCACCAGAAGGAGGUGAACCAUACGACCCAAAUCGAGCAGGACCAUGUGCCCUGCUUCUCCCAUAGUACUGAUUCCGAUGCUGAGCAACAACAAUCAUUUCCAACAACAACUAAUUCAAUCAAAUUCAACUAUAACUCACUAUCUGAAGAUCUAACCAGAAACAACAGAGGUCAAAGAUUCAUAUUGGGGCUUUGAAAUGCUUUAAAUUGACCUUCAAUCACCAGAUUAUCAGCAAAUCAAAAUCACUAUCACUGUAUCCAAUACAUAAAAUUCAUCCACAAUCACCACUUUCACCCUUCAGAUUCUUCAGAUCUAUAAUCCAGUAACAAAAAAAAAAAAGAAACAUAGAGAAAAACAAAUCAGUAACUCAAAUCCGAAACACCCAAACGAAAACUGCAAAACACAACUACUACAACUCAAUUUCAGGGCUAUAUUCGUAUGUAAAUCAACUUUAUUCCAAUACAAAAACCUAAGAAUUGUACUUUCUUUCAUAUAAAUAGAAGUUGUAAAUUUCAUUUUCAAAUUAAAAUUACCUGAUGUCAGGAAGUAUGUAGUGAAGCAGAGUGUCUCACGAAAGAAAUAAUAAUAAAAAUUACCUUUUUUAUUUGUAAUUUCUUAUUAAGGAUAUGUAAAGAAAAUUAUAGAUAACUAAGCAAUACAACACGAAAGGAUAAUGUGUGUGAAGCAUUAAAAUUAGGCAUAAUAUUUAAAGAUGCUUUUUUAACUUGGCCGUAAAUCAUAUUUUAAAUUUUGGAUGUACACAAGUAAGUACAUAAAUUUGUAUAUAAAAUUGAAUAAAUAGAUAUAUAUGUUCUACGUAGUUAAUUCUUAUCCUACAUGACGUUCUACGUAUAUUAUGUCAUAUAAGAUGCGUGUGUCUACUUGUUCAACUUUAUACAACUUUAAGUGUCUAUUUGUGCACAAUCAAAGUUAAAGGUUAUAAAUGUGAUUUGAGAUCAAGUUAAAGAGCAUGUUUAUGUAUUAUGCCUUCGAAUAAAAUGUUUGAAUCUAUUACUGUAAGAGUAGCAACAAGAAUAAUGUAUUACCUGGUUCAAAAAUAUUGAGAACAUUAAUAGAGAGUUUGUUUUUGAUAAAGCAAAACAUAAAGCAGUUCAAUUAAAAAAAUAAUUGAAGUGAACAAGUCAUGAUAAAAUACUAAAACAGCUUGGCAAAAUAUAUUUUUGCAGAAAGCAAUGAACAAUAACUAUAACAUAAUAAUGCUAGUUGUGUAGGAAGCAACAGGUAGCGACAAAAUUAAAAUUCAAGAAACAACACAUGGUAAUAGAGAUCAAGAAUAAGAAACUAUAAAAAUAAUAUUACCGACAUCAAAAAUUUGAGAGAAGGUGGAUAUGGUUUCGACGGAAGACAAGAUACGAAAAGUGAGGUUACGAUGGUUCGCACAUACGGUGAAAAGGUGCAUGAAUGCCUCAGUAUAGAGUUGUGAGAGGCUAACUAUGAAUGAUUUUAGGUGUGGUUGAGGUAAGCUGGAGAAAUAUUAAAUGGAGGUGACUGGAUAUAAUAUGGAGCGGUUACAACUUACAGAGUACGUAACUCUUGAUAGAAAUGUGUGGAGAACGCAAAUUAGGAUAGAGGGGUUAGUAGGUGGCAGUGUUUUAUUUGUAUUUGUGUUGUAGUUUCUUGUCCGUAGUUUGAUGAUGUUUAUGAUUUUAAAUGAAAGUUUAUAAUAUUACUUUGUCGGUUUCUUGUUUAUUUUAUCAUCUAGCAUUGUGUUAAUUCAUUUUAUUGUUUUUUACAUUUUUUGUUUGCUAUAUGUUAAUUAUUUCAAACAUGUGAUCUUUCAAAAAUAACCUUCUUAAAUCAUCUAAGAUAGUGAUAUGUAUUGCGUAUGUCUUACCCUCUUAAUUCAUCUAUGUGAGAAUACACUAAUAUGUUAUUAUGGUAUAAAAGGAUGAGUGAGACAACUCUCAAUUACCUACUUACUAGGUUGUUACUUAAGUCGUGCCUCCCAAAAACCUCCUGUAUUAGAUCUUAUCCUCAAUAAGUUGAACUUGCGUCACCUCUCUUCAAUACUUCUUUAGUCUACUCCUGUCUCUUUUGAAAUCAUUCAUAGCCAACCUCUCACACUUUUGCACUAGGACAUUUGUGUGUCUCUUAUUCAAUAACCAAAUCAUCUUGACUCUUGAGUCUCACUUCUCGCAUAUUGGCCUCCACAUGUCAUGACCAUCUUCUAAUAAUUCCACACAUCCGUCUUGUCAACUUCUAUCUCCCAAACAUAAAAAUUCUAGACUGAUCAAUAAUUCGUCUCAUAAAUAAAUAUUAUUCUUUACCAAAAGAUAAAAAGUAAUAAAUUUAUACUCUAUUUUUUUUUUUUUGAAGAAAAUGAUUUGUUUUGACUUGCCAUCAAUUAUAAAAAAAUUUAAAAAAAAUUAAAUUUAUGAUUUUAAAUAAAAAUUAUGUUAAAUAUGUCAAAGUGGAGUAAUAUUUAAUCUAGUGAUCUCAAUACGUCAGGUGAAAAACAGAGGAUUGCAUAUGACAACAAAACGGGCUGUGAAGAGGACCCAUGAACAGUCGAAGUGUCGAACACCCUCAAACUAUAUAAAGGGGACAGUGCCAUUUUCGUAAUUUCAAUCACAAACGAGUGCAAAUUGUACAAUAACGCCGCUGGACCUCAAAGCUAUUUUAGAAUACGACUUUAGGUUCAUUUCAGAUCCGUAGAUUCACGUUUCGGAAAAGCUUUAGUGGUCGUUGAAUCGAUGGUGGCUCCAUAAUAACACAAAGAAAACUUACAACCAUACAACUAAGUACAGUACUAGUAGUAUUUUUAGGUUUCGGAGAAAAAUCUCAUCAUAAAUCACAUUGUCGAGACCCUCUGCUUCAUUACAUACUUCCUGACAUCAGGUAAUUUUAAUUUGAAAAUGAAAUUUACAACUUCUAUUUAUAUGAAAGAAAGUACAAUUCUUAGUUUUUGGUAUUGGAAUAAAGUUGAUUUACAUACGAAUAUAGCCCUGAAAUUGAGUUGUAGUAGUUGUGUUUUACAGUUUUCGUUUGGGUGUUUCGGAUUUGAGUUACUGAUUUGUUUUUCUCUAUGUUUCUUUUUUUUUUUUGUUACUGGAUUAUAGAUCUGAAGAAUCUGAAGGGUGAAAGUGGUGAUUGUGGAUGAAUUUUAUGUAUUGGAUACAGUGAUAGUGAUUUUGAUUUGCUGAUAAUCUGGUGAUUGAAGGUCAAUUUAAAGCAUUUCAAAGCCCCAAUAUGAAUCUUUGACCUCUGUUGUUUCUGGUUAGAUCUUCAGAUAGUGAGUUAUAGUUGAAUUUGAUUGAAUUAGUUGUUGUUGGAAAUGAUUGUUGUUGCUCAGCAUCGGAAUCAGUACUAUGGGAGAAGCAGGGCACAUGGUCCUGCUCGAUUUGGGUCGUAUGGUUCACCUCCUUCUGGUGGGUUUAGGGAGAUAAAUUGUAGGGCUUUUGAGUCCAGAGCAGGUUUAUUUCAAACCCAAUCGAAGUCUGUCAAGAAACCUGUCAACAAAAGAGCCUCCUCGGGUUUCUUGUCUCCCCAAAAGCGAUCACCUUUAACACCACUGCCUGUUAAUACUGUUAAGUCUUACUCUGGAGAUCAGAAGAAAUCAAGAAAACCAGGCAGAAGCAACACGAUUACGAUACCAUUUAACCUCGAAGUGGAUGUUGGUUCUAGGAAUGAGAAUUCCCUGAGUGAUGAGUUUCCAUUCUCUGAACUAUGGGCAGGGCCAGCUUAUUCGAAUUCUCCUCCUCCUAGUUCUCUGCCCAUGCCCAAGUUUUCCCUCAGGCCUAAGAGGGCUUCCUCUCUUGAAUUUGCUGUUUCAGCAUCUGAUAUUGAUUUACGUCCCAUCGCCAAGUCUGCACCAGCAUCCCCAACCAGGGAGCGCAGCCCUUCUCCAGGAAUUGUAUUUGACAGUAUUGACUUUGCAACACAGACUCUUCGUCGCAUGCUCAACCUUGAAAUUGCAGAUUAAUGAAUGUAUGGUAGGAGUGCUGAGUAGCAGCUAAAUAUGGGGUUAUAUAGUUUUCGUAUUAGGUAAUAGUAGAUGGUACAUAUGGUGAAUAAAACAGUUUUUAGUUCAAAAGUUAUCGUUUCACGUAGUGUUUGUCACGGUAGAGAGCAGCUUUAUCUCAGCAGUGAAGCUUCAACACCUGUUAACGGUGGUUGUUUAAAGGAAAUUCGACAUGAGCAAUGGCUGGUUGGUUGACUGUCUUUGGAUACAUUUGAAGCCCAUGUAUUAUGUGCAGAUGUGGUUAGACUAUGUGAGGUUCAACAAAUGGAGCAUGUAUGUGCUUGUGCAUAGGUCAAUGGAAGAAGAAGCUGGGUGUUGAGUGGGAUGCCCCUAUUGCAGUAAUUGAUAGAUAGCUUGGAGUUCUUUGUAGAGGUUGCAGAACCCUUUGAUCAACUAUCUUUAAUGCUCUGGAGAUCAAUUCAUCGUAACAAUCAAUUCUCAUUUUUGAUUCUAGUUAUCAUAGGACUGUUCAUACUUAUAGCCUCUUUAUGUUCCUAUAGAUAUUCUGUUUGUCAGAGAUAUUGUAUAUAUCUUAGACCUUACCAUAUUAGUUAGCUACCCUUUAGACUUCUGUUUUGUUCAGUUACCAAACUCCUUAGCCUUUUUAUCCAAUCUGCAUCCUGACCUUCUCUGUCUCUCUGUAGAUCCAAAUUCUGAUUAGAUAGGAUAUUUAGUAUAUCUGAGUCCUUAUUAUUCCUCGAAUGCCUGAAUUGGCUGGUUCAUCAUACCCCUCUGUCUGUGUUCAUGUAAUUUCUUCUCAGUUUGAGUAGGAUCCAAUCGCUACUUCUUCCUCUUGAAGUUGUUUUCCCCUUGGCCAAUUUUCUGUUUUUUGGGAAUGAAAAUUGGGAAGGGGAAUAAUAGUUAGUUGUAUCAUUUUCUUUUCCUGGUCUUCGGUAAUCUUUCCAUCAGCUUUCCUCUUGCCAGUCCAUUAUCCCUGUUAAGUGGUUUAUUUCUUCUCAAGAAAAGUCCAUCUUGCCUAUGGAUAUUAUUGAUCAUAUCGUCAUUGAUAAGGUAAGAGUUUCCUAGUUUUUAUCUGUUUUGAUAUUCUGUCUCUGACUUGUUAUUUAGCUUAUAUGUGCUAUGACAGUUGCUUAUUAUUUGUUUACUUCUUUGUGUGUAACACUUUUAGUUGGCGCUGUUCGAAGAAGUUUGUUGAAGUGGAUGUUCUCUCUGUGCUCACCAUGGUAGCACCACUUGUUGUUUUUCAUUUUGCUGUAGGAUACUUGCAGUCUCUGGGUCCUUCGACAAAUCUGGUAGUUACUACUGCAGUGAUUAUCUAGUUAUCCGAUGUUUUGGAUUUUGGAGCUUUUACGUUUGUCCUUGAUCUAAGGAACUUCUUGUUAAGAAGUCUAUGCUGCUUGCCUUAAGAAGUCUGUGCUGCUGUUAGAGCUUUUACUUUUGUCCUUGAACUUAGGAACUUGUUAUUCUUGUUUCUCUAAUUCUGUUGUUUGGCUUAAGAAGUCUAUGCUGCUGUAGAGUACUGCAGUGAUUUUCUAGUUAUGUUGAUGUUUUAAGUUUUAAGAGCUUUUACUUUUGUACUUGGAACUUAGGAACUUGUUAUUCUGUUUCUCUAAUACUGUUGUUUGGCUUGAGAAGUCUAUGCUGCUGCUGAAUCAUGCAUAAUAUUUUCCUUGUUACAUGAACAUGCCCACCUCUUAUGGCAUCAGAAAUGUUUUUUCACUUUUAGACUGCUUCUGUUGUACUUGGCAAAUGACAACUCUUUCUCAGUGUUGAGACGACUAAAAGAAAUGCACGCCGGUAUCUACUGAUUUCUUCAUAGUUUUUGUCCCCAAAAACUUCAUUCAAGUCGUGAUACGUUCAGUCGCUCUGGGUCAAGUUGGCAAAGAUGAGAGCAGUUAAUCUGUAUUUUUUAGUCGGACUGGGUCAAGAUGGCAAAGCUGAGAGCAGUUAAUCUGUAUUUUUUAGUCGUGCAUGAUUGAUCUUAGCAUGCAGCACGUACAGGGACGAUGACAACAGAAAAUAUUGGUAGUAAUAUUGUUUCGUAUUUCUUUGUGCGAGCGAGUACGAACUGAUUUAGUCAUGGAUCGAACAUUUUCUACCAGAGCAGAAUCUAUUGACAGUUUGGAUUUUUACUCGUGUACAUUAGAUCUGCAAGUAAUUUAGAUGGUAAUAAUCUAUGCAUAUCAUUUUGAGCAGGCUUUCGAAAGAGUUUUAAGUUGAACUAACAUUAAUACCAAGUCCAAUUGACCAUUGAACCUGCCCUAAAUCAGAUCCACAAAUUUGUGACUUAGGAGUAGUUGCCGUGUAUUAGUCGUAUGAAAAGGAAUAGAUUUAUCCAACAUGAGUACGCCACUAGAAAUUAACUCUUAUCUUGAUAAUAGAGUCUGGUACAUCUCAAAAUUUAACAGAGAUUAUCAAAGCCUCUGCCUAGUAGUGAAUUGCAAAGUUUACAUCAACUUAACCAAAGGUAUACAAAAAUUAUAGAGAAGAGUAAGCGAGUAAGCGAGUAAGCUAAGUGUUGACAAACUCCACACUCCAAAGUAGUCCAAAACACAAUACAAACAAUAGUGGAGCUUAGAUGGUGAAUACCGUGGCAAAUGAUGCUGCAACUACAAGGGUAAACAAGAGAGAAUAUGGCAGCUUGACUCUGUAUCCUGAAUUUCCACUUGGUUCACCCUUAGAUCCACCUGCCAAAAAACGUAUACAACAGAUUAUUUAUACAUCAAAAACAUCCAAAAACUUAGUUUUCGUAAAGUUCUGGUUUUGUUCUUAUAUCAUUAUACAUUUUUUUUUUUUUUUAAAAGUUCUAUUUGUACUCGUACCUGAAGGAGUAGAAGGAGACCCUGGAGAACCAGAUGGAGUAGUAGCUGAAAUGUUUAUAUUUGACAGAGAAAACAAGUUAAAAACUCGAAAAAUCUCCAGCUGCAAGCGUCUUUUGUCACAAUAUAAAUUAUUUUUUAUUAAAAAUGUAGUUUCCCAAUCCUUUUCGGGACCAACUAUGAGGUGAGACUUUUGUAUAAGUAUUUUCAUAAUAUAUAUAUAGAGUUUGAACCAAAAAAAUAAAUAAAAAAUCGAAAAAAGCAGUGUAGUUGAUGAGCUUAGCUUUACCUUUACAGAUAUUAACAGAGGGAGUCUGAACAUUACAAGCUUUUGGAAGAGCCAUAGCUUGUGUUUGAUUCACAUUAAUUCCCAUAGAAGAUGCAGAACCACCAUUAACCACUUGACACAAACAUUGUGGCUGAUUUUUCACAAUAGUGGCUAGUUGUGUACAACAUCCUGAUGACGGUUUUGUGGCAUUCCCUUGUAUAUAAUCCAAACAUGGUGCUAAUCCAACUAUCACUUGUUGGCAAUCAUCUGAUUGACCACUAACUUGUAUUGCAAUAAUAGCCAAAACCACAAAAACUGCACUUGUUAACAUCUUCAUUUUCUCUUCAAUUUAAUUUAAUUCCUUCUCAAUAUCUUACUUUGGUCUGCUGCUAAAUUUUGGAGCAUUUGAUGGAAAUGACAGUGUUUAUAACGGGGAAGAUGGUGCAAUAAAUUUUUUAGUAAGGACAGAUGGGGGUUAUGUGGGUGACCAAACUUUGGCUACCUUUAUAACGAAUCCAUGUGUAUACACCAUUUAUUAAUUUUACUUCCCACAUUCUGACUUUAUUAUAAUUGACAACAUAUAGACAAACACCACUCUAUAGUCUACACGUUUCAAAAAGUAGCUAGCUGUCAAAUUUUUGGUUAACAAUUGUAGCUUAUCUUCCAGCAAAUCUAAGAGAGUAGUACUAUAUUAUGUAUAGCUUAAAAAAGGAUUUUUUAAACUAAAAUAUAUACGGUCCAUGUGAUACAAAUUCAAAAAAAGAAUGAUGCUUUUAUUGAGUUAGAAAAUACUAAUUAAUUUUCCCUGUUUUCAUAUUACCCAUUAUAGAGUUGUAAAUUUUAUUAACAUAUAUAUUUUCAAAGCCAUGCAAGUAUUAACACGUCUUAGAUCAUAAGUUUCAUUUUUUAAGACUUUGUGAAAUUUAAACUAAAUCAUAUAAAUUAUAAUGACGAAAGUAUAUACUUUCAAAUAAUCUUUAUAUAGUCAAACUUCUCUAUAGUGGCAACAUUUAUAUGAAAGUAUCGUGACUGCAAUAUAGAGGUGUUAUUAUAUAUGAUGUUCAAAUCUCAUUUAGUUUCUAUAAAUAAAAAUACGCAAAAUUAGAAAAGACAUGAAUAUAUAUUAUAAAUAACAUAAAUACCAAUCUCUUAAAAGUAAUUACACUUUCUCCCAUAAUUACUUUACUCUCUCUCCCUAUGAAUAAAUAUAAUAUAGCUGACAUAUACAUAGCAGUUUGUGUAUAUGUGAGAUUUUUGUAAUAUGUUUAGGGAGUUGGAAUUUUUUGUAAUAUUGAAAAUAUAAGUUGUGUAUUUGUGUAAUUUUUAGAUAUAUAUAUAACAAAAAAGUAAAUAUUAGUAGUCUUUUUUUUCGUGAAUUUAUGAAAUAAUUGAUGUGCAUCAUUUAAAUAUAAUUUUUUUCUUUAAAUUAGAUAUUCGUACUUGAAAUUUACUGUGUUCAUGAUACUAUGAUGAUUAUCAUUAAUAUUUUUGGUAUUUUAUUUUGUACAUAAUAUAUUUUUUAUAAAUUAUUAUAUAGUAUUUGAGUAUGUUGUUAUAAAGAAGAAAUGUUACAAAGAUUGUAUCGCUAUAUAAGCGUCAUUGCAGUUAUAGAAAAGUAAAAUAUAACACGAUAAAGUGAUUUUGGAGAAAAUCAAGCUACAAUGGGAAAAUGAUGUUAUAAUGAUGUGACGUUAUAGAGAGCAGUGGCAGAGUUAAAAUUUUCAAUGAGGUCGUUCAGAAGUAAAUAUACGAAUUAAUGGAAGGGAGUUCAAUAUCUAUUAUAUAUGCAUAUUUUUUUUUUAAUUAUAUUUACCUCGAAGAGGGUUCGAAUGAAUUCUCUAAAGCAAAUAUAGUUCUGCCUCUCAUAAAGAGGUCUGUCUGUAUUAAUAUAUUUUAUUUAUUAUAUCAGGCUAUUUAUCUUAUUUUUACGUAUUAGUAUUAAUCUUACUUAUCAUAAAUAAUUGCUUAUAAUUAUUUUAGCUUAUUUCAUGGAUUUUUUUUUGUUCUAUUCUAUCAAUAUAAUUACACUCUUUAGCAUAAGGACAAAAGUGUAGACGGUGCAAAAAGCUCCAGCGAAGCUGCCUAAAUUUUAAAUGCUCAUCAAUGGUUUAGUCAAACUCAAUAGGUCGGCAUGGUAGGUUAGUCGUUUUCUUUUUUUUUGGCCACCUAAAGUCAAUUUUCACAUUCUCUGUAUACAAAUCAAAAGAAAGUUAUCGUGCAAACUGUUUCUAACAGAAAUAUAAAUAAAAUUAUUUGAUUUUCUUUUAAAUCUUGUAUAUAGCAGAAGAUUUAAUGUAUUAAUAUAAUUAUCAAUUAAAUGUGAAUGGAUGAAGUUGCUAAAGCUCCCAAUAGAGUUGAAAUUGAGUGUGACAUAAUGACACAAUUUAAUCCCAAUUGUUCUUUGGAGAAGACUCGUCAUUAUGUAAAAAUUAGAUAGAUUUGAAGUUAUAGUAUAUUUUAUACGUAGUCAGAUGGCUCAAUAGCUUUUGUUUAGAUUUUAUAUUUAUAUUAAGAAAUUCAUUAAAUGUGAAUUCAAUAACUAAAUUGGAGUUAAAAAAAAGUUCAAAAUUUAUAAAGUUAAAAUAUUGACCUGACUCUAUUUAACAAUCCGAUAAAUUAAUUGAGUUUUCCAAAUGAUCAAAUACAAGCCAAUUAUUUAUUUGUGAAUUUUGUUUUCUACUCUCUGUUAAAUACUCAUUUGGCCAAGAACUUUCAUUACAUUAUUAAUUAAAACAUUAUAUGUUCUACCAUGCACAUGAUCAAAGUUUAUAUUUUCAGAGAGUUAUGUUGUAGAUUAGGCUACUUAAAAACAGUACUAACCUAAUCAGUGUAAUAAGCUAAACUACUAGGUAGAUAAGUAUUUAUCACUACAAUAAUAAAGACUUUUAAUGGUAAUAUUAAAUACGUUAAUAAAGAGUGCUAAAUUUUUACUGACAUUGGUUAAUUGUUACCGGCUCCAAUGUCACUAUAGGACAUUUACAAAGAAUACUAAAAAUAUAUUUUUCACUAAUAAUUAAUUGCCUCUAAAAAAAUAAUUCAGCGACAAUAAGCUUAUUGCCUUGAACUAAUUGUCGCUAGAUUUUUUAAUUUUUUUUGUAUAUUAAAUUACCUAUAUAUACACACAUAAAAAACUGAAAUUAGUUACUUAUUUUGUCACGAAUCUGUCACUAAUUUACUUGUAGCUAUCAGAGAUUACUCGUUAAAUAGGAUUAGGAACGAAUGUUGCUAUACAACUACAUAAUUAGUCCGCCGCUAAACUUUUUUUUUUAGUAGUUACGUAACAAUUUCAGUUCAAUAGUUUAUGAAGCUACAUUUUGCCAAGAAAAUAGAAGAUAAAUAAUUAAAGAACCCUCCUGUGACUUACUCAAAAUGAAGCCACAACAAUAAUAUAUAGGUAAAUUUACAACAAACGUGACACUCAUACUAAUACAGGGGAACCAAAAGAAUAAUAAUAACAGUAAAUAUUAGUAAUACAAGAUUGACAUAAAAAUAACAUUUUCUCCAAAAACUCAGAAUCCCCUUGUAGUCAAAGCAGAUGAUGAUGCAACAAAUAGGAGGAAUAAUCCAACUAAAGUAGUAGUCAUAGAAACUUUUGUGUUGCUUCCUGCUGCUGCUGAUGAUCCAGGUGUUGAAGGAACUGUUUUAGAACCUGUAGUACCUACACCAAUGAAAGCAUUUGUGCGCGUUUGAGUUAUUUGACUUAUGUACACUGGCACAAUAUAAAAUAAUUUUUAUACUAUUAGGUCAACUACAAGUAAUUGCUACGUAAGUGAUAUAGCAUGUUAAAUUAAAAUUCUUAUAUAUAGGAGAGAUGAUAAUUUUUUGUAUUUGAAUUGUACCUGUUCCUGAUGGAGUUGCUGGGAUUUCAUUAGAGGAAUCAGAUGGGGUAGUGGAACCUGUAGGAGAACUUGCUGGUACUGAAGCAGUUGGUCCAUUUGCAGCUAUUUUUUUUUUAUGCACAAAACAAUCAGUUAGUUCAUUAUACAUGUAGAUGUUAUAAAAGUUUAAUUAAUUCAAUCAUUAUAAAUGUUUGUGGUGUAAAUAAUUUUUAUAACCAACAGAAUCUAGAUGCGGAGCUAUGAUUUGAAGCAUAUAAAAUAGAAAUAUCGAGUAUUGGGUUCCGAAUUAAAUUUUUAUAUAUAUUUAGUAUAUAUCUGAAUAUAUAAAAACACAAAAUUUGGACUUAAAGAUACUAAAAUUGGCGGAACUAUGAUUUGAAGUAUAUAUAUGAGUUCUAAAUUCUAGCUCUGCCAGCUCUGUCAGUGUAUUUAAAGUUAUUGUAUUAGGUCAGAUUAAUUAACUGCCUUAUUUCUAUAUUAAUCUCAUUGGACAGAUACGUUACUUGUAAUUAUCUUUUACAUGGCUUGAUAAUAUAACAUUUUCUUCUGCAUUGUGAGUCGUGUUAAUAGAAGUUAAACUCAUUGUUUAAAUAUUGCCUAGUACAGACCGUAUUAACAACAUUUCACUAUAACAAUCAAGUUUUUAAUCAAUUUUCAUGUUAUGUAAUAUCAUAUGCUCUUUAUAACAAUAUUUCGCUACAUGAUCAACCAAGAAAUAUCUGAAGAAACAACAUCAUUAUAGAGAAGUUCGACUGUGGAAUGAAAAGCUGUCUUACCAUUGCACCUGCUGAGAGGAGGAGUUUGUAAAUUGCAUGCACUAGGUAAUCCUAGAGCAAGAGUUUGAUUAAUGGCAAUGCCAAGAUUAGAACCACCACCAUUAACCAACAUACAAAGGCAUUGGGGAUUGGACUGGACAACACUAGCUAGUGAUGUGCAACAAGAUGAAGAUGGUGUUGAUGAAUUUCCACUAACAUAGUUCAAACAUGGUGAUAAUCCUACUAGUGUAGUCAUACAACUUGAUUGACCUAAAGCUCCAUUAAAAAAAAUGGCCACAUUUAGAACCAUAACUAGAGCCAUCACAUUCAUUUUGGAUGCCAUUUUUCUUAAUUUGAGACUAAAAGAGAAAAAGAGGAUUGGUUGAUUAUAUUCUUUUUGUUGUUGAUGAAUUUUUGAGUGAAGAGGAAGAACAGCUAUUGGGGUUUAUAUACCAAAGUUUUUAGUACAAAAGAACAAGAAAAGAUAGGUAUUUUUGUUGGCCAACUUUUAAACUAAUGAAUGGUUAGCUAAUAACUAAAAUUCAAUAAAGAAAUAGUUUAUGAGGACUUAUUAUAAUCUAUUACUCCAUUUGACAACUGUUUACCUAAUUAGGUGAUCUUCCAUUAUUAGUAUAUUUUGUUUGAAAAGGUUUUGGUUUUCUUCCAAUAAGGAAAUAUUAUAAGUCGUAGUAUGGAAAAGUUUCUCAACAAAUUAAAUGUUUGUUGUUUCGUGUACGAGCACAUUAAAGGUUACUUUCUACAACACGUACAGAAGCUAAAUUUGUUAAAAGUUAUUUUUAUUUUACCCUUGAAAAGAAAGUUUUUAUAGUCAAAAAUAAAUGUUGGUGGCAUUUGACAUGUUUAGGACAUAAAUUUAGAAGUCUAAAUUAUAAUUAAUACACACAAAUUUUAUGACAUUAUCAAUUUAAAAUCACAAAUUUCAAAAGUCUACUUAAAUUUAUCAAAUUAUACAAAGGCGGAUGUAGAAUGCCGGCACUAAUUUAUCUAAGGCCCAUACUUUCGAUACAAAGUAGAAAUUUAUGUGUCAAAUCAAAAUAUGAACCCAUUUUCUUCUAAUCAAUUUUUCUAAUAAAUCUUGACAUAUAGAGUUAUCUAGUAUUAGGGGCGGAGCUACACUUGGGAAGGGGGUUCAUCCGAACUCCCUUCGAUAAAAAAAUAUAUGAUAUAUACAUGGUUAAAAUUAUUUUUUAGGUAUAUAUAGUAGAUGUCGAAUUCCUUUCGGUUAUAUGUUCACUUAAGAACUCCUUAAGUAAAAAUUCUAACCCCACCAUUAUCUGGUAUCAAAAUUAUGUAACAAAUACCCAAUGAAUAUAAUUGACUCGCUAACCAAUAUAUGCCAUAUGGAAAAAAGAUAUUCUUCUAAUAAUUUAUUGUUUCAAUGGUGAGGAACAUAUUUUCACCAUUCAGUGGGUUAACCUUAGUUUAAGGCAAAACUAACAGAUGCACUGUAAAACAGGAAAUCCACAAAACUAUUCCAUACUUUAAGGUUUAUUCUCCAACAUAAGUACAUUACAAGUUCUAAUUAAAACCCCUAUAAAUAGACUAGGCCAUGACCAUUAAAAAAUUGUCCAAGGAAACAUUUUAAAAAUCAAAAUAUAAUAAAUUUUUAAAAAACAAAUAUGGAGGGAAAAAAGCUUGUUGCUGUAUUUCUGAUGUGCAUGGUUGUGUUAACAACAAUGUCAGAAGCCACAGAGGAAGAAUACAGGGAUUGCUACCAUACAUGUCACAAACAAUGCUCUGAAGAUGGCCAUGGUUAUACCUUUUGUGAGAUGAAGUGUGACACAGACUGCUCCAGGAAGGAUAUCGUAGGUAAUUAAUCAUUUCCGUGAUCGUAUUAUCUGUUUUUAAAGUUCUCCUGCACAUUUUAGGAAACUGACGUUAUAUUUAAUAGUCUUAGGGGCCAUUUGGUAACAUGGAUCGGGGGUUAUACCACGUUCAUAUUAUCUGUCUUUUAAAGUUCUUUCAUAUUUUUUACGAAAUUGACGUUAUAUUUAAUAACAUGGAUUGGGGUUAUACCACAUCCAUGUUAUCUGUUUUUUAAAGUUCUCUCCCACAUUUUUUACGAAAUUGACGUUAUAUUUAAUAGUCUUAGGAGCCAUUUGGUUACGUGGACGGGUGAAUAUUUAGUAUAUUGUUUGUGAAUAUUAGAUAAAAUCAUGAUAGAAUUUAUACUAAAAUCAUGAAAUUAUCUAAUCGAUCUCAUAUAUAAGAUGGAAUGAUCUAUUAGCGGUUAAUUUCAGAAUUAUAAUCCGAAAAAAAUAUUGUUUUGAACAAAACGACCUCUUGAUGGUUAUAAGAUUUUUUUUUUUUAAUCGAAACUAAGAUUUUUUUUUUUUAAUCGAAACUAUCUUUUGUUAAAUAAUAUUUCACUAAUUUAAGAAUAGAUUCAGAAGAAACUAAUAAAUAACUUCUUAUUUCUCUUAAACGUCACAUAUAUCAAAUUAAAAUCAGUUUGCCCAAAUCUCACAGGAGAGAAUAUUUUUAUCUGAAGAAUUUAUAAUCAAAUUAUGUUUGUUUAUAAAAUUGUUUUAUAAUCUUCUUAAAUAGUUUUAAAUUUUGAAAACUCGUGACAUUAUAAUACGCUUUAUAUAUAACUUCUAACCAUAUACAUUUUAUUUACAUGACAUGUUGAUUGCAAAAUGGGGUCAUCUGAUCUUAAUUUUUUUUAUUUUUUUUUUAAAACAUUUGCAGCUCAAUUCCCUAAAUUCAAGGGUUAAUGUGGAGGACCAAAAAGAUACAUGAGAUGAGCAAACAGGGCUGAAGCAUAAAUCAGUGUAAUUGUAUUAGUAUAUUUCUACUAAAUAUUUCAUCAAUUUAUUUUCCACUGCUGAUUGUAAUUUUCAAAAUUAAUAAAUAAUUCAUUCAUCUCUUAAUCUAAGUUCCACUGCCUCAAUCUAAUUUUUAACUCAUUAAUUAUCCGAGUAAAUUAAUAUAUGAAAUCUUGAAACUCCUUUACUUUAUCCAAAGUUGUAAUGGCUCCUAUUGCUUUAUCUAAAGUUGUAAUGUAAUGUGGACCUAAUGAGAAUGACCUAACACUAAUAAAGAGUACUGCAGAAAAAGUAUGAUACAUAAGAGCUAAUUAAACUUCUACAAUUUGACAUUAUAUAUAAAUAAGUUUUUAUAUUAUUAGAUCACUUAAAUGAUAGUUGCAUUCAGAUAAUAUGUAGUUCAUGAAAAGUAAAUUAAUUAUAUUCAUAUAGAAUUUCACUUUUCUAUAAUGAUGGUACAUAAAAAAAAUAAAACGAAAACUACAUGUAACUGUCUGUAUACAAAAUACUUUAUUGGAAGAAGAAAUUUAAAAGAAGAAAAUGACUAGCAAGGAUAAUCACAUGCACAAAAAGGACCAUUAAAGCCAAGUUGUUCAAUGCACUGUCCACCAGCAGAGGAUCCAAAUUUGUUAUUACAGAAAGGUAAGCAUUCUGGUUCAACUUUGCCUUCAUCACACAAUAUUUCUGGAUGUAUCUGAUAGCAUUUUUGUGCCAUAGCUGAUGGAAUCAUCGUUCCAACUGCGUCCAAUUAAAAAAAAGAGAUACUUAAUACACAAUCAUAAUCAAUUUCAUUUUGUUUACGACUUCUCUCAAUGAAAUGAAAAUUGCAUUCAUUCAGCAAAAAGGUUGAAAUUCCUCAGCCAAAAGACAUAUAUAUGUGUGUGUGUUUUUUAACAAUUAAGAAGCAUCAUUUAACAUAGAAAUUUUUCUUAUUUUUUUUCCUAGUAAGGUUAACAAAAUCUCGUCUAACUCGAUUAAUUAAGCAAGGUUAGUAUGGAAAGAACAAGUUCAAAAUCACGAUCAAUUUCUUUUUUUUUUUAAAAACAAAAUCCUACCACAACUGUUGACCCAUAAGAUGAAUUAUGGAUCUAUCCAGCCAAACAGAACAAUACUAGAAAGCUAUGAGUCUUGUAUUUUGAUCUAGCUUUUCCAAAAAUUUGUUUUUUCAAGAAAGAAUUGUAAAAAUUAACACUGUUUUACUUAAUCCUUAUUGUUCUUCUUCCGUCUAAUUACUUAAUCCUCCAUAGUUAAUGAUCGAUAAAUAAAAUUCGAGAAAUUAUCUAUGUAUGUCUGUAUGUAUAGGCUAUAACAAGUACAAAUUAACAAUACCAACAUGGAUUGUGGUGCAGCGAAUGAGACUGCUCCAACCUUAACCAGAGGUCGAGAACACUACCCAAAAUGAGGCCUACCCGGUGCGAAUCCAAAUUAAUCGGACUCCAAUGUGAGUACGAACACCGGAUGAGAAACCAAAAAAAAGUACAAAUCAACAAUGAAAAAAGCAUGUUACGUACUGUGUAGUAAUUACCUAGAAAAACAGCAGCAACGAGAAGGAUGCAAGUUGUAAUCUUUCCCAUUUGUCUUUCUGGGAAAAAAAAGAUUUUUAAGAGGACAAACUAAAUCUGCAAGAGUACUUUGUUUAUGUUGUUUGGUCACACUAAAUAUAUAAUUUGGAUGAGUUCCUUGUACUAUAUUAUUAUAGAUUGUGAAAAAGGGACAUUUAUAUCAAUAAUUGAACCCAAUCAAAUUAAACCUUACAAUACGUGGAGUAUAUAUAUGAUAGAUUCUUUUGGCUAUGGAGAUUAGUUACCAGGAAAGUGGCCUUUAAUUGUCAACCACAAACUAUUUUUUUCGUCAGAUAUUGCAAAUAAACAACUGUUUGAUCACUAACGACAGUGAGUUAAUUUGUUUUUUUGCCAACAUAUUCCAUUGAAUUUAAUAAAAGAAUAAUUUAGUGUAUUAAAAUGCCUGCUAUAUGUAGAAUUUAAAAAGAGUUAAAAAGUAUAAAAGUUUAUUGCAUUGCACGUAGUAUUAUUUUACAUUUUUAUAAAAGAUUGUGUCUUCUUCUUGUACCCAUAACCUUCGGAUAGCAUGCAUGACAACAACUUUAUUGGUUACUCGACGACUCGCACCACAAAUUUGAAUUAAUCAUUUAACAACUAAACAGCUGUAUUAACACUAAUGGCAACAGUUUGAUUUUUUUGCAACAUUGACCCCAUUCACAUAACGUGGCAACAUAAAUUUGAGCCUAGUCACAAAUUAUUUCGUCAGCUACAAAUUUUAUCUUUUUUAUUAAAGGACGUCCUUUAUCAUAGUCGGUCACAACUUUAUAAUAGACUAAUUCUUUUCUUAUCUAGUAUCUCUCGUCUAAAAUUAUUUAUUAUAAUUUCUAAAAAUAGUUAUUAGUCUAAAUUAUUUAUUAUUUUGUAUUAUAAAUAUCUUAAUAAAGUAAAUAUUUAAUGAGAGAUUAUGUCUUUAGACAUAAAGAAGGUAAAAUAGUUAAAUUUUUCUUCUAAAUAAAUAAUUUUUUAAAAAAUAUGUAAAAGAGAAGCACGAUAAAUAAUUUGAGAUGAAAGAAUACUAAUAUACCUCACUAUUAUUAAACUCGGAGACAAUUUAGACAAAAAGAUUUUAAGAAUUAAAUAUGUGCUAGAAUUACUUGUUAAACCUUUUCAGGAGAAUAUCUUGUAAUGUUAUUUUCUCUUGAAAUAUUUGUCAUGGUUUACUUAAUAUUUCUAAUUCACACUCUUAAUGGAAAUCUCCCCUUUCCAAAUUCAUGUGAUAUACUUUUAUUGGGCAUAAAGUUUGAGAAAGAACUUUUUUUGAAACUUAUGAUUUAAAUGAGUCAUACAUAUUUAUAUAUGACUAUUUUAAGUAUUAAAAGUAAAAUAAGAAAUUUAAAGUCUAAACUAGUUUUAUAGUUAGAAAAAUCACAUUCUUAGAGUUAAAAGGAAGUGCAUUUUCUUAAAUUGGACAAAAAAGUAUUAUUAUGUCACAACUGGUUGUUCAUCUCGUCUGCUUACAGCUGAGACGAAUCAAAUCACGUAAAACUUUUUUUUUGGGGGGUAUUUAUUGAUAAAUUUAAUCACCAUUAAUUAAUUAAGCUAACAAGCAUCAUAUAUAUAUUUUUCAAAUUUCACACGUUUACGCAACUUGAAAUGUUCUGAUACUCACUAGUAUUUAUGUUGACAAUGAAGCUGGCAUUAACUAAUUACUACAGUUCUAUAUAUGCAAAACAAAAUACAUAAACCAAAUAAUAUUAUUAGUGCUGAUCAUUCAGCAACAAUCAUAUUAAAGUCAAGAAUAAGGAUUUAUUCAAAGAUCACAUAAAGUAAUGCGCGUAAGAAGAUUUGAGUAAUAAUUGUCGGUCUAUUGUCACAAUUUCUUUUUAUUUACAAAAAUGAGUUUGGGUAUGAAAUUGUGGGAUUUUUAUGUCUUUAAUUUAUAGUACGUUAUUCUUCCAAGUUAACGUUUAUUUUGUAAUAUUUUAGUACAUAUGUAUUGACAUGAUGAUUACACGAUCAAAUUUGCUUAAAUUUCUUUAUGCAUGCAUGCAGUGGGGGCUUCGGUUCUCUUCAAUUACUAAUACGUGCACCAUCAUAUAUAAUCCACUACUCUUAAGAUUCAAGUAGCUUUCACAAUAAUGUAUUUUUUUUCUUCUUUAUCUUAGGAACUUGACAUUUGAAUGUAUGUAUAUCUCUUGACGUAUCUCCUUCGGGAUAUAACGGCUCAUAACAAUAUAUAACUAAAGCAAUUUCGGAUUAGUUUGAAGAGUCCAAAACUCCAUCACAAAAACACUUUCCUUCAACGCAGUGGCGGAGCCAAGAAGUUCAGUAAGGGAUCGGAAUUCAAAAAUACACACACGAACUAGUCAAAGGGGGGUCAACAUAUACAACAUAUACUUAAAAAAUAAUUUUAACCGUAUAUAAAUAGUGUAAUUUUUCACCGAAGGGGGGUUCAGAUGACCCCCCUGAAUAUAUGUUCAACCUAUAGUUACUCUCUUUGUAGCGAAUAUAGUUAGACUUAAAAUAUUUUUUUUGUCUCAACUCUCUCCUUCACUAAUAUAAUUACUCUCUUUUAUAUAGUGAAUAUAGUUGAAAACUUAAAAUAUUUUCUGUGUCUCAACUCUCUCUUUCACUACUACAUAUAAUAAUACUAGUAUGCGUACCCGCACGACGCACGGAUAAUAGUAAAAUAUUAUUUUUAAUCACUUCAUACUAAAAUGUUUCGUCCGACCAUGUUAAAUCAUAUUAUUUUUUUUUAAAAAAUCAACUAUCAUAUUAUUUUUUAAUAAAAUAUGGGAAAAAAAUUCGAUCAAACCCACUCCAAUCCCCCCACCUCUAACUAAAUAUUUUUUUAGAAAAACAAUCAUGUAAUUAUAAAAAAAAAUAUUUUAUAUUUUCUUUAUUAUGUUAUCACAACUAAAAAGUAUUAGGUUGUUAAUAUUCUACCCCUUUUCCACCUCUAACUAAAUCUAUAUGAGUAAAAACAAUCGUGUAAUUGCCAAAAGAAAAAAAAUUAUUUUAUUUUUUUUAUUAUAUUAUUUACAAUUUAAUACAUUUCAAAUUGUCAAAAAUAAUUUAAUUUUUUAUUUUACUGCGUGUCCAUCUCUACCUUUUAAAAUUUAUAAAUAAUAAUAUGUUCAUUAUUUAAUUACUUCAUUAUAUUCUCAGAAUUAGUUUGGAUUUCCCCCUUCCUCCCCCCGGGCCAAAAAUUAUCCUCGAUGCACAAUUUUUACCGUAUUUUAAUUUGGUUACUUUUAUCUAAUUUGACCUUGACUUAACUACAAAUAUUGCUACACUAAAAAGAAUAAUAAUAAUAUCAAACAUAUAUUUUAAAAGAUUUAAGCAUGUCAUCUUUUGAUAUUCGUUGUUACCUAUUCUUCUCUUCUCUUCAUUUAACUUUAUCUCUUUGUAAGUCAACAAUAACAACAAAAUCAUUACUAAAAAGUAAAAAUAACUCUCAAGAAAACUUCUCAUAAAUUAAAUAACAGAAAAAGUAUUAAUUUGAAGUUGAUUUGUCUAAAAAUUUUACUUAUCGUAGCAGUAGUUUCAACUAUUAUCUGUCCAAUUUUUUACUUGUUUAUUUAAAGGGUGCAUGUUACCAUCUGUAAUGAGAGACGAAGAACUACGAAAAAUGAAUAGAGAUAACCUCAAAGACUUGAAUUUAUAUUUCAUAAAUUGCAAUUAUAUAUAAAUAUCACACACACACACACAAAUAUAUUUUAACAAAUGGAUAAGGUCAUUAAUUGUUAUACAUUAUUUCCUCCUUUUCAAAGUAAUCGACAAAUUUAUGUUGACUGAUAUAUUCCUUAUUAAUUAGAAAUGUGAUUUGACUGAUAUAUUUCUUAUUAAUUCUUUAAUCUUCAUUAAUUUAAGAAUAAUUAAUGAUAAGGUAGAGUCAGGAAGGAAAUGGUUAAUUUUUCUUUUGAUCUUUUAAAUGGACAACUAUUUUGAGAGAAAUAACUUUAGAAAAUAUGUCAACUAUUUUUUUGAUAAUCAUGAUGUUCGGACUUGCUUUUACGCAUAAAUAUGCUAGCUAUUUUGAGACAGAGAAAAUAGAAUCAAUUUUGAAUGAUAUGUAACCAAUAUAUAUUAAUAUUUAACUCUUAAUUAGCGUGUCACUUGGGGGUUUGGGUCACAGGUGACAAAAGAGCUUUAAAAUAAGGUGUAGGUGACACAAGUCUUAAUAAUUGAGUAGAGGUGACAAUUACUUCAUUAUGGUUUAAAAAAGUUUGAAAAAUUUCAAAAUAACCCACAAGUUUUUAAAUUUAUACUUUGAUUCAAAUGUUAGUUAAUAUAUAACGGGGAACAAAGAAAAAAAAGCAUCUUUUUCUCUCUUCUCAUCCGUUGUUAUUUUCUCUCUCUUUGCGAUAUUUGUUGUUCAUUGUUGUUGCUGCUCUAUUCAUCAUCUUCUGAUUCAUUAUCAUCAUCUUAUACUUCAUUAUCAACUUCAUAUUCUUCUUGUUGACCAUUGUUGUUGUUAUUGUUGUUACCCCAACUGCUGCUCUUUGACCAAAUUCUUAUGUCAAAUUUUGUUUCGUAAAUCACUUUCAACUUUGAAAUUUACUUGAGAGGAGAGUUUGGUAAGUCAGAUUAUGCUUUUUAGUUGAAUCUGGGUAACUGCUAGAGUGUUGUUUUUUCAACAAUAGUUUGCACGCGAACAUGAAUGCAAUACAAGAGCAAUCUGUUUAAACAAAUCCAUUAUCUGUGGCACCAGAUAAAAAUGUGUUGUUUUUUCAACAAUAGUUUGCACGCGAACAUGAAUGCAAUACAAGAGCAAUCUGUUUAAAUAGAUCCAUUAUCUACAACACCAAAUAAAUGUUCUGUUGUAACAAUAGACUCAUCUUUAAGGGUUCUAGGUGCCCGUAAAAUGAUUAUGAAUCGAAUAGAUGGAUAUUCUAUUGCACCAGAUUAGUAAUCUUUUUCAACAGAUAAAUAAUCUGUUUCAUCAGAUUACUAAUAUGUUUUGAACAACAAAAUAUAGCUCCUGUCACACACAAAACCUAACAGAUAACUCAUAUGUUCUUGCUAUUGAUACUGGAAUUAAAUUAUUCUUUAAUUAUAGACAUGUCAUUCGUUAAGAAAUAGAAAUAGACAGCACAAAAAUUAAAUAAGAAAUAAAAAGUCAAGUGCGUCAAACAUAAUUUUUUAUAAAACAAAUAAAACAAAUACAUAGAUAAUAGAAAAAAAAAGCUGAAUUAUUAUUAUCAUCAUUAUUAACAUCAUUAUUAUUUGUAUGUCCAGCCGGCCAAUCUUCAAAGGGCAGCAACAGCGUCCUCCGUAGCCUGCGGAUCUCCCGCAACAUCUUACUCUGACGGCGGCCAACUUUUAAUGCAGGUCAUGAACCUCCUUCUGCAGUUCCCUCAUGGCGUCUCGUAAAAUAACGAUAUCCCACAUAGGAUCAGCCAUAUCUAAAAAACGCAUAAGUUGACAAAACACACACGUAAACACAAAAGUAAAGAAAANNNNNNNNNNNNNNNNNNNNNNNNNNNNNNNNNNNNNNNNNNNNNNNNNNNNNNNNNNNNNNNNNNNNNNNNNNNNNNNNNNNNNNNNNNNNNNNNNNNNNNNNNNNNNNNNNNNNNNNNNNNNNNNNNNNNNNNNNNNNNNNNNNNNNNNNNNNNNNNNNNNNNNNNNNNNNNNNNNNNNNNNNNNNNNNNNNNNNNNNNNNNNNNNNNNNNNNNNNNNNNNNNNNNNNNNNNNNNNNNNNNNNNNNNNNNNNNNNNNNNNNNNNNNNNNNNNNNUAAAAAGUUAUGACUUAAUUAAAUUAAUCAAUAUUAUGAUAAGUCAUGACUUUUCAGCUUUAUUAUUAUUAAUAAUUAGUUCUUUCCGAGAACCGUUUUUUUAUACUGUUUUGGACAACAGAUAAUAUAUCUGUUACAUCAGAUAAAUCAUCUGUUACAAUAGAUUUAUCAUGAUUUGCAACAAAUAGAUAACCUGUUGCAUCACAUAAUAUAUCUGUUGCAACAUAUAAUAUAUAUAUAUUUUUUUUAAAAAUANNNNNNNNNNNNNNNNNNNNNNNNNNNNNNNNNNNNNNNNNNNNNNNNNNNNNNNNNNNNNNNNNNNNNNNNNNNNNNNNNNNNNNNNNNNNNNNNNNNNNNNNNNNNNNNNNNNNNNNNNNNNNNNNNNNNNNNNNNNNNNNNNNNNNNNNNNNNNNNNNNNNNNNNNNNNNNNNNNNNNNNNNNNNNNNNNNNNNNNNNNNNNNNNNNNNNNNNNNNNNNNNNNNNNNNNNNNNNNNNNNNNNNNNNNNNNNNNNNNNNNNNNNNNNNNNNNNNNNNNNNNNNNNNNNNNNNNNNNNNNNNNNNNNNNNNNNNNNNNNNNNNNNNNNNNNNNNNNNNNNNNNNNNNNNNNNNNNNNNNNNNNNNNNNNNNNNNNNNNNNNNNNNNNNNNNNNNNNNNNNNNNNNNNNNNNNNNNNNNNNNNNNNNNNNNNNNNNNNNNNNNNNNNNNNNNNNNNNNNNNNNNNNNNNNNNNNNNNNNNNNNNNNNNNNNNNNNNNNNNNNNNNNNNNNNNNNNNNNNNNNNNNNNNNNNNNNNNNNNNNNNNNNNNNNNNNNNNNNNNNNNNNNNNNNNNNNNNNNNNNNNNNNNNNNNNNNNNNNNNNNNNNNNNNNNNNNNNNNNNNNNNNNNNNNNNNNNNNNNNNNNNNNNNNNNNNNNNNNNNNNNNNNNNNNNNNNNNNNNNNNNNNNNNNNNNNNNNNNNNNNNNNNNNNNNNNNNNNNNNNNNNNNNNNNNNNNNNNNNNNNNNNNNNNNNNNNNNNNNNNNNNNNNNNNNNNNNNNNNNNNNNNNNNNNNNNNNNNNNNNNNNNNNNNNNNNNNNNNNNNNNNNNNNNNNNNNNNNNNNNNNNNNNNNNNNNNNNNNNNNNNNNNNNNNNNNNNNNNNNNNNNNNNNNNNNNNNNNNNNNNNNNNNNNNNNNNNNNNNNNNNNNNNNNNNNNNNNNNNNNNNNNNNNNNNNNNNNNNNNNNNNNNNNNNNNNNNNNNNNNNNNNNNNNNNNNNNNNNNNNNNNNNNNNNNNNNNNNNNNNNNNNNNNNNNNNNNNNNNNNNNNNNNNNNNNNNNNNNNNNNNNNNNNNNNNNNNNNNNNNNNNNNNNNNNNNNNNNNNNNNNNNNNNNNNNNNNNNNNNNNNNNNNNNNNNNNNNNNNNNNNNNNNNAAUCUUUCCGUUUCUUUAAUAUCCAUUUUUAUUAAUUGAGUUAUGGCAACAGAUUGUAUAUCUGUUGCAUCAGAUAACCCAUCUGUUUCAACAGAUAUACCAUCUGUUGCUAUAAAUCAACCAUCUGUUUAAGGAGCUUUCUUGAUUUCUUCUAACUGAUUGAUAAGUCGCAACAGAUGAGGAAUUUGAUGCAUCACAAGCGUUUUUUUUUUUUUGUUUGUUGAAUGUGUUUAAACAAAAGUUACAGUCACGACUAUUCAUUAACUUUUUUCUUAAAAAUCAUAUCAUCAUAUAUNNNNNNNNNNNNNNNNNNNNNNNNNNNNNNNNNNNNNNNNNNNNNNNNNNNNNNNNNNNNNNNNNNNNNNNNNNNNNNNNNNNNNNNNNNNNNNNNNNNNNNNNNNNNNNNNNNNNNNNNNNNNNNNNNNNNNNNNNNNNNNNNNNNNNNNNNNNNNNNNNNNNNNNNNNNNNNNNNNNNNNNNNNNNNNNNNNNNNNNNNNNNNNNNNNNNNNNNNNNNNNNNNNNNNNNNNNNNNNNNNNNNNNNNNNNNNNNNNNNNNNNNNNNNNNNNNNNNNNNNNNNNNNNNNNNNNNNNNNNNNNNNNNNNNNNNNNNNNNNNNNNNNNNNNNNNNNNNNNNNNNNNNNNNNNNNNNNNNNNNNNNNNNNNNNNNNNNNNNNNNNNNNNNNNNNNNNNNNNNNNNNNNNNNNNNNNNNNNNNNNNNNNNNNNNNNNNNNNNNNNCACGACUGUUCAUAUCCCUUAAAAGGAAAAAUUACACAAAUCCCAUAUUUAAGACACCACAUUACACAAUAUCCCUUAAUGUUUUAAAAAAUUACAUAAAAUCUCGGAUUCAUAUUUACUAGUGAUACAUAUGCUAUAUGUAUCACUGCUUAGCAUAUGUAUCACAAUUCGAAAUUUUGGGAUAAAAUGUAAUUAGCAAACUAUCCGGGAUUUAAUGCAAUAUUGCUGAAACUAUCCGGGAUUUAUGUGUUGUGUGUGUUACUUAAAUAAUACUGGUGACUUUAUUAAUAAGUAAAUUAGAAAAAAAAACGAAUCUAAAUACAACAUUUUAUCUUUUUGUUGUAUUUUCGAAAGAUAAAGAUUGGUAAUCUGUUGCAAAAUAUAUUCCACCUAUCAGAUAACUUACAACAUAUGGACAAUUUGUUGCAACAGAUGGAUAUAUCAGUCUGCUUUUCCUUUAGUUGUGGAGUCUGUUGUAACUUGCUAGUCAUCUGUUUAUUCAAUUUCAUCGAGAGCAAUUUAUUUUUCUAAACACUUCUUGGCCAAAUUCAAUUUUUCCUCUUGGAUUGAUUCUCUUUUUCUCUUAGCAUCCUUCAACCAAACUAAAUUUUUGCUAUUAGAUUGAGGGCAAAAAUUAAAUUUAGAGGCCAGCUUGAAGGAUGCAAAGAAAAAAAGAGAAGCAGUCCAAGAGCAAAAAUUGAGUUUGGACAAGAAGUGUUUAGAAAAAUCUAUUGCUCUUGAUGAAAUUGAAUAAACAGAUGAUUAGCAAGUUGCAACAGACGCCACAGAUGAUGGAAAAGCAAAUUGAUAUAUACAUUUGCUGCAACAGAUUAUCCAUAUGUUGUAAGUUAUCUGACAGGUGAAAUAUAUUUUGCAACAGAUUACCAAUUUGUUUCUUUUGAAAAUACAACAAAAAGAUAAAAUGUUGUAUUUAGAUCUAUUUUUUAAAUUUUUAUAUUAAUAAAGUCACCAGUUUUAUUUAAGUAACAUCACACACAACACAUAAAUCCCAGAUAGUUUGCGUCAGAUGUGGAGUCUGUUGCGUCAGAUAUGGAGUCUGAUGCAACAGAUAUGGAGUCUGUUGGAAUACAUNNNNNNNNNNNNNNNNNNNNNNNNNNNNNNNNNNNNNNNNNNNNNNNNNNNNNNNNNNNNNNNNNNNNNNNNNNNNNNNNNNAACAUCAACAACAAAGAAAACAACAAAAAUUGUUCCAACAACAUCAUCAACUACAAAGAAGCAUACAUCCUAUGUUCUAACACCAUCAACAACAAGGGACAGAUCCACAUGGAGUCCUCCGGGUGCGCGAGCACAGACUGAACUCGUAUCAAAAUUUAUAUAUAUAUGUGAAAAUAAAGAAAAAAACGUAUAUAAUCUAAUUAGUGAGCACCCAUAGUAAGAGUUGUUUGGUUAGCCUAGUUGUUGUUUAUGGGUGCUUAAGGCUAUUUAUUUUUUUGGUCUUGAGUUCAUUUCCCACUCAGCACAUAUUUUUUAAAUUUUGGUAACCAACUCUUCUCUUCUUAUUCACUUUAAACUUUUUAUUUUUUUCUCCCUUACUCCUUGUGUUGAUUGUUCGGACUCCACUAUUUUUAAGCUAAGAAGCACCCACCGUCUAAACCACACCACACCAUAAGUUCCAACAAUGCCAAAUCCACCAACAACACCACACCACAAGUUUCAACAAUGCCAACUCCACCAACAACAUCAAUAACAGUAUCAACAGCAAAGAAACAAACAAAAUACAUAAAAAAAAAAUGAUACUACCAACAAGGCUUUUAAACUUCUCCCAACAGAUGACUUUUUUUUGCAUCUUAUAAUAAAAAUUCUCGGUAUUUUUAUUCAACAAUUAAAAAUUCCUUUAAAUUUUUUAAAUAAAUAUGAUAUGAAAAAAUGGUAAUUAAAUAAACAAAAAGAUGUAAAUAAAGUUGCAAGAAAAAGAUGAGAACGAAAGAGCAAUAGUGAAUCAUAUCAUACAAUGUCAAAAAGGGGGUCAAAACAACAAUUUCAGUCGAGGAAUAUAAGAUAUGGAUAUCCAUCGGUUUAGAUCCGAACGAAAAUUUUUGAGAAAGAGGAGAGAAAAAAAAGGUUGUGAUAACCCUAAAGAGGAUAGAAAAAAAAAAGAUGAGAGAUUUAAGGCUGAAGGAGAGGAGGGGUGAGAUGAGAUAAUUCUAAUUUCUAGAUGUACUACCCUUAAUAUUAAAUGACUAAACAAAGUGUAUUUAUUCAAAUUUAUAUUUACAAAGCAUAAUUAAUAAGGCUAAUUUGAUAGUAAGAUAAACCCCUAAUUAAUAUUUUUUCUUGAUGGGAGUGCCAAGUCAAUAUAAAAAGAAAGAAGUAUUAGGGGUUUCAAUAUUCAUUAAUUAAUAUUCACUAAUAAUUUGAGGGGCACGAGGAAAAAACGGGCGACAUUGAAAAGACAGGACAAGACUACUCAAUGAGAUUUUUGAGUUAUCCAAGAAACAUUUUUUACCGCCUUUAGUAGUACUACUACUUUAUCUACUCGGACAGUAGCUUGCUUUAAAAUUAAAAGAAAAAAAAAAGAUUUUCAAACAGAUAUGUCGUCUGUUGCAACAGAUAUAGAUAUCUGUUUGAGAAAUUCCAACAGCUCAGUCAUCUAUGACAACAGAUAGAAAUGUCAUUUGAUAACUAAAUCAGAAACAUCAUCUGUUACAAUAAAUAUCAAUAUCUAUUUGAAAAUUUCCAACACCUCAGUCGUCCGUCAUAACAGAUGCAAAUGUCUAUUUCAUAAUUAAAUAAAAAAUGUCAUCUGUUGCAACAGAUAUUGUUAUAUGUUUGAAAUUCUCCAACAGCUCAGUUGUUUGUUGCAACGGAUUUCAUUGCAAUUGAUUUAGGAUGAACUAGGGAUGAAAGAAUAAGCUCUUCAUUAACUUAAUGUUAAGAUUAAUAAUAGUACCUACAUCGAUCUAGGUGGAACGAAGGAUGAAUGAAUUAGCUCACAGGGUCAAUUACAAAUCCAAUUGAGUCAUUGUAUUUGCAUGGUGUUAGCAUUGCGUUCAUCCCGACCCGAGUCAUCGAUCGAUCACUCUGAGUUGAAAUGUGUUCUCAUUAACUUAAUGCUAGGAUUAAUAAUAAUACCUAUAUUGAUCUAAGUGGAAUUAGGGAUGGAUGAAUGAGCACAAAGGGUCAACUACAACUUCAAUUGAGUUUUUUGGUAAUUGCACGAUGAGACGAUACUGCAUUCCUCUCGAUAAGAGUCAUCGAUCGAUCACUCUGAGAUGAACUGAUUCUUACUACCUUGUAUGUUUAACUAAUACCUUAAUUGAAUAAUCUGGAACUAGGGGUGAGUUCUCAUAGGGUCAACUACAACUUCAAUUGCGUCUUUUGGCAAAUGCAUGAUGAGACGGGACUGCGUUUCUCUCGAUAAAAGUCAUCGAUCGAUUACUCUGAGUCGAACCAAUUCUUGCUACCUCAUAUAUCUAAUUAAUACCUUAAUUGAUUAAUCUAGGACUAUGGAUAAGUUCUCAUAAUGUCAACUACAAUAGAUGACAACGCGUAUUUGAUAAUUUACAACAGAUGGGUAAUAUAUUGCAAUAAUGACUCAAUCCAUUUGAUAAUUUACAAUAGAUGGGUAAUCUAUUGCAACAGAUGACUUAAUAUGUUUGAUAAUUUAUAACAAAUGUGUAAUAUGUUGCAACAGAUUACAUAAUCUGUUUGAUUUGAUCCAACAGAAAAGAUAUCUGUUGCAACAGGUUGAGCAUUUGUUUAUAUAUAAUUCAACUGAGUUCAUAUGUUAGACCAAUACCUUAAUUGAAUGUGAGUUCUCAUAGGGUCAAUUACAACUUCAAUUGAGUCUUUUGUCAAUUGCAUGAUGAAACGGUACUGCGUUCCUCUCGAUUAGAGUCGGCAAUCGAUCACUCUGAGCUGAACCGAUUCUUACUACCUCAUAUGUUAGACUAAUACCUUAAUUGAUUAAUCUAGGACUAGGGUACUAAUACCUUGAUUAAAUAAUUUAGGACUAGGGGUGAGUUCUCAUAGGGUAAACUAUCAAUUAAUCUAGGACUAGGAGUGAGUUCUCAUAGGGUCAGCCACAACAGAUGGCAGUGCCUAUUUGAUAAUUUACAACAUAUGGAUAAUUUGUUACGACAUAUGAUAAUUUAUUUGAUAAUUUACAACAGAUGGGUAAUCUGUCACAACAGAUGACUUAAUCUGUUUGAUAAUUUACAUCAGAUUUAUAAUCUGUUGUUACCUAAUCUGAUUGAUAAUUUACAAUAGAUGAGAAAUCUGACGCAACAGGGUCACCUCCUAGAGUUCUCGGUCAACUACAACUUCAAUUGUUUUUAUACAAUGUCAAUUGAAUCACCCUUUUGGCAAUUGCUUGAUGAGAUGAUUAAAAAUUACACACAUAUUUUAUAAUUUUAAAAAUAAUUAAGAUCACAUCGGACCAAAUUAACAUUUUCAAAACUAUUUGUCAUUCUUUUCCAAAAUACAAAUCAACCCAUACAAAACGUUUUAUCAUUUUACAUCUUGAGGUCUGGCUCUUUCUCUCUCAUUCUCACUCAAUAAUAUAGUACAGACAAUAACUACUCAAUAAAUUUGCUCAACCCUCUAUAGCAGAUCACUUUUUUUUUUUUUCGACCACAUAGGUGUUAUUUUUGACAUCAUUCUUGUUUGUAUCAGUCGUUUUCUUUGUCUUCGUAGGCAACAGAGUUCGAGAAGAGCUCUAUAUUUAUUUAUUUUUCUAAAAAAUAAGGGCUUUUAAGUUAAUGAUGAAAAAUAAAACUUUUAGUUAUAUUAUCUUUGAGAAUGGGUUUACAAUUUUAAGUUUUGAUGGUAAAAUUGCAGGAAGAACUCGAGAAAUCCCUAGUUUCCAUAGCAGUGUUCCGUUGACUGUCGUGGUAUAGUUGGAUGGUGUUGGUGGUGUUGGUGUUUUUGGUCGUCGUGGUGGCACCGGUGGUGGCAUUGGUUGGUGGUGUUUGUGGUGGUGUCGGUAGUCAUGGUGUUUGUUUGUUUAUUGGCAUUGGUUGGUGGUGUUUGUGGUAAUGGCUGUUGGCGUGUCGGUAUUCGUGGUGUUUGUAAUGUAUUUCUUAAAAUCUAUGCAUACAUCAACAGUAAUGUAAUUUUUAUUUUUGUUUGUUUGUAGGUAAAACAUGUCUCCCAAAAGAAAAGAAAGUGAAAGUGGAUCAACGUCUGACUACUAAAAAAAAAGGCUACAGUACAAAGGGAUUUGGAGGAGCUUCCUGAACAAUCUCAUUCAGGAAAAAGUGAAGCUGAGGAGAGGUGUGAAAACAAAGUUGAGGGAGGUGGACAAGGGUCUGUAGAUGGUGAUGAAGAGAAUAAAAGUGAGAAAGAGAAAGAGGACCACAUUAUAUGACUUUCCUUAGGCUUUCAUGGUAAAAUUAAUCACUAAUUUUACUCAUCCAUUAAUUUAUAAUGAAUAUAAUUAUUAUGAUUUUUUUUUACUUGCUUCCUGUUUACACUUUUAGGCUUGGGCAUUUGAAGUUAUUCCUCCCCUCCGAAAGUAGUUAAUGGAUUACCCGGAUGAGGUUUCUCAUCCAAGGUUGUUUAGGUGGUUGGCUGCAAAGAGCAACACCAAUAUUAAGGAGGCUAAUCUCUUUAACCCUCCGGAUGAUGUAGUACGUCUUCUUCAAGUAAAAUAAUUCUACUUAAAGAUAAGAAAGAUAUUGAACAGAUGUUAUAUCUGGUGCAUGAGAUGUUAUAUCUAAUGUACCAGAUGGGAUAUCUAUUGCAAUGAGGUAUAUCUUGCAUCAUAUUACCCAUCUGUGGCUUUGGUUCUCUGAACCCGACUCCUAAAAAAUUAACCAUCUACUGCAAAUUAUGCAACAGAUGUUUAAUCUGAUAACAUAUCGUUUAUCUAUUGUAACAUACAGAUCAUCUAUUGCAUAACAGAUUACUCGUCUUGUGCAGCUGUUGCAACAAAUGAUUGAUAUUUUGCAUCAGAUUAUCCAUGUGUUGCUCUGUUUCUCUGAACAAGACUCAAACGAAUUUUAACCAUAUACUGCAAACUAUGCAACAGAUGGGUCUUUUUUUUUAAAAUGUAGCCCAACUGUGAAAAUUAUUAUAUUAUAUGAUUUAAAUGCAUCUGUCUUUUUUUUAUUUUUUAUAGGUUGUGCAUCCAUGGAUCGUGUCUACUGAGGAGGAGUCGGUGAUGACUUCUUAUAUUACUCUUGAUCAUGUUGAUACUAUUGUAGACCCAACGGUGGAGUUAAUAAAGAAGGAAUUGGCUGAAGUAACAGCCAUAAUAAGAGCAGUUAGGCAAGGUCAGCCUAAUGUUGAGGCUUUUCAUGACCAAUCUUUUACUAAGGCAUAUCCCGGUGCUUUUUCUGGUGGAGUUGUUGGUGUUGGUGGAAGGCAUGCUGAUGCUGCUAUCAAAGAAUAAAUAUGUUUGAAAACACCUCUUUUUUCCCUUACACGGGUCCCUUUCACCCCUCUUCACCCUCGUGUUCUCGUUACGAAUGUGAUGAGUGCAAGGACAGACAGGAUAAACUCUUUGAAAAAGUAGAGGCUAUCUCUAAGGAUAUCAAGGAAUUCAAAUCCAAAAUAUGUGUCAUACCAUCCAAGAAAGUGAGGGAGCCACACACUCCUACAACGUUGGUUAGGAAAAAGAAAAGAGCAAUUAGAGACGUACUCUCUGCUCAAAAAUCAAAAGAAAUUGCAAUUCCUCCCUCUCUAAAAUCUGUUGAAGUUCAGGGGCCAGUCAAGAAAGUGGACAUAUACGCGGAACUUGGCGCCGAAGAGAAGAGGGAUCUGCGACAGUCUAAGAAUGCCAUGUCAGGCGCACCAGAUUACCCCAGGCCUCCCUUUUCCCCCCAAGACUUCUAGACUAUGAUUGAUAUGCGUAUGCCGUAUGAGAAGAAGGCAAGUUUACUUUUUCUAACCUAGCCCUUCUAAUCUACCCCAUGAAGAAGAAGCUACGUAACAGAUUUCACAUCUGUUGCAACAGCUGGGUAUACUGGUGCAACUGGUUAUGGUUCUGUUACAACUUAUUAUCCAUCUGUUGCAUCAGUUGCGUUGAAUUAUUGAUUCAGAGAACCCUAUUCAAUAAAUGGAACAUCCGUUACAUCUUUACAAUUACUAACCUAUUUAAAAAUUGACUUCUUUAAAAAUUAACUUGUUAUCUCACAGCAUGUUGACAUAAUUCUCUACCUCAUGAGGAAAAGGCAAUUAACGUACCGGGAAGCUUAUGACGUUGCCGAUAGAAUUAUGGACCUCGACUUCUGUAAGAAGCUCAAGGAUAGGUACGAUCAACUCAAUGGAGAGGCGUCAGCCCUUGGUGUGAGAGUUGAUUUCCUAGUUCCUACGUUGGUCUUGGAUGAAGAAGAAACGUUAAGAUAUGUUAGAGGGAACAGGCCAAAUUCACACGGCAAGAGCUAGACCGAGGCAAAAAGGAUUCUUGCAGUCAUUAGCGUGAACGACAUGUAUUAUCGAGCUGUUGAGAUACUACUCGAGGGGGAAAGAUUAAUGUUUAUGAAUCCAAUGUACCUCUCAUCGACAAUUUCGAUCUUUUUCUCCUCGUGGAGCCACUGAUGGUGCUGUUGCCCAUCUUGUUGAGGGAGAGUAAACUGAUGAAUUAUUUGCCAAAGGAAGUGUUGAUAAAGAAAUCAUGGGAUUUUGAAGGUCGNNNNNNNNNNNNNNNNNNNNNNNNNNNNNNNNNNNNNNNNNNNNNNNNNNNNNNNNNNNNNNNNNNNNNNNNNNNNNNNNNNNNNNNNNNNNNNNNNNNNNNNNNNNNNNNNNNNNNNNNNNNNNNNNNNNNNNNNNCCUGCAAGAGGUCUGGGCUUAUGGGGUACUAACUGGACGCUUGAAGCCUAUGUAUAUAGAAGCGCCUGUGAAAUAGAAAUUUUUAAUUUCAAGUCACCUUUCACUUUAUUACAUGUACAUGUAGUGGCAAUAAUUUUUUUCUGAUAAAAGUUGAUUUUUUUAUAAUGCAGUAGAUUAGAUUGUUAAUCUGUUGCAGCAGUGGAAAGACCUGUUUGAAUAAUCUAAUAAUCUAAGUCUAAUCUAUUGCAACAGUGGGAAGACCUGUUUGAUAAUUUCUAUGAAUAAUCUAAUAAUCUAAGUCUAAUCUGUUGCAACAGUGGGAAGACCUCUUAAUAAUUUCCACAGAUAACCUAAAUUUUACAACAUAUGCCUAAAUCUUUUUGAUAUUUUCCAACAGUUACGCUUGAAUAUCCAUGUGCUCGUCGACAACAAACCAGUAUCAAAUACACACACCAUCAUGAAAAUUUCAACAAUUAGACUUCAAUAUCCAUGUGUCCAAUAACACAAAACCAGUAGCAAUAACGGCAACAAUGUAGUAUCGUCUUGCUCAAUUUUGUUUCUCUUCAGAAGUCUUGACUUUGUUUAGCAAACCCCAGAUUACAUGAUUUGCUUGUAAGGGUGUCAUUCUUCAUACCAAUCAAAGUAAUCACAUCCACCCAAUUUCUAUAAAAAAGAGAACACAAUUACAAAAUAAAAUUAUAAGUCAAUAAUUAAUCAAUUAAUUAAAUAAAAAAAUAUUACCUUUGAAAUCUUACAAGUAAAAAAUCUACGACCCAAAUUUUGUUGAGUCCAAGAAGUCUUUAACAGAGCUUCAUGACCGCACUUACAAUAUCAAAAAUCUUUAUCACAAAAAAUAAUAGAAGAUACACUCGACAUUGUCAAGGUCGUUAGAAAAAAUGAAAGUAAUAAUUUGAAGAAUUUGGAUAGAUAAAAGAAGAUGACGAUGAAGAAGAAGAUUUGGGAAUUUAGGGUUAAAUUUUAGGAGGAAGAUGAAUAUAUAAGACAAUGGGUGAAAAAAAUGACUGUUGGGGGCCAAGUGACGGCAAGUCAGCGAAAUGUGCCAGGACUGACACUAACACAUUUGAUGCCUAUUUUAUUUUACUUCUUUAAAAUGAAAAUGUCUACUUGAUGCCUAUUUUAUUUUAGGUGUUUGAACUGAACACCGUCGAUGGGUUGAGCCUUUUUUAUUUCAAUUCACUUUAACCUUUUUAAACGUAGUGAUAAUUUUUUAUGUCCAACAAAAGUUGAAUUUUUAUAAUGCAACAGAUUCUCCAUCCGUUGUAACAGUUAUCCUACCUGUUCUGACUUAUAGUUUAUCUAUUGCAAUAGGUUGGUCAUCUGUUGCAUUAUCUCGAUGUUUUUAUCUAAAGUCCAUCUGUUGUAAUAGUGGGAAGACAUGUUUGAUAAAUUCCAACAGAUAAUCUACCUGUUGCAAUAUAUAUAUAAAUCUGUUCGAAUAUUCCAGUAGAUGUGUCGUCUGUUGCAACAGAUAAAGUCCAUCUGUUGCAACAUAUGUUUAAAUCUAUUCUUUUUUUUCAAUAGAUGUGUCAUCUGUUGCAUUAUCUUGAUGUUUUUAUCUAAAGUCCAUUUGUUGCAACAUUGGGAAGACCUGUUUGAUAAAUUCUAACAGAUCACCUACCUGUUGUAACAUAUGUCUAAAUUUGUUUGAAAUUUCCAAUAGAUUUGUCGUCUGUUGCAAUAGAUAUAUUAUCUGUUGCAAUAUUGGAAUCUAUUAUUCCUUUUUACUUAGUAAGUUCAAAUCUAAGGAAUAAAUAAAAUUCGUAGACAAAAUAAAAUAAAUCGAAGCCUUCAUAAAUUAGCUGAAAUAAGUCAACAAAUAAAUGAAAUGUAAAAAAAUUGUUAUGGGUACAGAUCUCAAUAAAUACAUCAACAACAAUUUAAGUAUACUGCCAAGGAUUGCUUUGAUAGGCUCAAGAUAUAAAGAUCUACUCAGUAUGGACAAGUUGUUCUUCAUCCGGUGCUAUGGAAUUCGGCUUUACUUGUCGUGGAUCUUCAUUGUCGCUUGUGUACGGUUUCUGCGCUUUUUGUUCUCCGUAUUUUCAUGAAAAGAGUAGCAUAUUGUCAAUGUUGUUCAGCAGUAGCUUCUUCUACAUCCACCUGAAAAGCCAGAUUUGGUCAAUGCUAAUCACGAAGAUAUAAAAAAAGAAAAAAGGAUAACUCAUCUCUUCUAGCAAAUCAAAUAGGUCUUCCUCCAAUUUUAAAUUAUCUCAAACAUAUUAUAUUUCUGUUGCAAUAAUGAAUCAAGUGUUAGGAUAAAUUUUUACAUGAGGAAGAUUUUAUGUGAUAGUUUCCAACGGAUGAACUAUCCGUUGCAACAUAUGAAUCAUCUGUUGCAGCAGAUAGGUCAUCUGUUGGUACAAUAAAAGCUGUACGUAGAGCUGUUUGAUUUGCUAAAAUAGAUGAGACAUAUGUUGCACCAGAUAAAGUAUUUGGUGCAACAGGUUAGUCAAUUAUUGCAACAAAUGUAUAUAUCUAUGUGAUAAUUUUCAGCAGAUGUGUCAUUUGUUGAAACAGAUAUGUGUCUGUUUGUUUUUUUAGUUGGAAGACAUAUAAUAUAUUCACCUUUUUCAGCUCGUGCUUGUCAUGCCCCAAAAUCCCAUCGGGCCGGACUGGCACCCGAAGCAGAGAAGGCGCAGGAGAACCCGGGAGAACCCGUUCAAAUACCUGUACUUUCACUUACAUGUCACCAAAACUUUGGACAACACUUUGUUGCAUAUAGAAGGGUCUAAUUACCUGUAUCAGCACAACACACACAAAUAUAUAUAUAUAAUACUUGGCCGUCGGGGCCACCACAUAUACAAAUAUAACAUCACUCUAUAAACUUCCAUGACUUUACCCUUCCUUAUGUCUACAAAGCCUCUAGGAUAUACAUGACAUAACUAGGGUCGGGACAAACCCCCGCCCACACAUGACUCCUGUACAAUAACAAAACAUAAGGGACCGACUCGGCAAGCUCCGAAGCAAAUUGGAGCUCACCAACAAUAGCUGUAUGACCUGGCUCCUAUUUAUGUUGUGAAUGAGCUGAAGCACCUGUGCCUGCAGCAUGAAAUGUAGGUCCCCCGUGAGGGACGUCAGUACGAAAUAUGUACUGAGUAUGUAAAGCUGUAAAUAAUCAUAUGUGAUAUGGGGGAUCAAGAAAAUCAGACGCAAGUGAAUAAAUCAUAAUAGAAGUGAACCACACUUCAUAAACACUUUUAGGAUCAUGUACAUUAUCAUUAAUCUGAAUUGGGUUCUUGAAUUCAAACACAUUUGUGGAACGGUAUACAUUCGUUCAUUUUAUUCUUUACAAUUAUCAUUCGCCAUUACCUCCUCCUCCCGAACCUCCAACCACCUAACAAUAAUCAAUACUGUACCGUACUGUGACCAUUAGGCUGCCCCCAGUACAUAUCAACUGUAAUCAUAUCAAAUAUCGGGAUCGGCCCAUGCUAGGCUUAAGCCCCUGAGCUACCACCCACACGUAUAUCAAGUAACACACAUAAGAGAUCUUUCCAAUAACUUAGUUCAAAAGCUUUUGAGAUUAUUACAUUAGUGUUCAUGCCAAUAUAGUACCUUUGGAAUAAUGAUACAUCAAUAGGAACCAAGUAAUAGACUUUCUAUACAAUAACGAUGUAAUAAAGACUCAUUGGUACAUCAACAAUGUGUUUCGGAAUCAUCAAUAUCACAACAAUGAAAUAGGAGCCUUUCGGUAUAUCAAUGAAACAUUUUGACACUUUAUAGAAUGGAAACAACUUCGUUGGUAAUGUAGAACAAUACAUGUUUUUGGACAACCUCGGAAUCUUACUUGAUGGAACAUUGGUGUUUUCAUGCCAAAGAACAUCGUUAGAGUAUGCUUUACAUACCUCGUUGUAGAUUCGGAUACCAAUUCAACACAACUUUCUGCCUUUACAAAUCACUUAUCUACAAUGACAUGUUUGGCAUCUAGUAUUAGCAACCCAACACCACAAUUCUCUUCCAUAAUUUCAUACAACCAAUAUUUGCAAAGCAUUCCAAAAACCAACUUGAACAAUCGGUUUAUGUGUGUAUAUAUAUAUAAUCAUCAUUUCAAUACCACAUCAUCACACCAAAUCCCUUCACAAUUCAACAUAAUCCAACUAUGCACAGGAAUAAUCCAACAUCAUUUCCAAUCAUCUUUCAACAACAAUCAAAUAACAUACUUCUUAUGCUCACAUGCAUAUAUAUAUACAUAUCCAUAUAAAUAACACCAACAUAAUUUACAUCCUUACCAUAAAAUGGACCUUUUGAUUUCGUCUUUUGAUUUCGAAGUCCUGUUGGCACAAAUAAGGGGUGCUUCUCGAAGCCCUCGAGACGGUGAACACAACUACGGAAUCAAUUUGGAUUUUCUACGGUUGAAUCACAAGAUAAUUGGAGUUGAACUUAGGCUAGGGUUUCUUAUUCUUCAAUAAUUUGGAUGAUAAAUGAUGGAUAUGAGGCUAAGUAUAUGUAUAUAAUGACCAAUUUUCGUCCAUGAGGUGAUGGAAAAUGACCAUAUUGCCCUUAAAAUUUAAGUAUAUCCGAAUCUAUCCAUGGUGGACUAUUUUGCUAGGCUAAAGUAAAUCGACCAUAACUCUUUGCCCCGAUAAUGAAUUUGGGUGAAACUAAUUGCAUUAGAAAGACGACUCUCAGGGCUUCUCAUCGAUAUAUAGCAGCUCACACAGUUCAUUUUUUACAAGGAGUUAUGAUCGUUUAAAGUCGACCCAAAAAUCUGUUUGGCUGCAGUACUUUUGUGUGCAGAAAAUUUUUGCACAUUUACUGUUCAUUGCGUCCACCGUUUUCAAGUUUCGAACAUGCUCGCUUAUAUCCGAUACUCAUCUGUUUUCAGAAAUCUUUAUAUCGUUGGAAAGCUAACUCGAUAAAUUUCGCAUAGGAACUUCGACAAGCAAAUUCCGGUAUAAAUAAAGUCGAUUCUUAUACACAUAUAAUCAAACUAUACACUUGAAACCAUCUCAAAAUUAUCAAUACUCAUACUUAAACUCGUAUAUACCUAACUUAUGAUCAAUACAUAUACUCCAACACAUAUAACCAUGGCUAAUGCACGUAAUUAAGUACGGGGUAUUACAGUGUUGCUCUUCUUUGGACAUUGUACAUUGCUCAGUGCAAUACACAGAUAGAGGAGUUGUAAUUUUGCUUUUUUGGAUGCUCGAUAAUGCCUUGAAAAUCACUCUCCUUCUGCUCUUAGCCCUAAUCUCUAAUGGAGCGGAUGGAAAUAAAAUCCUCUUUGAUGGAAUGAGACCCCUCUUAGAUGUUAAUUCCUUUAUAGAAGCAGUUAACGCAUUAAUAGCAUUAAUCACUACAUCAUUUUCGCCCUGCAGUCUUCACAUUUGCAUGCAAAACAUUCGCUGGGAGAGGAAAAAUCUGUAUAACCUGUAUGAUCAUACUCAUAAUGAUUUGAUUUAAAUACUGUAAGAGGAGCGUCAUUAGCACCAACAAUAGCACCACUACCACCACUAACAGCUCCAUCAACAACAAUAAGCCCACCCUCCAAAAUUACCAUCAACAACAAUAAGCCCACCCUCCAAAAUUAUUUUUCUUAUAAUGGUUGCUGCUCCAAAUAAUUUUAUUUUUAUUCCGUCGAUGACCUUAGGGUUCGAUAAAGUUUGCACAGACCGUAAAGUAAGAAAAAAUGGCAUCUUCAACUCUCGAUUGGUCAGAACUAGCGACGGAUGCACAUUCUAACAUAAAUCAUUACAUAUAUUAGAAUCAUGAUUAGAUCAUUCAAAAAAAACAUUAAUUAAAAGAAAAAAUUAAUUAUAAUUAUACUUACUGCAUCCUUCGGGGAUUGAAGAGAUCAAUAAAUUUUGUAUUUUUAUAAGUUUUGGCCGACAACUAUCUCAAGAUUCUUGGACAGGAAACUCCUUCCUGGUAGUUCACUUGUUGUCUCAAAUAAGGAAUAACUUCAAAUGCCUAAGCCUAUAAAAUAACGCCAAUAAAUCAAAACCAUUAUUGAGCGAAAAAAUGAAUGAUAUCAUAAUCGAAUAAAGAAACAUUUACCAUGAAAGCCCAUAGGAAGCCAUAUAGGUUGACUUUCUUUGGCGCUAAUGGAGUCAACAAAUAUUUGACAGUCAUUUUGAAGCUUUCAUACCCCCAUGGAUAGCUGUUAAACACCUCAAGAUCCUCGGAGAGCUUUAUUAAACUGAGGCUUAUGUUGUUGUUAACGUCUCUCGCCCAAAGAAUAUUAUGUACAAACCAAACCAAGCACAAUGACUGCUUGUGCUUCUUUGAAAGUCCUUUACCUUUCAAUGCUUCUAUCAAAUUUUUUAUUUUUGAAGCUUGGACCAACAAUGGACACCUGGUCAUCAUGAUCACACGAAUUGUCUUUGCCCUUUUUAGGUAUGUGGGGUGCUUUUUUGGGGUUAGAAUAGGUAUAACUUGAGAAGGAGGAUAACAUUUUAGUCCAGUAACUAUGGCAAACUCCUUCCAACCAAAACAAACAGGCAUGCCACAGUAAUUUAUACACAUCUCAUCCAUCUUAUCUUUGUUUUCAUACAUAAACCUACGCUUGAGAAAUUCAUAUACCAUUUUCAUUUGAAAACGAGCAUUAUUGUCCUCCGGUAAAUCAAGAUAUUUCCCAAAGCAGCUGUCUCUGAAAUAAGCAUCCAAUUUUUAUUCUCAAAGUAUUUUUCUGAAGGCGUCGAAAGAUUAUUCCAUGGAUGACUUAACCACGAAAUCACUUAUAUUCUGCUCCCGAUUGAGAUAACGCUUGUAAAGCAAGCUCAUAGAGUGGUGGAUGUAGCCUAGCUGCUUCACUUGUUCCUUUACUUGGACUUGAUUCGGUUUCUGUUCUUUUGGAAACCAUAUUAUCUAAAAUUAACAGAAACAUAAAAUAAUAUAUUAUUAUUGAUUAAUGCAUCAUUAAAAAGGGAUAACAGUAAAACAAACAAGCAAAAUAAUAAAAUAAUAGUUGCAACAGAUCGGUCUGUUGCAUCAGGUAGUAUAUCUAUUGCAGCAUAUAACCAAACUGAUGUAGUAGAUGAGUAAUCUGUUGCAACAAUACAAACAUACCACUCAUCUUUUAAGAUAAAUGAAUGGUCUGUUCAACAGAUCACACAACUGUUGUGACAUCAUCUGUUGCAACAUAUGAGUGAUCUAUUGGAACAGUUAAAUAAUCCAUUGCAACAGCUGAGUAAUUUAUUGCGACAAUAGAAAAUAUAUCACUAAUCUGUUGAGAAAGAUGAAUGCUUUGUGCAACGGGUCACAUAUCUGUUGCAACACAUAAGUGAUCUAUUGGAACAGUUAUCAACAAUCAAUUUUGUUUAGAUUUUUUCUAACAUAGGAUCGUCUAUCGCGGCAGAUGAAUGAUCAGUUUGAAAAAUCAAGUCUUGGACUUUUCCUGUAGGAAGAGUUGGUAGGAUUUUAUCCAACAGGAGGUUCAUCUGUUGCAUCAGAUCAUUAAUCUGAUGGUUAUUCCAUUGCACCAGAUGGUUAAUUAGUUGCAUCAGAUUUUUUAUCCGAAGCUUAAUCUGUUGCAACAUAUGGUAAAGCUGUUGCAUCAGAUUAUUAAUCUGUUGCAUCAGAAAUGUAAUCUGAUGGUUCCUCUGGUGCAUUAGAUGGUUGAUCUGUUGCAUCAUAUGAUGAAUCUAUUUCAUCAGAUGGUUAAUAUAUUGCACCAGAUGGGUAAUCUAUUGGAGAAAAUAGUAGCACGAUUUUGUUAAACAAAAAACAGUAAUUUCACCAUUUUUACCAAGAACAAGAACAAGAACAGAACAAAUCAAACCAAAUUGUCCUUUUGUUUUUAUAAACACAAACAAUAAAAAUCAAAUUUCAAAAAAAUGCAACAAAUAACAAAAUAUCAUAAUUCACUUUAAAAGAGAAGAGAAGAGAAGAAAUACUAGAAAUUAGGGUUUUAUUCAGACCGCAUUUCAAAUUAGUGCAACAAAUAUUGAAAUUGUUAACCAAUACUAUAAGAGAAGUUGGCUCAAGUUCCUCGUUUUCUUCAAAACUAAAAAGGCCAUAAAUUUUUACCUGUGAAAGAAGAAAAGGANNNNNNNNNNNNNNNNNNNNNNNNNNNNNNNNNNNNNNNNNNNNNNNNNNNNNNNNNNNNNNNNNNNNNNNNNNNNNNNNNNNNNNNNNNNNNNNNNNNNNNNNNNNNNNNNNNNNNNNNNNNNNNNNNNNNNNNNNNNNNNNNNNAGAACAGUUGGUUGGGAGAGAGUUGAGAGAAGCUGUCGAGAAAGGGAUGAGAGACAGGUUGAUUGAAUUGAAGAGGGGAACUCGAAGCCCAACUAUUUGUCGUCAGGGGUUGAAUGGAGAAUUUUUGCAGAACUGUUGGUUGGGAGAGAGUUGAGAGAAGUUGUCGAGUGAGAGGAGAGAGUGGUUGAUUUGGAUUGAAGAGGGUGUGGGUUGGGUUGAUUUGUAUUUUUUGAAAAGAUUAGAAAGUUUUGAAAAUAUUAAUCAAGUUCACAAUUAACUUGAUCAAGUUUCCUAAUAAUGUUUGACCCUAUCUGUUGGUCAAUGUCAUCAAUCCUUCAUUCAAGACUUAAAAGACACCUAUUCUUCAAUUUUAUCAUAAAUUUUUAUUCCUUAUAUAUGUCCUUUUUAUUAUUAUUUUUUCACAAUUCUUAAAAUGUCUAAAUUUGUUAAUAAUAUUUUGAAUAUCAUUUAUUUACUCUUAAAUUAAACUCUAAUAUGUUUGUUAUUUUUAAUUAAUAUCUUACUAACUUAUCCCAUGCUUAAUUUUUAUAUAUAUAUAUUUUUUUAAUCAAAAAAUGAAAUGUUGAUUAAAUAUUAUUAAACAAUUCAUUAAAUUUCACAAUUACCUCAUCACUAUAUGAAGUCUCAACGGUUAAUUAUUUUUUGUAAAAAUUCAUAUUCAAUAUGUGUGUAUUUAGUAGUGUGAAACGGUAAAUUUGCAUGAACAUGUUACAUCAUAUAUAUAUAUAUAUAAUUAAUCUAUACAAACACAUUCAAAGAGUUUUAGAUAGAAUUCAAACACACAUACAAAUAUUAUAAUAUGUCACAAAAAUUAUAAUAUGUCAAUAAAAAUAGUUUUAUCUUGAUAAAUGAAUAAGUUAUAUGUCAAUUACUAAAUAAUUCGAUCUUAAUUUUUGAAUAUAUAUCGAACAUUGCUAUGAUUAUAAGGAAAGACAAAACAAAUCAAAUCAAUUAAAUAGAUUAUUUUCAGUUUGCAUAUUUUUCCUAUCAUAAUUUUAAAAUGCUUAUUUCAAAAUCAAAUACUUAUAUUUUCCAAAUAUAUUCUCUUUUUAUAUAGACUAAAUAAAUUAAAUAAUAAUUUUAAAAAAAGUAUAGCUUUUUACAUUCAUAGUAUUACUAAGAAGUAUCACUAUUAUUCUUUUUGUUAUUUUGGGUAAAAUGGGCUAUUAUUCAUUUCGUUUGAAAUCAAACUGUACUCUGAAACAAAAACAUCGAAGGUUGCAGCACAAUACACCAUAAGUGCUACUAAAGAGGGGAAAGAAGCAUAUGUAAAUACAAUGGCAUAUAUAUUCAAUAUGACAUCUAGCAAGUACCAACUGGAAUGCUAGAAACUUUGAAAGGCAAUUUGGAAUCGGAAGUUAGAUUGAUUUUGAAUAAAACUUUUCCUCCUCCGCCGGUGGACACCAUUUUUGUAUGAGAACGCAACAUCACUACUGUUCUUGAUGCUAGUGUUACUGCAAAAAAUAUCAAUGAAAAAAUUUUAAAAUUUAAAUUUAUGAGUAAAAUAAUAAAUUUCUUGAAAAAAAUAAGCAUCAAGAACAAAUAUACCACAUCAGACUCAUAAGAAAAAUCUCACAACCAAUAAUUAAAAUUAGAGAAAAAUUGAUAGGAUAAUUAAUACAACUUACUCCUUUGUAUUUAUUUUUAUCAAAAAUUAAAUGGACAAAAUCAUAAUAGAGAAUACUACUUACUUGAAUUCAAGCUAGAUAAACAGAUUAGAAUGUAAUAUCACCAUCAUUCAUCUUGAUAUAAAAAGUGAAAUUGUUAAAAAAAAAAAAAAACUAAAAAUUAUAGAAUAUGAAGAAUGCACUAAAUAAACUAAUGAUGAAUAAUAAAUAAUAAAAUAAAAAAAAAAAAAAGCCUAGCAUUAUAAAUAAUUUUAAAAGUAUAUAUAGGAGAAGUUAAGUAGUAGAACUUCAUUCCAAUUCAAACUUCAUUUGAAUUUAAAUUCAAAUGACUUAACUCAUUAGGAUAUUGCUUUGGAUAAAUAUAGAUUUUAAAUGGUAAAAAGCAAAAACCCAAAGAGAAUUUUCUGCCAUAAAAAUAUGCUAUAAAAAGGAUUUACAACCACACAACUGAUUUUUAAUUUAAAAUUAAUUAUAAUCUUUGUCAAUGGAGUAAUUGGUGGCAUUUUUAGUUUAUAUUUAAAUUUAACCACUACUGCUUCUACUACGUAAGAAGUAGUUAUUGUUUAUUUAUUUAUUUAUUUAUUUUUAAUUAUUAUUACUACUAUGUAUUGUCACUAUUAUUAUUAUUAUUAUUAUUAUUUAUUUAUUUAUUUAUUUAAUUGUUAUUAUUAUUGUUACACAUACUACACUCAAUUUCCACUACUUUUACUGCUAUUAGUUAUUAUUGGUAUUAUUAUUAUAUUUUUAUACCAUUUGUUUGAAUUUUUAAAGAGAUAAGUACAUGAAAAAGUAAAGGUCCAUUUAAAACUCUUUAACCAUGAGUUUCUAUUUUUAAGUUAAUGAAAAUCUUUUUUCUAAUAGAGCAUAAUAUAUUUUCAAAUUCAAAUAUUUAUAUCUUUUAACUCAUUAUUAUUACGAUAUUAUUAAGUUUUGUCAUAAAAACUGUCACGUAACUCCUUAAUAGCUUGUUUAUUAAAAGAGAAUGGUGUUUCGUCUUUUACUUUAUAAUAUAUAUAGAUUUCCCCACACUUAAUAUCUUUUUCUUAUCCCUCAAUAAAGGAAGAAAUACCACUAUUUAUAGGUGGGAAAUUCAUCCUUAUAUUACAAGAUAUAAUGAUAGAUAAUAAACAAAUAAAGUAUUAAAAAUUAUAAGAGUUAUCAAAAUAUAAUAACUCCACUUUAUAUCCAUCAAUUAUCAUGCAAAUUAAGAUUUUAAUUUUAAUAUUAAAAUACAUAAUACCACCAACAUAAAGUUAUACUUUUGCAUGCAAUCAGACAUGCAUGUCCGUGCAAAAGGGAAUGAGAUUUACAAAUUGUUUUUGAGAAAUGCAAAUUACAAAUCAUGUUUGAGCAAUAUUAAUGUGAUAGAUAAAUAGUAUUUGAAGAAUGCAUGUAUUUCUUAAUCGUGCUGGAGGAAUACACUAGCCUAUAUUCUUACAUUGCCACUAUAUUCGAGGAACUCAAAUUAUAUUCGAUAAUUUUAUUGAAAUGAUUUAAAGACAGUCUACUUCACUAUACAUUAAGCCACAUUUAUACAUGUAAAUUUCAUUAUGCCACUGCAUGUGAAAGCCUCUUAAUUACUUAAAAGAGCAAAGGCUAAAACCUUUUGGAAAAGACUUCUUUUUCUAGGCAAAUAUGUUCAGUUUUAUUUAAGCAUAAAUCAAAUUUAAAACUCAAAUAAAACAAAAUUUCUAAAAUUGGAGAGGGACUUAAAAGCAAAUUAAUAUAAAGGACAUAUGAUUUUUACCCUUUUUUUCCUAAGAAAACCUUUAAUUUGUUCUUUUUAAAUUUCUACACUUUCGUUACUUAACUUUUUACACAACAUAAAUUAUUGUCAAACUCAUAUAUUGGAAAUUUAAAAUAUAUGAUUUUUAAAAAUUUGUUAAUUUGGUUACAAUAUAUAAUUUUUUUGUUGAUUUAUUAAUGGUGACGAUGAUGAAGGGAAAAAAAAAAAAUGAAGGGGAGGGGUAAAACGAGUCGGGGCAUAACAUGCCACCUGACAUUCAUCUUAUUAAAAUGUCAGUGCUAUAUAACAUUCGAUGUCCACUUUGGUCAAUUUUAAUAGAUCAGGAGGGGUAUGUUUGAACUAUUUAAGUAACCAUAAGGAUAUUUUCGUACAAGUAAAAAUAAUAACGGAUAAAUUUGACCUAUUUUCAAUAAUUCAAAAAUAUUUUUGACUUUUUUCCCUUAACAAAAUGUAAUUUGGGUUAAUUAUUUGAGUUUGAUUGAAUAUUAAAAUCCUAAUUAUCUCACUCAAUUGGUCAGAUUGUGUUGGUCAAAGUAGGAGUGAGCUUUGUCUCAAUGUUGCAACUUUUCACGAUUUAAAGGUGAAUUAUAAAAGUUGGGAUUUAUCUACACUUAUUAUACUUAACCACAUGAUAAUUCCUCCUUAAUUAUCCUAAAAAAAUUUAGUUAAAAAUAAUUUUUUGAUUUUUGACCGAAUGAAAAUACAUGUCACCCGAUCUAUUAAUUUAGGAUAAACAUUCUGUACACAUAAGUUAUUACCACGUGUAUCAUGGAUUAUGAGAUAGUUAAUAAUUCAUUAAAUUUACAUGAAUAUUUCAAAUUAGUGGAAAAAUUCAUUUAAUUUGUUAAGAUCUGUUAUCAAAUGAAAUUAAAAUCAGUCAACAUUCUUGGGAAUUAAAACAAAAUAACAAGACCAAACAAUGCCCUAUAAUUAUUGGCCUGUCUACAACCUUUGUUCUUCACUUCCAUCACAACUACUACAUUUUCAUUAAGAUCUUAUUUUCUUUUAUAUAUAGAUCCCUGAAAUAUUUUCUCCCUUCAAGUUAUUUAUUACUAUAAUUAUUUUUAAAAACCUAAGUAGAGACUACAAUGUCUAAACGUGCUCGAGUUAACCGCAACGAUAGCUUUGAUCAGCCCAAUUACCCUAACCAAAAUUCGUCUUUUAAGCCUUCUUCUUAUUUUACCAACAAUGCUACUGCUACUGCUACUACUGCUAGUGCUGCUACGUCACACCCGCGAUCUUUUCUUCGUUUGGAAUGACUAGUAAUGUUGGUGGUAUUCCAAAUGAGUGCUUCUUCUGCAAGAAGAACUUCAAAAAAGAAAAUCACACCUAUAUGUAUAGGUAUAUUUUUUUUAUUUUUUUAUUUUUUCUUUACAUAUAUCGCAUUGGAUUGAUCGCUUCUCUAGCUUCAAUUUCUAUUGCUUUAUGCAGCGAUGGAUUCAGAAUUUUAAUCAACAUAUAUACAUACGUAAAGUACUACUCCAGUUUGUUCCCUAUGUGGUGCUAAUUGGAGAAUCAACUUUUUAAAUUACUAUCACACUGUCACAUAAAUUAAAACAGACGUAACAUAUAAUUGAAAUCGAAGAUUAUGUCUUUCAUGGUUUGAUUGCACACAGGUCCCUUGCAUUCUGCACAGAGGAGUGCCGUGAAGUUCAGAUUUCUUUUGAUGACAAUAUGAUGAAGGCAAGAAUGGAGGCUGCAAACAAAAAGGGGUACAAUUAAUUGAUUACUAGCUCAUGUGAAGAAGGAGUAACAUAUUAUAUAAUUAAAUAUAUAUAGGGGUCAUGAGUUUGUGAUAGGAGUAAUAUAUUAUAUAAAUAUAUAUAUAUAUAUAUAAAAUAUAUAUAGGGGUCAUGAGUUUGUGAUAAGCUAAUUGUACUUUAUGUACUAUGGCUUAUAGGUUUUAUAUCAUAUCUAAAAGACUCAUCUAAAAACAAGUAUUUAUAGUUGAAAUUAACGGGUCUAUCCUGUAUUAUUAAUAUUUUGUUGGUUUACAAAAUCAUACUAUAGGUCAUCAAUUGUGCUGUAACAUUUGAACGCCUUUGUAUGAGAAUGAAUCUAUGUUAUUUUACAGUUUGGAAAAAUUUUAUUGUGGCAUACUAUAUUUUGUUUUAUAGCUUGUGAGAUAUUAUGAUAUGAAAAUAUAAAUUUAUGCCUUGCGAAAAGUUAUUUCUUAUUUGUUACUUAACGUGUUAAAAGGCAAAAAUGAAUGAUAAUAGAGGUACACCGUGAUGCUCAACGACGAGACAAUGCAAGAAUAUAUAUACCGAUUUCACUAUGCUAAGGGAAAUAAAGGAACUCUUCAAAAGCUCAUUGAUAUAUAAUAGUAACACCAAAUAACCCUCAAGUAGGAAUUAAAUUAUCCUAUAGUUAUUAACUCAACAAAAGAACCAAGUGGUGCACAACAAUAAUCAGUUGAGACCAAGUAAUCUAAUCGUCGAGACGUACACAAGCUGAAAUUAGACAUAAAUUUAGGUUGUGGCUAAAUUGUUAUAGACAACGUAUGAUUGCAAUUCUUGAAACCAAGAUGAAGGACCAUCAAUUACUACUAGGUGAUUUAUUUUUUUUGGUUUCCAUUCGGUGUCCGCAUUGGAGCCCCGACUAAUUCGGAUUGCGCGUUGCAAGGCCCAUUAAGGUGGCAACGCUCCCAAAAGAGUUUUCUCCAUACCCAAGAUCGAACCCUUGACCUCUAAUUAAGGGUGGAGCAGCCUCAUCCACUGCACCACUACCCAUGUUGGUACUAGGCGAUUAUUAAUAUGGUUCAAGUUCAAUAAUGAUUUUUGGCUUUUGAGAUGUAUUUAUGCUAGUACUUACCGCAAUAUACAUAUUGAAAGCAGAUGCAACUUAGUUCUCUUAUGUAUAUUACAACAAAUUAAAAAAAAAAAAAAGAAGAAGCUAUAUUAAUAUCAUUAGAUUUGAUAAUCCAUUAUAAGUUAAUUUAAUAUUGUUGAUUGCAGAAAGCUAUAAGUGACAUUUCAACACAAUAAAUUAUAGUCUAUAUAUAAUUAAUGACUUUGCGUACUCGAUAGUUCUAUUAUUUGUUCGGGAAGGGGUAGAAGCAAGACAAAUUAGGAAUUACUUUCAUUAUAAAGUAUACUAAGGAUGUUCAUUUAGACUCAUGAAACUAUAAUAACAAUUAAUAUUAUGCCAUAUAUAACAUACAAAAACAUGAAGGAUUUUAAUUGCUAAAAUCAAAUAAUUGUACUUUUAGCUACUUGAGCCAUUGAAAGGAUCAAAGAUUAGUUUGACAUAUAGUGCACAUUGUAACCCUUUAUAGAUUAAAAAUUAUGCUCGUUUAAAGUGUUAAAUUGAAUUCCAAUUUUUUUCCAAAAGCGCAACAUAUUAUGAUACAAAAAUACAAACUUAUGCCUCGCAAAAAGAUAUUUAUUAUUUUUUACUUAAAGUGGUUAAGGGCAAAAUUAAAGACUAUAGAUUUGAGGGGCAAAAAUAAACCACCCAAAAACUGAGAUAUUUGUGUGCAUGACCUGUCUAUUGACAGGGGCCUUGCCGGCCUAGAACUUAUUUUUAAGCCGAGAUAUACUUGUUUGUUUUCUUGAUUGGUGGCUGGUAUUACAAUAACGUAGUUGUCCUUGUGGCACCUACUGUCAGUUAUGUCCCUAUAAGUUGGGGCGCGACAAAUUGGGACUUGAGCUCAUAUGGUUUAGGUAUGUAAUUGACAAUUUCAACAUAAGUUUUGGUGCGUUUCUAUGUUUUAUCCUUAAAUCAUUUGAUAAAAAAGGCAACUCGGUGCACUAAAGCACCCGCUAUGUGCAAAGUUCAUGAAAGGGUCGGAUUAACAGAUUCUAUGGUUUGCAGGCUUACGAUAUGCUUCUACUAAAGACUGUUUCUACGACUUGAACCCAUGACCUCUUAGUCAUAUAGUUAUAACUUAACUAUGGUUAGGUAAUAGUACUGUACGUAAUAAGUACAUUUGGUGCUAAAUCUGGUACUGCAUUUACCCACAUACCAGGAUGGUUAGUAAUUGAUUAAAUUGCCAUGAUCUUUCAAUUUAGGAAAAGAAUUCACAUCAUCUUAUGUGCGUAAUCAGAUAUAUAUUUGAAAAUUAACCAAACUUGAUUUCAGUCAACAUUUUUUGGACUGAAAGCAAAAGAUCAAGACCAUACAUUAGCUUAUAAAUAUUGGCCUGUCUACAACCUUUAAUCUUCACUUCCAACAGUACUUCUAAAUUUUAUUUUUGAACAAACCUCAAUACUAUAAUGUCCAAACGUUCUCGAGUUAACCGUAAUGAUAGUUUUGACCAACCCAAAAACCCUAGCAAAAAUUCUUCUACAGAUAAUUCAAACAAGUUUUUUAAGCCUUCUUCUUCUUCUCAUUUUAAUAAUUAUAAUAAUAAUAAUAAUGUUGUUGUUGCUUCUAAUAAUAAUAAUAAUAAUGUUGUUGUUGCCGCUACUGCAGCGGCGGCUAGUUCUUCUUCUAUUGGAGUGACUAGUUAUAUUAGUGAUUUUCUCAAAGAGUGUUUCUAUUGCAAGUCCAUUCUCAAAAUGGAAAAUGAUAUUUAUAUGUACAAGUAUUAUUUUUUUUUUCUGAAAAUUCCUUUUAUUAUGUUUUUUUGUGAUUUUUUUUUUAUAUAGAUCGAAUUGGAUUGAUCCACACAUCUUUCUUGAAUUUACAUGUUUUAUGUGGUGGUGGAUUCAAAAUUUUAAUCAACAUAUAUACAUACAUAAAGUACCCCUAUGUGGUACUAUUUUAAAUUCUUAACGAUUGUGAGUUAUAUGAUUUCUAUUUAGAUAUAAUUUCAAAAAAUUGAAGAUCUAUCUAGACUUUUUCGGGAUUACAUAUAAAACUAAGUGGAUUAAUGUAACACAACGAAUACUAUCAGACCGUGGCAUAAAUUAAAAUGGACGUAACAUAUAAUCGAAAUUUAAAAUUCUGUCAAAACCUUAUGCAUCUCACUUGUCAUUAUUCAUUUUUUUUAAUUUAAUUUCCUUUUUUAGACUUAGUUGAUAGAUUUUUAAUAUGUUUAUUAAUUUUGAUGCUUUGAUUGAAAACAGUUCACAUCCAUUAUGCACAAAGGAUUGUGCCGUGAAACUGUGAAAGUCAAAUGGAUUUUGAUGAAGAUUUGAUGAUGAUGGAAGAGCUAGAAAUGGAUUCUGAUGAAAAUUUGAUGAUGGAGAAAUUAGAAACAUCAGGCAAAAAAAAUUGAGAGAAAUGAUUAAUUACUAGCUUAUGAUGAAGGAGUAGUGAUAUUUAUAUAUAUGCAAUAUUAUAUUAUUGGCUAUUAGUUUUUGUAAUAAGUUCAUUGUGUACUUUAUGUACCAUGACUUAUAAGUUAUAUGCAUAUAAAAUUUGAAUAUCGUGAUAUAAGAAUUUUCUUGUUUUUUUUUUUUUAUAAUUAGGUAAAAUUUUAUCUAUUUUUAUCUCUCGUGUUAAUAUCUUUUAAAUUUUUACUACUACUACUACUCCUAUAUUGUAAGAUCGAUUGAGUAGCUGGUAAAAUUCACGUCUUCCUUUUAAUUAAGUUCAAGUACAUGAAAAUCAAGAAAGUAAACUAGUAAUAAUCAUAUGUUAUGGCUUAUGACCAAAGGUGUGUUGAUAUGGUAAAAGGGUCAUAUUUUAUGGAGAGGGGUAAAAAACCCGCAUGGUAAGUUUUCUACAUUGCGAAUCUAGAUUAUUCUGAACGUACAGUAGAUUUCAGACACCAAAUAUUUGGAGGUGAAAAGUACGAUUAAAUUUGUUUAGAUUUAAUAUGUAUAGAUUAAUUGAACAUAGUAAUGAAUAAGAUAUGAUGAUACAUUAUUUUUUAAAAAGAUUCUCUCUAAUUACUUGUACAAGAGAUAAGAAAAAUUUCGAGAAUAAUUUUAGACUGAGCUUAUUCUAUGUUUAAUUGAAACAAAAUAAAUAGAAUAACACAUUACAGGAUUACAGUGUCAUAUUUUUAUCUCAUCUCAAGGUGAGAUAACUAAAUCCAGAAUAAUUCAUCCCGUUAUAACUUGUUACAACCAAAAAAUCCCUUUGUUCAUAGUUUAGUAAGGUUACUGAACUAGUCAACUUUAUUUUAUGGUAUCAAGCAUCUAAGAGCAACUUUCCCAGUCAAAAUAAGUUGUAGUAAAUACUACUUACCAUAUUUUGCUAGACUUUUAUAUUUCUUUGUAAUAUUUAUAUUUAAUAAUAGAAUGCCCGAUUAAUUACCUUAAAAGAUGUAAAAUAAUUCUAAUACUCAACUAUAUUAUCCAUAUCAUAAAGCUCUUAUAUAAAGAACGAGUAUAUACUUUCUUGCAAAUAUAUUCAUGCUCGAUCAUAUAUACAUCCUUAAUAUGAAUUAAUGGAUGAGCUAUACACAUAUAGUAAUUAGGAUUUAAGGGUGCAUUUGUUUUUUUAAGAUUAAGCUGUCUGAAUGAAUAUCUGAAUAAUUAAGAUGUUGUAUUAAUAGGGCCUAAGUCAUAUAAUGGUGAUAGAUAUAAUCAGCCUAAUUACCUUCACAAGAUUUCGUCAACAAUUAAUUCAAACAAGUUAACAUAUUGAUCACUUAUGUUGUUUUAAGCUAUUUCUUUAUAUAUGCAUUAGUGGAUUUAGAAUUUUUGUUAAUGUAACACCACUAUAUAUAUAACACCAUCACAUAAAUUAAAAACGGACCUGACAUGACGUAUAAUUGAAACCUAAGAUUUUGUCAAACUCGUACACAUCUCAUGACUUGUCAUUAGUUUUUCAAUUUUAUUUUAAUUUCUUCAUACCUGAUACAUAACAUUAAGUAAUAUACUUGUUAAAUUUCAUGCUUUGAUUAAACUCAGUUCACAUUCAUUCUGCAAGGAGUAGCUUUUGAUGAAGAACUAAUGAAGAAUGAGUAAUUACUAGCUCGUGAUGAAGAAUGUGUAAUUAAUUAAGGAAUGAUCGAUUACUAACCUUAAAAGAUGUAAAAUUAUUGCAAUUACUUAUAUUAAUAAUAAUUAUGCAUAGCCUAAAGCUCUUAUAUAAAGAAAUUAAAGAGUAUAUAUAUUAGUAUAUACUUCUUGCAGAUGUAGUCCCAGCUCGAUCAUACAUAUGAAUAUACUUCUCGCAAUAUAGGAUUUAAGUCGUAUAUAUUGAUAGUCAUGUAAUUUAACACAAGCUACUUAUCAUUUAUUCGAGGUUAAUCAAUGAAUAUUGAAUAAAGUCCAUCAUGUAUAGUUACAUUUAUCCUCGGAAUCUAUUAAAAAGCUCACUGGGAUAUCUUAACACCACCAAACCUUCAAGCGGGGAACUAUGCUGUAGCAGUGGCGGACCUAGGAUUUAACGAGUGUGGGUGCUUACCAUAGAAAAAAAAUAAAAAAUCACCUCAACAUGCCAGUUCACCUAACCAACUUUUUGUUUAGUGGGUACUUUUAUAUAAUUUAUACUUAUUUUAGUAUAUUUUUAUUGUAAUUAUUAUACCUAUUCCGUAUCGAGUUUAGUGGGUGCCGGAGUUUCAUUCUUAACAUGCUCUCCUGUAGCUAUAGUGAUGAACUCAGCAAAGCAGCAAGUGGUGCACGACGGCGACGAUAAUGAUCAGUUGUGAUUUUGUAGGACAUCCAUUUUUUAGAGGUCAAAAAGUACGUGCAAAUAUUGAUUCUUGGCUUUUAAGUUAUAUAUAUGCUAGCAUUGUGGGGUACAACUGAUAAUUUUAGUUUCCUUAGAAAUUACAGUGAAAUCAAAAACUUAUUUAGUUACUGAUUGCAGAAAAAUAUUGGUGGCCAGCCUAUAAGAAAAUUUAUUAUUAUUGAAUAAAAUAAAUGCAUAUUGAUGCUUAUUACUCCGCCAUUAAUUGAAUCCCAGAGUUUCGUUCUUAACAUGCUCUAUGAAUUUCAUCAUUUGCCACCUUGUUAGAUGUUGUGAAAAGCUCACUCUUUCAAGUUCUUCAAAGAGUUUCUCAAAAUUCAAAAACAUAUCAUUUUUUUGAGCGGAGGGUCCUUUUGUAAAAACUUUACCCUCCUCCGAUCCCACUAGUGGAAAUUGGAACUUCACUGUGGGGGUGGGGGGGCGGGGGUAUGUUGUUGUAGAAACAGUGGAAUAAGACAUUCUGUUUAAAGAUUUCAGUGGGAGAUAAAUUUGUUUCCCAGCUUAUGAAUGGUGUAAGUUUGUCAAUAUUCCAUGCUUCACUGUUUCGCUAUUGGUGAAAAUAAAACUUUGAAACUGUACUUGUGAACAUGUAUCGUAGGUUCAACUGAUGGCUAUAUAGUUGAAUAAGAAUACAGAGAAUUGUACACACAUAAAUUCAAAUAGGUACCAUCAGUCACACUGACAAUAAUCAAGACUGCAACAAAUACAGAUAGAUCUUUGCAAUGAGCAGGUCUUUCGGUUUCUCUUGCUCCAUGGCAUCUGAUCUGUUCACUGAAAAUCAAUCAGAGAAAUCAUUUACAAACUAAUAGAGACAGCUCCUAAAUCAGCAACUGUAUGCCAGGAACGUAUAGACAACUUGUUCAUGAUACAGUAGAUAGUGCAGUUUUUCAAGCACAUGCACAAACAGUACUUUUGUUCACCGCGGUGGUGCCCAAGUGCUAUAUGAAAAUAAAUUAUAACACUAUUCAUGAAGGGCUAAAAACACCGGCGUACAACUUAUAAAGACUAUUUGCAGUCUGAGUGCAACAUAAGCACAUUGUUUUAUUACUUAUAACUGCUAUGUUUGGUAGAUCAAUGAGCCUUAUGUUUUCUAUUUAUCUAAAGUUUUUCAUGUCCCGUCAUCGUUCUACUAAUGUUCAGGCUGUCAGAAAAGAAUUUUUGAGCGGAGGGUCCUUUUGUAAAAACUUUACCCUCCUCCGAUCCCACUAGUGGAAAUUGGAACUUCACUGUGGGGGUGGGGGGGCGGGGGUAUGUUGUUGUAGAAACAGUGGAAUAAGACAUUCUGUUUAAAGAUUUCAGUGGGAGAUAAAUUUGUUUCCCAGCUUAUGAAUGGUGUAAGUUUGUCAAUAUUCCAUGCUUCACUGUUUCGCUAUUGGUGAAAAUAAAACUUUGAAACUGUACUUGUGAACAUGUAUCGUAGGUUCAACUGAUGGCUAUAUAGUUGAAUAAGAAUACAGAGAAUUGUACACACAUAAAUUCAAAUAGGUACCAUCAGUCACACUGACAAUAAUCAAGACUGCAACAAAUACAGAUAGAUCUUUGCAAUGAGCAGGUCUUUCGGUUUCUCUUGCUCCAUGGCAUCUGAUCUGUUCACUGAAAAUCAAUCAGAGAAAUCAUUUACAAACUAAUAGAGACAGCUCCUAAAUCAGCAACUGUAUGCCAGGAACGUAUAGACAACUUGUUCAUGAUACAGUAGAUAGUGCAGUUUUUCAAGCACAUGCACAAACAGUACUUUUGUUCACCGCGGUGGUGCCCAAGUGCUAUAUGAAAAUAAAUUAUAACACUAUUCAUGAAGGGCUAAAAACACCGGCGUACAACUUAUAAAGACUAUUUGCAGUCUGAGUGCAACAUAAGCACAUUGUUUUAUUACUUAUAACUGCUAUGUUUGGUAGAUCAAUGAGCCUUAUGUUUUCUAUUUAUCUAAAGUUUUUCAUGUCCCGUCAUCGUUCUACUAAUGUUCAGGCUGUCAGAAAAGAAAGAGAAAAGGUCAAAGAGAGGUAUGGAUAUGUGAAUGAAUCCAGUUGUAUUAAGAAAACAAAUAGGCCAGAUAACCAUGAUAUCCAACACCUUCAAGAAGACGUAGUGAAAUUGGUCAAUGAUUACUCUGAGAAAUGAACUAUAUACGGGAUAGCAACAAUUUAAAAAAAGGGGUGCAAGCAAAGCACUGCGCUGUUGGCAUGAAACCAUGGGAAUGUGAUAGUAUAACAUCUGGAAAAAUAUAAAAAAUCAUAUUGGAAAUAUAACAUACUGGAUGCAAUAUAAAAAGUCAUACUGCAAGCAUGGAGACCAAGUACCUCACCGUGGAGUCUGUAGACUUGGGGAAGUCAACCAACCAUUGUGCGCUUUCUUCCUCUUAGCCUCACUGAAAUAAGUCACAAAAUCAGAAGAUCAAAACAUAAAGAACCCGCCGAAAUUAGACCCAUGUUAUUUAUUCUUUCUAGGAAUACAAAAGGUAAUAAAUAGAAGGGACGUGGAAGAAGAGUAGGCAGCACCUUCGGCUAGCUUGUUCAAAGUUGAUGACCACUGCUUAGAGGACUUCCUAUAUGCAGUAAGUAUAUGGUCCAUCUGUGAUAGCAAUAUAAACCAUAGAAGAUGAAUGUGCUCUUCACUAUAAGUCAAAGUAACACCACUAUCCACAUCCACUAUUCACAUGCAUCUUGAAAAAACUAAACAAAUCCACGUGUCGUGUGUGGCCAAAAUAAGGUUCGUGUUUCCAAACUACAAGAAAUAUAUAGUUCUAUAAUCCUAAUUAGGGGCACUUAGUCCUUCAAAGGCUUCUUUUAUAUCAAUUAAACAAUUAAUGAGACACUCAAGUGUAUUAGAGAAAGAACACCAGAGAAGUGGAGAACUGUUCAAUGAUGCCAUCAAAAUACUGUUUCUGUGAAGCAGUGUAUGUUUCAUGCAAUAAUAUGUUCAAAUGAUAUAAUGUGCAAAGGCAAAAGGAAGAUUAAUCUAAAAGAAGAAAUUAACAUCCUUUCCCCUGGAAGAAAUUAUGAUUUAAAAAUGAGGGAACAGAGAAGAGCAAAAAGCUUCAAAAGGCUUUAAACAUGCCUCUAACCCACAACACAGUAGAUAUGACAGAGCGAGCUUACCACAUUUCCACAAGAAGAGUGCAUAGAGAGUAAAGCACGUUCUAGUACAUAUAAAUCAACUGCUUUAUCUUCCGGAAGUGUUGAAGUAAAGCUUAGACCAAAGUCAAUUAGCACCUGGAGAAAAAGUAUCACUGACAGAAAAAUAAUGUCAUUAAGGUUGACCUUAGAACUUCAUCCUCCAAAACCAAGAGAGAAGGCAAAUAAGGAAAGAAAUUGACAAAAAUAGUCAAUCAUGAGAAUUAGAGGAACAUUCUAAGAGAGAGAGGAAAAAGUUCACCAGCUGAUUGGAAGCACUCCUUAGUAACAUGUUUGAUGUUGUCAAAUCACCAUGGACUAGGCCACCAUCGUGUAGUUUUCCGAUAGCAUUACCAAUCUGUGUUGCAAUAUCAGCCAUCCGUUCUUUGUCGACACCAACUAGUCCAAAAACAAGCAAUAUAUCUUUCACAGAAGGGCCUUCAAUAUAUUCAAAGGUGAGAGAAUGCAUAACAGGGUCAACAGCAUAAAGCACUGGAGUAAGAACACCGAGCCGUCUAGCU